rnacentral:lncRNA from 1 species
UGAACAUAUGUGUGGUUGCCUAUCGUGAUCCUAUAUGUGUCAAAUUGUCUUUGUUGAGAUAUUUUAUCUCCCUCUUUUGAUUGUUUUAUUAUUGUGAUAACUAAGGUCCAUACGGGUAUUGUGAUUGUCCUAUCGAUGAUUAUAAUAUUUGGUAGGAUGCUUGGAUUGGUGAAGGAAAUUAAUUUUAUAUUAUGAAUCGUACUAAUUUUCUUUGCCCUUUCGGUAAUAAAAUUAGUGCAUCUUGGUUGUGAUAUUUAAUUGGUUGUCCUUACCGCCGUGGAAUUUUCAAAAUUCCAAGCUGUUGCUAAAUUGAGAAAUUCUGGAAACUAGCAAAUGCAUGAUUUUGUAGUAACAUGCAUAUUGCUUAAUUUUGCUAUUUUCCAGUUACUAGCAAUCCUGGUAUUACUCUGCAACUGUCUGCCAUCAAACCUCUUACUGGAAUAAUUUUGAGGAAUGUUUUGAGUCUUUCAAUGUGCAUAUGACUAUGCACAUUUUGGACUGGGCUUUGAGAGUUGAUAAGCCAAGUAAAUUUGAGUUCUUCCAUAUUGUGGCACAAUCGCCUAGGUCAUAUUUCUAGGCAAAGAUUAGAGAGAUUGGUUAGAGAUGGAUAUGGUGAGGUGCAUGUUGUCUAGUUCCUCCUUACCAGAAUUUCUGUGGGGUGAAGCCUUAAGGACUGCGGCAUAUAUUUUGAAUAAAGUGCCCAGUAAGUCUGUGCCUAAGACACCUUAUGUGCCAUGCGCAGCGGAAGCGUUGGUCAGGCCCUAUAACCCACAGUCAAAGAAACUUGAUCCUAAAACCAUCAGUGGUUUCUUUGUUGGUUAUUGCAUUGGAUCAAGGGGUUCCAGAUUUUAUUGUCCAUCUCAUACCACCAGGAUCAUUGAGUUAGACAGGGUUGUAUAUUUUGAAGAUGUGAGCUCUGUUGAUGAGAGAUCUAGUGGUAUCUGAAGUUUGAUAGUAUUAUCACCCAAAAUGGUUUUAAAGAAAAUACAGUUGACAGAUGCAUAUAUUUGAGGGUCAGUGGGAGUAGUUACAUAUUUCUUGUUUUAUAUGUUGAUGAUAUACUACUCGCAUCAAAUGAUCCUGACUUGUUGAUUGAGACAAAGCACAUGUUGUCAACCCAUUUUGACAUGAAGGAUCUUGGUGAGGCUUCUUAUGUCUUGGACAUAAAGAUUCUUCGUGAUAGGGCUAAUGGAGUGCUUAAAUUGUCUCAAAGAGCCUAUAUUGAAAAGAUAUUGAAGAGGUUCAAUAUGCACAACUGUAAAUCUACUAAAGCGCCAAUUGUGAAGGGUGAUAAAUUUUCAAAGGCUCAGUGUCCUCAAAAUGAUGAUGAGAAAGAGGAAAUGAAGACCAUUCCUUAUUCAUCUGUGGUGGGCAGCCUUAUGUAUGCUCAAGUAUGUACACGCCCUGAUAUUGCUUUUGUUGUGGGCAUGUUGGGAAGGUACUUGAGCAAUCCUGGGAGUCAACAUUGAAAAGCAGCUAAGAAGGUCCUUAGGUAUUUGCAAGGAACUAAGGACUUAAUGUUGACAUAUCAGCGCACCAGCUUACUUGAUGUAGUUGGGUUUUGUGAUGCUGAUUUUGCUGGCUGCAUAGAUGAUAAGAAAUCCACUACGGGCUAUAUUUUUAUGAUGGCAGGAGGAGCUGUAUCUUGGAAAAGUGUCAAGCAGACACUUACAGCAUCCUCAACUAUGGAGGCAGAGUAUGUGGCAUGUUAUGAGGCUUGUUGUCAUGCUAUGUGGAUGCGAAAUUUUAUUUCAGCUUUAGGAGUUGUUGACUCCAUUUCUAGACCGCUGAAAUUAUUUUGUGAUAAUUCCGCAGCUGUUGCUUUCUCCAAGAACACCAGGAGUAUUUCUCUCUCCAAACAUAUUGAUGUAAAGUUCUAUUUUGUUAAGGAGAAAGUGGCAGAGUCUCUUAUUGAUAUUGAACACAUGUCCACAAAAAGUAUGUUGGCGGAUCCAUUAACAAAAGGCUUACCCAUAAUUGUGUUUCAGGAACAUGUAUCUCAAAUGGGGUUGUUGGAAGCCUAGGUUGUAUUAAGUUAGUGGGAGCCAUUUUUUGGUAUUGUAAUACUAUGUUAUUGUUGAAAGGAUUGCUAUUAUUGUACAUUUCCCUAUGAAUCAAGCAAUGAAGCAUAUAUGAUUGCUUUUGAUUAUUUAUUUCUGAUGAGAUUCUAUGGGACAUUGAUUUAUGAUUAUGUGUAUGUUGUAAUGUUUGAUUAUGUAGUCCAAGUGGGAGAUUGUUGGAAUUUUUAUGUGUGGACUUACAUAAUUAAUUUGAUAAUAUCAUAAAUCAGUGUUAAUUUAUGUUUUUGCAUUGUGGUCCAUAAUGGGACUGGACACAAAUUAUUGCUUGAUUUUUUAUGGGCUCACCCUAAUUCACUUGACUGGCCCAUUAAGUCAAGUCGUCCAACUAAAGUGUGUAAUGUGCAAUAUAUAUAUAUAUAUAUAUAUAUAUAUAUAUAUAUAUAUAUGUAUGUAUUUAUUUGUAUAUAUAUAUAUAGAGGUGUGUGUGCUUUUGGAGGGGGACCACUCUCUCUUUUGUUCUCUUUGAAGAACACUCCCGGCCACACACGCACACACCCCACUUUGGACUGAAUUUUGGGGAUUAAAGGGAAGAGCUCAUUGAUCGUUCAUCCUCGGAGCAUCACGCACCCGGAAAGCAGAUUAUUGGACAUCAAAGGUAGCAGAAAUGGCUUCCCAAAGCACGAACCAAGGUAACGGAUUGAAUUUUGCUGUUAAAUGCAUGCUUAAUUUGUCAACAUGUGAUCCUAUGAAAUUUAAAUUCUCAUCAAUCUAAUAACAAGAGCUAAUCCAAUGGAUUGCAACGCUUCCUUAAUCCUCUUACUUGUAAGUUUUCACUUAAAAGAUCUUUACAUUCUUUAUUACUUUCUUGGAAUUUUAAGGUUAUAUUUAGAAAGUGUUUUUAAAAACACUAUUGUAAAACUGUUUUAAGAAAUUAUUCUUAAAUGUUUUGUAGAAUUGAGAAUUUGAAAUAUUUUUAAUUUGUUUUCUAUAUUUUUGAAUAUGUUUUAAAAAUAACUUUUAUUUAUAGUGUUUUUUAUUAUUAUUUUUCAUAAUUGUAUAAUUAUUUUUAAAAAUAAAUGAAAAUAAUUAAAAAAAUAUUUUCUCUCAAUCGUAUAAAUAUUAUCCAUUUUACACCUAAAUAAGCUUUAUCGACUUUGAAACACAUAUACAAAGUUAAGAAGAACUUAUAUUUAUAUAAUUUCAAGAAUUUUAUCUCACAUCGAAUAAGGGAGAAAAUUUUAAAGACUAUAUAAGUAUGAACUCUUCUUUAACUUUGUAAAUAUAUUUUGAAGUCGUAACCUAAAACGGAUAAUAUUUAAAAUAACAUUUUUUUUGUACUUCUAUAGUGACCUAUUUUUAAGUCAACUCUUUUAACACACUAAGGAAAGGAUUGUGAUUAAUAAUAUUUAAUAUUUAAUAAUUUAAGAUAAUUUUAAGUUAAAUUGUACUUGACUCAGUAAACUAAUUCAUCAAAUUUACUUUUAAUCUUAGGGUAUAAUAUUAAGUUAUUCUAUUAACAAUACUUAACACAUUUGAAACAAUUUUGUAUUUUUAGGUUUUGCUAGAAGGCAAAACUAAACCGAUAUAAAAUUUUUCAAAUGAUACUAUUAUAUUAUAAAAGUUUUAUUAAAUAUAAAAAAUUUUCCCAAAAAAAGUCAAAAUAAAACUUUUACAAGAAGUAACAUUGUUCUAAUUUUUGUUUUAAAUUCUUUUCAAGCCUUAAAUUCUUUAAACAAAAUUAGUCAUACAAACAUAAAAAAAAAUUAUUGACUUAAAUUAACAAGGCUUAGCUUCUUAAAAAGGUCUUAACUUUUUAAAUUAACAUAAAAAUUCUUUCAAAGGUCUUAACUUCUUAAAAAUCAACACAAACAAGGCUUUAAUUUACCUAGUAACUUAAAUUAAGUCAUUAAAUCAAUAACCUUUUAUUAAACUUAAAGGGUCUAAAUACACUUUACCCCUCAAUUUUUAGGGUCUUUUACACUUUACCCUCUUAUAUUCAAAACCCAACACUCCCCCCCCCCCCCCCCCCCCCCAAAAAUUAAAANNNNNNNNNNNNNNNNNNNNNNNNNNNNNNNNNNNNNNNNNNNNNNNNNNNNNNNNNNNNNNNNNNNNNNNNNNNNNNNNNNNNNNNNNNNNNNNNNNNNAAAAAAUUUUUGACUUAAAUUAAAAAGGGGUUGGCUUCUAAAAAAGGUCUAAAUUUUUAAAAUAAAAAAAAAAUUUUUUAAAAAGGUUUAAAUUUUUAAAAAACAAACAAAAAAAGGGUUUUAUUUUCCCGGGAAAUUAAAUUUAGGCCUUAAAUCCAAAACCUUUUUUUAAAAUUAAAAGGGUUAAAAACCCUUUCCCCCCCAAUUUUUUGGGUUUUUUAACAUUUUCCCUUUUUUUUUAAAAAACCAAACCCCCCCCCCCCCCCCCCCCCCCCCAAAUAGUUAAAAAUCAAUAUUUUAUCCCCAAUUACAAACUUUCCAUAAAAUUAUAAAAGGGAUUAGUUUAGCCAAGUGGGUUGAUACUCAUGAGGAAAAGGAGACAAGUUGCUUGGUCAAAAUAUACAAACAAUAUAGUAAAAUUGUUGCAUGUUUUCCAAUAAUUAUAGAAGCAUCAAUGUUAUAUAGGAACAAUAUAAAUGCUAUUGCACAUUUUUAUGAGGCAGCCUAGUAACUUGGACAAGUAAGAAGAAAUUUGUUGUUGCAAGAAGUAGUGUUGAGGUAUAUUUUAGAUCUUUAACACAAGGGACAUGUGAGCUCAUGUUGUUGCGAAGGUUGAAGAACGAAUUGAAACUACAAAGUGAGAAUCCAAUGUUGUUAUAUUUUGUCAAGAGAUUAACAAUUAACAUUCCUCACAACCCAACUCAUCAUGAUCAAACAAAACACAUUGAAGUUUAUUGACAUUUUAUCAAGGAGAAGUUAGAAGAAAGAUUAAUCUUUCUCUCAUAAAGGGACUUCCUUAAGUGAACAUUGAAUGCUUGAUCACCAAACUAGGCAUGAUUAAUAUCCGUGCACCAACUUGAAGGGAAGUGUUAAAGAAUUUGAAUCCUUAUGGAGAUAAAAUCCGUCUUUUGAAGAAUUAGCCGGUAGUUCAUUUGUAAUUAAAACUACAAUAAAUUAUUUGAAUAGAAUUUGUCAGAUAGUUUCCCAUUUCUUUCUACUUUCUUUACUUUGGUAGGUUCUCUAAUUGUAUAGAGGACUUUUUCUCUUCUUUACCAUACAAAUGAAUAUACAAGUAAAAUUAAUCUAUCGAUUUUUUCAAUUGGUGAAGAAAUUUUUUCUUUCUACUUUAACAUCCAUUUUUGUGAAACUCAUUUUAAUGUAGACUCUUUUCUUUAGAAUUUUUUCUAUUGUAUUUUGUAAAAUAUUUUUUUUUAAAAAAAUUAUACUUUAUUACCUCACAUUAUGUAUAAAAUUUUUUAGUUAAUUAAUUUUAUUUUUAUAAUUAAAAUUUUGAAGUUAAACCGAGUGUUAUAUAAAUGUUUCAUGUUAGUUUAUCUUUAAUGGAAGGUAAUUAACUAUUUAGAAAAGUUUUAAUAUUUAUAUUUGGAAAUAAAUUAUUGUUUCAUUGAUGUAGAAUAAAAUAAUAAUAUUUUUUUAUAGUUUCAUGUAACAAAACUAAAAAAAAAAAAUCUAUUUUAGUUUAUUUAUUAAAAUUAUAUUAAAUAAAAUUUAAAUUUUAAUUAAUUUAUAUUGAAAUUGAAUUUCUUUCAAAACAAAGUUAUGCAUUUUUAGUUAUCUAUUAUAACAAAAUUAAAAUUUCAAAUAAACUCUACUUAAUUCAUUUAUAAAAACUAAUUUUAAAUAAAUUCUAAUUAAUUCAUUUAUAAAAAUUAAUUUUUUAUUAUUAAAGUUAUGUAAUACAUUAUUUAACUAUAUAUGUUCUAUAAUAUUUUAUUUCUUUUUCUAUUGCAAUCUUUUACUCUAAUUUAUUUUCCUUGAUUUUGUUAUUAGAUAAUACUAAAAAGAAAAUACUAUAUUUAUUAUUGAAAAAUUUGAGGAAAAUAAAUUAGAAAAAAGAAAAGAAAAGAAAAGAAAUUGGUGAAUAAAACUUUCUUAAUUGAAAUUGUUGAAAAUUUUGAGAUGAAUAAAAUUAAAUUAUUAAUAAAAACAAUUUCCCAAAAAUAUCAAGAAAAUUAUUUUCAAAUUUGUAAUUUUAAAAUUAAAAUUUUUUAACACUUGAGUUUCAGCACCACCACGAACUGAAAUGUCACUAAUAAUAACAAAUUUAUUAUUUAGAAGUAAUUUUUUUUUUCAAAUAUUAAAUUAUUGAUGUUUUAGGGAUUUGUGAGACUUUCCAUAGUAGAUUUUGAGUAAAAUUUUUUUUUGAAAUGAUUAUAAGUAGAAAAUUAAAAUUUUGGAUGAUUGUAAAAAGUAAAUUUCUAAUACUAAAAAAAUUUAUUAUUCAAAUGAGAAAAAAAUUAUUUUUAAAUAUUAAAUUAUUAAUAUUUUACGAAUUUGAUUUCUAAUAAAUUAAAAUUUUAUAUAAUUAUGAAUGAAUAAAAAUAUAUUAAAAUAAUAAUUUUAAAAUUUUGUUUGAUAGUGAUUUUAGUAAAUAUUUAAAAUUUUUUUAAUAUAUAAAAAGAUUAAAAGUUUUAAGUGUUCCAAAAAUUAGAAAUAUUUUCUAAAAAUAUUUUGUUUUUAUUUUUAAUUCUGUGAAAAUAAAAAAAUAAGCACCGUUUAUCGUUAUGUCGUCCAAUUUCUUAAUUAUCAUCACUUUCAUUGUGAGUUAUGACAGCAAAAACACUGCACACUAUUAGGGUUUAUGCUCUGAUGCUUUCUUUCCCACUUUUUGUCCUUAGGGGCUAGGUUUAGGGUUAGGGUUUUGGAUUUCUCAUCCUCGAUCUUCUGCGUAUCUACAUCUUCGCUGCUUUGACCUCUUUUGGAAACAAUGAUGUACGGUGAUCCUCAACAGCAGAUGCAGCAGCAGCAGCAGAUGCAGCAGCAGCAGCAGAUGCAUCAGCAACAGCAGAUGCAUCAGCAGCAACAGCAGAUACACCAGCAACAGCAGAUGCAGCAGCAGCAGCAAGGCGGAGACUUUCACAGGGGCCCACUGCCCCCACCACCGUCUCAACCACAACCACCGCAAUCGCAACUGCCACCUCCUCCGCCGAUGAUGCGCCAGCCCUCGGCUUCUUCCACCAAUCUCGCCCCCGAGUAUCACCAUCCAUCCGCUCCUCCUUAUGACGGUAUGGUUUUUCACAUUGUUCAUGUUUCUGCUGUUUUCUUGGUUCGGUUUGCUGAGAAUGUCGAGGAAAUUAGUAGAAAAAUUGCACUUUGGGUGUUCCAUUUUUAUCUCUACUUUCCGCGGUGUAAAGAAAAUUUUGAAUUGUACUCGAAUUUUUGACAAAAUAUGAAUGACAUAUGUGUCUGAUAUUCCGAAUUAUUUUGGAUAAUUAUGGACUGAGAACACUGCUUUCUUACUUUUCCCCCUCUUUCUCUGGAUAUCUAUUUCUUUUAUUACUUUUAAUUUCCUGGUGUUAUUUUCUUGAAUGACUCCUGAAUCAAGAUUUGUUCUGCAGCAGGUGAGUUCUGAAUCUAAAUUUGUGACUGAGCUACUCCUAGUGGUUGUAUUAGACAAUGAGUCAAAGUAGCUUUUGUUUUCUUAGGCAUUUUGAUAUUCUUCGUGGGGAAACAAAAAUUUUCAAAUUAUUCCCUCUUGAUUUUUUUUAAGCGAACCAGAAAAGAUGGAAUAUAUAUUGUAGGCUUCAUUAAUUUGUAAUAGGCCAAAUUACUCUGAACGAUUGAAUGAAAAGACAGGUUUUAUGAACUUAAACUACAUCACUUUUUCUACUUCCAAACUCACUUCAGAAUUUGUCUGUUUUUCUCCAUAGAUUUUCCAUAAUUUUCAUCUAAGUGUUUGUCUUAUUUUUCAUAAUAAUUUCCAGAAAUCAGUCCUCUGCUGAAUUAUUGUGAAUCCUAAAUUACUUACUGUGCUUCAAAGUGCAUAUCCUUGUGGAGUUGAGCAAGUGUGGUCUUUGUUCUUGCUUCUUAGAAACUACUAAAAUUUUACGGCACUCAAGCAUGCAAGUUUUAGAAUGGUUAAGUUGCCAUUACUUUUCCUUCUUGUUUUGGAUUGGUCAAGUUUUGCUAAUGUUUCUUUCAUUUAUAAAUGGUUAGUACAGCUCAUGCCGAUAGUUUUGCUGCAAAAAGAAUGAGAAAGCUGGCCCAAAGAAGAGCAGUUGAUUAUACUAGCACUGUUGUACGAUACAUGCAGGUAACUGUUUCUACCCUUUUGGACUUAUGUCACUAGUCUUUCUUCAAAUAUAUAUUCAAUCAUUUUUUUUUUUCUGAUAUUGUGGUAAGAAACAAGAUAUUUCUUGAAAUUGCUACAAUUUCAUAUUGGAUAUGUCUUUCAUCUGUAAGGUUCAUGGAGUGCCCCUUUACCUGAUAUUGGCUUCAUUGUUGUUGGAAGAAAAUGAAACAGAAAAUGGACCAGAAUUUUUCUUUCUUUUUCAUUCUUUGUUUGUUUGUAGCACAUAAAUUGUACCUUGCAAUUCUACUUUAUCUAGAUGCAUUUUGAACUUCACUGAUGUGGCUUUCUGUGGAUAAUUCCUUUUACAUCAUUCUGCCUUUUCAGAAUCUUUAGUUUGCACCAAGCACUUCCCAUGGGUGUUGUUGUUGGUCCAUAAGUGAAACAUGCUCCUGCCAUCUUGCUAAUUCUGCUUUCUUAUUACCUACCAUGCUAGACUCUUUGAUGUGCAAAUCCAUUGGCAUGACUAGAGCUUUGAGUUGUUCCUUCUCUUGGAUACCCUGUGUAGCUAGUCAGACUGCAGAUGGUUUGGCCUUCCUUUUUAGGUGCCUUUAUUAAUCCUUAUUUUGCCCAUUAAAAAAACAAAAGAAUUCCUUUGUCAUCAUUAUGUUUUGAUACGGUCCAUGUUUCGGAAGGAUGGGUCAUUCUCCCAUGUUGUUGGAUUGUUUGUUUCUGAUUAGAAAAGGUUUUGAAACAGCGAUCAUCAAACAUGAAACUGCCAUAAUAUCUCAAUUGACCAUGGUUGCUAGGGAUGAUGUUAUUAGCUUGUGUCCAAGAUUACUCUGUAUAAUAUUUUUCUUAUUGAGGCAAUGGAGUGUUAGUGCUAUUAUGGUUGAUAGGGGCAAGGUGUAAGUCUUGAGGCGGAAUGGGGUGUAAGCCUCAAUUAAAGGAAAAAACCUUUAAAAAAUUAAAUUCACAUAAAAAUAGAGAAUAAGAAAACCAUUAAAUUCAAGAAAACUCAUUGUUUUUCAUAAAAGUUUCCAAUUUAGUUCAUCUUUCCCUCUUCCAAAAUGCAACUCUGUCUCAUGAGUCAUGGUUUGACGAAAUUACUCAUCACUCCUGAGCAUCACCAUCAUUAACACUAGUGGGAUCAUGUAAGGAAUCUUUAUUAUAUCUAAUUGAUUUAUCAUCCUCUCUAUCAAUAUCAAUUUCCACCCAUGUUUCUUUUCAUCCACCAAUUGCAGCAUCAUAGGUUUAAGCUUUAAGCAAAGCAGUGGCUAUAAGGAGGCAUCAUUGCGAUUCUAGCUGUGAUUCUGAAGACUCUUGCAGCAAAGUAGUUCUCCUCUGGAAGUAAGAACCCAGCACCCAGGACCCAGGACCCAACAGCCAAGAAGUCUUCUCUUCUCCUUCUAAAUAUCUUUCCUUUCCCCCUCUUAUUUUUUUAUUAUUUAAAAUCAACCUAAGAAAUUGAUCUAAGACCCAGAAAUUUACCCAAGAUCUAAGCCCAUGACUCAAAACUUACAAAAUAGAAUAAAAAAGCCUAAAAACAUUAAAAAUCCAUUGGAUAUGGAGGCCCAAGAAGAACAAAUACUCAUAAAAGUGCCAUCAUAUCUGAGGCUUAAGCCUCAAGGUUGUGUGCCUUGGUAGGGUGAGGCUUAAUCCUCAACUACAGACUUAAGUCUCACCAUUAUUUCUUAAUGCUUCCUCAAGGCAUAAAAUCCUUUUAAAACACCAUGGGCAACUUAACUGGCACAUGAGUGGUCCUAGGCUCAUCUAAUAGGCUAGUAUAGCUAGUAUUGUAUUAUAUUGUAGGCUACCAUCGAUGGUACUUCAUCAUAUUUUAGCUUUAUGCUUUCUGUUGUUUCAUUUAUUACAGUGUUGGCAAGCAUGUGGGAAGGUGAUUGGAGGCACUUGCAUGCAUUGAGAACAUUUUUUUUUUUAAAAAAAAAAAAAAAUUAGAAAGAAGCUAUUCAUUGAUAUGGAUUUUGAAAACAAGCAAAGGAUGAGAAAUCCUUCCAAGAAUACGAAGGGUCCAAUAACAAGGAAAUACUUGGCAGGAGUGACAAUGUAGCUACAUUGAAGGAUGAGACAAUAAAAUGCAUUGAGAAUUUGUAAAGCAAUUGGAAGAUGGUGAGGAAGAAAAUCAUGAUUGGGAUGAUUUUCAUUUUUUCUAUUUCUCUAGGGCUAAGUUUUUGCAGCCUAGCCCACGUACACAGGGAGUAUAGGGGUGGUAGUAUCAUCCUUAUAUUUAUGAGUCUCAGCUCUGUUGAAUUCUUUCUUUUUGCAUGUGGUGGCUCUUUUGUUUUUGUCUUAUAAGCGUGGCACUGUUUUACCUCUGUAUAAAUUUAAUUUACGUUGUUUGUGCUUGGGGUUUGGCCCUUCUUUUUCUUUAUUACUUUAUCAUUUCUUAUGUGUUGCAAAGAGAAGGAAAAGUGACUGAUUCUGAAAAUUUGAAAUAUAUGACCUGUGAAUUCCUGAAUAUUUGUAGUCAGAUCACCAUUAAUAAGUAAAGACAUUGUUCUGGUUUCCUAGUGAAGGCAAGCAUCAAAUAUUGGAAUCCUUAAAUCAACUUUUUUCAUAGAUAGAUAGGAGAAAUAUCUGGACGGUCACAUGCCAAAGAAAACAGCAAAGAUGAAGAGCCCUACAUAAUGGAUUAAGUGAGAAAAGAAAAUCAAAAUUCUUUUGCCCAAAAAACAAAAAUAAAUAAAUAAAUAAAAUCUACAUGGGAAAGCCUCUGGUCUACAGAAAAAAAAAGGUCCAAAUGAAAGUUAUCCUUCAGCUACAAGAUUGGAUUUUCUUCCUCCUGACAGAUUCCUCUGCCAGUUUCUUCCAACACUAUGGAAACAAACAUUAGCAUUGUCUUCCUUAAAAAAUGGAGGCACCCACUGAACAGAAAAAGUGAAGACAGUAAGGUCCAAAGUUCUCCAGCUUCCCAACAGUUGAUAAGAUCGUGGUUUGUUGACUGCUGACUUUUUUUGUGCAAGCACCACCAAUGAAUCAUGUGAAACCUUGCUGCAUCAAGUGGUUAAUGGUGAGGACUUCCCUGAGCUACCUCCAUGCAUAAAAUUCCACUAUGGAGGGAACCACUGGCACCCAUACCUCGUAAGCUGGGGACUUUCUGCUGCCCCUUCUGCUUGAUUCCAGAAACAGUGACUUAAAAGUGAAUCUUUCAUCCCUACCAAGUCUUCAUCUGAUUGUAUCUUCUUUGUUUCCGAGUAUUGCUUGUCAUAGAGUAUACCCAUAAGCUUCACCAAUGCCUCUAAUUAUUACUCUUGUGAGAUUGAAAUAAAAGCAUGGAACCUAUAAAUAUCAGUCAUAGACCUAGCCAAAUCCCAUGUGAUCUCCACAAAGGCAUCGAAGUCAGAUGAUUUGCUAAAAAAGCUUGGAAAUGACCCUUUAAGGAGAACCCCUAACCAAAUUCCCAGUUGGACUGGUCUCUCACCUCCUUGGAGCACUAAUUGCCCACCUCCACCUUGAACUUGCCUAUUACAACCUCUUUCCAAAAGCUCUUCCCCUCUCUUGCAAACCCUAUGAAUCUCAAAAAGUUACUAUCCUAAAAGAAAAAAAAAAAAAAUCUUGUUGUAUAGCGGAGGUUUUUAGUAUUUAGAUCAGGUUUGUAUUUUUGUGGGAAGGAUUCCUCAUCCUUCUCAUGAACUCUUUUAUAUGUAAUUAAUUCAUCUCUUGUUUCUGAUAAAAAGAAAAAAAGAAGAAAAAAAAUUAAAAGCUACGGGUAAUAAUUCUGAUUCAGCUUUAAGACAAGCAUAUAUAUAUAUAUAUAUAUAUAAUUAUUAUUGUUUUUGCUUUUUUUUAAUUAUAACUAAAGAGCCACUUGGAAGGAGACCAUUGAGCAUUGACACUUCCACAAUGGCUUAGAUGCAGAUUUUGGAGCAAAUUUAUCUCAAAGAGAUUCAUAAACAGGGUUGCAGUGGUAACUAUUGGUACAUCUUUAAAUAACUCAAUCCUACAAUCCAUGAUCACCAUUGACAUUCUAUAUAUUAAUAAAUUGAUUUUCAUUCAGUCUGAUUAAGUCUAUCAUAUUUGGUGAUCAUGUUUCAUCAGUCAUUAAUUUUUAUGGAUUUUGGUGGUAGUAUUUUCAUCAGUCAAGGUUUUAUGGAUACUCUUUCCCUGUCUUAUUGAGUUUCUUACAAUAUACAUACAUAUAUACAUAUAUAUAUAUAUAUAUAUAUAUAUAUAUAUAUAUAUAUAUAUAUUUAGAAACAAACAAAUGUAUUAAAUUAAGGAUAGAGAAAUACAAAAGAAGGUUGAGGAAUUCUCCCAAAAUACAACAAACUAAUAAAAAAGUAUGCUGAAGCAUCCAAAGUACUAAGUAAACCUAUACAACGAUAAUGUACCACAAGGGAACUUAUAAGAAAAAAAGUAAAGCACCACAAGGGAAUAUACAAAAAACAACUCAUAGCUCUAGUAUUUGACUAGUAUAGUUUCUUACUAUAUUUUUGACCCCUACAAUUUAAUUUCUUUGCCAUCGAAAGAAAAUCAUGCACUGGUCCUUACUUUGGUCUCUUUUCAUUUUCAGGUGCAUCCAUGUUUCGUUUGAAGCUUGUCUUCACCUGUCCUGUUUUCUUUUAAAGUUUCUAUUGGAGUUUGAAUAACUUGUAGUGUUUGUUUAAUAUUUUCUGCAGAUUCGCAUGUGGCAACGAGAUUCAAGGGACAGGACAGUAUUGCAACCUACCCCAGCUGCAGCAAUUGAUGUUAGUUCAUACAUUUUACGCAUAUUCCAUCUUUGCUUCUGAUGUUGACAUGGUGGAAGAUGGAAGUAGUUUAAUUUUUAUGAUGUAUUGUUUUCUCAUGUGUUCCGUUUAUGAUCUGAGCUGCAUUGAUUCGAAGAUGGAAGUAGUUUAAUUUUUAUGAUGUAUUGUGAUCUCGUGUGUUCCAUUUAUGAUCUGAGCUGCAUUGAUUCGAAGAUGGAAGUAGUUUAAUUUUUAUGAUGUAUUGUUUUCUCGUGUGUUCCGUUUAUGAUCUGAGCUGCAUUGAUUCAUUUCCUGGAUCUUUUGCAUCUUCUGCCUAAAAAAAACAGAACUUUCAUGUAUUGAAAUUCAAGAUUUGGGGCUGCUUGAUAUCACAAUCCAAUUCUGAACACAGAAAUUUUCCAUAAUAAUCAGGGUAAUUACAUUUUCACUGAAAGGGUUGAAAAAUUCAAUUUGAGACUGCUAACUUGUUUCUGAAAAUUGAACUCUCUUCCUUUCUAUGAUUCUGAAUUAUAAAAUCUAAGUUGUCUUUGCCUAAGUUUAUGAGCCAAAUGACAAACUGACCCUUUCAACAGCUUGAAGUCGUCACUCUCACAAAGUUAUAGCUAAAGAAUUUAGUACCAAACUUUCAGUUUAUCAGAAAAAGGGUGUUUGGUAAACCGAAUUAAUUGCUUAAUGAAUUAAUUUAUGUCAUUAACCAAAUCAAUAUAUUUGAUAAAAUAACUUAAUAUUGCAACUUAAGGUUAAAAAUGACUUAAAAGUAAUAAGUUAAAAUAGAUAAUUUUUUCUAAAUCCUAAUUGUCAUUUGUCUUACUAGUUCAUGUUUUUUUCUUCCAUGUUUCUCUCAUAAACUCAUAACUUAAUAUCAGUGAGGAUAGUCAUGUCAAUUUAAUAGUUUAGAAAAACCUUGAAGUGUUUUUUUCCAACCAACUUUAACGCUUCCAAAAAAAAAAAAAAGAGGUAAAUGAUGAAUUAUAGGUUGAUAAUUUGAGUAUAAUUUAACUUAAAAUCAUUUUAAGUUACUAAACAUUAAGUGUUAAGUUUUACCAAACACCACCGUAUUAUCUUACCUCAAUAUGCUAAUUACUUGUUUCGCAGUGAAAUGUUUGUCAUCAGUAUGAUUUUCUUUCUGGUGUUGCCUUAAAUGUUUCUUUUGUGUUUUUGUUGGUGCAGUUGUUGCCAGCAGUUGCUUAUUCAGAUAAUCCAUCCACAAGUUUUGCUGCAAAGUUUGUUCAUACAUCUUUAAACAAAAAUCGUUGUUCAAUUAAUCGAGUUCUGGUGAGUUCAUUGGAAUUUGAUGUUCUUGAAUAUGUAUGUUGCUUAAUUUUUCUUCUCUUAUUUGAGAUGUUAUCCAUAUCCUGUUUACUUCAUUUGAGGUAUUUUGUUGUGGCAUUUUGUAAUUAUUUAUGUUCCUGUUUGCAGGUUCAAGUUAAAAUAUUUUGAUCCUUCUAAGCAAGAAAUAUAUAUUUUUAAUUCUGAUGCCACUUAAUUUGCAGGAUUUUUUAAUUCUAAUUGCCCGUCAAUGCUAGGAUUCAAUCCAUAGCCCAUGUUUAUAUGGUUGAAACAAAAAAUCUGGAAGAGUGUGAGUUAGAUGUUAGAAUUCAUCCAAACAAGUUAACUUUUGACACAUGCUUUCUGGACUCAGAUCAAUUACAUGGUGGGCCAAUGACAAAGGUCUAUAAGACAUCUAAUAAAAUAAAGGGUCUAUAAGCAAUCAGACUGUUAAAAUUCAUGCAAUCAAACUUAUUUUUGGCACUGACCAAAAAAGAUUCAUCUAAUACUGGGUCUUCAUGAAUGUAUGCUUGCACUGUGUGCCUUUGGCAGUUAUUGGAAUCGUCUUUUCCCUUGUGAGGUUUUGAUGAGUCACAGUUUUAAUUUGAAAUUGAGUGGUUAGGUAGCAGUGUGAGGAGAGGAGACAAAGGAAAGGGAUUAUCUUUGAAAUUGACCAGUUAGAUAGGGAUUUGAUGGGGUGGAACCAAAGACAAUGGUUUUUUUGGCUUAAUGCUUGUUAGUGUGUUGAUUUGAUAAUAUCAUCAUGCAGACGACCUUUAGAAAUUGGUUGUAUAAUAUAUUCAAUUGGGCCCAGAUUCUCUGUUUUAGUUAGAUACUCAGAUGGAUUAGAUUUAUAAUGGAAUUCUUUUUUUUUUCUUUUCUUUUUCUUUUUUGGGUUUCUAUUAAGUAAAUGUUUGGUUUUCAUUCUCUUUUGUCAAAUGGUUUUUAGUUAGUGUGGAAUAAUUUAAGCAAACUGAUAUUUUGUUUUAAAAUUUUUUAUUGUUAUGUCACUGAAUUAGUAUGUACUGAAGUGUUAUCCUUUCAAUGCAUUCUGACCCUUGCUUUCUGUCACAGUGGACUCCUACUGGGAGACGUCUUAUCACAGGCUCGCAAAGUGGGGAAUUUACUCUUUGGAACGGACAGUCAUUUAAUUUUGAAAUGAUUCUUCAGGUAUGCCGUUGUAUAAGUAAACUUUCCAUUUCUAGUUAGCAAAGAAAUUGAUUUUCCUUCUGGGGUGUUUGGUGUUGGGUAGGGUUGGUUUUCCUUGUUCUCUGUGUUUCUGCCUUGGCACAUUUUGUAUGCUAUGUGUGUACACUGUUGCAUCCUUUCCUAGGGCUUUUAAUAUAUUCUUGCUUUUUACCUAUCAAAAGAAAAAAAAGAAAAAAAAAAGAAGCGAAAUUAAUAUAGUUUGCAAUGUUUCUUAAAUGUAGGCUCAUGAUCAAGCAAUCAGGUCUAUGGUAUGGAGUCAUAAUGAGAACUGGAUGGUUACUGGUGAUGAUGGGGGCUCAAUAAAGUAAGCAUCUAUCUUAUGCAGCCACUUUGGUUCAAUAUUCUUUUUCAAAAUUCCAUUGAGUGAAAAUUUUUUUUGUUUGAUGUGCUCAUGCUUACGGGGGAUGCUUAUUAGGUAUUGGCAAAACAACAUGAAUAAUGUAAAGGCGAAUAAAUCUGCUCAUAAAGAAUCAGUUCGUGACUUAAGGUAUAUAUUUAUGCAUGUUUCUAGCUAAAUAUUCUUCAUGAAGCUUUUCAUAAUUAAGUUUUACCUUUUUGACCAGCUUCUGUCGGACAGAUUUAAAGUUCUGUUCCUGCUCUGAUGAUACUACUGUUAAAGUUUGGGACUUUGCUCGGUGCCAGGAGGACCGUUCACUAUCUGGUAAUGUGCCUUGAAAGCUUGAUAUCUGAGGAUGAGCUUGCUGUUCCCAAUCUUUGUUUGACAUCAAUAACAUUUUUUUUUCAAUCAGUUGGUUGUGUUAUUGACAUAUUGUCUGAUAUCAUGUACUAUGGAAAUGAUAUGAUAGUGUGCCUCUUUGUUUGUUUGAACUAAAUUCCAAAGCAUGGUCAGUUAUGCUUCUUGUUUGAUGUUGUCAGCAAGAAAUUAGUGGAAAUGGACCUGAUAUUUUGGUCAAGUUUUUAGUUCUUCAUGUUGACAUUUAGACAUGUGGUUUUCAAACUUGGUUGACUUAUUUGGGAUUUGCUAGUGGAGAAUUGGUUUGGGUUAUUAGGCUUGAAUGUUUGUUAGCUGGCUUGUUGUGCAUGAGAAAUUACCUUUCAAAAGGGGUUGCCUUAAUCCUGUGCAUAUUGGUCAAUUUAGCCAUUCGGUCUUAGUAUUCCAAACUCCAGAAUUUGUGGUUAGGAUAUUAGAUAAGCUUAUGAUCAAUUUACCAUUGGAUGGCUAAACCAAUCAGAUCUAUUUGGGGAUGUGUCUAUGCUCAACUUUUGGCAUUUAGACUUUGGUGAUGUGGCUGUGUUCUUCUUGUUAUGUUGUGUAGAAUAUCAUAGAGACUCGUUAGAGUUCAAUAAAGAGGGAUCUGGUUGAGAAAUUUUCUCCUCUGAUGUAAAUCAUUUUAUUUUCAUUAGACAGCAUUGAUCUAGGAGUAUAUGAAAACAUGAUAUUAUCUACAAAAGGGGCUGGUAAAAAUCCUUCCCUUAUAGCAAUUAGGGAGAAAUUCUUAAAAACAGAUUAAAAAGAAGACAGAUUAUAAUAGGCAAGCCACUAACAAAACUUGAGUACUUUUUACCCUUUGGGAUAGGAUCUUCUAUAUUUAUUUCGUCCAAUGUAGUCCAAAACAGCAGAUAAUCUCAUUUCAGUUGAAACUGUUGUAAACCAGUGAAACAGAAAGAAAAGUGGCUUACUUCCACACUGGAUGUCCUCCCUAAAUCUAACUUGUCCCUAGUCCUUAGGCUCCUUACACCAAUUCUUUACCCUAAUUAAUUUAUGCUAGACCUUGAGACACUACUGCAUACUAAACAAUUGAAGCAACAAUGUCCUUGCUAUGACACCUUAUAUGCCUAAUAUGUUACUUUUCACUAUUAUGAGCCUUAAUAGAGUUUCUUGCGAACCUCCAUGGUAAUUUUCAUAGCAAAGUAGUGUUGACAAUAAGAGGCAAAGUUCUUAUUGAGUUAUCAACUUUCCUAAAAGGUAAAGCUAUUAGGAUUUGGGCCCAUAAUGUAUAUCAUGCUCUAACAACCUCCUUCACAUGUGACUCCAUACGCACUUGUAACUCCAUACCCACACGUGGAGAGAUAGAUAGAUGGAGAAAUAAAAAAUUUGUGAUCACAAAUAUAGAAAGAAAUAGGUGGGGGAAGGACCUGAACUCAAGAUCUUUUGCUCACUGGAGUCCUAAUAUCAUGUUGAGUUAUCAAUUUUUCUAAAAGCUUAAGUCGUUAGGAUUUGGGCCCUAGUGAUUCUAGUCCUCCUUGAUAUUCUUUCAAAGUUGAUCAUAAUACACAAAAUGGUACCUAAACAACUUCAUUUGACAAUAACAAUUAUAUAUGCAGCUGAGGAAGAAGAGCUGUCAAUCCAAAGACUUAAGAAUUCUUUUGUAUAUUUCCUUUGGUCAGAGAUGAAACUGUUUAUAAAAGAUGGUCCUUUGACUUUAGUUGAUUUUAUUGAUUGGGUGGGAACCCGUUGAGGGUGGGGUUCGGGCUGCACCUCCGGCCUUGGCAUCCAGCUAGGGAGUGGGGGGUGUUUUCUUCUUUGUAAUCUUUAAGCCGCUGCUUUGGUGGUUUUUUUAAUUCAAUUUUAUUCUUUACUUAUCAGAAAAAAAACAGUUAUAUAUGCAGCUAAGGUCUCAGCCCUGUUAGAAGGGUUGAAAGACUACUUUGGGUGUUAAUGAUUUGCUAGUGGAAGGGCACUCAGCUAUUGCAUUCCCAUUCAUUUCUCAGGGAAAAAGAGAGCGCUGGAGGCUGAAUAUGUUUAUUUACAAAAUUAUAGACAUGUCAAGGUUUUGGGAUGUUUUUUUCAUAGGUUUCUAUGUAUUGGCAAGCCAAGUAGCAGACCAGAUUUUUUUUUUUUUGAUAGGUAAAAUAAGAAUUAAAUUAAAAGCACUUGAAAGUAGCAGACUAGUUAUUGAAUCCUGGAUCCUUGUGUUUAGAGAUAUUUGUUGGGGACUUUUUUUUUUUUUUGAUAGAUAAACGCACAGAAAUAUAUUAAAAAGGGGGCAUGAAAGGCGACCUAGAGUAUACAGGGAGUAUACAAGCAUCACCUACAAAAACCGGAAACAAAAAGGACAAACCCUUACCAGACCUCAACAAGAACCCAACCAGUCCACAAAAUUAAACAGAUAUUUGUUGGGGACUUUAUGCCUCCCUGAGCUGCAUUUCAUUCUAAUCUUUGGUUGGACCUAUCCGAGUUCCUACCUAAGUGUAAUACUCUUUUUUCUUCAUUGUAUUCUUUCCUUUUAUCUUGAAGGAUACCUCAUCCUUCUUGUAAUUACUCUCUUUUUUUUAUCUCCCUUGCUGCUGCCUCCUCACAACACUCCCACAUAGCUGCAAGCCCCUGCCAAAAAGGGGGAUGGUUACGUGUCUUGGGUUGAGAAAUAAAGACACAAAGAGGUGAGCAAACUUGCAGAUAGAUUUUUGUCCCUUCUUUUGGAGGAUAAUUUUUCUUUAAGGAUCCCUACCUCCAACCGAAACUGCUGAUCACGGACCAAUGGCAUGCCCAUGUAGGUGGAAGGAAACUUAUCCACCUUGAGUUUUUGGUUGAGUCCAAGCUUGAAUUUUGGGAUCCUAUCCUUCCUGAAAAGCUUACUGUCAAUGAGAUUAAUUGUUAAUUGUAUUGAAGGAUCCUUUACUGAAUUUGAGGCUUAUCAUCCUAGCAUUGGGUUGAGUAAGUCCAAUAAUAUAGAAAAGGGUAAGCUAACUAUCUUCUUCACCACCGGAGAUCAGAAAGGAAUUGAGAGGAACAUGUUACAUUGUUUUUUUUGAACAGAUUCUUUCUUGUGAAUUGGAUGGAUUCUUCUUGUCUCAUAAUAUAUACUGUAUGUUCUGUGGAGGGGAAUUUAGGGGGGUUGCAUUCCAUUGAUUUUGGGUAGUUGGUAUUUCUUGUGAGUUAUAUGGAGCCUCUUGUCCUGAAAUGUAUGCCACAGGGUUCGAGAGUUCAUUUAAUGUCUUCCAUUAUAUCUUUUUGUCCCCUUUUUUUUUUUUUUUCAUUUGGAUGAUAUGAGAAAAUUACUCAUUACUGCUUGGAGAAUUGCUUCUUUGCUAAGUCCUUCACAGUACAUGGGAUUUGAUGUCUAUAUUAUUGGUGGCAUAAGUGAUUAAACAGUGCAUGAAGUAACCUAAGAGUUCUGUGUACAUGUUUUAAACUCAGGCAGGCCAUGGUUGGGAUGUGAAGAGUGUUGAUUGGCACCCUACAAAGUCCUUGCUAGUUUCAGGUGUGUACUUGUACACCUUUCUUUAAACUUCUUUGUUGAAAUCUUACUGCAAGAUGCAGAUCCAUACUCAUAUUCAAUUGAAUUGUCCUCUACGUAGGUGGGAAAGACAACCUUGUGAAACUUUGGGAUGCUAAAACAGGAAGAGAGCUUUGUUCAUUGUGAGUGCUUUUCCUUUCUUUUCUUUUCUUUUCUUUUUGGAGCAAAACUAUUUUAGUUUGUGAGUCAAAUUAUUUUGAGAAAUUGUAAAUCUCUUUUGCAGUCAUGGCCAUAAAAACACUGUGCUCUGUGUCAAAUGGAAUCAAAAUGGUAACUGGGUGCUAACUGCUUCAAAAGAUCAAAUCAUCAAGGUAAGUAACUUAGCUUUUUCUGAGGCUAUCUUUCCAAAUUGAAAGGAUUUGAAUUUGGACGCUUCUCUCUCUCUCUCUUUUUUAGGAUGCUUAUGCAUUAUUUCACUCUGCUUUUACAGCUUUAUGACAUAAGGGCUAUGAAGGAGCUUGAAUCCUUCCGUGGGCAUCGGAAGGAUGUGACUGGUUAGUGACAACACUUCUCAAAAACUUUUAUGCCUUAUAUGUGAUGUAUAAUGUUGACGGUUGUUAUGCACUUUUUAUUUGUCUCUACUGAUGCAUGUGAAAAUAAAAUGACAUCUGAAGAAAAACUCAGAUGAAUAUAUUGUCUCUUUUUCGCUUGCCUAAGCUAGUUGCAAAAAGGCUCGAAAAACUUCAAAGGGAUUUUCUUUGGGGAGGGGGAAGCACGGAAAGAAAAAUCCAUCUAAUCAAUUGGGAGGUGUGGUGUGUACCCAAAAGGAGAGUGGGGGUCUAGGUAUUCGGAAAAUUGAUCUCUUGAAUAAGGCCCUAUUGGGUAAAUGGAUUUGGCGGUUCGCCUUUGAGGAAGCAUUCCUUUGGAGGAAGGUGAUUGGGGUGAAGUAUGGCCAAGUGGGAUUUGGUUGGAGAACAAAGGAGGCCCGCGGAACGUUUGGGGUGGGGGUUUGGAGGGAUAUCUUGAAGGAGUCGUCUUGGUGUUGGGAUAAUAUAGAGUUCAAAGUGGGAAAGGGGACUAAGGUUAGUUUCUGGACUGACCAUUGGUGCGGAAAUGAGGUGCUGUCCCAAGCUUUUCCCCAGUUGUUUGCUUUGGCGGCCCAAAGGAAUGCCUCGGUAAAUGAGAUGUGAGAUUCUAGUCUUGGUCAAGGAGGUUGGAACAUAAGACUCUCUAGAAACUCUAAUGAUUGGGAGCUGGACGCCUUAGGAGAGCUGUUGCAUAUGUUGAGCGAUUUGAGGAUUUCUCUUGAAGAGGACUCAAUGACUUGGAAAGGAGGGGGACACGGCCGCUUUCGGAUUAGAGAUGCCUACAAGUUGUUGACAGGGCCUAAUGUCAUUACCUUCCCGAAAAAGAGCAUUUAUGAUAAUUCCUAACUAGCUGAUUGCUGAUUUUCUAGAGCUGAUUGCUGACUUACAUAUUUUGCAUUUUCUAACCAAUCUAUAAUGAGACUGACUUUGUAGCUCAUAAAAAAAAUAUUAGAUCCAGGGAAAUUUAAAAAAUGUAAUCCUUGGAUCAGUAAAGAAAGCUGGAAAAGAAAAAUAAGAUUGAACAAGUUAAUCUAGGUUGUACAUGUCGCUGAAAAUAUCCAGGAAUAAAGAUGAUAAAGAGAGGUCUCCUAUGAAAUUCGCUAAAAAGAAAAAAAGGGAAAAAGCAGCAUGUUAUGAUGACAUUCAGACCUUAUGUAAAAGUAAUUUGAGACUGGAAUUCUAUACUAAUCUGUCCCAGAAAACUCACAAUUGGGAAAAUCCUAGUGAAAGUAGAGACUAGGAAAGGAAAUGAUAUUCAGCCACUGUUAAUAGAAGUUCUGAUUAGUCACAAAUGAGAUGUAUCUGUGUAAAUACAAAAUGUUUUUUAUGUUAUAAGUCCAUGAGCUAUGGUGCUUAGGACUCAAAUAUUUUUAUGUUGGUGACCAGUUCCAGGAGUAAAGACAGCAAGGAAGGGCAUCUCCUACCAAUAUUCAUAGGAAAAAGAAUUACUUAUGAUAUGCCUGUGACUUGAAAUUAAAACCUGGUCCAAAAGUAACUUUGAAAACCUGAUUCCAGGAAAAAAUCCUUGUCGAAGUAGUAAACAUAUAUUUUAAGGCAAGACUCAAUAUUUGUUUAUGCUUUGGGUUGGCCUUUGGGCGCCCUUUUUUAUUAAUAUAUUAAUUUUCUGUGUCUUUACCCAUCAAGAAAAAAAAAUUUUGUUUAUAUUUACUGUCAUUUAUAUUUUUGAAAGGAUUUCUCAUCCUUCACUUGUACUUGAAAAUUCAUAUCAAUGAAUUGUUUAUUUUUUAUUUAAGAAAAAAAAUAUCUCAUGUCCUUUAAGGUUACUAUGAAAUUGUUUGGGAAUUGUAAACAGUUUUUUGUUCUUAAAAAUAGAAAAUUGUUUUCCAAACUUGAAACAUAUUUGGUAAUUUUUGAACAGAUAACAGUUUCUUGAGAACUUGUUAUUAAAAUAGGAUUGUUUUUGAGAGUACAUUCUAAUUGUUUUUACUUAUGUUUUGAGGGUUAUUUAAAAAAUAAUUGCAUAGAUAUGGAGAAUGAUUGAAAAUAAAGCAUUACAAAUAAAUGUCAUUUUUAAGAAAUAUAUGGAAACACAGAAAAUAGGUUGAGAAUAUUCCAAGUUCCCAAACAAACUUUUGUCAUUAAAAACAUUAGAUAACUAUUUUUAAUUGUUUUUUUAAUAACCGAGAAACCUUUCAUGGUUAAGUCCUUCAAACUAAUUUAAAAUUUUUUUCCAUAAAUUGUUCUCACAAACAUUCCAAAAUAGGCUCCAUGUUUUCCCUUGAAGUUGUUUUACUACUCCAAACCAUAUUUGGCGUGAGAAAGAUGGAGUGCUUUAUUUAUUUAUUUUUUUGAUAGGUAAAUUUUUGUCCCCAUUGGGGCUUGAACUUGGAACGUGAACGUCCCACAAACCCUCCCCAUCUCUUUACCACUUGAGCCAGGCCUCAAGGGCGAUGCAAUGCUUUAUAAGAAGACAAUAACAACUUUUAGUCACCUGCCAUGUAUCUUUACUUGUCAAAACUAUCUCUAUGCAGGCACCAUUUGCUGCAGCUUUUUUGGAUUGCCUGAAAGCUCUUUUUGACUGCUGAAGCAGUUAGCAUAUAUGUUACACAAAAGCACUUUAAAGCAAAAAAGUCUGACUCUUGGAGCUGCAAAGCUCCUCGCAAUGAAGUUGGGGGCUAUAUGCUUUUGCAAAAGUGCUAUAGGAGGACGUUUCAGAAUUUAAGGCCCUGAUUGGGAACAGUUUUUUGAAACAGUUUUUUUUGUUCUUUAGAUAUAUAAAAAGAAAAAAAAAAAAAGGAAAACACAUUUAACAACCAGAAAAUGGAAAACAAGGCGUUUUUAGAGAACAUUUUUUAGUAGUUUUCACUUGUUUUCUGAGGGCUAUUUUAAAAAUAAAGUACUACAUAUAAAAGUUACUUUUAAAAUAUAUUUGAAAAUAUAGAAAACAUGUUAAAAAUAUUUCAAAUUCUCAAACUGAUGUUUGUUCUACAAAACAUGAGAGAACAAUUUUCAACAACUGUUUUUAAGGACCGUUUUUUUAAAAUGUCUCCCAUUUGGAGGCUAAGUUUUUUUCCCUGAUUAAAUAUGAAUGUCUUUUUUAGGGAAACACCUUAUUGGAAGUUACAGCGCAACUAGACAAGCCUAUAGACUAGUCACCUUCAGGGCGCUACUUGAAUCAGAGUUGACUAUGGAUUGAAUCAAAAUAUGGAAGAGGAUUUGAGUAGACAUGGCCAAGUAUUUGUAAUAAGACACUUUAAGAGUGAUCUUCAAAUUAUGUGACUAGGAGAUUGGCAUAGGUCUUAGUGUCUUAUCAUCAAAAGCAAAAAAAAUCAAAGUAAAAUAAAUUUUGCAUGCUGAUGCUAGUGAUACAAGGGAUAUCUGAUGGGUAUGCGUGAAUUGUUUCAUAGUUUGAGUUACUUCACACUUAAAAUAGGAUCUAAAAUGUUUGAUAUUUUUCUGUAUUUUCCCUAGACUGUGAAUAUAGCAUUCAUGGUUACAUUUUUUGCUACCACAUCUGAAUGAUCAAAAGAAAUUAUUUCUGGGAUAUUGGGUUGCAGAAAUAGGUGUCUCUAAAUAAAUAGCAAUAUCAUAGUAACCGUGUCUUCAAGUUUGAGAGUGUGGUUAGAUUGUGGAUAAAUGUUAUGUGAGACUCCUUCAUUAUGCUUUAACCGUGGACAGUUGUUUUACCUAAUGAAUUUAGUGCUAAAUUGUAGCUGGACAAUUUCCUGAUGGUAAUUCAAUGUAACUCUUGUUUCCAAUGUUUGCAGCAUUGGCUUGGCAUCCAUUUCAUGAAGACUAUUUUGUAAGUGGAAGUUUUGAUGGAUCCAUUUUCCAUUGGCUAGUCGGGUAAUUUCUCUUCCUGAUCAAGGAUAUUCUUUUUAGUCAUGGAUAAAAUUAAAAAGAUGAUUUGUACUCAUUAAUGUAUCAGUUCAUUUUCUCUUGUUUGUUUGCCUCUUCCAUACCUCCGUUUCUUUUAUGCAUCAAACCCUUUUUCAUGUGGAACCACUCAUAUUCUUCGGUUGUUUCCUGGGCAAAACAUGGAACAAUCUACAGCAGAAAUAAAUGUAAAUAAAGGCCGCCGACUGUUGCCAUGUAUUUAUUUAAUCUAAUUGACACUGAUAUGGAUUGAUUGAUCAGAAUUGGGAUUGGAUUUAGAAGUAAGUGAUGCUUUAUGGAGCACAUAUUUUACAUUUAUUUUAUUGGCUUUGGUUUCUUUAUCAGAAUAUAUGGUAUUAGAAUAUGGUGGUUUUGGCUUUGAGUUCUUUAUUGAAUAUGCAUUGCUCAGUCGAUUAUAUUAUCUGAUUUCUAGGAACAUAUCAUAAUGAAUGGAACAAAACCAAUUGACAUUCUAAUAAGAUGACCAUAGUCAUAGUGGAUUAAAAGGCAUAAGACAAACCCUUGAAAUGAAAAGAAUUAUGAAGUUCUAAGAUAAAACCUAAAGGGACUAGCCCCAACCCCUCCUCUAAGACCUCUGAUUUGCUAUUUUUUGCAUCUAAAAGUUGCACCUAGUCCUUGACUGUAUUAUGUCUUAUCCUCAAGUUAAAAUGGGCUUAUGGAUUCUAUUUUCAUGGUGGAUGUUAUUGAUAUCAUUCCUUACUGCAUGUUUAUAACUGCUUUCAGGUCUUGUAUCUCAUUUCCAAAUACAUUCUUGUGAUUUACAGGCAUGAAACCCCCCAGGUUGAAAUUCCUGGUGCCCACGAUAAUAGUGUUUGGGACCUUGCCUGGCAUCCUAUAGGGUAUAUUCUUUGCAGGUAAGCUCUGAACUGAUUAUUCUUGUCAUUUGUGGUUACCUUGUGUCAUUUUUACUGCAUUUUCAGUGUGAUAUUUAGAGAUGCUGCUUUUGGAAGAUUUGUUUUCUACUCAUAAGUGUUGAACUUUUAACAUCUCUUUUACAGUGGCCCUUUUUUGCCAACACGUUUGAGAUUUGGCCAUAAAUCAUUCAAUUGAUAUUCCAAUUUUAUGAAUUGUUGUUUUUUCUUUCUUUUCCAAAGAAAUGUAUUUAUUUAGAAAAUCAAUUUGUUUAUAACCUGCUGUUGCUUAACUGCUGGUGGGUAAACAUUCACAUCUAGCAUAGGGCGCUUUGUUUCUGUUAAUGUAAUUUUAUUUGGAGGAUUCUGACUCAAAAUUCGGUUGACCGUUUCCAUUGGCUUUCAAUAAAUUUCCAUUCAUGAAGAUGGUAACUGACUAUCAAAAAAAUUAAUCAAGGAUCAGAAACUUGCUGGGGCUAUCUCACUAGUUGGGUCCAAUUUAGACUGCUUUAAUUAGUCAUGAGAACAUCAUUCUGAGAGAGGUUGUUGAUAAGAACUCCAUGUAUACAAAGAAAAGAGCAUGUAAAUUUAGUAAGUUUGUUUGACAUUAUUAGUACUGCAUGCUAGGUAACCUUUUGGUAGAGUUUAAGACAAGGAGACCUUGACUUCCUGCAGUGUCCAAAAAAUCUGGUUUAGAAUCUUGGUCUAUUUUUCCGAAUGUUGUAUAUUUGAUUUUUUUCUAUUUUCCAAGAUGUUUAUUCUGCUACCAUCAUCCUGUGGUUAAGGGAUCAAAUUUUUUUGGUUCCCACUGUAAGAUAGAAUCACAAAAUCAUCUGAUAAAAAACAUGAAGACUAUAUCUAGCUCAAAGUAUGACUAGAGUUUGAAUUAUGAAUUAUGUUCAUAGUGGCCUGUACCUCCUUGUUUUGUUUAGUUUUGAAUUUUAUUUUUUCAAAUGCAAUUUCAAAUUUGUUAUUGGUAAAAGGAGGAUCAAUGAUUGGUAAUUGUCAAGACAGUUAUAGUGAUUGGUUGGAGGAUCUUUUAUUGGAUGUUAUGGGCUUUGCUGGGGACUUGGACUAUAAGAUGAAAAGCUUUUUGGUCACUUACUAGGGUCUCAGAUAGGGAACUGGUUUUAAUUUCAAAGAUUUGGUAUUCCCUUGGUGCAAGGGUGGAGGAACAACUGAGUUCCUUAGAAAUACUGCACUGUGGCCAAUCUUCCUACUUACUUGAGUCUCAGUUCCAUGUUUCUGCUUUUGUGGUUAAGAGACUGAGGAGUUGUCUCAGGGAUUUCUGACAGGUUCAGAUGAUUGGUUAAAUAUUGAUGAACUGUGAUAAUUCUCUUCCUGUGUAAACAAUUGGAUUUUGGGGAUCUGGCUAAUCAUUCCUUUUAGGAAAGUUCUUGUUUGGGAAGUGGCAUUGCAGAUUCAACUCAGAGUAGACAGCUUUUUGGAUAAGUCAUUUGCUUUAAAUACAUUACUUGUGAGGUUGAGAUCUUAGUUAGGUUGAAAUGCUUUUCGAUUUACUUGUAUGGGAAAUGUCAUGCUACUAGACAAUGAAGUCAAUAGUUACUCAUGAUUUUAGGUUGGGAAAGUCAGAAGUGCUUACUAGGUUGGUGGUGAGCAAAGAGGUCCCUAAAGAAUAUGCUUCUUACUCAUUUUUCUGUUUCUACUAACUGGAGAUGGUGGCUUUCCAUUGGAACAGGAGAAUGUAGUUUCCUGUGUUGUGAACCAUGGUUCACGUGGCCUGCGGAGAGAUAAGUUCUUGAUCUUGUCUCUAUGAUUGAUGAUCAGCCCUAUACAUAGUUUGCAGUUCAAAUAUCUUUGUCACAAUCUUCUUUUUUGGACUAAGUGUGAUACAACAUUCCUUCCUAUUCACAGUUCUUGUGAUUUGUGGUUUCUUCCAUUUUAAGGCCUGUUAAUUUGAAAUGUUUAAUUUUCAAGUUCUAUCAAUUGCUGUGCUGUUCCGGCUUUACUUUCCUGUAUAGCAUCUAAUGGUUGCUUUUAUUCAGUCUAUGUAGCAUUAUUGUGGUAGACAAUGCAUGGAAGUUUUAAGUUCUUCUGUGUUAAUCUCUAUUGUGCUUAGGCCACUCCUCAAGUUACUAAACUUCUAGUUUCUCAUGCAGUGGAAGCAAUGAUCAUACAACGAAAUUUUGGUGUAGAAAUAGGCCAGGAGAUACCGUUCGUGAUAAAUUCAACAUGGGGCACAACCAAGGUGGUUAUUAUAUUCUCCUGAUCACUUCAUGGUAUUUCUUUUAAGCCAAGUUCAAAUUCUCUACAGUUCAACUUGUUGGAUUCUAUAACCAAAUGGAUUAUGCUCAGGAGUAUUUUUUACUCUGGAGAUCCACUUGAAUAUCCCAUAUAUCUUCUGCUUUGGUUUGUGUAGUUCCUACAAACUUCUAUGCGUUGAACUGUAAAGUAUUUGAAAUUGUUAAAAUCGUUAUUCAGAACUGGAAUUUUAUUAUUUUUAAGUUCAUUAAUCUGUGCUAGGUUAUGGUGAUCAAAACCCUGCACUUGGUGGUCGCAUGCCUGGUAAUUUCCCGGUACCUGAAACCCCAACAACUCCGGGUCCAUUUGCAGCUGGAUUGACCCGAAACGAGGGAACCAUUCCAGGUGUUGGAGUUGCAAUGCCAUUAACUAUCCCAUCUCUUGAUACAUCAGCUCAAGGAGAGCAGAAGCAGCCUCUUCCUGUUUCAAUUCCUUUAGGGGCACCUCCUCUUCCGCCUGGUCCUCACCCAUCCCUUCUUGCGGCCAACCAGCAGCAGGCAUAUCAACAAAAUCCUCCUCAAAUGCCACAACACCACCAGGCACUCCCACAGCAAAUGCCGCCUUUGCCUCUGCAGCCACCAAAUAUGUCACAGCUACAGCCUCCUUCCCAUUUACCCCUGCUACCACAUCCUCACUUACCUCGCCCUCCCCAGUUGCCCCCAAUGGGCAUGCCUUCAAAUAUUCCGUCUUCUAUGCCAGGAUCCUUGCCCAUGCCUUCAAUGCCCACAUCACUUCCACUGCAGAUGCCUGCUCCAAUGGUACUAAGCUGUGUGCAACUCUAAUUUUUAUUUAAUUUUGUAUGAUAUUUUCUCUUGGACUGGGCUACCUUUGACUGCUUAGUUUUUCUGCUUUUAUGGUCAAUGUGACUCUAAGGUUCAGUUCCUAUGAUGUAUCAGGAAUUUGUUCUUUUUCCUUGUUGUGGCCACCCGUUGGCUACAUAUCUUGAUCAAUUGGCAUGUUGAGCACAUAUCUCGUACACAAACAUUGUCAUGCCAUAUUUGUAUGCCAUAUCCUGUACCAAAACUCUAAUUUUUAUUUAUUUUUAUCUAAUUUUGUAUGCUAUUUUUCUCUUGGGCAGGGUUAACUUUGAUUGCUCAGUUUUUAUGCUUUUAUGGUCAAUGUGACUCCACGGUUCCUAUGAUGUAUCGGGGAUUUGUUCUUUUUCUUUGUUGUGGCCACCUGUUGGCUAUGUCUUGAUCAAUUGGCAUGUUGAGCACAUAUCUUGUACCCAAACAUUAUCAUGCCAUAUUUGACACGUAUUUCAUUUACAUUUGAAGUGUGCAUGUGACAUAGCUUUUCAGUGAAAUGGAGGACAUGCUCCUCCAUAUUGUGCUCAUGCCAGCUGCUGUUGAAAACUGUAUAGUGAAGAAGUGGAGGUAAAUCAAACAUUUUUCAGUUAAGCGCCCUUUAUGCAGAGGGACAUGCUCGGCCUUUCAUGAAAGAGUGUGUAAUUUUCUAGUGAAAUGUGCUAGUUUAGGGCCCCAAUUUGGGCAUAGUUACUGAUUGCCUUUUUAAAUUUAAAUUUGUUUAAUUAUUUAUUUUUUAAAUAACAAAAAGGUCAAUGGCAGAAAAUAUGUUUGGUGAGGCUCUAUAGUUUUCUUCUUUUAAGAGAUGAGUAUUGAAAUUGAAAGUUUAUGGAACAAAAACUUAAUGUUUCUAGGGGCAAAAAGAGAAAUAAAAAAAACAUGUAAUCCAAGUGGCAAUGCAUGUGACUUACUUGAGUUGUUGUUCAUUGAUGAUACUUUAGUCUUCUGUGAGCCUUCUCUAGAUCAAUUGACUUAUUAGAGUUGGUUACUUAUGUGGUUUGAGGCAAUGUCAAUGUUUAGGGUAAAAAAGUGAGCUGAUUUGUAUAGGGAGAGUGGAGAAUUUAGAAGAGUUGGCUCCAGAGUUUGGUUGCAAGAUUGGUGAGCUCCAGUCUUCUUACUUAGGCCUUCCCUUGGGUGCUCAGUUUAACUUUGUGGCAGUUUGGGAAUGUGUGGAGGAGAGGUUUUAAAAAGGAUUAUCAUUAUGGAAAAGACGAUAUAUUUCCAAAGGGACUAGGCUUACCCUAAUCUGUAGUAGUCUCUCUAGCAUGCCAAUUUGUUUUAUGUUCUUAUUUUGUAUUCCUAGGAAAGUCAGACUGAGGGUGGAAUAAAUUCAAAAGGAUCUUCUUUGGGGAGGAGGGACCCUUGAGUGGAAACCUCAUUUAGUAAGAUGAUCUAUUGUCUGCUAAAAAAAAGAAAGGGUGGUUUGGGGUGGCCUAGGGGUUAGGAAUUUGUUGUUCCUAAACAAGAUCUUCCUGUGCAAAUGGAGUUAGUGUUUUGCAAAGGAGAGGGUGGCACUCUUGCAAAGUGAAAGAGAGGUGGUAUGAGGUAGGGUUGUGGAAAGUCAUCAUGAAAGAUUGGGAUAUUUUGAGGUGUAGUAUGACCUUUUCUGUGCGUAAAGAGAGGAGGGUGAGAUUUUGGAAGGAUAAGUGGUGUGGUGAUAAACUAUUGUGCACUUCUUUUCCCUCCUUAUUUGCUAUUGCUUCGUCCAAGGAGGCUUGGAUGGAGGAUGUUUGGAACCAUUCAGCUGAAGGGGGAGUAUGGGCCCCCCUCUUUUCUAGGCGGCUCAAUGAUUGGGAGGUGGUUUUUGUGGAGUGUUUCUUUCAGAGAUUGCAAGGGAGGAGGGUAUGUUGAUGAUCAGGUGACUGAGACAAAGUCAAAGGAUGAGAAAUUUACUGUCAAAUCCCUCUACAAGGCUUUAGAGCUGAAGAGACAAGGCGCUUCCCAACAGGUAUAAUUUGGAACUCAUGGGUGCCAUCGAGGGUGGGUUUCUUUGCUUAGGAGGCUAUGUGGGAUAAGGUCUUAACCUUGGAUCAUAUUCGGAGGAGAGGGUGACCAUUGGCUAAUAGAUGCUUCCUAUCUGUUAAUCACAUCCUCUUGCACUAUGAUGGGGCAAGGGAUUUAUGGCAUUUAUCUCUAUUUGAGGUGUGAUGGGUCCUCCCUGCCUUAGUUAGAGAGACUUUGUUUAGUUGGCAUGGGUCUUUUGUGGGCAAAAAGCGGAAAAAGGUGUGGCGGAUAGCUCUCUUAUGUCUUUUGUGGACAAUUUGGAAGGAAAUAAACAAUAGGGCAUUCAAGAAUGAGGGGCGAUUGGUCUAAGGGCUUAAACUUUCUUCCCUUUGUAAUCUUUGCACAUGAGCUAAGGUGUAUUCAGUUUCAUGUCCUUCCACCAUUGAUUUUGUGGAUUUGUUGGGCUUUGCUUGAGUGCUGUUUUUUGUUAUUCCCUUUUGUUGGUGGCGCUUUUUGGUGCCCGUUGUAUACUUUCUAUGUACUUUGGGGAACUUUUCUAGAGUGCUUCUUUUUAAUAUACUCCUUUUUGUUUAUCAAAAAAAAAUAAAAUGUGGCAAUGCAUAUGAUAUUGUGUUUCUUAUAGUGUAAAAAAAAUUUACUUGGGCUCAAGUCUCCAACAUCUCUAGGAUGCAUUCCAAUCCUUUUUUCCUCGACAACUACUCUGUUUUGUUAGUCGAAGAGGCCGAAUUUUAUUACCCCAACUCUGGAAAUUAGUGUUGUUGGCCCUCUCCUUUUUUGCUCCCCCCACUCUCUCUCUUUCUCUCUGGGGUUUCAUUUGUAUAUGGCCUGCCAUAGUUCCUUGUUUGAUGUUUAUUUUUAUUCUUGAAUGAUCUGUGUGUGUGCGCACGCACAUGUGUGGUGUGUGUUGUGCAGGGAUUGCCAUAAUUUCUUUAUUUUCCAUUUGUUUUAUUCUUGAAUGAUCUGAAUGGUCCCAUGCUCUUAACAACAAAAUCAAUGCAGAUUUUAAAAUCAAUAAUGGUUCAUAUGGCCACUUGAUGUCCGUUAUAAUUUUUGAAAUUUUAUAAAGUCUAAUACCUUGAGUUUUCUGGUCAAGUUACUUCCAUAUCCAAAUAGCUUGCAGAAAUAUUGGUAUCAUAUUUGCAUAACCUGUGCAUGCUUGCUCCUUUGUAAUCUCAUCUGUGUGUCAAUCUAAAAUUAUUUUAUGAUUUAGUAGCAAUUUAGUAGCUCUUUUGUUUGUUUGUUUGUUUGUGUUUCAAUUUUUUUUUAUCAGUAUGCAUGUUUUUUAUUUUUUAUAUUUUUUACAACAUAUAACCAACAUGAUUGCCAAAUGUGUUUCCUAUUUUAUGAACUGGAAACAAAAACUCAAAACAACUUAUUUCCUGCUACAAAAUAGCAAAAUUAGCAAGUGAACCAAAUUCAAGCUUUGCCUUGGGUGGUUCAGUGAUUGAAAACCGUCCAUCUUGUAAAAUGGUGGAUCAGAAACGAUCCUUGCUCUUUCCAUUCUAUAAAAGAUUUUUAGUGUUUGCUAACCUAAGUAUAUUUCUGAGUUCAGGGGAUGCAAGGUGCAAUGAAUCAGAUGGGUCCCCCAAUGCCGCAAGGCCAUUUUAUGGGCAUGAAUCCAAUGCAUGCAGGAUCCUUACCCACUGGUGGUGUACCUCCUCCCAUUGGAAGUUUCCAGGGUGGGGCUCAAAUGUAUGCACCAGGUGGUUCAUUCAACCGAGCUCCAGCUGGACAAAUGCCAAUGAUGCCCGGGCUGAAUCCCUACCAGGUGAGAUGGACUUUCAUUUAUUGGUGUUAGAAACUGUUUUACCUUUCAUUCUUGGCAAGUAGAGAUAGCUACUAUCAGCUGGCUGAAUUUUUUUUUUUUUUUUUGGUAGCUAGUGUGAGUUUUAUCAUAUUUGUUUCUUAUCCUUAGACUCUUUGAAUGUAGUAUUUUUACCAAAAAGGAAAAAUUUUUGGUAGCUAGGACAAGUCAUUCUUCAUCCUUUAAACUGUUUGAAUGACAUCUACUGGUAGUGGUAAUUUUUAAAUGUGGAAAACUUGGAAAACCAUGCAGUUCACACACAAAACCAUGUGAAAUGAGAUCUGUUAAGACAAUCCAUGUGCUACUGACUGAUUCUUUUCAUGCAAUCCUCUUCUUGUCAUGCAUUUAUCUCCCUUUUGGUUUAUGCCCCUAUAAUUUAUCUGAGAAGAUGUAGGAAAAGGAAAUGGUAUUUGGAAUUCACAAACUGUGUUUUCGACUCCUGGUUGUAAGAUCUGAACUUUUCUAUUUCAUGUCUUCUUUGCAACCAAAUGGAGUAUAAGUUCAAGUUAGAGUUUCGAAUUUUCAUUUGCAUAUUAAAAAAGAAAAGGAAAUUCAAGUUGAGUUUCUCCUUAGUUGCUUAAGAAAUUUGGCUAUUCAAGGGAAUUCCAUCUCCUAAAUGCCAUGAAUCCUUUCCCCCUUUUUUACUUUGAUAUCUUUUUUGCUUGUUUAAUUAGUUUGUUUCUUCAGUUAGAUAAAGGAUUGGGGACAAGAUGAUGUCUAAAAGUGUUCGUUUCUCACAACAGAAGACACUUGUACUGGUUAUCUGCUGAAUGUUUGUGCUCCUGUUCCUUUUUUUUAAUUUUUUUUUAUUUAUGCCAUUUCCUAAUUCUUUUUCCCUUCCUGGUACUUUUCUUGAGAGUAGAUUGAAGGGUAGAAGCUCUUAUUAAAUUUCCAACUCAAAAGCUUCGUACAUGAAAAAGCUUAGACACUUUACUUAGGCCUUACUCUCAACUAAGACUAGACACUUUGAAAGGUAAAAGCUCUUUUUUAAGCUCAAUAAAAGCGUCUAAGCCUAUUUGGUUAAUUUUAUCCAAAGAGAUUAUGACUUAAAAAAGAGCUUAAUAUGGAAACCAGGAAAAUGUCGCUUCUUGUAGGAGCUCAGUUUUGGCUUACAAGUUCUUGCAUGUUUUGUAAAAUUUUUAGGAUACCGAUAUUGCCCUUUAAAAAUUGCGACUUUUAAAGCUAAAGCCAAAAACAGGAACCUAUCAGAAACGAAGCCUUAAUGUAUUAGUGGAAAUUAACUGAAAUAGUUUAUAAUUUAAUCCCUGUUUAUAUGUGUGGGUAGUUUUAACUCAUGAACCUGCACGUCAAACAUGGGGAACGGAGAUCUCUACAGUUAAUUUUCUUUCUGAUAGGCAAAUAAAAAAAUUAUUUUAUGUAUGAAUUCCUUGUGGCAAACAAAGCCGUGUGGAAAGUUUUGGGUCUGGAUUUUCCACUGCAAAAUUCUUGGAUUCUGAUUUGCAUACAUGAGAUUUACAUUCUUAUGUGGCUGGGUUUUCUGAACAGAUAUCAUUUAUAAUGCUGCUGAAUCUAAUUGCUACAUUUUUCUUAUUGCAGACCGGGAAUCCGAAUCCAAGCGGAAGCGGCAUGGGAACACUGCCAUCAAAUAUGGGUCAUCCAUCUGGUAUGGCUCCGCCACCACCACCACCAGGUCCGCCGCCGCAUGGCCAACCAACACAAUAGGACCAUUCAUGUGGGCAAUGCGGCAGUCAGCUGGGACAGAAGGGAAACCAAGAGUUGCUUUCUUUCUCUUUUUUCACUCUCAUCCAUUUUCCAUGGCUUGUAACAGGAUUCUGUUUAUUUUUGUUUGUUCUGUAUUUGCCCAAUUGAUUUCCCUUGUACACAACUAGUUAAAACAGUUGAUGUGAAUUUUAUUUACAACCGCUCCCCCUGGUGAAAAAGAACACUGUUCUUUUCUGCAAUCCAUGGAUUUAGAAGCCUUGAUCAAACGCUUUCUAACAUAUGCUGAUAAACAUCGGUUAUGGAUGAUUGGUUAGAAGAUGCUAUGAGGAUGUUUGGUUUAAAAUUAUUUUAUUUUAUUUUAAUUUAAUUUUUUUCUUUUUUUUUUUGGUCUCAAAAUGGAUAAACAAUACUAAUACUUGAAGAAAAAUAAAAAUAAAUUAAAGUAAAUUACUUGAUUUUAAUGAAAGGGAAAGGUCACGUGACAAAAAUAAUAUUAGGUGGCAAAUUGUGAUGGCGGGUGGAAAACACUAAAAUGAAGGGUAAGAUAGUAGUUUUAGUUUUUGAGAGCUCACAGUUCACAAAAGCGGCUGUCGGCUUGGCUCCUGCCAUCUCCGGUUCAUCUCCUUCCGCCGGCUCAUCGCUCCUCCUCCGCUGGUUUUUCAAUUAUCAGUCGACUGCAAAUGGUAAGAUUUUGAUUCUCUAUUUAUCUCAAGCUUUAGAAUAAAAUUUUAAUUGUUGAUCUGUUCGGUUGCUGAGAAAGACACGGAAAGUAAGAAUUUUGAUUAUUGCACAUACUCCGCCAAUGACCAAUACUCUCCUUUUAAAUCUCAAUUUAAUUUUUUUAUAGCAUUUUGCUUAAUUAAUCCACACGCGUCCUUAUUUUCUUUUUCCAUUCUGGUCUGGUCAGAUUCAGCUCCAGUUGUAGCUAACAUAGCUUUGUCAGGCGCCUAGUUGAAUGAAUCGGUACCGUUUUUGUUCCAUUAUAUUAAAUUAUGGAUCAUUUAUUGUUUAUGUCUAAGAUUUUUGUUUGGAUUGGAUUGGACUGGAUUUGCUGCUGUUGCUCCCUUUGGUUUCCGUGAAAAUGGAGGAAAACUAAAUUAAUUGAUAAAUGAAUGAAAUUAUGUUUAAUUUUUAUGGGACUGCUGGUGAAUUUUUUAGGGUUUUAUUAGGUUCAUCUCUCAUUUUUAUGGGUUUUAUUUUGUUACAUUAAUGGUUUAUUUCCCCUAGAUUCGUUUGGUUUUAGAAUCAAUGCCCUACCUGUCUUAAGAUUUGAUGCAUUGUAUGCAUUAUUGUUAGCAAUUGUUCAGUUUCAUUUUCAGAAAUGUUUCUUUGAGAAGAACACAAACCUCUUUGUAAUGUUUCUGGAUAAUGGCCCAUUCUAGAGAAAUUUUUUAAAUUAAACUCUCUAAAAUUAUGCGGCCAGACCACCAGUGGAACAGUAAAAAGCUUGAGCUCUUAAGCUUGAAUCCUCAUGUUUGGGUCUUGAGAAGGACUCUUCCCAAGACACUUCUUCCACUGGACAAUAACUUCUGAACUGAGAUUUCAAACAUGCGUUUUUCCAUGUCAUUUUUGAAAAAUGAAAAACAGUUUUGGGAAACAGAACUGGUGAAGUCCCCCUUCAUAUUCUUUUGCUGAGUUUCUUAUAGGGUUUUCUUGUUCAUGGAUUUGCAGUUGGGUUGCCAUAUGUUUUCACUUUGGUGUUCUUCCAUGCUAAUAUGAAGAUUGUUUUAGAAGUCUUCAUCCUCUGUUACUUGUUGAUUUUGAUAUGGGUGUGAUUGAGAUAUUUUUGUGCUUUUGAAUUUUGUGUUAUGCUUUUCAAUUGAAAGUACACAUUUGGAAGUGGGUUACAUGGAAAGACCUUGUGAUAUAUCACUAUCAACCUUAACCAUAAUGAUGGAAGAAUAAUGUAACAAUUGUGUUUUCCUUCUUUUUUGUUUUUCUUUUUCUGGUGAUACUGUUGCAUCACUGGGGAGACCUCUGAUUAACAGGAAGGGUUACCCCUUAAAUAGGAUCAUCCCCCAAAAUUUUCAUAGUUGAUUGCUUUCCAGAUCACUCUUUGCAAUGGUAAUAUAGACAUUCUAUGGUGCUUUUGACAGCUUUUGAUACCACUUCUUUUUUAUUAGGGUAGUGACCCUAAAUGAGUCAUGAAUCCUUCAAUGUAGACUCUUGCAUGAGUGGUUUCUGGGAUCAUGCAUGUCUUACAUAACCUUGAUUCUGUUCUUUUAAUCUUCUACUGAAAAAUACCUCAUUUCUUCUUUCAUGAUCAACUCUUUUCAAGGACAAGUCCUUAAAUGUCUUUAAGGGCUAAAAAACCUACUUGCUUUAUGAAAACUCUCUGUAACAAUCUUCUGUAUUUCUAUUCCAUCAAAUAGCCCAUAUGUCUUUACUGCUUUGGGAUUGUUCUUAAUAUACCUUGAAAGAAAAGAUGAAGUGUGGGUUACCUUGGGUGUCUUGUGUCUAGGAGAAGGAAGGAAAAAAAAGAAAAAGAAAAAAAAAGAAAAACCGAAUUUGCAAAAUGUGUGUAAUUACCCAAUAUUUAAAUGCAUAUCAAUUGCCUUAGACAAAAAUUACAAUAUUUUUAGCAGCUGAUUUUAUAGAGUUUUUCAUAUCACCUUUAUAUUGUCUUGGUUUACUCUUUUAAGUGGAUAAUCACUUUGUGUCUACUGUUUGGGCAUUUGGGUUUGGAUAAAAUUUUGGAAUUCCAGCGGUUUAUGAGUUUUGUGAUGAGACGACACACUUUUAUCCAUUUUUAUAGUAUCAUAACAUGGGAUCACCUUAAUAUUUAAUGGGUACCGUCCUAUAAUAUAAUGAGCUUAGGAAAGUACGGAUUCAAAUAGUGUGUUCGAGUUUUUUUUUAUUUCACUUAUGAGGGAUGUAGAAUUCUCUAUGAAAAUUCAAUAAGAUGAUGGAAGGACCACUCAGCAUUAUGUCUCUUGUUCGUACUACCACCACCACCUCAUUUGGGGUUCUCUUUUUAAUUUUAAAAUUGAUGCCUAAUAUAUAUAAAAUAAACUCUAAAUGUCCUUUUUGGCAAUUCAUCAAUACCAAAAGUUUAUUUGUUGUUGGAUAACACAUAAUUACAAAUACUAUGAAAAUAGUGCUUUCGUAUGAUAUCUAAACAUGAACUGCUUCUUCAUAAAACCUCUUCUACUAUUAGUAUUACCAGCAAAAGCGCUACUGACUAAAAGCACUCACCCGAAUCACUUCUGAAUUGGCUUUUCUUUCAUUUUUCUACAGUUGUGAUUUUGCUAUGCUUUGGAUGUUUUCACCAAAAAUUGAGUGAUGUAUUGGAACAUGAUUGUGUGACUUGUGUCCCAUCUACAAAAUUUUCUUUUAUUUUUUUCUACACUAUGGUGGAUGUAGUCAUAAACGGGAAUUCCAUUACAUGUUGUGGAUGUAGCUGUUGGGAUAUUUAUAGGUGAAUGAAAAUUAAGACAUACUGUUUUUUAAUUAGACACAACUCUUCUUAAUGGACACAAUUUGUGUCAAAGGAUAUGUCAAGUAUUUAAGACACAUCUCUUCUAAGAGUCACCAGAAUACCUAUAAAUAGCCCCCCACCCAUGGCAUUUCUCAUUCAUUCCAUCAUCAAUUCUCUCCACUUUUUCUCAUUUCUUCCAAGUGUUUGGUAUUCAAGAGAGUUCAAGUCAUCAAGUGAUUUGCUGUUUCUUGUGAUUUGGAGUGCUACUAUCAUAAGAAAGUGAUCGUUGUAUCCUGGGAGACGAUUGUCAACAAACUGUAAGCACUAGUGCGAGACAAAUUUGUCUUAAGGAUAUAGAGUCAAAAUCUAGCCUCGAUCAACCGUUUGUAAGAUUCAAUAUUUACUUACCUUCUCGUUUAUUUAUUAUACAUAAUUAUUUGACCAUACAUUUGUGAUAAUUCCAAAAUAACAAUCUUAAGACGAAUUUUUUUUUUUAAUCUUUUGCUUAUAUCUGUAUUUUUAAUACAGUUAAUAACAUGGCCUUUACAAAUAUUAUUGAUACCCCUGUUGUUACACCUACUACUACCCAUGGUGAGAAACCAGAGAAAUUCACUAGGUUGGACUUCAAGCGGUGGCAACAAAAGAUGUUGUUUUAUCUCACAACAAUUAACUUGGCCAAAGUGUUGCAUGAAGAUGCACCUACCUUAAAGGAGGGAGAGACUAACAAGCAAAUUGUGGCAGCAGUUGAAGCAUGGAAACAUUCAGAUUUUCUAUGCAAAAAUUACAUCCUUAAUGGACUUGACAACACGAUGUGUAAUGUGUAGAGUCAAGUGAAGACAACCAAGGAGUUGUGGGAGUCUUUGGAGAAGAAAUACAAGACUGAAGAUGCUGGCAUGGAAAAAUUCAUAGUUGGCAGAUUUCUAGAUUACAAAAUGGUUGACUCCUAAACAGUGACAAGCNNNNNNNNNNNNNNNNNNNNNNNNNNNNNNNNNNNNNNNNNNNNNNNNNNNNNNNNNNNNNNNNNNNNNNNNNNNNNNNNNNNNNNNNNNNNNNNNNNNNAAGAUGCCAUUAUAGUGAGUCCUUUCAAGUUGCAGCAAUUGUUGAAAAGUUUUUACCAUCUUGGAAGGACUUCAAGAAUUAUCUGAAACAUAAGCGCAAGGAAAUGGGGCUUGAGGACUUGAUUGUUAGACUGAAAAUUGAGGAAGAUAAUCGUGUCUCUAAGAAGAAAGUGGGAAAAGAUCCCAUGGAGUCCAAGGCAAACUUGGUGGAACCAAAGGCUAAUAAAAAGAGAAAGCACUUUGGUGAAGGUCUAAGUCAAGGGAAGAACAAAUACAAGAAGUUUGCUGGGAAGUGUUACAUUUGCAGUAAGCAAGGCCAUAGGGCCAAGGAUUGUUGCUUGAAAGGAUAAAGUAAGGAAAAUAAAGCACAUGUGACUGAGGAAGAGGAGUUGGCAAACAUGCUUUAUGCAUUGGUACUGUUUUUUUGAGGAGUUGGCAAACAACUUUGCCUGAAGAGGAGUGAGUCUAGGAAUGCAUCAUUUUUUGAAAAUAUUUUUCCGUGUAAAGAAAAGCAAGAAGUAAGUUCAAAUAAGGGAACUUAUGAUACUGCAAAUGGUAAUCAUCAAAAUGAGGAAGAACCAAGACGUAGUAAGAGAGCCAAGAAGACAAAGUCUUUUGGCCUAGAUUAUCUAACUUAUAUGUUAGAUAACGAACCCAAGACAUUCAAGGAAGCAAUGUCAACACCAAAAGCCCCAUUUUGGAAAGAGGCUAUCAAUAGUGAAAUUGAAUCCAUCAUGCAUAACCACACAUGGAAAUUGGUGGAUUUACCACCAGGAAAUAAACCUUUGGGUUGCAAAUGGAUCUUCAAGAAAAAGAUGAAGCCUGAUGGAACAAUAGAUAAGUACAAGGCUAGAUUUGUAGCCAAAGGAUUUAAACAAAAGGAAGGCCUUGAUUUCUUUGAUACAUAUUCACCAGUUACGAGAAUAACAUUUAUUAGAGUGUUAAUUGCAAUCACAACAUUGCAUAAUUUGGAAAUUCAUCAAAUGGAUGUUAAGACAACCUUUUUAAAUGGUGAGUUAGAAGAAGAAAUAUAUAUGGAACAACCUGAAGGGUCUGUUGCUCCUGGACAAGAAAAGAAGGUGUGUAAGCUGAUAAAGUCCCUAUAUGGGCUAAAAUAAACACCAAAACAAUGGCAUGAGAAAUUUAACAAAGUAACGUUGUCAAAUGAUUUUAAAAUUAAUGAAUGUAAUAAAUGUGUAUAUACAAAGAAUACACAAAAUGAGUAUGUCAUUGUGUGCCUAUAUGUGGAUGAUAUGUUAAUUAUUGGUAGCAAUAAUGAUGUCAUUAAAGUUACAAAGAAAAGGCUGACCAGUUAUUUUGAUAUGAAAGAUAUGAGUGUCACAGACGUGAUCUUAGGUAUAAAAAUAGCUAAGACAUCUAGUGGACUAAUAUUUUCUCAAUGUCAUUGCAUUGAGAAAAUUCUUAAAUGGUUUAACCAAUAUGAUGAUAGUCCAAUUAAGACCCCAGUACAUUUAAAUCUACAUUUAGCUAAAAAUAAUGGUCCAGCAAUUGACCAGUUGGAAUAUUCUCGUAUCAUUGGUAGUUUAAUGUAUGUCAUGAACUGCACGCAUCCAUACAUAGCCUACGCAGUUAAUAAACUAAGUAAGUUCACUAAUAAUCCGGGAAAAGACCAUUGGAAGGCGUUGAUUAGGGUUCUUAGAUAUCUAAGAUACACCCUAAACUAUGGACUUCAUUAUUUAAGGUAUCCGAUCGUACUAGAAGGAUAUAGUGAUACAAAUUGGAUAUUUGGUACGAAUGACUCAAAGUCCACAAGUGGAUAUGUAUUCACAAUUGGUGGCGCUGUGAUAUCAUGGAAGUCAUCUAAACAAACAUGUAUUGCAAGAUCAACGAUGGAAUCUGAAUUUAUUGCUUUAGAUAAAAGCAGGGGAAGAAGCAGAAUGAAUUCAUAAUUUUCUAGAAGACAUUCCAUGUUGGCCAAACCCAAUGCCUGCAAUAUGUAUACAUUGUGAUAGCCAAUCAGCGAUUGGAAGGACACAAAAUAGCAUGUACAAUGGUAAGUCUCGACACAUCCGUCGCAGACAUAAUACUAUAAGACAGUUACUUGCAAAUGGAAUUAUUUCCAUUGAUUACGUUAAGUUAAAGGACAACCUGGUGGAUCCACUAACUAAAGGAUUGUCUAGAGAUCAAGUAAACUGCUCAUCGAGAGGAAUGGGAUUAAGGCCUAUCACUAAAGAGUUUCAUAAUGGAAACCCAACCUAGCUGAUUGGAGAUCCCAAGAUCUAGGUUCAAUGAGGACAACUAAAUUAUGAAAUACUCUGUGAAGAGCACUAGGGAAAAAUAAAUUCCCACCCAUUCCUAUGGUGAACUAGUGCUAUACAAAAUGUGUUUAGGAUAAGCUAUGCUUUUAAUGAUUCUAAUAAUUUGAAAGAGUUCAAGUGGAGUAUGGUAGAAUACUCGCCAUAGGAAUCACCAAUGUGAGUGUGAAAUGGGGCCGUUUCUAUGAGAAUUUUUAAGGCUGAAAUUCUCUAAAGCACUCAUUAAACCGGGAAUCGUUCAGGGCUAAAAUAAACACAAUCGUGAGAAUCAUUGGUUAUUCGGAAAGGAAUUGUGUGAAUACUAUUGUCUUGAUUUACAUCAAUAGUUGAACAGUUCAAGACAUCACAUUCACUGAUUAGCUAGUAAAUCCGAUAGUAUUUCACUAAGGAAGGUUCAAAGCUACAAACUACCUAUCCUGAUGCAAUCACUUUCCAAUUUUGUACUCUCUUGAUUGUUUAGUUUUCCAUUUGCCUUUUUUAAGUCAAUUUUCAUUCAUGUGGGGGAUUGUUAGGAUAUUUAUAGGUGAAUGGAAAUUAAGACAUAUCGUUUCAAUUAGACACAACUCUUCCUAAUGGACACAACUUGUGUCAAAGGAUAUGUCAAGUAUUUAAGACACAUCUCUUCUAAGAGUCACCAGAAAACCUAUAAAUAGGGCCCCCCCUCCCCCAUGACAUUUCUCAUUCAUUCCAUCAUCAAUUCUCUGCACUUCUUCUCCUUUCUUCCAAGUGCUUGGUAUUCAAGAGAGUUCAAGUCAUCAAGUGAUUCGUUGUUUCUUGUGAUUUGGAAGAUGAUUGUCAACAAACCAUAAGCACUAGUGUGGGACAAAUUCGUCUUAAGGACAUAGAGUCAAACUCUGGCCUCGAUCAACCGUUUCUAAGAUUCAAUAUUUACUUACCUUCUCGUUUAUUUAUUAUAAAUAAUUUUUUGACCAUACAUUUGUGAUAAUUCCAGAAUAACGGUAGCGACAAAUAGGAAUGACAUUGCCAUUAUAGUAAUAGUAUAUUGGAUGUAGUGAUACACGGGAACACCAUUAUUAUUUUAUUUAUUUAGCAUCAUCAUCAUCAUCAUGUUCUUUUGGAUCAAGUCCAAACUCCUCACAUGUUGGACGCUUUUUUGAGGGUUCUGGGAUCUAAAUUAAAGAUGCAGAUGGUUGUACAUGGUAUAGGCAGCAUUGAAUUAUAUGAACCCCCUCGAUUGCAUCUUAGCCUAUCAAUCUUGCUGAAAUGAAACUUCAGUUGGAUUGGGGACAUAGAGGUAUUUGAUCCAAUUCUUUCCGCCAUAAAAUCUAGAGUGUUGGAAGCCCUGGGUUGUUCUAUUCUAUCAGUCAAUGAGCAAGGUUGGCGACAAGCUUCAAAGCCUCACUGUUCUUCAUGCCACAAUGUGAGGCAGAGUCAUACGAUAAUCUUGUACAGGCGAAUUGGAGAACAGAGCGUUUGAAUAAUAUUGUGUUGUUUGGAGACAGCUUUAGGACAUAUGAACAGCAUGUAUCAGAGUUUAGGAGCUCAACUCUUGUUGAUUCCUCAAGGCAUAUCUUGGCUGUUAGAAAGUUCACGCGUGAAUUUGCAAUCAAGACAGUUUCAGAUGAUUAUUUUGGAGCCUUCCAUGAUUCAAGCUGGCAUUUCUUGAGCCUUGUUGCUUGAGCAGCUUUGCAGUUCACAAGCAAGACUGAAUGAUGAUUGAAAACAAUCUUAUUUCUAAUUUUUCAUUGCAUUCAAAACAAGUUUACUGUUAUCUUAAUACCUGCAACAACCCGGAUCAAGUAGAUUAGUAAUCGACACUAUUUCAAAGUCUGUAUUAUCACUAAUAUGCUCUUGGAGAUGCCUCCAAUCUAUCUUGAUUUCGCACAUUGUUUCUCAUUCAUAUCUAUCACAUUUAUUUCAGAAACAUUUGGGGAGGUUGGCUUCUAGUCCAACCAAUCUACCUAUGCUGAAAGCAACACACAUUUUAUUCAUUACAUGAAAAUAUAUUUUAGUCUUCUCUUGGAAGCCAUAACAACAGCAGAGGAAAUCAUUUCUUGUUGUUCCCAUUUAGAUCGACCAGUAACUGAUGGCCGAAACAUUAGGGCAUCAGCCAGAUUACUAGGUGGGAGGGGAACCGACGAUAUGGGCAGGAUGUCGACACGUCACGUGACCAUGAUGGGCAUGUGGGGAGCAGCUUGGAGAUAUCCCGCCAUCCAAGUGUACAGUUUUAUCUUCUGCAAGAACCCAAACAAGAAAUAACUUUUGCAGGUCUGCAUAAAGUAGGUACAAUAACCGGAAACCCCAUGACCAUGAUUGAGGAAAAGUACUUACCAUAUGGAGCAACUUGGAUCAAUUCCCGCGAUAGGGUUUCCUGAGAAAGGAAGAGAAGUAAAACUGAAAGAAGAAUGCAAAUGGUGGGAGAAACCUUGUGAAACACCAUCUUGUGAGGUUGUAGAGAAAUUGUUGUGCCUUCCUCGACCUUUAAAUAGACUGAGGGAGAGGAGAAAAAAAUGAGUGUGCUUUGAGUGGGAAAAUGGUUCAGAAGAACACCAGUUGACGGAGGACCAUCUAGGAUUCCACUUUCAAGCAUCCUUGCACCUUCCCAAGUCAAAAAAAAAAACAAGUUUCCUUGCACCUUCCCAUGUCAAAGAAAAAAAAAAAGCAAGAAAAUUAUUCUCAGGUCUCCCUUCUAAUAAAUGAACACAGUACUCUGACAGCUACACACUCCCGUUCUUAUCUUUAGUUGCCUUUUUUUUUUUUUUUUUUUCCUUUUUGGUUUUUUCAUCAAUUCUUAGAUAGGACAACAAUUAGUUGUUGGUGAACCAACUUUUUCAAAUGAAGGAGCCCAAAGCAUACAAUAAAGUCCAACAAAACCAUGGCAAAAUCCAAAAGGGAAAAAACUUUUGAAGUUUAGAACAAAUUUCAAUAAAACCACAAACAAUACCAAAGCAGCCUCAAAUCUAUCCACAUAUAGGACUUUUUUGGUAAUUUAAAAAAGUUAUGUUUAAAUUAUUGUAGUAAAAAAAGUUAUUACAAAUAUAUGGUAGUUUUUGCCACCUAUGAGAGAGGAGAUGGAGAGAGGAGAGAGGGUGAACGGAUAAAUUUUUUUUUAAACCAAAAUCAUCUUUUCAAAUUUCAAAAAAUUUUAAAAGGGAAAUCGUUUCUUCAAGAGACGAGUUACAUGAAAAAAAAUAUAUAUAUUUAAAAAAAAAUUCCCAAAUUAAAAAAAAAAAAAAAUUCCUCGAGGAACUCGUCUCUUCAAGAGACGAGUUCCCAUGAAAAAAAUAUAUUUUUUAAAAAAAAAUUCCUCAAGGGAACUCGUCUCUUGAGGAAUCGUUUUUUAAAAUUUUUUUUUAUAAUAAUUUGGGAAUUUUUUUUUUAAUGGGAACUUGUCUCUUGAAGAGACGAGUUCCCUUGAGGAAUUUUUUUUUUUUUUUUUUUUUUUUUUUUUUAAAAUUUGGGAAUUUNNNNNNNNNNNNNNNNNNNNNNNNNNNNNNNNNNNNNNNNNNNNNNNNNNNNNNNNNNNNNNNNNNNNNNNNNNNNNNNNNNNNNNNNNNNNNNNNNNNNAAUUUUUUUUUUUUUUUUUUUUUUUUUUUUUUAAAAUUGGGGAAUUUAAAAAAAAAAAUUUUUUUUUUAUGGGGAAUUCUUUUUUGGAAGGGAGGGGUUCCCUGGGGGAAAGGGUUUUUUUUUUUUUUUUUUUUUUUUUUUUUUUUUAAUUUGGGAUUUUUUAAAAAAAAAUAUAUUUUUUUUCAUGGGAACUCGUCUUGAGGAAUUGUUUUUUUUUUUUUUUUUUUUAAUUUGAGAAUUUUUUUUAAAAAAAAUAUUUUUUUUCAUGGGAACUCAUCUCUUGAAGAGACGAGUUCCCUUGAGGAAUUGUUUUUUUUUUUUUUAAUAAUUUAGAAAUUUUUUAUAUAUAUAUAUAUUUUUUUAAUGGAACUCGUCUCUUGAAGACACGAGUUCCUUGAGGAAUUUUCUUUUACCACUCAAACGUCUUCUUAUUCUCUCUCAUGCGUAAUACCCAUAUUUUUCCUUAACUUUUCCUCCACUCAAAUAUCCUUCCAUCCUCUCUCUUAUGCAUGCAGCCAUAUGUUUUGCUCCCAAACCUAUUUAAUGUGGGGACCACAUGUUUUGCUCUCAAAUCUCUUAAAUAUAUGGUGGUGGGGUGAUUUUCUUUUCUUUGCCAUCUAACCACUCCUAAUAACAAAGUUCCCUUGAGGAAUUUUUUUUUUUUUUUUUAAAUUUGAGAAUUUUUUUAAAUAUAUAUAUAUAUAUUCAUGGAACUCAUCUCUUGAAGAGACGAGUUCCCUUGAGGAAUUGUUUUUUUUUUAUUUUUAUAAUUUGGGAAUUUUUUUUAAAUAUAUAUAUAUAUAUAUAUUAAUGGAACUCAUCUCUUUAAGAGACGAGUUCCCUUGAGGAAUUGUUUUUUUAUUUUUUAUUUAUUUUAUAAUUUAGGAAUUUUUUUAAAUAUAUAUAUAUAUAUUUUUCAUGGAACUCGUCUCUUCAAGAGACGAGUUCCAUUAAGGAUUUUGUUUUUUAAUAAAUGGGGAAUUUUUAAAAAAAUAUAUAUAUAUUUUUUUCAUGUAACUCGUCUCUUGAAGAGACGAAAUCUUUUGAAAUUUGAAAAAAUGAUUUUGAUUUAAAAAAAAAAUUAUCCGUUCACCCUCUCUCCUCUCUCCUAGGUGGCAAAAACUACCAUAUAUUUGUAAUAACUUCUUCUACUACAAUAAUUUAAGCAUUACUUUUUUAAAUUACCGUACUAUUGAGAAAAGUCCUCCACAUAUAACAAUGACGGCUAAUUCAAAAAGAGUUUUCAAAAUAAGGACUUUUGUGAAAGCUUCUUUUAACUUUUUGUUGGUAAUUUUUAUAUGGGUUACAAAAAUUCUAUUGUAUAUUAUCAUAUCUUAUUUUAAAUCUUUACCUUAAAAUAUGUGAUUAAAUUUGAAUUGUGAACAAAAGUAUAAAAGAAAUGAAAAAUAUAAAUAAAUGAGAUUAAUAUACAAAAGAAAUGGAACAUCAAUCUUGAAAAUGAAAGAAUUAUUUAUUUAUAAGCAAAUAAGAGUUAUGUGGCUAGCUAUAUGGUCAUGUUUAAUUAAUUGUCACAAAAAAGUGAUUUUUUAAUACUAUAAAAUAAAUUAUUUUUAUGUCUUUAGCAUAAACAUGAUUAAAUACAACCAAGAAACAACAAUGCGACUUUGUUCAUAUCUUAUUUUGUAAAAUCCAUGUGAAUCAAUCAUAUUAAAUCACAUGUCUAAUAUAUGUCACGUUAUGCCUAAGGCCUUUUAAGCAGUAGGUUUUGGCCUAAUUCUAUAAAAUUUACGGCUAUAUGAGCUAUUUAAUCUUAUUUAUGAAGUGAAGUCCACCCCCUCCCUCCUUCCCCCCACCCCCCACCCACCCACAAUGCAUUCCAUCAUACGUCUACUAAUUAGAAAAUGUGAGUCCACCCCCUCCCUCCUUCCACCAACAACCCCCCCCCCCCCCCAAAGAUUUCCAUCAUANNNNNNNNNNNNNNNNNNNNNNNNNNNNNNNNNNNNNNNNNNNNNNNNNNNNNNNNNNNNNNNNNNNNNNNNNNNNNNNNNNNNNNNNNNNNNNNNNNNNUCUCGCUCUUGAUCUCUAAUAUAUUGACAUAUCCAUAUCCUUCCCAUAUAUCUCUUACAUCACAAUACCAUAUCAUUUGAAUUUGGGCACCAAUCUUCAAACAUAUUCUUGGGUUAUCUGGAUGCCUAUAAAACAUGCAUGGAUGACUUUUUCAGAUGCCCAUAAGACAUGGAUGACUACCUAUAAUGGAUGUUGAGGGGGCUCUCCUAUCAUACCUCUUUGUGAAAGUGACACUAUGUGCACAUGGAAUAACGCCCAUAUGCUAAUACACUUGCAUGAGUUAAGAAUAGAGUUUGGGGAGUCUAAAAUAAUUUAAAAUUCAAAUAGUAAACUAAUUAAUAUUAGAAAUUUAUGGACAAAAUUUGGUCUUAAAUAAUUUUAUUAUUUUUCUAUUACAUGGAAUCCUUAUUUUUAUUUAUUUUUUCUAACCAAAUAAACUCAAAAUUAAACAAGACUUUAUGUAUUGGAUUUAUUAAUGAAUCUAGUAAUUUUUGAAAAUCAAAUAGUGAACCGAUGAAUAAAAAUUUAUUCAUAAUGGCUCUAUUUUUUAUUGCACAUAAUUAUAUUCAUAUAAAUUUUCUCACUAUAAAAAUAAACUUCAAAUUAAAUGUCACUUUGUAUUGAAUUUAUUAAUAAGUUUAACAAUUUUUAAAAAUAAUUUGGAACUUAAAAAAUAGAUCCAAUCAUUGAAAAAAAUAAUAUAUCAAAAUUAAUAUAUUAUGAGUUACGACUUUACUAUUUCUUCUAUACACAUAACUAUGUUUUUUCAAAUUUAGAUAAAUAAAUUAUAAAUUAAGCGAGACAUAAUUAAUAUUUUAAAUUUUUAAUAAAAUAAUUAAUUUUUAAGAAUAAUUUUGAAUUUAAAAAUAAUCGAUUUAAUUGAUCACAGAUUAAAUCAAAAUAUUCUAAAAUAUUAAGUUUGUAAGUCAAUAUUAAAUGUGUACAUGAAAUGAAAAACUUGAUUAAUUUAUAUGUUAAAAAAAUUAAAUUUUAUUCAUUAUUCAUUGUAAAUAAAAUAUUGUUAAAAAUUAUUAUUAUUCAUUAUUAAACAAUGAUGCAACUUUGUUCACUCUCUAUUUUGUAAAAUCUACGUAGAUCAGUCAUAUUGAAUUAUAUGUCUAAUAUAUAUCAAGUGGGUUCCAUCAUAAGAAGACAGAUUACAAAAUGUCACCUAGCUUGGUAUGUAAAAAUAAUACAUCUUCCACAUUACUCUCCAUUAACAUUGAUACUUAGUGCAUCUCAUCCUUGAUCUCCAAUAUAUAGACAAAUCCUGUCAUAUGGCUCUUACGCCAUAGUGUUGUAUUAUUUGAAUUUGAGCUCCAAUCUUUAAACAUAUUCUUGAGUUAUCUGCAUGUCCAUGAAACAUGGAUGCCUUCAUACCUACCUCUUCUGCUAUUAGUACUACCAACAAGAGCUCUACAAGCUAAAAGCACUCACUCGAAUCACUUCCAAACCUCUUUGUAAUGUUUCUGGAUAGUAGCCCAUUCUAGAGAAAUUUUUUAAAUUAAAAUCUCUAAAAUUAUGCAGCCAGACCUCUAGUGGACCAGUCAAAAGCUUGAGCUCUUAAGCAUGAAUCCUCAUGUUUGGGUCUUGAGAAGGAGCCACUUUAUACCAAAAUUCCGGACCUUAGAAGAGGACUCUUCCCAAGACACUGCUUCCACAGGACAAUAACUUCUGUACUGAGAUUUCAAACAUAUUGUAGACUCCGCAUUUCGGCUCAUCUCAAUGCGUUUCCCACUCGAUGGCGAGCUCGAUUUUUAUUUGAAAAAUUGAUUUUUAUUCGAUUAAGAAAAUGAUUUGGAGUCGCCACUUAUUUUUGUUUUAUUUUUAAAGGGUAAACAAAAUAAGAAAGAAAAACCCUAAAUGUGACUCCUUGUUUUGGAAAAGGUGGUCUGUUAAAAACCGGAUCGGGUUCGGGGGUCAGGUUACUUAUCGGGAAGGUACGGUACGGACCGUAGCACCCCUCUAAGUCCCUAAUGUCGGGUCUCUACUAAUAGAAUGAAGCUGACGUGGCAGUCAACAAGAAAAUCGAUGAAUACUCAAAUCGAUCAUGCACAAUAUGAGAAGCAAAACACAUAUAAAGAAUGAGCAAAAUAUGAAUAGAUGCGUACCUGGGCGGCAAUCACGAACGCGCUAUCAUGAAACAUGGUUAGUGAACAAUGAACAUAUAUAAUUAAGCGCAUAUCAAGGAAUAGAGUAAAUCGAUCACAUGUGGCCAAUGAAGCAAACAAUCAGUUAAUCAAUCUUGAAAUCUCAUAUGUAGGGCCCCCACCAAAGCCCAUUUUAUAUUGCAUGAAUUAAUUUCAUAAGUUCCAUUAAUUGGAAUUACAAAAUUGAAUUCAUGUUUUAUUUCAAAACGUUUUAAAAUUAUUGAAAUCAUGAAAAUUGCAUGCCGAGGAAAAUGACGAUGAAUUUUAUUAGAAAGUGGAUUUUUGAAACCUAAAAUUCUACGAAUGAACAAAAAAACUUGGAGUUAAGAUUACUAAAACACUCAAAAUAUUAUUUGAAUAAAAAGAAUUCGGAAAAUUAUUUGAGAAAAGAGAAUAUGGAAACUGCUUUUUAAAAAAAAAUUAAAGAUGAUAAGAUGGGGAAAAUGACACUUGGGUCAAAGGUGGCCAUGCCACGAGUGCUUUCCCGUGAGCUGUCUUCAUAUGAAUGUGGUGCAGCUUCCCUUUGGCUUUAUCUUCAUAACACUUACGUCAAAUAUCCGUGCAAGGGUAAUAAUGGAACACUAUACGUGACCUUAAAUUCAUUUUUCUCAUCUUCUGUACAUCAACGGGAACCUUGCCAAAAGCUUGAGCCACAUCAGUAUAAGACAGAACACCUAAUUCACCACAUAUAUUCCUUAUUUCUUCAACCGUCAUCACCGACAUGAGCCCAGUAUCGGACUGAUUUGCGGACUGCAUUAAAUCAAUAUUAACAUACCCACCAGACCAUGCAAACAUAUAUGUGAUCUCAAAACCUUCCUGUUGUAAAUGAGGGCGAGAGUCACGAACACACUUGUGUUCCAUUUGUGUGGUGAUGACAUGGCGCUGCUUCUCAUUGUAGAAGCGCACGAUGCCUUUGAUGGAGAUGCUGUUGGAUUCAAUGGAGUCAUUCCCAAUGGUUCAGGUAGUAAAAAUCAUAAUCCUCACAUACUUUCUAGGCAAAUAUUCCCCUUUCCAUGAACUGUCAACUGCAUGCUCAGUAUCCUGUUGCUUCCCAAAGGCUUCGCCAGCACUAUCAACUUCAGCAAGCAUCUCAGACGAUAACGAGAUAUAACUUAAGCGUGAACCAUAUGAUUCACACACAAUCACACCCAUAUCGACAUUCAUCCAACCCCUCUGAACACAAACCAUUGACAACCUUUAGCUUUCCAAACCGAUUUGAGAGCUUAAGGAUAGCGGAACACUUUAAUAAAUCUCUUCUCUCCCAGCCAUGUCUGAAUUUCCUUCCACAAGUUCUGCUACAAACCCAGCAUUGACCAAGAAAAGAUUUCAAGUUUGGUGGGCAUCUAAUGAGUAUCGGCAUGGUGGAAAUAUGAAUAGGGACGUGAAAGAUUUAAUGGGUAUAAAAUGGUGAUGGGAAAUGGGUUAGAUAUGAGUAUAGAGAGAUGAUCAGUGGGCAUGAAAAGAAUGGGUACGAAGAACGGGUAUGGUGGGGUAUGGAAUGAGAGAUUUGAUAUGAGUAUAGAGAGAUGGUCAGUGGGUAUGAAAAGAAUGGGUAUGAAAGAUAGAAUGAUGAAGGAUGCGUUUAAUGGGCAUUUUGAAAACCAAAAGUGAAGGCAUGUAGGCGGGUGUGAUUCUGAAGAGAGAACCAUUGGACUUCUUCAGUGGGCGUCGCCGGAGACGAAACUCGCGACUAUUGCUCCUCUGAGCUUCCUUAGCACCACGGAUGGUAUCAGUCAGACCCGAGAUCCUCCUGCAGCAGUGAACAAGGCAUCCAAACACUUGUAUCCUUCUCAAAUAUUCAUUCUGAAUGGUCAAGGUCAGCUAGACUGGAGCAGUUCGGUGAAGACAGCAGCAAGAUUGCACUCACGGCAAGGUGCAAUGGCAUCAGGUUCGUCAGCCAAACAUCAAUCAUAUAUGACAUAAAAAUCACAACUCAGAGCCCAUGAUUUCCGCCAUGAGACGACAUGAAAAUAUCACUCUUCUCAUAAACGAUAUAGUCAAUGGCAGUCAUGAAGGAGACUUUCUCUGAAAAUGGCUGUAGUUCACUAGGCAAGGCAAGGUCCUCCUUAUUGUAGAAAUUAGGAAACUCUUGAGUUAAUGGCAACACGGCUUCUUUCUCGUUGAUCUGUAUAAUAUCCUUAGUGACAAACUGAUCCAGAUCAACCACGGCUGUAGUAUUUCCUCAAGGUACAACUUGAGCAUUACCCUGCUUCCUCCCUAUCCGAGAUCUUUGCGCAAACCCAAACCAUCUGGAGGAGCUUUAUUCAUCCUCAACCCCCAUAAGCUUAGCUCUAUGAUAGCUUUACCAUGAAUCCCUCAGGUAGGGACAUACAGCCUGAUGUAUCACAAGGUAGGAUACCGAGAACAGGGGAAUGGCAAAACAAAACAGAGCACAAACCAAUGAAACCAAUAAAACAACCAGAGCCAUGUUUCAUGUUUAGACAACAGGCUUGGCUAUAGGUGAGUGAUCUAGAAUACGUUCUAUGGAGAUAAGAACAAAAUAAGACACCUAUAUGAUGCAUAGUGAAAACUAAAACAGAGCAGUAUCAUUCUCAAAUCACCCCAAGGAAAAUAGAUGAACUAGCCAUAAUAAAAUCCAUGGACCAAACAGGAAUCGUAAAACUGAACGUAUAAUCGAACAAAUCCACAGAAAAUAUCAAGAAAAAGGGAAUGAGACUAUAGUGUGAUAAAGAAAAUCCAAGGAUACAGGGCAGUCAUACCUCUCUUUUCUUCUUCCUCAAGCUCUCUGUCUUCUCCCAAGGCUCCUCCGGAAUCUUCUUUUCCUUUCGCUUGCAGCCUCCCAACUUUCUUUCUAGCUCCCCAAAAAAAAUAUCUCCCUCCGGUAGCCAAGGCACACCUCUCUCUUGCAGCUCCUCCCAAAAUAUCCUAACUGCAGUACUCCCCAAAAAAAAAACCUCACACAGCUGCCUCUCUCCCUCAGAAAGAACCUCUCCAAAAAUCUCCUCCUCUCUCUAAAGCUCUCUUCUCCACCCAACAAUCUCUGCCGAAACAGCCACCAAAAGCCCCCCUACUACUCUGCAGCCUCUGAAUAUCAAGCUUGCUCCUCCAACAAUCUCUGCAGAAACAGCCACCUCCCCUGCACCCUUCUCCUCAUGCAGCUGGCCACCCCCCCUAACGGAAAACACGCUCUCUUCUUCUAGAAGAAUCCUAUGCCACUUGUUAAACCUCCAUUGGCAUCCUAAAAGCAACAUCUGAUUCCGCACCAGCCUCUCAAGAGAAGACACGUGGUGGAGCAAAGCUCUUCCACGUGGCAAAAUGAGCAGUUGCUAGAAUGGCCCCAAAUGGGGGGUCUACACAUAUGCUUUUCCAUUUCAUUUUCAAAAAAUGAAAAACAGGUUUGGGAAACAGAACCGGUGAAGCCUCCCUUAAUAUUCUCUUGCUGAGUUCUCUGUAGGGUUUUCUUGUUCAUGGAUUUGCAUUUGGGUUGUCAUAUGUGUUUGCUUUGGUAUUCUUCCAUGCUAAAAUGGAGAAUGUUUCAGAAGUCUUCAUCCUCUGUUAGUUGUUGUUGAUUUUGAGGUGGGUGAUCGAGAUGUUUUUGUGCUUUUGAAUUUGUGAUGUGCUUUUCAAUUGAACCUAUACGUUUGGGAGUGGGUUACAUGGAAGGACCUUGUGUGAUAUCACUACCAACCUUUUUUAUUUAGAAAUUAGCCAUGAUGAUGAAAGAAUAGUAUAACAAUUGUGUUGUCCUCCAUUUUUGUUUUCCUUUUUCUGGUGAUACUGUUGCAUCAUUGGGUAGACCCCUAAUUAACACAGAGAGUUAACCCCUACAUAGGAUCAUCCCCCAAAAUUUACAUCGUUGAUUGCUUUCCAAAUCACUCUUUGAAAUGGCAAUAUGGACAUGAUAUGACGCUUUUGACAGCUUCUGAUACCGCUUCUUUUUUAUCGGGGUAGUGACCCUAAAUGAGUCAUGAAUCCUUCAAUGUAGACUCUGCCUGAGUGGUUUCUAGGAUCAUGCAUAUGUUUUACAUAACCUUGAUUUUGUGCUUCGUGUACUGAAUAAUACCUCAUUUCUUCUUUGACAAUAAUUUCUUUUCAAGUAUAAGUCUUUAAUGCAAUGUUAUCAAAGGCAAUCGCUUGGGUUGCCUAGAAAAUAAAGUCGCCUCUUGAAAACCCAAACAAGGCGGUUUCAAAGAGGCGACACCUAGGCAGUCGCCUUGGGAUAAGACACAAGGUAUAGAGGUGAUCGCUUUUGAUUAUGAGUUAAGAUUUAACAUACUUUGAUUGAAAUUUCAUUCAAUCUAAUAUAAAAUGAAAUAUUAUAUUAUCAGUCAUAGUGAUAAUGAGAUGGAAAGCUAUUAAUCUAGUUUCGAUGGAAGUAAUGACAAUUUUAAUUUCAAUUAUGACCAUAAUAAUGAUGCCCAAAGUUUCUCUAUGAUGUUCAUUCCCUUAUUUUGUUUUAUAAUACAAUUUUUAGUAGUUUGAAAAAGUAGAAUAUGUAUUUAAAUAGGAUGGAUAUCUCUAAACAAUAUAAUGUUUCUUAUGAUGUAGGAUAUAAUAUUUAACAUUUUGAAUAAUUAUUACUAUUUUGUUAAUUUAAUAAGAUAUCAUGAGGGAUGAAAAAUUAAUAGUGUAAUAGAUUGUUGAAGAUGACGUUUAUAUUGGUUAAGUAUCAAAUAGGUAAAUGUAUGUAUAUUUUUUUAUUGUUUUACUAUAGUUAGACUGUAGCCUUAUUUUUUGUCUUUCACCUUGGGUGAAAAAGAGUUUUAUUGCCUUGGCAUUGCCUUAUGCUUUUGACAAUAUUGCUUUAAUAUCUUCAAAGACUAAAAAGCCUAUUUGGUUUGUGAAAACACACAGCAACAAUUUUCUGUAUUUAUAUUCCAUCAAAUUAUCUAUAUGCCUUUGCUUUGGGGUUGUUCUUAAUAUACCUUGAAAGUAAAGAGAUAGUAUGGGUUGCCUUGGUUUUCUUUGUGCCUAAGAGAAGGAAGCAACAAGAGAAAAAAAAACAACCAUAUAUUGCAAAAAGUGGUGCAAUUACCCGAUAUUUUAAUGCAUAUCAAUGGCCGUAUACAAGCACUUACAAUAUAUUUAGAAGUUGAUUUUAUUGAGUUUUUCAUAUCACCUUUAUGUUGUCUUACUUUGCUGUUUUAAGUGGAUAACUUUGUAUAAAUGUUGGAGUUCCAGUGGUUUAUGAGUCUUGUGAUGAGACCACACUCUUUUAUCCAUUUUUAUAGUAUCAUAACAUGGGAUCACCUUAAUAUUUUUAUUGUAAAGUAUGGAUUCAAAUAGUAUGUGUUUGAGUUUUUUUGUUUUUUCAAUUUAAAGGGAAGUAGAUUUUGUAGGGACCCCUCCCCUUGGGAAACACGUGGCACGCAGCUCAUAGUGACGCGUGGCACGUGUUAUCAGCCGGACCAUCAUCAUCCGGAUUCCCUUAAGGAUAUGCAUGGUGCAGUUAUCCUAUCCGGACCGCUUCAAGGAAAGGCAAACGACGUUUCAUCUUCUCCUAUCCAAGGAAGAGCAAACGACGCUGGCAGAGCGUACACAUCCGGAUAGCCUCCACAACACAUCCGGAUAAUCAGCAUGAGCCAUCCGGAUAUAAAUCUUCUGGAUGGUCAAUUAAAGUAAAGCGAGUCUUACACGCAAUCACAACAAGCAGCCAUGGCCCACAUCCCAUCACCUGCAGAAUGAGAAGACAAGAGGAAGUGACAGCAAGUCACUUCCCACGAUCAUUCUGCAUAAUCGCUUCCCACGAUCUCUGACGGCCGCAUCACCUACCAUAGUCUCUGACAGCCAUUCGUAGGAUGAUAGUGCUCCUACUAACACCUAUUGUCAUCAUCACAACAGAAAAGAUCUCCUCACCAUUAAUGAGAGGAACAGUACCCCUGAAGCUGGAUAUAUAUACCUUCGCACGAAGAAGAAAAGGGGACCUCCUGGUAAUCUCUUGAUACCUAGAAAAAGGCCAACUGAUUUAUAUAUCUCUUUCUCACCAUGGCUAACAAAACCAUCGGAGGGUGCGUCCGGACACCCUGUCCGGAUGCCUUUUGCAGGUGCAACCACUGAAUCAAGAACCCCUUGUGUGUUGAGAAUCACGUAUCCAUCCAUAUAGCAGCAACGUGGACCAUCGGGUACGCGAGGCGACAACAUUGGCGCCGUCUGUGGGAAACUUCUACUUUUUAUUUUGAUUCAGUCACUAGCAAAGAUGGCCACACCUUCCCAAAGUCGAUCAUCUGGUAGAGAGGAAGAAGAUAAUUACGAAUGGCGUCAAGCCAUCGAAAAAAGACAGUUGGCGAGCGAAAAACAGCUAAAAGCUCUCCUCCAGGAGACGGAGAGGUUAAGGGAAGAAAACGCUGUGUUACGCAUUCAAGCCUCAACAUCAGGACCUCCUCGUCGUCAGCGCUCAAAAGGCCAGGUGGCAAACUCAAAGCCAGAGCCAGAAUCAAUAUAUCCUGGGUCAACAGGAGCUAUCCCAGGAACGUACAACGCAAGGCCCUAUGAGCCACGCACACCCAUGCCUCGAGCUCCCCGUGAGGAAAGCUCAGAUUCCACUCAUUUCUCAGCAAAAAGACAGCGUGAUAGAAAAUCACAGUUGUCAAGUUCUAUGCGCGCAAGACUAGGCCCACAAGAGCCUGGGAGAUCAAGGCCACCAGCAGCCACAACCCGGGCGCCACGCCCCGAUCCUAUGAUCGCUCCCAUGGUGCAGAACGUACCUCCGCAUCGUGACCCCAUGGUCACCCCAGCGAUGCGGAACGUUCACUCACACCUAGCGGAACGACCAGCUGGGAGAAACCUUCCAAACGAGCCACCCAUUGGCUCCAUCAGCAAAAGGCUGGAUGACAUGCUCUCCACGCCCUUUUGCUCUCAUAUCACUCAUUACGAACCCCCAAGGGGAUUCCUCGUACCGAAGUUUUCCACAUAUGAUGGGACCAACGACCCCUUCGAUCACAUCAUGCACUAUCGACAGCUUAUGACGCUCGAUAUUGGNNNNNNNNNNNNNNNNNNNNNNNNNNNNNNNNNNNNNNNNNNNNNNNNNNNNNNNNNNNNNNNNNNNNNNNNNNNNNNNNNNNNNNNNNNNNNNNNNNNNNNNNNNNNNNNNNNNNNNNNNNNNNNNNNNNNNNNNNNNNNNNNNNCAUGCACUAUCGACAGCUUAUGACGCUCGAUAUUGGCAACGAUGCAUUGUUAUGCAAAGUAUUCCCCGCCAGCCUUCAAGGGCAGGCCCUCUCAUGGUUUCAUCGCCUACCUCCUAACUCUAUUGACAAUUUCAGGGACCUCUCUGAAGCAUUCGUGGGACAGUACUUGUGCUCUGCUCGACACAAGCAGAAUAUCAGCACCCUCCAGAACAUAAAAAUGAGAGACAACGAAUCAUUGAGGGAAUUUGUGAAACGAUUUGGCCAAGCCGUACUCCAAAUAGAGGUUUGCAGCAUGGAUGCUGUCCUACAAAUCUUCAAGAGAAGCAUUUGUCCAGGCACUCCAUUUUUUGAAUCACUGGCAAAAAAGCCUCCUACAACGAUGGACGAUUUGUUCAGACGUGCUAACAAAUAUUCAAUGCUCGAAGAUGACGUGCGUGCAGCCACUCAACAAGUAUUGGUUGCCGGACGGGCUUCUAGAGAUAACGCGGACAGGCAUGCCAAGCCUCCGGACCGUCCAAAACCAGUUGACCGGAGACAGGACGGGCCGAGUCGUCCGAAUAGGUCGCCCGUCACACCCCUAUCCGUAUCAUACGAAAAACUUCUCCCAAUGAUCCAGGGGUUGUCCGACUUCAGGUGGCCUAGACCCCUCGAAACGGACCCAUCCAUAAGAGACCGCAGCAAGAAAUGCGCCUUCCACAAAGACCAUGGUCAUACAACAGAGACGUGUCGAUCCCUCCAGUAUCUAGUUGAAAGGCUCAUCAAAGCAGGACAUCUAAAACAGUACCUCCGCUCAGAUACUGGAGGAAGGGACGUAUCUCAGCAUCAUAACUCUGAGGCCCCGAGGGCCCCAGUCGCCCCCAAGGCUGUGAUAAACUAUAUCAAUGGGGGCCCGUCUGACGAGGAAUACGGUUCCAGGCGUAAAAGGCAGAAAUUGCUGCGGGCCGCGUCAAUACGCGAGCGCAUUAAUUCCAUCCGGCCGGGUCUUACUGGAGAGGGCCCUCGCCCCAUAGAUGGGACAAUCAUUUUCCCACCAGUAGAUCCCACCCGGACGCUACAGCCACAUCGCGACGCCCUCAUCCUCUCUCUAGAAAUAGGAGAUUUUGAUGUAAGACGUAUCUUGGUUGAUCCAGGCAGUUCAGCCGAUCUAGUACAAGCAUCAGUCAUUGGCCAUAUGGGACAUGGUCUCGCGGGUCUCGAAAACCCCGGACGAAUCCUAUCCGGAUUCAACGGAUCAUCAACAACAUCCUUAGGAGACAUUAUACUGCCGGUUCGAGUUGGACCAGUCAUUCUCAACGUGCAAUUCUCGGUGGUGCAAGAAUUGUCACCCUUCAAUAUCAUCUUGGGACGCAUAUGGCUUCACUACAUGAAAGCCAUCCCUUCCACAUAUCAUCAAAUGGUGAGUUUCCUCACCAAUGAAGGGCAAACUGACUUGUAUGGCAGCCAGUUAGCCGCUCGCCAGUGCUACCAAAUAGCACGUGAAGCAGUCGCUAACCAGGAGGAUGCAUCUCCCCCUGAACCUAGCAUUGCGCGCGACCAAUAGCAAUUAUUGGGUCCGGUGGACAAGGAUCCCCCGGUAGCAGAUCCUUUACAAACAAUCCAAAUCUCAGAAGAGAAUGAUCACCUCACAAACAUCAGUUCCCUCAUGACACAAGAAGAAACCCAGAGCAUACAGAAUAUCCUUCGAAGUAACCAUGACAUCUUCGCAUGGACACAUUCGGAUAUGAAGGGAAUUCAUCCCUCUAUCGCCUCUCACAAGCUUAACGUCUUUCCAGCAGCCAGACCCAUUCGACAGAAGAUUAGACGAUUUCACCCGGAUAGACAAAGAGUUAUCCAAGAUGAAAUUAACAAAUUGUUGGAAGCCGGAUUCAUCAGAGAGGUAUCUUANNNNNNNNNNNNNNNNNNNNNNNNNNNNNNNNNNNNNNNNNNNNNNNNNNNNNNNNNNNNNNNNNNNNNNNNNNNNNNNNNNNNNNNNNNNNNNNNNNNNCCAUUCGGACUCAAAAACGCUGGCGCCACGUAUCAAAGAUUGAUGACUAAAAUCUUCAAACCUCUGAUAGGCCGCUCGGUCGAGGUAUACAUUGACGAUAUCGUGGUUAAAAGCAAAACUCGAGAGCAGCAUAUCCUCCAUUUACAAGAAGUAUUUUACCUCUUGCGAAAGUAUGACAUGAAGCUAAAUCCUUCCAAAUGUGCCUUUGGCGUGAGUGCUGGCAAAUUUCUGGGAUUUAUGGUCAGCCAAAGAGGCAUAGAAGUCAGCCCGGAUCAAGUCAAAGCAGUCAUGGAGACACCUCCUCCCAGGAACAAAAAGGAGUUACAACGCCUCACAGGUAAGCUCGUUGCGUUAGGACGUUUUAUAGCCCGCUUCACUGAUGAGUUGCGACCCUUCUUCUUAGCGAUACGAAAAGCUGGAAAGCAGGGAUGGACGGACAAUUGCCAAAAUGCGUUGGAAAGAAUUAAACACUGUCUUAUGCAUCCGCCCAUCUUGAGCAGCCCCAUCCCAAAGGAGAAGCUAUAUAUGUAUUUAGCUGUCUCAGAAUGGGCAAUCAGCGCCGUUCUAUUCCGCUGCCCUUCGCCAAAGGAGCAGAAACCUGUCUACUAUGUCAGCAGAGCUUUGGCAAAUGUAGAAACCAGGUAUUCAAAAAUGGAGCUAACAGCCUUAGCUCUUCGAAGUGCUGCUCAAAAGCUCCGCCCCUAUUUUCAAGCCCACCCAGUGAUUGUACUGACCGACCAGCCCCUUCGUAGCAUUCUCCACAAGCCAGAUUUAACUGGGCGAAUGCUACAAUGGGCCAUCGAAUUGAGCGAAUUUGGAAUCGAAUUCCAACCCAGAUUAUCCAAAAAAGGCCAAGUAAUGGCCGACUUCGUGCUCGAAUAUUCACGAAGACCCGACCAGCACCACGAAUCAGGUGAACAGGAGUGGUGGACUCUACGAGUUGACGGAGCCUCACGCUCAUCAGGCUCUGGAGUUGGGCUCUUAUUGCAGUCCCCAACUGGGGGACAUCUGGAGCAGGCCNNNNNNNNNNNNNNNNNNNNNNNNNNNNNNNNNNNNNNNNNNNNNNNNNNNNNNNNNNNNNNNNNNNNNNNNNNNNNNNNNNNNNNNNNNNNNNNNNNNNNNNNNNNNNNNNNNNNNNNNNNNNNNNNNNNNNNNNNNNNNNNNNNNNNNNNNNNNNNNNNNNNNNNNNNNNNNNNNNNNNNNNNNNNNNNNNNNNNNNNNNNNNNNNNNNNNNNNNNNNNNNNNNNNNNNNNNNNNNNNNNNNNNNNNNNNNNNNNNNNNNNNNNNNNNNNNNNNNNNNNNNNNNNNNNNNNNNNNNNNNNNNNNNNNNNNNNNNNNNNNNNNNNNNNNNNNNNNNNNNNNNNNNNNNNNNNNNNNNNNNNNNNNNNNNNNNNNNNNNNNNNNNNNNNNNNNNNNNNNNNNNNNNNNNNNNNNNNNNNNNNNNNNNNNNNNNNNNNNNNNNNNNNNNNNNNNNNNNNNNNNNNNNNNNNNNNNNNNNNNNNNNNNNNNNNNNNNNNNNNNNNNNNNNNNNNNNNNNNNNNNNNNNNNNNNNNNNNNNNNNNNNNNNNNNNNNNNNNNNNNNNNNNNNNNNNNNNNNNNNNNNNNNNNNNNNNNNNNNNNNNNNNNNNNNNNNNNNNNNNNNNNNNNNNNNNNNNNNNNNNNNNNNNNNNNNNNNNNNNNNNNNNNNNNNNNNNNNNNNNNNNNNNNNNNNNNNNNNNNNNNNNNNNNNNNNNNNNNNNNNNNNNNNNNNNNNNNNNNNNNNNNNNNNNNNNNNNNNNNNNNNNNNNNNNNNNNNNNNNNNNNNNNNNNNNNNNNNNNNNNNNNNNNNNNNNNNNNNNNNNNNNAAGGGAAGUGGGUGGAGGAACUACCCGGCGUCCUGUGGGCCUAUCGAACCACACCCGGACGACCAACAGGAAAUACUCCUUUUGCCCUCACAUAUGGAAUGGAUGCAGUCAUUCCCACUGAAAUAGGUCUUCCUACUAUCCGGACUGAUGCAGCAAAGCAAAAAGACGCCGACACGGAACUAGGAAGAAAUUUGGACUGGGCAGACGAAGUCAGAGAAAGCGCAUCCAUCCGGAUGGCAGAUUAUCAACAAAGAGCAUCAGCGCAUUACAAUCGAAAAGUCAGGCCCAGAAACUUCAAAAAUGGUACGCUAGUACUUAGAAAAGUUUUUGAAAAUACUGCUGAAGUAGGCGCAGGAAAAUUCCAAGCCAAUUGGGAAGGACCCUACAUAGUGUCUAAGGCAAAUGAAAAUGGAGCCUAUCAUUUACAAAAGCUAGAUGGCACUCCGUUACUCAGACCAUGGAAUGUGUUUAAUUUAAAGCAGUAUUAUCAGUAGAAAGUGUACACAAGUGCAAAUGAGAAAGAAGUAAGUUUUAUUGAUAUGAGUAAAUGUAAUUACAAAGAGACAUCCGGACUACAAAAAUAUACAGAAGGAAAAAUUACAGCAGAAAAAUUGCAAGAAGAGAUAAACUAUCAGGGAGCAGGUUUCUCAUGGAGCUUCUUUUCUUCACUUGGAGGAAUUGAAGGGGUAUCUCGCUUUAUACCGUUCUUCUUCAUGCAGCAGCGAUACCCAAAUAUAAAUGUAUCAUCCACUUGUUUCUGGUAAUCCGCUGCAAGUUCCUCCCUUUCCACAGCAAACUCCCGUUCAAGUUCCUCUUUUUGCACAUCCAAACGCAGCUGCAAGUCUUCCUUCUGUUUCUUUUCAUUCAAAACUUCUGUCCGGAGUCGACUCAAUUCAUCCCUUAGCCGGGCUGCCUCACCCUCCGCCUCAUGAAGGCGGCCCGCAAUUGAUUCUUCUCGACCCUUUGCCUCACCCAACUCCACCCGGAGGGCUUCAUUUUCCUCUCGCAUGGUGGAUAGACUGGCCUCAGCCUCCUCCAUCCUCAGACGCAGUUGAUUUUCAAUCUCUUGGUGCCGAGAGGAGAAGGUCCUCAUAUAGUCUGCAGUCUGCAGCAGCUGAGUAAAAAGAGCGUGUUGUUGAGACAUGCUGCGGAGGCCCCUCACCAGCUAACACACAAACAAGAAAAGCAAAAACAUAAAUCAUACUACAACAAACACAUCAGUGCAACAAAAAGUCAAAAAGCAAAAACACAAGACAACGGUGUACCGUUUCUAUCAUAUCAAACAUCUUAGCAGAGGGCUUGAUGGCUUUCCAGUCAGGAGUAAUCUGCUUUAACUUAGCUUCCAACUCCGCGUAGCUGAAAGGGCUAGCGGGAGCGGCGUCAUCAGCAGAUUCCUCCUCAGAUGAGGAAGGAGAGGGUAGCUCGUGUCCCGGAAUCGGAGCCCCCAUAUUUUCAUCCGGGCACAUAGGUCCGGAUGCAUCCUCAGCCGGAAUUAUUGCCGGAGCGGCUGAGGUCUCAGUAGCCAUCUCCACCUCGCCUCCAUCCGGAUGAGCGUCAUGGGCAGAAGCGCAGCUAAUUUCAAUCUCUUGCUGCCGCUCUUGAAGCCGCUCAAAGAGUCCGGACUGUAGAUCGCGCGUCAAACGCGGCUUCUUGAGGGGAGGCCCUUUCACCAGGACUAUAGCCAGGCGAUCCGGGUCGUCGGAAGGCUGACUUUGGCUUUCUGCUCCCGCUUCCUCCAACGGGGCCGUUUCAGCUGCAUCAGCAUCCGGAUUAAGGUUGCCCGGACGGUUGAUGGAUGCAGCUUCCUCAGCCACGUUAGCCAGACGCGCAGCCGCCACCAAGGAAGGACCUGAGUGAUUCAACCCCGACAUGCGUCCGGGGCCGCUUGAGAUAGAGUGCGGAGCAGCAUUUACUGGCUCCUCUAUCAAUACUUCCCCCUCAUAGGUAGUUUGGGGAGGAGGGAACUCCUUGGGAGGAGUGGGUUCCUUCACAUCCUUCCCAUGCUUCUUCACUAGCUUCCCCCUCUUGCCUGGAAUUUUCUUCGAAGGAGGGUCCGGCCCCCCCUUCUGUCCGGGAGCCUUCCGGAUAGUGCCUUCAGUCUUUUUCUGAUCUCUAUCCUCCAGGAGCUUUCGCCGCCUUUCAGCGUCAGCCUCUUUAGCUUCCUGAUAGAGGGGGAGCUCCUUCACUGUAUAAUGCUCCCCAGGCACUAUCUCAUCCUUUGCCAGUUUCCUAGGAAGAAUAUUGAUAACAUAUUCCUGAGGCUCCCGGACGACCUCUGUCAAAUUCCGCGCGGAGAGCAAUGUUUUGUAGGCCCUCUCCUUGGGGUCUAUUUCAAAUAAUUUGCAGACGCAGGCAAAGGACGCCUUUUCCACCCAAUCCACAAGGUGGCCCCUCAAUUCCAAACCUGCAUUGUCAGCAGCAAAAGGUGAAAAUUCUGUCCGGAAAAAUCAGAAAAAAUCAGCAAAGCAAAAUCCGGAUAAAAAAUCGCAAAACAAGAUUACCCGGAAUUUUUAAGCUAUAAUUCGGAGAAAAAGGCCUCGACGGAUGCUGCGAUAGCCCCGCCCAUCCACCCCAGACUGCCACCAGCCCCUUCGCCCCUCCCUUUGUCGAAUCUGGCAGUUCUGUCACCAUUUGAAGGGAGGGCAGGUGAGCGGACACACUGAAGAUAUCAUUCUUUGCUUUCUUCAGGGAAUAGACAAAGAACAAUUCCAGUAGCGUAAGGUCGAGGCUGUACAGCAUGUUGAUAAUGCUGCAUCCCAUCAGCACCCGGACAAGGUUGGGAUGAAUGAAGAUGGGUGGAAUCUGAGAGAAGUGGAGGAAUUCCUUGAACAAGGCUGGCAGAGGGAACCGGAGCCCCGCGUUGAAUUGUUCCUUUGUGAAGAGGAUAGCGUUUUUUCCACCUUUCUCAGUAGGCAUAGCCGCCUCCUCGUUCACCAGGUCUAUCAAUACGUCAUGGGGGAUGCGGAAUCGCUCCCGAAACUCCUUCGCAUUUAGUUUAUCUAUCGCCUUUUCGCCAGCCUCGCUGACCCGGACAGACGAAACAGUCUUUUUUGGAGCCAUUUCUUACCACAAAGCCAAAGCAAAAUCUAUACGCAAAAACAAUGCAAACGGUUCAGACCAAGCAAUCAGAAAAUACACAAACCCUAACUCAAAGCCGUCAGAAAAACCCCUCAAAAACCCCUCCAAACAACAACAAAGUACCAACAUUCAACAACAAUUGCAAACGACUCGUCCAAAACAAUGCCCAAGCAAGCCAGAAAACAAGUGUAAAGAACCAGCAAACGCAACCAAAGGAACGGCAGUAGCAAAGAGAUACGUACCAAAUACAGCACCGAAGAAGAAGAACGGGUACCGCCUUGAUACAAAAUCACCAGCAGCAAACCAACAAAGUCGCGAUACAAAAGCACUGGUACAAAAGAGCUUUCGGAGUUUUUUUUCUCAGAAAAGCAAAGGGCGUAGAAAAAGCAGUAAGAAGAAAGACUCUCAAGAGAAUGCAGUAGGAAAAAAUACAAAAAGAGGUACAGUACCCUAUUUAUAGCAGGACAGCCCCUCGGAAAGCCAAACCAACAGCCAUGUUAUCAUUGAAACGACAUAUUGUCUGGGGAUACGCAGGGUCGGCGGCUCGUCAUAAAUGCCUUUUUGGCUUCCGCACCCCCACUCGCCACGUGGCCCAGUCAGACGAAGGGACUUCUUCAGUUUUCAAAAGCCAGUUAUUUUUAACCAGCCCAUUUUUUAGGCAAAAUAGGCAAGUUAAAAAGGGGGGCAAUGUAGGGACCCCUCCCCUUGGGAAACACGUGGCACGCAGCUCAUAGUGACGCGUGGCACGUGUUAUCAGCCGGACCAUCAUCAUCCGGAUUCCCUUAAGGAUAUGCAUGGUGCAGUUAUCCUAUCCGGACCGCUUCAAGGAAAGGCAAACGAGUUUCAUCUUCUCCUAUCCAAGGAAGAGCAAACGACGCUGGCAGAGCGUACACAUCCGGAUAGCCUCCACAACACAUCCGGAUAAUCAGCAUGAGCCAUCCGGAUAUAAAUCUUCUGGAUGGUCAAUUAAAGUAAAGCGAGUCUUACACGCAAUCACAACAAGCAGCCAUGGCCCACAUCCCAUCACCUGCAGAAUGAGAAGACAAGAGGAAGUGACAGCAAGUCACUUCCCACGAUCAUUCUGCAUAAUCGCUUCCCACGAUCUCUGACGGCCGCAUCACCUACCAUAGUCUCUGACAGCCAUUCGUAGGAUGAUAGUGCUCCUACUAACACCUAUUGUCAUCAUCACAACAGAAAAGAUCUCCUCACCAUUAAUGAGAGGAACAGUACCCCUGAAGCUGGAUAUAUAUACCUUCGCACGAAGAAGAAAAGGGGACCUCCUGGUAAUCUCUUGAUACCUAGAAAAAGGCCAACUGAUUUAUAUAUCUCUUUCUCACCAUGGCUAACAAAACCAUCGGAGGGUGCGUCCGGACACCCUGUCCGGAUGUCUUUUGCAGGUGCAACCACUGAAUCAAGAACCCCUUGUGUGUUGAGAAUCACGUAUCCAUCCAUAUAGCAGCAACGUGGACCAUCGGGUACGCGAGGCGACAACAGAUUUCUCAAUGAAAAUUAAAUAAGAUGUGAUCAGAAGGACCACUCAACACUGUGUCUCUUGUUCAUACCACCACCAAAUCACCACCUCAUUUGGGGUUCUCUUUUUAAUUCUAAAAUCGAUGCCUAAUAUAUAUGCAAUAAAAUCUAAAUGUCCAUUUUGGCAAUUCAUCAAUACUAAAAGUGUAUUUAGUGUGAGAUAACACAUAACCAAAAAUACUAUCAGAACAGUGUUUUCCGAAGUAUAUCUAAGCAUUCAUAAAACCUCUUCUGCUAUGGGCUAAAAGCACUCAUCCGAAUCACUUCCAAAUUGGCUAUUCUUUCAUUCUUUUCAACAGAUGUGAUUUUGCCAUUGUUUGGAUGUUUUGGCUUUCAUAUUUGCCUAUAAGAAAAAACACUGGCUGAUAUUUUUGUGGAAAUGUAAUUUAGGCAUAAGCCUGAUCUCUGAACAAAAGGGAAGGCAGUGAGUGCCUUGACAGCCCCCUUUUUGUUUCUUUUUCAUUUUUACUGGUAACCAUUUUUUGGUUCAUGGAAUCAAACCUGAAAUCUCCCCAACCCUUUCCAUCCUGAACCAGGCCCUAGGGGAUAAUGCUUAGUUCCCUGAGGGGAGCCUGAUGGCAACCCUAGGCGCACAGAACAAAGAUAACCCACUUUGUAUCCCACUAUCCUAGGUCCAAUUGCAACUUCUCCAUGUUUGUACUUGGAACAUUAUCAUUAUCUGUCGGAUUAUCAAUUGCUCAUUUGGCUUAGAGAGACCAUGUUUUGUAGUAAUAAAUGUGUUAGGAAUUUGAGGCUAAUCCAACCUAUGGUAAUCACCUUAGAGGGGGGGGUGAAUAGGGUGAUUGUCUCUUUUUCACAAAUUUAAACUAUGCAAAAAUAAGAGACAAUUAUAUGCAAAUAUAUAAUAAACAAACUAAACACAAUUGCAUAUAAUUUAAAAGAGUAGGGAAGAGAGAAUGAAAACACAAGAUUUAUAGUGGUUCGGCGCAACCCGGCCUACAUCCACUCUCCUCUAGCUUCAAUCCCAAGCUUGAGGUUCCACUAAUUCAAGGCUUCCAAACCAAGCCUUCAAGCAAUACAAUUGGAUUAUGGUUCCAAUCCACCCUCUUGGACUUUUGGCUCCAAGCACCCUUUACACUUCUCAAGAGAUACCACACUCUUGGAAAACUUCCUCUCAAAGAUUUACAAUUACAAGAUCUCACAAAAUCCUAGUACAAAAGCUUUAAGCUCAAAUGAUACAAGAAACUAGGAUUGAAUGGUGCACUAAUGAUAUGCAAGUUUUGGAACAAUGGUGCACUCAAAACACUUCUUCAAAGGCUCAAAUAUAUUCAAGAAACGUUUAGGAAGGUUAAGCUCCUUAAACAAUGAAGAUUGGAGCCUUUUUAUAGAAGAAAAAAGUCAAACUAGCCGUUUGGGGUUCGACCGGUCGAGCUGGGGGUCGACCGGUUGACUAGCCGUUAGCAUUUAAUGCUUGGCAGGUGACCGUUGGGCCUCGACCGGACCUUGACCGGACCUCGACCGGACGAGGUUCAACCUUGACCGGUUGAACAACCGUUCUGGAAGAAAGAGAAAAAUUUUGCAUUUUUUCGAACGGUCGACCGGUUACUGUUCAUACACCUCAACCGGUUGUGCUGGGGGUCAAUCGGUUACUGUUCAUCCGAUUCAACCGAUUGAGCCAUUUUUGGGUCAACACCCAACUUUUUCAACUUAAAACCUUUAAAACAAGUUUGGAAGAUAUUUGACACAAGGUUUUAAUUGAAAACAUGAAAUCAUCCAAUUUUAAAAGGAUUUAAAAUGAAUUAAAUCUUGGAUGAUUUUGGUGCAUAAGUAAAGAAUGUAAUGCAUGAAAAAACCUAGUGCACCAACAACCUUACAAAGAGAUCUUAUGAAGCUUGGGUCUUGAAAAGCACUUCUCUUUGAGGUGGUCUUCUUCUUCAUGAUUUCUCUUUGGCUUGAUAUGUCUUUGUAAUUGCCACUUUGGAAAUCAUCUUGCCUAAUCACACUUAAAAUAUAAUCAUUAGUUCUAAACAAUGUUUUGUUAUCAUCAAAACCGAGAUUAACCAAACCUUGGUUUCACAAAAUGCACCAAAUAUUGGAGUGAUGUAUUGGAACAUGAUUGUAUGACUUGUUUCCCAUCUACAGAAUUUUCUUUUGUUUUUAUCUACAUUAUGGUGGAUGUAGAGAUGAACGGGAAUGCCAUUAAUAUUUUAUUUAUUUAUUUAUCUAUUUAUUUAUUAUUAUUAUUUGUUUAUUUUUUAAUCUCACAUAGUGAAGGAUGAUUGGAUUUCUCUUCCAAAGCAUUAAUUAAAGACUUUGGUUUCUUAGAUUUCUCAAAAAAAAAAAAAAAAAUUGUACAAACGAUUCUUUUGAGCUGCGGUUUCUUCCCCUCUUCGCUUUUGGUUGAAAUCUACAACUAGGGCUUUCCCAUAGGGAAACAAUUAGAUGAUUUAAAUUGGUGUUGGCUGCAACUGAUCUUUGAGCAUUUUCUAUAUAUAAAUGAACUCGGACCCGCUAACUAUAGUAAUAAAACUAUCUUGUAAUGCUUUGUUAUUAGGAUAUUUUUCUUAGACUUGGGUUUGUUAAGAGACAGUCUUAUAUGGUUACAAGAUGUACAUGUGUCAUAUGCUCAUUGGUUUUUUUCUAUUAUUGUUAGGUGAAUUGUUAGAGAAUUUGCUUGUUAUGUCUACUAUAUAUAUUACUCUGUAAACAGCAGAAUAGUGAGAGAGAAAAAUAAAAAACAGAAAAUCACUUUACCAUUCUCAGUUCUGUUACCUUCCUUCCUCGUCUCUAUUAGUUUCUUUACAUGGUAUCAGAGCAAUUUCAAAGAAAAUUGAGACUGAAAAGAUGAUUGUCCAAUAUGUUUAAUGUUCAAACCUGUUCCAUUGCCCAUCAUGAUCUUAUCUUGCCCAACAAAUUCAGUUUUAUUCAUCAGAUUAUGAAUGUCUGGUAUGAUUUGUAGCUCCAGAAUCUGGGUACCAGCUAGAGUCAUAGGUAAAUUCAAGAGUAGUAGCAACCAUGGCAGUCAUUCGUGAUGAAUCUUGAGUAGAAGGAAACCCAUUCUAAAAUGAAGAUGGAAACAAGCAAAUUUUUGGUAAUAGAAGGAACAUGAAGAAGAUAAUUUAAAGAGAGCAUAUGACACAUGUACAUCUUGGAAACAAGCAAUGACUGAUGAAUUGAUGGCUCUUUUGAAGAAUAAUACAUGGUCCUUAGUCCCAUUACCACUUGGAAGAACACCUAUUGGCUACAAAUGGGUAUUUAAAGUGAAGGAAAACCCCAAUGGCUCAAUUCAGAAGUGCAAAGCCAGGUUAGUGGCAAAAGGGUUUCAUCAAGUUGCUGGUUUUGAUUUCAUAGAAACUUUCAGUCCAAUUGUUAAACCUGGAACAACUCGGGUUAUGCUUACUAUAGCUUUGUCUAGAGGUUGGUUAAUUCAUCAAUUAGACGUUAAUAAUGCCUUUUUGAAUGGAGUGUUGCAUGAGGAAGUUUUUAUAGAACAACCCCUUGGAUUUAUUCAGCACAACCAGUCUCAUCUUGUUUGUAAAUUGCAUAAAUCUUUAUAUGGCUUAAAACAAGCACCAAGGGCCUGGUUUGAAAAGUUAAGUACAACCCUAUAUGCCUUUGGAUUUAUCUCUGCCAAGUCAGAUCAGUCUUUGUUCAUUCGUGUGACAAAAAGUCAUUCUACCUAUAUUCUUGUAUAUGUAGAUGACAUUCUUAUCACUGGUAGUAGUGAACAAGUUGUGAUGCAUCUUAUUACCAGUUUGAAUAGAGAGUUUGCCUUAAAAGAUCUUGGAGAAGUCAACUAUUUUUUAGGGAUUGAAGUGAAUCAUACUUCUGAAGGUAUUCACCUUUCUCAAGGAAAAUACAUAACUGAUCUAUUAUGCAAAGCCAAAAUGCAAGGUGUCAAUCCUAUUUCUACUCCUAUGACCAGUGGACAGAAACUUUUAGGCUAUGGAAGUGAAUCAGUUCAAGAUGUCAAGUUGUACAGAUCAAUUGUAGGGGCUUUGCAAUAUGUAAUAGUUACUAGGCCUGAAACUGCCUAUAGUGUUAAUAUAGUAUGUCAAUAUAUGCAAGCUCCAUUAGAAUCUCAUUGGAAAGUAGUCAAAAGAAUUCUCAGAUACUUGAAAGGCACUCUUCAUCAUGGAUUACAUUUAAGAAAGUCUCCUACUCUUGAUCUUGUAGCAUUUUGUGAUGCUGAUUAGGCCUCUAAUCCUGAUGAUCAAAGAUCAACUUCAUGAUGUUGUGUAUAUUUUGGUUCAAAUUUAGUCACUUGGCAAUCAAAGAAACAACAUACUGUAUCUAGAUCAAGUACAGAAGCAGAGUACAGAAGCCUAGCUAGUUUGGUUGCAGAAAUCACUUGGCUACAAUCUCUUCUCUCAGAAAUUAAAGUCACUUUGCCUACACCACCAAUUAUUUGGUGUGAUAAUCUCAGCACUAUUAUGUUAGAUGCUAAUCUAAUAUUGCAUGCCAAGACAAAACACAUUGAAUUAGAUUUGUAUUUUGUCAGGGAAAAGGUUCUACAAAGAAACGUUUCAGUCCAACAUGUGCCUUCCAUUGAUCAAGUAGCAGAUGUCUUGACUAAAGCUGUCUCAAGCACUUAGUUUGUAAAUCUAAGAAACAAACUCAAAGUAGAAAAUCUUUAUACCUUAAGUUUGAGGGAGAAUGUUAAGAGAUAGUUUUAUAUGGUUACAAGAUGUACAUGUGUCAUAUACUCAUUGGUUUUCUUCUAUUAUUGUUAGGUGAAUUGUUAGAGAAUUUGUUGGUUAUGUCUACUAUAUAUAUUACUCUGUAAACAACAGAAUAGUGAGAGAAAAAUAAAAAACAGAAAAUUACUUUACCAUUCUCAGUUCUGUUACCUUCUUUUCUCGUCUCUGUUACUUUCUUUACAGGGUUUGAUGUUGUUGACUUUGUAUUGGAUGGAGUUGCUUGAGUCCAUAGUUGGAUAAAUCUCGAUUAGUUAAGACCUGUAGUGUUUUGGUUUAUGCUGGUUCCUUGAUGGUGAUGAAUAAGGUGGAUCUGUUUUUAUGCCCGUGAAUUUGAAGUUAAAUCUUUUGAUGUUGAAAGAAGUAAAACUGAAAGAAGAAUGCAAAUGGUAGGAGAAACCUUGUGAAACACCAUCUUUUGAUGUUGUGGAGAAACUGUUGUUUCUUCGUCGACCUCCAAGCGGAUUGAGGGAGAGGAGAAAAACGAGUGUGCUUUGACUGGAAACUAAUACCUUAGAAGAACACCAGUCGAUGGAGAACCAACUAGGAUUCCCCCAACAAACAUCCUUGCACCUUCCCAAGUAAAAAAAAAACCACUAGAGAGCAAGAAAGUGAUUGGGGUGAGGUGAGCAAGAAAGUCCUGAUAAAUGGACUACCACCGGUCUUUAUUUCACCUGGUCAAACUACAACCACUACUCCUGUCCUUUUAAAUUGCUAUGUUGUGUUUUUUGGUUGGGGUGGGGUGAGCAAGAAAGUCCAAGUCUUUCUUGUAGAACACGAUGAUACAUGUAUGACCACCGGUCUUCAUUUCUCCUACCCAAACUACAAGUCUACAAACCACCAGUCUUACCCUUACCUUUUAUUGCUAGAUUGUUUGUUUAGGGAGGGAGGGAUGUUUAGAAACAUUUUUUUUUAUUUAGAAAAUCACCUAUUAAGUUUUUCCUUAAAAAAAUAAUAAUAUAACAAUAGCUGCUAAAUAAAAAAGAGUUAGCAGAACAAAGAAUUUUUAUGAAAGCUUCUUUUAGAUUUUUGUUGGUAAUUUUUAUACGGGUUAUGAAAAUUUUAUGGUACAUCUUUAUUAUCAUACCUAAUUUUAAAUCUUGGACUUAAUGUGAAUAAAUUUGAAUUGUGAAAAAAAGGUAAAAAAAAAAAAGUGAAAAAUAUAAAUAAAUGAGAUUAAUAAAUAAAGAAAUGGAACAUCAAUCCUGAAAAUGAAAGAAUUAUUUAAUUAUAAACAAAUAAGACUUAUGUGGUUGUAUGACCAUGUUUAAUUAAUUGUCACAAAAAAAAAGUGAUUUUUUUUACAUUAGAAAAUAAAUUAUUCUUCUACAUAGAACAAAGGAAAAACAGCGAUGCAACUUUGUUCAUGUCAUUUUUUGUAAAAUCCACAUGGAUCAAGCAUAUUGAAUUACUUGUCUAAUAGAUGCCAUGCCCGGUCUAUCAUAUGAUAACUAAUUACAAAAUGUUGGUCUCCACUAACAUGACAUAGUGCAUCUUGACCUUCAUCUCCAAUAUAUGGACAAAUCCAUAUUCUUUCCAUAUAGCCCUCACACCAUAGUGCUAUAUCAUGCAAAUUUGGGUACCAAUAAUCAAACAUACUCUUUGGGUUAUUUAGAUAAUUAACUACCUAUAAUGAAUGUCAAGGGGAUCACUCCUAUCAUACCUGUUGGAGAAAGGUGACACUAUGAUAAUUAUCGAUUUACCGACUAGAAUCAAUCAUUAAUCAAGGUGAGAUUAACAUGCAAGAGCCCGUCAAGGUUAGAAAGAAAGAGCAGGAAGACUACUGUAUUUUUGAGAUAAAUGUUAUCUCCAAAAACUUCCACAUUAUCAAUUAAUGUGAAAAUUACAAUUUUAGGAUAUAUAUUAUUAAAAGGAAAAGUGUGUUUUUAUAAACAUCCUUAGAAAAAAAUCACAAUAUCAGAACUUAGGUUUGGAAAAUCCAAAUAAAGAAAGAAGAUUUUUUUUGGUACUCCUUAAUCUUUUUGAUUCAAUGUUACUUUCUCCAACCUUCUCACGUCUCUCACUUUGCUCCACUUUUCCCCUAAACCACCGACAAAUUCCCCAUUUCACGUGAACCUUAUAUGAACAAACUUAAUGAGAGUAGAUGUCAAAUUUUCAAUUUUAGCAUAAAUUUGGCUGUCAUUAGUACAGGUAAGGUGGACUAAAGACUGUAUUGGUUGAAAGAUUAAUGUGGAUGGGUUGCCAUGUCUAUAGGGUUUGGUGAAUUGGAGUGAUGGCCCAUUGAUGCCCACAUUCAUGGCUUCUUAUUCAGGCCCAUUUCUAUACACACUUUCUCCAAUAACUUCCUUUCAGUGUCAGUGGUGGGCCUUCAACUGCAUCGAGCAUCUCAAUUCUCAACUUUCCUUGCCUUAUUAAUAGGCUUAGGGAUCCAUUCUCCCAUAACCCCUUUUUCUUUUGUAUUUUUUUUCUUUUUUUGUUAUCUUUCUCCAUAAUUUAGAUCCGAAAGCCUUUAGGAAAAAGAAUAACAGAUAGGAAUUUAAAUCAUCUUUUUCUUUACAACUGAAUAAAAGAAAUUGAUUUUUAUUUUCUAAAUCAUUUGGCUAUUUUUCUUUUACUCUCUCUCUCUCUCUUUUUCAAUUUGAUCUAUGUCUCAAUUUAAUCCUUUUUUUUAAUAGCCUUAAAUUAUGUAUAAAUAUUAAAUAAGCCCUUUUAAUAAGAUUUUGUCAAAAAUGAAUGGAGAAAUCCAUGGAAUAACAAUAACUUGACUUUUUUCUAAUAUUAUAAUAUAUUUAUGUGUCUAAAUCAAACCAGUUUUUCCAUCUUCUUUUCUAAAAAAAAUUAUUAAAAUAAUAAUUUGAAUUAGAUCAUAAUUUAUGAUUGAUAUUAUUUUAAAAAAUAUUUAAGAACUAAAAUAAAAUACUAUUAUUAUAUAUAUUUGGCUCACCUCAAAAUUAAAAUCAAGCAGCCAAAACUAUAGAGUAUUCAAUUGUUUAAAUUAUGGAAAUAAUGGAAAAAUAGUGUGAAUUUUUAUUAUAUGAAAAUUAUACAAAUGGAAGGAAACAAAAAAAAUAUAAAAGAAAUUAAGAAAUUUAUGGAAGUAAAACAAAAGGGAAGAAAUUAAACAAAUAUUUAAUUCCCAAAAAUAUUAAAAAUUUUAAAUUUCAUAAUUUUUUUAUUGUUUUUUAUAAUCUUAUUCACAUCUUUAAACAAAGAAUGGGGACUUUCAAAUUGAAUGUUGAUUUUUUUUUCUUUUUAUUUUUUUUAAAUACAAAUAAAUAAAAAAGAGGGUUAAUCGUAUCAAUCUUUUCUAGUUUAGACCUAGAAGACUUAAUUCUAAAAUCAUUGAUAUUGUUUUGAAAAAUUCUAAAAUUGUUAACACGACUCAUACAUGAAGACAAAAAAAACAACCAAAUAAAAAUACCGUAAAAAAGUGCAUAUUAAAAAUUCUAUACAUUAAACUAUAUACAUAAUCUACACAAUUAAGAUAAAUAUACGAAGACUUAGCUCAUCGAGUGAAAUUUCAUACUUUUACAUUGUAAUUAUUGUGGGGUAAAAUCAUGAACUACUUCAUAUUUUAACCAAGUUUCUAGGGGAAAAAAAAAAACUACAUUGGAAAUGAUAAUUCACAUAUUCAAUAUCAAAUUACAACUAAGAAAAGAAUAAAUACUAAUUGUUGUAGUAAUGAGAAUUUGGUUAACAACAUUGUGAACAAUCACAAAAAUGUAAAUUUUGAUAUGAAAUAACAUUUGAGUAGUAUGUCUAUGGCCAAAUCCAAAUGAGAAAGUAGGGAGAAGUGUAUAACAUUCAAAAUAACCCCUAAAAUUCUAUUACAAGGCUUGCUAACUCAUUGUUUACUAGAAACUAAAAUAGCAUAUUCUAUACUUUUUAAUUUCAAUAAACCUAAUUGAAAAUGCAUCACAGAAAGCCAAAAAGGGGAAAAAGAAAAAGAAACCCUAUAACAUUGUGGACAAACAAUCUCUUGAGAUUAAGAGAAAACAAAACAAAAAUUUUUUUUUAAUGAUUUUUAAAAUAAUACAGUAAAAAUUCUAUAAAAUAAUAUUCUUGAGAUUAAGAGAAAUUAUUAUGUUAUUGAUUAUUAAUAAAUGAAUAAUUUAUUAAUUUAUUUAUAAAAAUGUUUAUUAAUUUGGUAAAAGUAAUAUUUUUUAUUGUAUCACACUUGUAUAUGUAUGAUUCGUAAAUCCAAAAAUAAUAAAUGUAGUUGAAUGUUAAUACAUAGAACCCUACCACACAUUAUCGAAGAAGGGGUAGUUAUUCAUUGUAUAAUAGAAAGACCCUUAAAACGAAGAGAUAAUGUCAAAACUCAAUAUCCUAAAAAAUAAGGAGAUUUCAAGUAUGCUAUGAUUUUGAGAAAAAGUUGAAUUAAAAAAGUUGUAAUCGGUUACUCAUUACUAUAUGAAUUUUUUGUUUGCAAUUUUUUUAUAAACCUUAUUAAUUAUUAAUUUAUAUUUUCUCGAACCUUUAAGAUUUCUAAAAAAAUUAUUAUCUUAUGCAUUUAACGAAAUUAUUAAUUUAAUACAUUGGUCGGAGUUAAACUAGAAGAUUUUACUAUUAUUUGGUUACAUUAACCUUUCAAAAAUGUGAAAAAAAAAAAAAUCAUUAAAAAAAUAAUGAGUACAAAUUUGAAAACAAUAAAUAUUUCUUGUGUGUGCUAUGAUUGAGAAAGCUAUAUUUUAGAAAGAUAGGAUUAUUUGUACAAAUAUGGGUAUCAUUGAUAGUGUAAUUUAAACCAUUUGAAAAGAACAUAAUAAAGGGAAGUUUUCAGUGAGUAAAAGCUUUGCUUUUAAACAUGUUCUUUUGUCUAGCUUUUCAGAUGGAGGAUGAAUUGCAGCUUAUCUCUCAGAAUCUCUCACCUGAUGGAUGAAAUAUCCCCCAGCAAUAGAGGGUUGGACUGCUCUAUCUUUGGUGGCCAUAUGGAUUGAGGUUGGUUAAUUAGCUUAUAGCUCAAGCUGGGUAGCUGGCUGAAGUGAGUUUGCAGUUCAAAUCCAUAGACCUGGUUCUUUACAUGAAGAAUUCAGGGAGAACUAUGUAUAUAUAUUGUCAGUUCAGAUAGUCUCAUAAGCAUCCUGGUACAAAAUACAAAAGAGUUUUGAACCAUGAAAAGACAAGCCAACUAAAAGAUUUCUCUUUCUUUUCCUUUUAUUGAUAGACAAAUGGUUUACUACCAAACCUUUCAGCCCAAAACAUACUUUUCCCUUUCCUUUUCCUACCCUAACUACAACCACCACUCCAGUCCUUAUCUUUAAUUGCUUUUAGGUCUAAUUUUUAUGGUUAGUGAACCAAUUUUUUCAAACAAAGUAGCCAAAACAUACAAUAAAGUUCAAAAAAACCAGGCAAGGCCUCAAUGAGGCAAAGCUCAUAUCCAUCCAAGGGUAACAAUAAAGACCAAGUCAAGAGAGUUACCAGAACAAAGACUUCAGUGAAGUUUCUUUUGGAUUUUUGUUGGUAAUUUUUAUAUGGUUCAAGAAAAGUCUAUGAUACAUCUUUAUUAUCAUACCUAAUUUUAAAUCUCGGCCUUAAAACAUGUGAUUAAAUUUGAAUUGGUGAACAAAAUUAUAAUAGAAAUGAGAAUUAAAUAUAAAUAAAUGAGAUUAGUAUACAAGGAAAUGAAAACUCAAUCAUGAAAGUGAAAGAAUCAUUUUAGUUAUAAAUAAAUAGAACUUAUAUGGCUGCAUAUUCAUUUUUAAUUAAUUAUCACAAAAAAUGAUUUUUGAAUACCAUAAAAUAAUUUUAAAAAUCAUUUUUAUGUCUUCUAGAUAGGCGUGAUUAAUAUAGAAAGAACGAUACAACUUUGUUCAUGUUUAUUUUAUAAAAUCUAUAUGAACCAGACAUAUCAAAUCAUAUGUUUAAUAUACGUCAAGUGGGUUCCAUCAUAAGACGACUAAUUACGAAAUGUCACAUGUCAUUGUAUGUAAUAUUACAUCUUCAAGAUCACUCUCCACUAACGUUGAUACGUAGCACAUCCCAUUCUUGAUCUUCAAUAUAUAGACAAAUCCUCUCAUAUAACCCUUACAUCAUAGUGUUAUAUUAUUUGACUUUGGGCACCAAUUUCUAAACAUAGUCUUGGGUUAUCACGAGACAUGAAUGCUCACUUACCUACUUGAGUCAAGAAUAGAGUUGGGGGAUCUAAAAUGGGCUUGUUGUAUCUUAAUGGUGAAAUUGAUCUUUUACCAUUAAACAUUUUGAGAUUGGUUUGACGGUCUUGAUUUGGUAGUUGGAAUCGAAAAUUCUUCAAAGUGGAAUCAAUAUGCAACAACCCAUCUCAACUAAAAAGAAAUAGAGGGAGACUUGUUUCUUUGGGAUGUGUCAAUCUCCAAAAACUUUCAUAUCAUCAUCGAUCUAUUAACAUGGAUGUUACUAUUUUAGAGCACCAUAACAAAGUAAGAAGAUUUUUCUAGCUCUCCUUGGUGAUCUCUUUAAUUCAAUACAACUCUCCCCAACCUUCUCACGUCUCUCACUUUACUCCACUUUCCCUUACAUUAUUGAGAAAUUCACCAUUGCAUGUGAUUAACCUACUACAUAUAAGAACCUUAUAUGAAGAAACUUAAUGAGAGUAGCUGUCAAAUUUUCAAUUUUAGCAUACAUUAGGCUGUCAUUAGUACAGGGGAGGUAAAGUAAAUAAUGAAUUGGUUGAAAGAUUAAUAUGGAUGGGUUGCCAUGUCUCUAGGGUUUGGUGAAUUGGAGUGAUGGCCCAUUGAUGCCCACAUUCAUGUCUUCUCAGGGCCAUUCUUAAACCUCCCUUCAGUGUCAGUGGUGGGCCUUCAACUACAUCAACCAUCUCAAUUCUCAACCUUCCUUGACUUGUUAAUAGGGCUAGGAAUCCAUUCUCUCAUAACCUCCUUUUUUUUUCUUUUUCUUUUUUUUUUUUAAAUUUUAUUUUCCUUCCUAUUAUUUCCUUUUUUUUUUCCUCCCUAAUUUAGAAAUCAAAUUUUAUUUUUCUAAAUCAUUUGGAUUUUUUUUAGUAAACUUUAAAGACAAUUUUACAAUUUCAUCUUUGUGGCAAUUUAAUCCUUUUUUUAAAAAAAAAAUAAUAAUUAAAACCAUAAAUUAUGUGUAAAUAUCAAACAACCCCUUUGAAUAAGAUUUUGUCAAAAUUGAAUAAAGAAAUUCAUGUACACACAACAAUAACUUGGCUUUUAUCAAAUAUUAUGAUAUUUAUGUGUCUAAAUCAUACCAAAAUUUCCAUCUAUUUCUUAACAAAAAUUCUUUAAAAAAAUUAUUUGAUAUUGGAUCAUAGUUUAUGAUUGAUAUUAUUUGAAUAAAAAUUGAAUUUUUAUUAUAUGAUAAUUGUAAAAAUGGAAGGAAACAAAAAUAUAAAGAAAUUAGUGAAAGGUAGGGAGAGAAAUUUAUGGAAGUAAAACAAAAGGGAAGAAAAAUAAAUAUUUAAUUUCCAUAAAUAUUAAUAAAAUUUAAAUUCCAUUUUUUUUUUUACUUUUUAUAACCUUAUUCACAUCUUUAAACAAAGAAUGGGUACUUUAAAUGUAGAUUUUUUCUCUUUUUUUUUUCCUCAUUGGCAUUUUUUUUAGCAAAGUCGGCUUUUCUUCACUAUUUUUAUAGUAAGAUAAAUAAAAAGAAGCUAUUUAAAAAUGAAUAGAAAAAGAAAAAAAACCAUAAAAAAUUUAUUUUAUGAUAUAUAUUAAAUUUUCUUCCUAAAAAAAUUACUGAUGAUACUUGAAUUUACCCAUUAUUAGUUAUAUAUAUAUAUAUAUAUAUAAAUUAAAAUUUCUCCCCAAUCUUUAACAUGCUGCCAACGUUUUGAAAAACUAAUAUCCAAACAAGGCCCUGACGACAUGAAUCACGUGUGUUUUCGGACUAUUCUUAUACUGAGAUUUACGAAAUAAAAAAAUAAAUAAUUUUUAUUUAUUUUAAUCAUAAUAAAAAAUAAAAAAUAUUAAAAAAAGGAAAUAAAUAAUUUUAAAAUUAUAAAUUCAAACAAGCAAAGGGGAAGGGGGGAAGAGGGAAGGGGAGGAGGAAAGGGCCAAAGGCACCGCGUAUUUUCAAAGUCGGCGAUGAUGCUGACGUCAUCACAUCUCUUUCCCUCUUCCUCUCUUAAUAAAACUUUGGCUUUUGCUUUUCAUUUCAGCAAAAGCAACCUCCCUUCUCUCUGACACCACCGUUCCAUCAAAUUUCGCCCUCCUAAUUAAUCGUCUUCCAUCCAUCGCCGAUCACCCCCUCCUUUGACCAAUCUCAAACCUUCGGAAUUCGACGCCAUAGAUCGUUCAGGUCUUCACUGCAGAAGCCUAGCUCUGAAUUAAAAGGUCAGGAUCAUUUUUCUGUUAUUUCUUUGAAACCUUAACCUAACCCUAGAGGGCCCAGAUGGCGGAUUUUGGAAACAGCUUCGGAUCAUUCGGAAAAUCCAAGUCCAGGCCCUUCUUCUUUGGUCGCUCUAUGACUGUGCGCGAAGCCCCCAUCGAGGCGCCUCAGCUUGACCGGAGCGGAUCCAUGAGGAAAUUCUACAAUUCCUUCGAAUCGGUGAUUUCUACUGGAAAUUCCAUCAAGGGGAAGGUAAAGAAGCUCUGCAGUUUAUUUGAAAAGGCGGACGAUUCACAAUCCCAGUCGCAACCCCAAUCACGAUCACAAUCACCCACUAAAUUGAAGGCCUCGAAACUCGGUACUACUGAUUUGAGGGUUUCUUCCCUUUCUGGCAAUCAUUGGAUUGGGCUACCAGGCGCUGAAGAUCGAAUUGUGGUGUAUUUCACUAGUUUGCGGGGAAUUCGGAGGACUUACGAGGAUUGUUAUGCAGUUCGGAUGAUUUUUCGUGCAUUUAGGGUUUGGGUGGACGAGAGAGACAUAUCUAUGGACUCUGCCUAUAGGAAAGAGUUGCAAUGUGUGUUGGGAGAGAAGAAUGUGAGCUUGCCACAGGUGUUUAUUAGGGGGAAGUAUAUGGGAGGGGCUGAUGUGGUGAAGCAGCUUUAUGAAACUGGUGAAUUGGCUAAGAUUCUUGAGGGCUUUCCCGUUAGGGCACCUGGGUAUGUAUGUGAGAGUUGUGGGGAUGUGAGGUUUAUUCCAUGUAUGGAUUGCAGUGGAAGCAGGAAGGUUUUUGAUGAGGAUGAAGGCUUAUUGAAGAGAUGCUUGGAGUGCAAUGAGAAUGGAUUGAUUCGAUGUCCCGAUUGUUGUUCUUGAAUUCUUUUCUAUAUGGGUGAAAGUGCUUUGGUUCUUAUAUUUUGGUGUUCUCUGAUUGAUCAAUACUAAUGAGUGUAGUAUCACUGAAUGUAUAUAGAAAUAUGUUUGCCCAUGGUUUGGAUUCAAAAACUCAUUGGAGUCAUUGGAUUUUCACUUUGUCAAUGUACAUUUUUCAUGAAUUGUGGGGUUUUAUUUUCACCACCUCUGUGAUCAAUACUAUUAAAUAAAAGGGAAUGUUUGUUGCACACAACGUUGCAAUUGCUGUACUUCAUGUCUGAUUGUUUCUCCAUCUUCGUGGGGAUGUAAAUUUGAUUCUUUCUAUACAUCUAGUAUCAAUUUGCUGUGGCAGAUUCAUCUGUUUGAGGCUUUGUCGUCAUGAUCUCUAUGAAUGGCAUUAAGAAAUACAAGCACAAAUUAUCAGAUAUAGAACUGUUGCAAAUAUAUUGAUUGUAAAUUGCAAGAGUUUUUUCAUCUUCAUAGUAGUGUAAGUCUGUUCUAUAUGUAUUUGGUAUGAUUUUUCUAAAUCAAGAUGUAAGAAAUGCCUUGAAUGAGGAACUGCCAUGGGCUGCAUGUCUUUUGCUGCUUGUGGUGAGAAUUUAAUGAAGGCAGCUUACUCCUAAUUCAGUGAAUGUUGUGAACAUGUUUAUCUAGGGUUUUUGCUCUCACCCCUUACCUUGACUUCUCUUCAUCAGUUGGCAUAAUUAUGGGUUUGCUUCAGUUUGCAAAUUCUUGCUGAGUUGUGUCAUGUCUUGAGUCCUAAUUCUUCUUAGAUGCCUAAAUUUUUUAGGGCAAAAGUUUUCAUAAUUGUAUUGUGUUCACUGGAAUUCGGGUUUCAUCUCAAAUUUUAUUCUCAUAAGUUAUUUUUUCCCCUUUUCUGUCAAAUUUUAAGAUGACACUCUUUUGCAAAAAAGUAUAAGAAGUGCAAGUUGAAGUUUCUGUUACACCUUCCUUCAUUUGGAUUCUUCUCACUGUUUGGAAUAAUGUUUUUAGGUAUAUUUUUAUUUUUAUUUUUUGAUGGGUAUGUUUUUAGGUUUAUUUUGUCCAUAAAUUUAAUGAUUUUGCUAUGGAGGGACUCUAUCCUAAUUUUGUUGUAGAACUGCUUUGCAAAUUGCUAGCCGAUUUAUUAACAUUUGUUUAUUGCUUAUUGUUGGCAGUCCACGAGCUGGCUCAUGUUUCCUUGAUUUUGCCAGACAUUUUUUCCUGUUUUUAUAUUUAAAUUUUGUUGUAAAUUGUAGCCUGAUGAACUCAAUGAGGAUGUCUGAUUUCUUAAAAUUCCCCCUUUUCCUCUGAACAGGGACUGAGUUUAUCCUUUAACUUGAUUCUUGCAUCUUGUCCCUGUCAAAGUUCAGUUGAUUAUUAUCUCUAGUUAUCCAUCUAUGCAAAGUGCUUUUGUCAAAUCAUGAAUUAUCUUUAAUAGAUGAUUUAACCACAUUUUACUGGAUUCUUCUUCCCUCAUUAUGAAAUAAAAGAUUGUCCGUUUGCCUUUGUAUUUUGUUUUUAGGUUUGAUGAAUAGGAGGAACAUAAUCCUACCUAACACCUUUUACCGCAUUUUCAAGUUGGUUUUCUUUUCAUAUCCCUUCAUAACAAUUGCUCUAUAAUUUCUUGUUGUGGCUGUAAACCCCUUAUAUCAGAUCAGUGACUCAGUCAAGGUGGAGAAAUUGAUGUUCCCCUUGAAUAUCUCCUUUUCUAUUUGUUUCUUUGGCCUAGUAGUUGUAGGGGUUUGGUUUUCUGCUUGGGUUUUUUCUGGAACCAGAAUCUAGAACAUGGGUUGUUCAGAUAUCCGGGCAUUCAGGAUAUGACAUAUUAACCCAUUUCCAUACUGGUUGUGACUGGAUUAUUUCCAGUUGAGUUAUGUCUCCAUCAACAAAAUGUUGAUUGUUACCCAGGUCUAUCCAAUUCCCAAAUUUUCCAUGUUGAGGGACACUACAGGCUCUGUUCAUUUACCAAGAAGUAGAAAAGGACACUCGUUAGAAUCUCUCACAGCGGUGCCGUAACUUUUGUUCAUUCUGCCAAAAUUCAAUGUUUGUCGUCCUCUUAGCUAUCAAACAAAAGCACUGUUACUAUGUUACUGAAAUUUUUUAGAGGAAUGAAAGGUAUUUGCUUUUUCUUUUCUUUUCUUUCUCAGGUCUUGUGCCUGCUUUUCCCUGUCUGUAUGAUAUAAUCUCAUCAGGCAGUUCCAGCAUCGCCAAGAUUUUUGUACCUUGCUUGUUGAUACAUAAUAUAAUACAAGUGGAUCCACACAUUCUCUUGUGACCGACAUAUUGUAAAAUUCCUCAAUAGUCUUAAAGAUGAGAACAAGGAUUGCAGCAAAAUAGAGCCACUAUCAGGAUGGAAAUGCAUGGCAAGGCCCCAAGUUACAUUUCCAGGAAUUUUGGCAUCAUAUGGAUCGGUUACAUUUCUGGGAAUUCGCUGUGCCUGCUAUUGACUAAGAGGAACACAUUCAAGCUCGAUCUCCAGCACUCCCCUUUCGACAUUCUGUAGUUUGAGACUGACGUCCUGCAUCACCUUCCCAUCUGUCAGGCUUAUGACACUGUCUUUUACCAGGGUGUUUUCUUUGCUUGCUACCAACUUGCCGAAUUCCAUUGGUUCAUUUAACGUGGAAUUCUCGUGGGCUAUGGCAGCAGAAACCAGAGGUUGGAUGUCAAUCUCGGCCUCCCCCAUGAAAUCAUCGGUUGAGAAUGUAUCCUUGUCAUACACAAACUGCAAGCCAUAAUUCCCAACAAGUUUUUAAUGUAAUUGAUGGUUGCCCUGCUGUAUAAAUAUAUGACAAAAUGGGGUUCAACCAAAAUGAAAAUCAAAAUAUGCAAUCUUGAGAAGUUUGUAGGCAAAAGGCCCCUUGAUUCAUCAGUAAUAUACUUCACUGGUAACUCCAAUAAGGCUAUAAUCAAAAUUCUUGGAAGUUCAUCAAACCAACCGGCUUCUAAGCAUUCUAAUCUUUUAUUGAUCUAAUGCUACUGGUUAGAGAGACGUCCCCAUGGUAGCAGAAUGUAGAGGUAAACUGUCAUAGAGAGCUUGUUUUUAUGUCCAGCCCAUGUUCUGACAGCAUCUAACCAAUGUUUAAUGUUAUAAACAGAAAUGGAGUUUACCAUGUGCAGAAGAGGAUGGAGGGCUAGUUUUUAUCAAUUACUUUGUGCUAUACAAAGACAAAGUUCAGUUUUAGUCUCUAAUAACUAAUGACCAAGAAUAAAUUGAAUCUUAUCUCCUAAGCUCAAGUGCAGACCCCUAGCAAAAAACCAUUCCACUCCCGUGCAUAGCCUCUAAUAGUUCUUCCCCAUACAGUCAUUUUGCAGACUCUAGUUCAGAUCAUAUGGUAGGACUAAAGCAGUGAUAUACCUGAAUAAGUAGCACAUGCUAUGAUACGGUUCACAUAUAUUAGAUGAAGAGCAAGGACAGGUAAAUGUGGAUUUUUAAUAUUUUAGUUGUGUUUUAAUUUCACACGUAUGCAUUUUAUACAUGUAGAGAUUAGAGGCAAACGUACCACUCUUAAUGGUGGAAUUUGUUCUGGAAUUGACAACAUUAACCUUUCAUUCCAUACUGGAUUAAGGUUGUUCUUUAUGACACGCGUCUUCACCGACUGCAACAAGAUAUGUGAUUAUUGACACAAUUCCUUUCAUUUUCAAUUUAGUAAUAAUAAUAAGAAAGUUGAUCAGUUCUGUGCAGUGGGAGAAGAGGCUCACUUGUUGUCCCAAUGCAAGGAGAACGUAUGGAUCACUUGUCAUUACAUCACGGACAGCUAGGUUGGUGCCUUUGACUACAUUGACCUUUAUCAAUCCAACAAAUUCGAUCAUGCCUGCCUGUAGGAGUACAACAAGGGUAUAAGAUUUAGUAUUGAUGUAAAAUUUCCAUCCAAGGUGAUGACUUGGUGAUACAUUUUGAUGCUCGCAUGUGUUUAGUUUGUAUAUCAUCAAUGCAACAUGGAAUACCAUUAAUUAGUUUGUAUCAUGUUUCAUAAAACAUGGUUUCCACAAAGAAUACCUUUUGAGAGUAUCAUCUCAAGGAAGAGAAGCCCCAAGAAGCCUAAUUCAAGUUAACAAUCAAAAAGUGGCCAGACACAUCAGUUUCUUCCCUGGUAACAGCCCAAGUAGAACUGAAGAAAUCUGAGAAAUAUGCUGUUCUUGUUCUCAAACAACCUUUGGAAUGAAAAUGGAUUUUUGCAGCAAAUUUAGCAGAGCACACUUCUAUAGUAGCAUAUUGAAGUAGAAAUGAAAGCAAAUCCAAACACCCCUUGAGCGAGCUGAUAAAAAUAAAGCCUUGAUCAUACAAAAUUAUUACCGAUGAGCUGCUCUUCUUGACAGGCUUGUGCUCAGGCUCUUUUCUUCUCCAACUAUUGCGAAAUGCCAGCCCAAGUCCAUGGAGACGAUGGGUAGUUGUCUGUUUCUCAUAGUGCUUCUUCUCUGGGGGUAAACCAGACUGAUUGCUUGAAGAACCACCUUGGGAGGAUGGUGAGCACAAACCUUGAGGUGGAAAGGGGCAGAACAUCUGUUCAUCAGAGUUGAAAAAUUGUUGCAUCUCAUAUUUUCUCCUGAGUAUUCAAGAAGUGGGUUUCUGAUUCAGCAUGGUAUAAGUUCCCAUUAGAAAUUUAUGCCAAGUGUAUUAAUAGUAAUACCUAAUGAAAUCAGAGCGUUCCUCUGUAGAGGAAUCUGGUCUUGGUUUUCUGAUGUAGUCCGGAAUGGAAGCUUCAUACUUCAUGUUUGCCUCACUGUUUCCACCCAUACCCGUCAACGUAUCAACCUGUUCAUCUGUCCAUUCAUCUAGCUUAAUUGAUAAAACCUGCAUCAUAAGCAUCAUAUGAAUGUAGAAAUUUGUUAUACAAGCGUGAAAACUUUAUGAUACAUUUUGGUGCAUGAAUAUUACUCAACUCCUGAUUUAUAAAUCAAAUAGGGUUUUCAUAUUAGUAUCAACCAUCUGGCCCUCAUGCUGGACUGAGCAGCAGAUUCAGCCUUAUGGUUUUUUAUGUUGCCUUACAGAAACUGUGCUGACAAAGCAAACAGACAAAUUAAGACAACAUGGCAUUUACUUGAUAUUCUUAAAUCCUGUCACAAAAGAGAUAGGGAAACAAAGCUACACUGUAAUAGGUUUUUAGGUAGCUCUUAUAGUGUUCUUGUAACAGAUACAGAGUCUAUAAAUGCUCAUAUUCCAAUCACAGGAUGCUUAACUGAUAAACUGUCAUCAAGAUGUGCUUGAUGUAGGAAAAUAAUGGUAAGAUACUACUCAUAAUAGAAACUAUAAAGAGAUGGAAAGACUUGUUGGUUUGGGCAUGUGAAACACUUCCAUUAAGAGUAGAUCCAGCCCUGGAAGACUGUCUCCAAGUAGCAGGUGGAUGUCACCCUUUACUAUCUAGGAUACGAUAACCAAUAUGCAACAAUUAUCAAUAAGCGAUUCUUUUCCUCUAGAAGCAGAAAUAGAGACAAGUGAAUGGAAGCAGAGAUAGCAAGCUAGAGGAAGCAAGAAGACAGAGAGGAUAGAGACAAGUGAAACUAUGGUGGCAGAGAGGCAAAGAAACAGGAGGAAGAAGACUUGAGGCUGUUGAAGAGACUGACCCUCAUGUCAGCAAUGGGGUACAGGCUGUUGAAAGAAAAUGAUUCUUCCGGUAGCAAAAGCUAGGGUUUCACUUUCUUGAAGGUAUGAAGAAAAAUUCAAAAAGCAGAGAGAACAGGUUCCAAAAAUAUUUUCUGUAAUGAAAGAAGAGAUUUGACCAACUUAGUCUCGUAUGCAUGUGAGAACAGUACACCCCAUGAUCCCAUAAUUCCACUAAGGCUUAAGUGUAUUCCAUAGCUAUCAUGAAGGUUCUACUUUUAAUUCAACAUGUACAAAGGUCUUUCCCUUGUUUAUGAGAAGCCAAGACUGUUGGAAGGAAAAAGCUGAAUCCAUGAUUGUUCACUUCUUUAUAUCAUCAGCCUCUCCAUGAUUGAUCACUUCUUUAUGUCAUCUGCCUCUUUCUUUGUUCUUUAGAAAGGAAGAAUUCCUCACACAGAAUUCUGAAGGUCUUAAAAUGCCUAAUUAGUGCCAUUAUGUGCAGCUGUGACAUUAUGUUAGUUGAAUAUAAUUAGAAAUUAAAAAAUUAUAAGAUAGGAGCUUAAGAAGAAUACUUUGGACACAGUACCUUUGAGACAUGUGCUCCGAGGCUUCUAUGUACACCAGAACACUUGAUACAAAUAAAUACUCCAAGACUUACAGAUCUGAUAUUCAAAUGAAAUGAUGACAAUGCAGUAUAAGUUGAAUAGGCACAGAGCAAUGAAGAAACUUAUGUAAAUGCAUGUAUACACCAAGGAAGAUUGAUUUGGAAUGUUAUUUCAAUAAACAUAAGAAAAAGGAGAGCUGCUUGACAUUUAUAUUACACAUGUUCCCUAAUCUUAACAAACCGAAAUGAAAAUUUUGAGUUUGCUUUCAAAUUAGAGAAAUAUAUCCACAAUUAGAUGACAUAUCAAAUACAAAAUAGGAGAAAAACAAAUCCAUUUUACUAGCUCUGUUACAUUUGUAAUAUGCAGCAUAUUAAAUGGAAACAAAUAAGAGAAUAUGUUGAGGGCCACAAUGAUGUAGCAAAAGAUUUGGAAAACUUUGAACAGUGAUUAGGUAAUGCAAGAUGCACAUUUGAACUAAUAUUGCUCAUAUUUCUCUUUUAUCAAGAAAACAAAGAAACCAUACAAGGGUUUUGACAUGGAAAUGGAACAGCCUCACUUAUUUUUUAUUACAAACAAUAGAAUCAGUACUUACAGCAUGAGUGGCCGAAUCAGCAAUUCUUUUUUCAUUCUAUGCCCCAGACCCCUUCGUCAACCAGGCUUGGGCAGGACAGCAGACCAAGUACAGGUGCUGGGAAUCGUGUUAGGCCUAAUUCCUACUAGUUCGGCUGGAUUAUUUGCAGAUGUACUUUUACAUUACUGACAUGGUGAUCAGUAGGGCUUUUGAUAAAUUAUGUAUUUUUUAAUCCACAGGAGAUCAAAUUCAGAUUUCUGUUUCAAGUUAAUCCCAUGUACCUUCAGAGAUCCUUAGAUUCCUAGGCAGUUUCAGUAUACAUCACACACAACAAAAUUCUAGGCAACUUAGCUACCCUCCUGAAAUGAGGUGCUAAUAAUUUAGUUGCAUUGAAUGUUAAAAUUCUGCUGCUAGAAGUAUUGGUUAAAGUUUCUUUAAGAUACGUACACAUUUACAGUAUGAUUUCCACCAGUCCACAUCCAUGGAUGAUAUGAUCCAUGGGGCCAGUUCUCAAAUAUUCAAUAUGUCACAUUUGUAUUAUUUAUUUCAUGGUCAAAAGCAUAUGAUCAGAGCCUUUACCUUUUAUCUUAUAUGGAUUUGGUACAAAUUUCUCACAAUAGUUCACUUUGACCAUUAUCAUCAGUAGACAAAAAUAUCAAAAGCAAAAAUUCCUGGUUCACUCACCAGUAAACAGAAUACUUACACCCAUUUUGGAUCUGGAGAUCCACAAUCUGCACAAAUGUUAUUUCCUGAUUGACACAAAAGAUUCUCCAACCUUCCUCGUGGACCUGAUCAAUGAAAAACGUAGAGAAUAUGGACAAGGUUAUCUUAACUUUAUUAAGUCAAAGCUUCCAAGAGACAUCAAAGGAGAUAUAUUUCUUCAACCAGCAUUUCAAAUAUUAUGGCCAUAUGAUAGUAGUUAUAAGUAAUGGAGAUUGAAUAUUGCUCUAUAGAAAACACAUAUGGUAAGACAAGCAUUUACCAACACUAGAUGACUAUAAAGACAAUUUUGAGCAUAGGAAUGAUUCAUGAAAGUAACAAGCAAGCAAGUAAUGAUCAGAAGUUCAAUGGUUAGAAAUUGAUGGAAGCUACUGAUUAACCUACACAAGAUGGGGGAACUAACCCUUCAUUAUUCAUUUGAUUAUAUGUCAAAAUGGUUGGAUGACCAUGUUCAAGAAUUACAAAAAAGAAAAGAAAAGAAAAGAAAAGGAACAUCUAAUAGGCAUUGGUUCACAUUCAUAAUGUAGAUGAAUGAAGAUCCACUACAUAAGAAAAGCAACCAUUAAUUUUAUUGGUUCAUCAAAAUAAUUAAAUGCUCAUGAUAGGCAUACAUAUUUCUGUAAGUGUUAUAUUCAUACAUGUAGACCGGAUAUCCUCGACAAAUACACUUUUUAAUAAACUUGUUUAUAGUAUUUUGAAAUCUAAUUUAGGAUUACUCGUCUCUCCUGCUUAUAAAACUAAAAUACAAGUGGAAAAGAAACUUGGAGGUCAUUAAACUAAUGCAUUCAAUAUAUAGCUUUUUCUUGAGAUAUGGUUGGAGAUUGCUCCUAGAACUAUGCAUUCAAUGUGGAGGUUCAUUACAACUAUAAACUGGUAGGCAUUAUGUUUCAAACUUAUAAACCCCAUAGUUUACUACAUAAGGCAGAAUUAUAUAUGCUGCAUGCUAAGGCUCAACAAAAAUCAUAAGUAAAUAUCACCAUAAAUGGCGUUGAAUUAUUCCCUUUUCGAGGAAAAUCGAUCAAGUGUGCUUCUGCAGGAAAAUACCAAAAUAUAAAGGAUAAAUAUGCUUCUCUACAGUUGAAAUUAAAUGUGAUAACCUUCAAGCAAAGAAAUCUUUUAGGAAAUUAGAUUAAGUGAUUUCAUGGUAAUUAGUAACCUUGGUCUUUAUGUGUCAUAUGUUUCACUGUUACUUUUAGAAUAUCACUGUUUAGUUGUAACAUGAAAUGCAAACCAGAUCAGAUAGAUUAGUACAUGCAAAAGUGAAAUCAAGUUGAAAUACUGAAACAGCAUCACUUAUUGCCCAAAAAGAGUAACAACUAAAACAAUAGACUCAAAUAUUAAGCUCAAGAUACCAGAAGAUGUUUGUCCUUCCUUUCGACAAUUCCAAUAGAUGUCUGAACGUAAGAGGUCCAGUAGGGAAGACCCUGUUCCUACAAACCCAACAACAUCCUUUAAGAAAAUCUCAUUUUUCAUAAGAAGUUUAACAUCAUAAGCACUUUUUAUCUCUUGCUUACUAAAAGUAAGUCAUAAUUCAAAAGUAAAAUACUCAUUGAGGAUAGAUAAGCAAUAAGCGGUCUAAAUCAUACAAGAUCAGGAUGAGAAACAUCAGCAUGCUGUCAAAUGAAAACUAAUUUAACCAUGUUGCUGAGAGAAACACCAAUACUUUGAUAACUAACAAGAUUCAGAAAGAUACAACCCGACUUAGAGAAAAAAUGUUCCAGCCAUGAUACCAUACUGACAUUAUUAUAGAGAUUUGAGGGCCAAUCAUGAUGAAGCGUAAUUUGAGAAAUUGGGUACUUUCCAGGUAUGACUGGGAUACACUAAUGAAACAGCCUAAUAACUUUAAGGUACGGUGGGGUUCAAAACAACACUAGGCUUCUCAUGAUUAAUAAAGUAUGGAUAAUUUGGAAUAAAACUUAUUAAAUGAGAGAAACUUUAUGUAGAAUAGUGUAAAAUUAAUGGCUUUAAUUACUUGAACCAAAGUGGCCCUCAUCAAAUUUCAUUUCAAAGAGUAGCAUUCAGCUUUCAAGACUACCAAUAAUCAUAAGUUAAUUACAGAAUGUACGAUAAGUUAACAAAAAUUCUUCUAGUUACCACAUGUGUAAAUUAAUAUUAUAGUUGAGUAUAUAUGGGUCUUUUAGUGAUGUAUUCCAGCUGUAUCAAUAUCCUAUAUUUCUAUAGUUUGCCCUGUCAAUGUCUAGGUAUUGUUGUGACUUUCUUGUAUCCAUGUCUAUGCUACAUGGAGAAGAGACAACAUGACAGCAAUGGUAACAUUAAACUAAACUAAAUGGAUAAAUACAUUGAUAAAAGAUCUAAUAGAGCAAUAAAAGAUCAUGUAUGAAGUUCAUCUUCCAAAGAUCAGGGACAUGGCUAUGUCACAACCAAAUUAAUUGCAAUGAGCUCAUUGGCAAUCCACACCAAAGAAUAAAUAACUGAGAGGCUGAAACAGGCAGAAAAGCAAACCUUUUAUGUUGGAGGAGUAAACAAUAGAGGAUGCCUAUUGCAAUCCUUCAACAGGUAAUGAAGACUCGAAACAGAGGCUGAACUAGCAAAAUCUGAUCCCAGCCAGCCCCGUCUCUUAGGGAACAAUCAUAAUGAGUAAGAAAAUGAAUUGAGGAUAUGUACAUGGAGGCAUAGGGAGCAGAAAUGGACAGUAUGUAUACAACGUAACAGUCAGAAAAAUAUAAGCUGUGGUGGCAUGUUUAAACACAGUAGUGAAGGUAAAAACAAAGCAAAUGGAUUGUUUAUUUCAUAUUCAGAGAUUAGGCAGUAGAGUUGGUUCAACUAUUGAUAUGAAAAGAAGAACCAGCUUAUCAAAUCGAGGUCCUUGAAACAGAUUAAUAAAUCAGAGGUACAAAACACAGUAAAAGCGGAAAAUAAACAAGGUUAUAAAAUUAACCUAUUCUGAAUGUUAUCCAACCUAAAUGCUCAACCAAAACACGCAUCACUCUCCACAUAAGUUAAGUUUGAAUCUCACAAUGCAUCAGACUUGCUCCGCAUGAUUAACUUUUAACAUGUAGUAUUCAUAAUAAACAAAGGGAGUCAAAAUAGAAGCUACAAUGUCAUACCUACCCUCAUCAACAAGAGAUGGGCAAAAAAGGUUUGUAGAGCACCACUGCCCCUCCUCCCCUUCUCCACCCUCCCCACCCCUCCAUACCUCCUCCACCCAAUGGACAUAAUUUGGGCAAUCUCUGAUGCCAAUCCCGGAAGGAACUGAUAUAAAAGAUUUGAUCUCAAAAUUCUAUAUACCUAAAAUUGGUUUAACAAUUGAUUUUCAGUUGGAAAAAAUCUUAAUAUCUUCAUUGAAAGUCAGCUGUCUCCCAUACCAAAGGCUAAUCCACUGAUCUCUUUAUCUUCCCAUAUCACUCCAGUCUUCCAGCUUCUUUUCCCAACAUGGCAAACUAUCUUUUCUGGUCUUGAAGCAUAUGAGGUAAAAGAUUGUUAAAAAACACUUAGACCCAUCAUAUUCAUCUAAUUUGGAGCGUCUCAACCCAUAGUCAGGAAAACAGAUAUAUACUGUUUUCCAUCCCUAUCUCUAUCAUUUACUCGUUUCAUCAUUCAAAGAAAAAAAGAAUCAUAUAUUCUUUCUCUCAAGCAGUUUAAAAUUCUACGCUUUCAGGGUAUGAUCUUAGUUUCUAGUCCACAAAUCUCCACCAUGAUUCAGUGAACUGCAUGAACCACCCCAAACUCCACUUUCCACUAAUGAAUUUAUGACCCGGGCCUUUCACUUACAUAUCUAAAGAAUGAGGGAUAUAUGAUUCUUGUUAUCAUAGAAACAUGGCCAAGAAAAAGACUAAAAACUCAGGGACCACCAGAGAGUCAUGAUUAGGUUCUCUGUUUGGUGCUCCGCUGACAAAAGUACAAAGCAAAAAAUUGCAGUUUAAAUUAUGAGAAACUAAUUGUAGGCUUGUCACAGUUUACCUCAAAGAACUAAUAAAAUUAAACCAUUUCCAAAACUAAAAAAUGCUUUUGCCAAUUCUUUAACUGUUGGUCUAACAGUCAAAACAACAUCAAUUGGCUGUUGGAUGACAUUAUUUUUAACUGCAAAUACAAGACCAGAUAAUUUGCAACCAACAAAUUACAUUAUAAAACCUUGUUCAUCUAUUUCACUAUAAUUAUCCUAUUUUUAUUCAAUUCUAAUAUAUAUAUUGAUUUUCCUUUUGAAAAAUUAUCAUAAUUUUGAAACUUAUGUUCAAACUAAUUUUCCCAAAUUCACCCAAUUCCAAAACAACAAUCCUGGUUUGGCCAAUACCCAUUUAUCAAUUUUGUUUUGCAGACAAACUCUAUAAUCAUAGUUCCUUUCUGUAACUUUUCAGGGUUAGCAACAGAAAUCAUAGCCUUCUAUCCCACACCACAAAAAUUCUUUUUCUCACAGAAAUAUGGGAAAACUAAUUAAAGGAAAAGAACAAGCCCAUCAGCUCUUAACCUUCCUUGUACCCUUCUACCAAUCGGUACAUGAAUUCAUUUGCCAAAAUUAUACAUACAUCAAAACAAGAGAGGGAACAAUUGAAUUUUUACAAAUAAUCAAGAACUUAGGCAUAAAAUUUACAAUAAAAACCAGAGAAAUUUACCAGAACCAUUGUUGGAAUCUGUAUUGUCUUGCCGUGUGGGCAUUUUGAGUCCCCAAGCGUUCAGACCCAGGUCAUCAAAUACAGCUAAAAUCUGAAUAUACCCAUCGUUCCUCUGUAUGCAGCAAAAUCCAAAUCAACCCAGAUAUCAAAACACAUUCAUAAUUCAAAACAUGAGGAACAGAGGAUGAACAGAGCAUUAAAUUUGAAAAGGGUACUCACAGAUACAAUGAAAAAACAAAACCUUUGAUUGAAGUUGGAGAUGAAUUGAUUAUCAAUAAUGGAUUGUGCCACCCAAAAGGAAAUUUAAAUACAAUUUGUAUUUGGAUAAUGGAAUUAUUUGGGAAAGAAACAAAGCCAAGAUUCAGGAUAAUGAUACGGGUAUGAUGAGAAGAAUCAGAACUUGGCUUUUUUUCUUUCCAACCAUUUUUUUUUCAGUUUUUUUUUAAUAAAAUAUAAAUGCCACCAAAAAAGUCAAGGUGGACAUUGGAUUUUGGGAAUGACCCAGCUUUUUGGUUGGUUGGUUGGUUUAUCAAUGCUGGAGCACUUCUGUAUCCCAACCGCUGCCAUAGCGCGUGUAAUACACUCUCGUUUAAAACGUAAAAAUUAAAAAUAAAUAAAUAAAAGAUAGAAAUAAAUCAAGCAAAAUUUGAGAUUUUUUUUUUCAUCAGGAAAAUUGAUUCGAUUAUUAUUUUUCAAUUAAUUAAAAAUUUCGAAUAUUUUAUCUUUAAAUAUAAUUUUAGCUAAUUUAAAGCAUUUUGUUAAAAAAAAUUUAAAUCAUAUUAAAUUUACUUCUAAAGAGUUGAAAGUUCUUUUCAAUUUCAAUGAGAAUUUUAUUUAGGUAAUUUUGUUAAAAAAUAUUUAUUUUUUAAAAAAAGAUCAUUCCGGCUUUUUCCUUUGAUUUCACACUUAUUAGCUGAUGUUUUGAAAGAGUUUUUGAUAAAAUAAAAAGAAAAAAAAAUAGAAAAGUAAAUUUUCAAAUUAUGAGUUCUCUUCCACUCGUUAAUUCACGAGGGCAAAAUAGAAGUAAUUAUUCUCUAGUUCUUUGAAAUGUUAGAGUAUAUUUGAAAGUCUAUAUCUUAUAAAAUUGAUUUUUAGAUUAGGAGGGUGUCCGGUAAAAUAACUUAAUGACUUAAUUUAAAUUAUUAAAUAAAUUAAAUAUAUUAAUUAAAAUAACCUAAUAUCAUAACUAAAUUUUUUUUAAAUAAUUUUAAAUAUUAAGUUAAAAUAAUUAACUUAUUCUUACUUAAAUAUAAUAUUAUAUUAAAAAAUAAUUCAAAAUUUAUAUAAAUUAAGCCGUUAACUUAUUAUUAAGCUGAUUUAUUAAAUACUUGCCCAAAGUGAAUAAACAAGCCUUUUAAAACUUUGUCUCAUGGGCUCGAGGGGGACGUUGCGGGUGAGACACCCACCAAACCGACCAACCUCAACGUGCAAUACAUUACAUGGAAGAGAUAAAGCUCCAAGAAGUUGAGAUAAAGCUGUCCACGUUUUAUCUGGAAAAUCAUGAUUUUGUGAAUUGGUUGAGUUGGGUUUCAACACUCUUAUUUAAGGGGUUGUAAUUAAGGUAGUAAGUCCUUCAAUAAAUAGGAAUUAACUUAAAGGGGUAAACUUGUAUUUAGGUGUCAAUUAAUGUACCUUUUAAUUUCAAUUCAUAAAGAAAGAAGAUUUAAAAAAGAUAAUUAAUUUAGAAUUUUGAAACUCUUUCCAUGAAUCAUGCUUGGUUGCAGUUCUAUUUAUUUAUUUAUUUUUAUUUUUAAAAAUUUUGGUUGAAUAUUGUAGAAUGAUCAAGAAGUAAAGAAAGUAAAAUAAUUUUUUUUACAAUUUUUUUAUUUUUAGAAACAAGAUACAAGGUGGAUGCAUGGGAAUUUAUCUCUAUAUAUAGUUUAUGCAUUUUUUUUUUCAAUAGGAUAAUUUGUAUAUUUUAUCAUUGAAAUUAAUUUCACCCAAAGCGAUGGAAAUCAUUCGGCACAAUCCAAUGUGAUGUUGCUUAGGAAUUGUAUUAAAUGUUACAAAAAUGUAUUAAUACUACAAGAAAUUAGGUUUUUAGCAAUAAAAUAUUUUGUCACUAAAAAUUUGAAUUUUGCCUACAAAAGCAUUUUUUUUUUAUGAAAAGUAUUUCAUGUCUUAUUUGUCGCCUUACACUCGUCAUUGAAAGUAUCCAAUGAAAAGUCCAAUUUCAUCUACUAAAGUUUUUCCUGAUAAAAUAUAAAUUUAAUUUGUAAAGGGUUUCUCCAAAGAAAUAUUGCAUCAAGAAAGGGACAAAUUUUCAUCAUUGAAAAAGAAAAAAAAAAUGUCCCAAAACAUUAUUAAUGAUUAAAAGUGACAAAUUCAUUUUGUUGCCAAAUUUUUAAUAAAAAAUAAUUGCCUAUAAAAAAUAUCAUCAAUGAAUUAUAAAUUUAUUGUAGAUGAUAUGAGAACAUUUAAUAUCAAAAUAUGUUUCAUUGGGAAAUAUCUUUAUUUAUGUGGUUACAUAUAAAUAAAAUUGGAUUUUUAAUAAUUCUUAAUGGAGGUAAUUUUUCUUGAAAAUUAAAUUUAUUAAGUCUUGAACUUAUGAAAAUAAUUUAAUUUUAAAAAAUUUAAGGAAAUAAAUCUUAUGAAUUAACAAUAAUUUUAAGAAGAAUUUAUAGCUUUUUGAAUACUUGAAAGAUAAAAAUUUUCAAUUAUUAGAAAUGUUAGAAGUACUUAAAACAAAGGAGAAAAGUUUACUUUUGGAAAAAUUAUUCUCAAGGAUUUUAAAACAUUUAUUUUAAAAUUAUUUUAUAAGAAUAUUUGUUGAUAAAGUUUUUCUUAUUGGAUAAAGUGUUUUCCAUGUUUUUUCAAUUUUUUUUUCAAUUUCCUUAUUACACCAAUCCUCAAUUAAUGGAACAAUUAAAUAUUUUUUUAAAAAAAUUUCAAGAUGGAUAAUUUAUUAUUAAGGGAAUUACUAAAAGUUGUAUUUUUAGUAAUUUUUAAUGACAUAAAUUAUUAUGAAAAUAAUAUUCCAUAUUUAAGGAUAUUUAUUAAAUUGAAAAGGUGUAGGAAUAAUGAAAAUAAGUAUUAGGAGGAAUUUUAAAUAUGAGAGCUAAAGUUCCAUCUUAAAUUUAUUCUUUAAUAUUUAAAAUAUUUUCUUUAAGUUUAUUUUUGAGAAUCCUUAAGAAUUAAUUUUUUUUUUAGUUGGAUAAGAUGCUCUUUAUUUUUCAAAAGUUUCAUAAAUUGGAAGUUUUCUUAUUACACAAGAGAUUCCAAUUUGGGCAAUAAGUAUUUUGAAAAUUUUCGUUAGAGAUAAUUUAUUAUUAAAGGACACUACCAUGAAGGUUUAGUAAAACUUAAUUAGUAAGUUGAUGGAAAUAGAUUUCUUUGAAAAUACUAAAGUUCCCUUUUAAAUUUAUUAUUUAUGAUUUAAACUGAAUCUCAGAAGAAUUAAAUAUUUCUUAAUUAGAUAAAGUGCUCUCAAUCUUUCAAAAUAUCAUAAAUCAGAAGUUUUCUUAUUACACAAGAGAUUCCAACAUGGAGAAUAAGUAUUUAGCAAUUUUUAUUAGAGAUAAUUUAUCAUUAAAGGACAAUGCCAAGAAGGUUUAAUGAAACUUAGCAAUUUAAUGAAAAUAGAUUUCUUUGAAGAUAUUUCCAAGAUAAAAUAUUUAUUAAAAUUAACAUAUGUGAAAGAAGGAGAAUUUUAUGAAAAUAGAUUUUAAAAUCUAAAAGUAAAGAUUUUAUCUAAUUAGCUUUUGGAUAAAAUACUCUCAUAUAAAUUUUAAGAUUUUCAAAAUUUUGUUAUUCUAGGCUUCCAAUUAGGAAAUAAAUAUUUCUUUAGAAAUGUUCAUAGAAGAUGAUUUAUUCAUUAAGGUAAUUAUUAAGGUUUUGAAAGCUCUUAAUUACUUCAAAAUAUUAAGUGGGAAUGGACCCUCGGCAAGCUCAUAGCUUCCAAGAUCAACUCAUCUUGAUUUGGCUUAUUAUGUACUAUCCUAAAGACGGUUUGGUCCAAGAAAUCAAAGGAUAUGAACUGUGAAUUUUCUUAAGAAUAAGAUUACAUAUGUUUGUAGUGAGAGUAGUCAAUCCUAAAGAUGAAACUUUUCAUUUAGUCCUAAGAGCAUUACAUUAUUGUUAAACUUACCAACUACCUCGAAUGCUCAUUGAUCAAUGCAUGAAUUUAAUUAUUUUUAUAGGUAUCAUCUCUUUCUAUUCCUAUCACCUCUAUUUUCUCAAGUGGACCUCAUCAAGUGAACUAGAAAAAUAAUUUAGAUAUAGUAACUAACAACAUAAAAGCUAAAAUAGGUAACAUAUAGAGCUAACCAAUCCUUAUGAACAAACCUAGUAAGAAGAAAAAGUGGUAUAUAUAUCAAAGAUGACCUAAGAUGGAUUCGAAUACCAAGUGUCUCAUACUUAGGUGUUUGGAUAAUGUGUUGUAACAACAACAUAUGUUUAUUGUCAUGGUCUAUAACAUUCUUUUUAGUUUGCAAGGAAUAUUUGGUGAUAAGGGUGGAUCAUUUAGAUAAAUUGCCCUUAGGAUUAUUAUGAACACGAGGUUUGUGUGAUCUUAAAGACCUCAUUGAAUUCCUUUAGGAUGACUAAGGGGAUUCUCAAGGAUUAGAAGAAUGUUCAUAUGGAAGUCAAAGGUUUUUCAAAUUCUUCUACCAUGAAUAAGAAGAACAAUACUAGAUAAGAAAAGUUUAAUAUAAGGAAUGGAAAAACAAGCUCUAGAUAGUUAUUCUUUUGUGACCUUUUUUGGACAUUGGAAAAAGAAUGUUCGGAUCACCUAAUGAAAAUGGAAAGUGCACAUCAUAUUGUCAUUGUUAAAUGUAUAGUGGUAGAUACAUUCUAGGCCCAAUAUUUGCAAUUCUUUACAGGUUUUCAAAAAGUGAGAAGGUUACAUGAUAAGAAUGUAGUUACCUUAGCCUUGGUUGCAAGAUUAACUAUGUAGGCUAGUGGGAGAUACUACUUCUUUCUUGUAUUACUCUACUACCACUCUUUCCUAAUAAUAGGAAUUGUCUAAUCUCACUAAAAUUAAGGAUCCAAAAACUAGAUGUCUAGGACAUUUGACAUUUUUAUUCUAGAAGAACUUUUAGUCUAUGAAUCUUGUAUAGAAGGUAAAAUGAUCAAGAUAGUCCUUUACUACUAAAGAACAUAGAGCUAAGGAAUAUUUGGAAUUAGUAUAUAAUGAAAUGUGUGUGACUUUUAGUGUUCAUGCAUGGAGAGGGUAUGAGUACUUCAUCACUUUUAUUGAUGAUUACUCUAGGUUUAGUUAUAUGUACCUAAUAUGUAGAUAAUUCAAUGCCUCAGAUAAAUUCAUUUAACUUAAGACAGAAUUGGAUAAUCUAUUGGAUAAACAUAUUAAGACACUUUAAUUAGAUCAAAGUAGUGAGCUUAUAUCUAGUAAGUUUGAUCAUUUCCUUAGCGAGUAUGUGAUUAUAUCUUAGUUGAAUGCACUCGAAAUGUCAUUGCAAAAUAGAGGAGAGAAGAAAUGUUAUUUUUAUUAAUGAAAAAGGAAAAUACUUCCAACUUUGAAGGUCAUAGGGUACGAAUAUAGAAUAUUCUAAUGAUUCUUCAUUUUUUAAUCUUAUCCUUUUCCAUGGUGUUUUUGCUAGAUCUUUUUAAUGGGUUCCUUCUAGAGUUUAUAGAUAAUGAUAUCAUAAGCUCUAGGAUAGUGUGAUUUUAUUUCAUCAUUUCCCAAGCUUUUAUAAAAAAGUAAAGUGUUUGUGACAUUGAAUUUUGGGGGGUUGUAUUUAUUAUUCUAACAUGUGGUAUUGUACAAAGCAUUUAGUUGUAGACUAGAGGUCAUUAGAAUCUUAACAUUUUUUCCUUGCAUUUUUUUUUUCAAACAUAUUAUUAGAUAAACUUUAUUCCAUUCUUUUUCUAGUUUUUCCCAUUGUAAGUGAAAAAAAAAAUCUUAUUCUUGAAUUGUUAUGUUUUACGCUCUACGAACCACCAUAAAAAGGAGGAGGGAGGGGGGAUUGAGCAGUUAUUCUUGCUCAUAUGAUAAUGUGUUGGAUUGAACAUCCAUGACUACGAUUAAUAUUAUAAAAUAAAAAUGGUAUGCUGCUUAUUAGUUGUUGUAUGUAUAAUUUAAAAGUUUUAUGUUCUUCCUAUCUCUAUUUACAGGUUGCAAAGGCAACUAGUUUGUCAAAAAAAAAAAAAAAAAAAUCAUUACACCGAAAAUCAUGAAGAUUGCAUCAAUGAAAUCAUUAGGAGGUUGAAUUAGGUUUUUCUAUAUUAUGAUUUAUCUUUGUAGUCAUUACACUACUGUUUAUUCAUGUGUUGAAAGAAAAUUAUAAUUUUUUUAUUGAAAUAUUUUGAUUUAAUUAACAAAUUUUCUUCAAUAACUAUCCUUGACUCAUGCUGAUUUUCUUAUAUUCAAAUCCAUUAAAUCAAAGGAAAAUACUAAAGUACCAUAGUGGUACCUAUCGAACAAAAAAUUUACAUUAUUAAAUAUGAUUAAUGGUGAGAUCUAGACUAUUAAAUAAUUGUAUGAACGAAUAAAAUUAAGGUAUAAUGAUACAAAUAAAUGAGACUAGAAUGUAAAUAAUAAGAUUAGAAAAUAUAUAUUUAACACUACUUGAUCGAUGAUGUCUUUUCGAUAGGUAUAAAAAAAAGUACGAUUCGAUAUACUGAAACCCCAUUCAAAUGUUACCAUUUUUUCUCGGGAUGGAAGGACAAUGUUUUGUUCAUCACAUAAUAUUAGCCUGGCCCUUACGGCAAAUUCUCUUUCAUACGUUCAAAAACCAUAACAGCCAUUCAUUUCAUUAGAAAUUCUCCAGCACAGUUUUCUUCCAUGGACUUGACUUAUUGAUACAGAAAGUUGACCGCGACCAAUCUUAUGGACACCAAUUUUAUGAAUAAAAUGUAAGCUUAAUCUUGUCAUUAUGUCAUCAUGCUUGCGAGCUCAUUGGUUUACCCAUAAUCAUUCCAUAGAUCAUAUUUGUGUUUGAUGUAUGUAUGUUAGAAGAUUUAACUUAGUCUUCAUGGAGCUUGAAAGUCAUUUUUUAUUUUUUUUAAUAUUUCUAAGUUUUUUAUUUGAAAGUUAGAAAUUGAAAAAAAAAUAAGCAUUUUUUUUAAUUACCAUUUGAUAUAAAUUUUUUUUCAGAAAUCAUUUUUUCUUUAGCAAAAUAUUAUCAAUAAAAUAAAUAAAUAAAUAAAAACCCACUUGGGUUAUAUCUAAAUAUUAAGGGUGACUGAAUGCUAAAAAUCCAAGAAUCCUAUGCUCCAGCUUAAACAGGAAAAAGUAGUUAUCUAACACAUUAGGGAGGAAGAGGUCUCAUCUGAGCGAGGCUGAUGGAAACUGGUCAUCGAAGCAGUCAACACGGUUGUCAUUUAGUGAGGUUUUACCAAAAUGAGAAGCCCAUGAAAUUUUCCUGCUCCUGGGGUUCUCACCAUUGAAAACUACACAAUCCAUGGAAACCACGUUCAAAAUUUCUACGACCAUUAGCUAGCACAACAUAAACCAUUUCUUCUGGAUCUGUUGUACAAUUUGGGACUGAUUUCUGCAAAGUAACUAACCAUGGCUUUUGUUGGAGAGGCUUUUCUAUCUGCUUCCAUUCAGAAGCUUGUCGAUAUGUUGGCCUGCCCCGACCUCCGGAAGUUCGCCCGCGAAGAACAAGUCCACGCCGAGCUCAAGAAGUGGGAGGGAAUACUGCUGAAAAUCCAUGCAGUGCUUCAUGAUGCUGAGGAGAAGCAGAUGACUAAUCGGUUCGUGCAGAUAUGGUUAGCCGAGCUCAGAGACUUGGCCUAUGAUGUUGAGGACAUCUUGGACGACUUCGCCACUGAAGCUUUACGGCGCAACCUGAUCAAAGAUGAUCCUCAGCCAAGUACUAGUACGGUACGCAGCCUCAUCUCCUCCUUAUCUUCUCGUUUCAAUCCAAAUGCUUUGGUGUAUAAUCUCAAUAUGGGGUCUAAGAUAGAGGAGAUCACUGCAAGAUUACAUGAGAUUUCUACCCAAAAGGGUGACCUGGAUUUGAGAGAGAAUGUUGAAGGGAGGUCCCACAGGAAGAGAAAAAGAGUCCCUGAAACAGCUUCUCUGGUGGUCGAGUCUCGUGUUUAUGGCAGGGAAACUGAUAAAGAGGCGAUACUUGAAGUGUUGCUGAGGGAUGAAUUGAUUCAUGAUAAUGAAGUCUGCGUGAUUCCUAUAGUCGGCAUGGGAGGUGUCGGCAAAACUACACUUGCCCAGCUUGCCUACAACGACGACAGAGUGAAGAAUCACUUUGAUCUGAGGGCUUGGGUUUGUGUUUCUGAUGAUUUUGAUGUUUUGAGGAUAACAAAAACGCUUUUACAGUCAAUUGCUUCUUAUACCCGUGAGAUCAAUGAUCUAAACUUGCUUCAAGUCAAGAUGAAAGAGAAAUUGUCUGGAAAGAAGUUUCUGCUUGUUCUAGAUGAUGUCUGGAACGAGAACUAUGACAAAUGGGAUAGCUUGUGCACUCCCUUGCGAGCUGGGGGACCUGGAAGUAAGGUUAUCAUCACUACUCGCAACAUGGGUGUCGCGACACUUACCAGAACGGUUUCGCCUUACCUUCUGCAGGAGCUGUCAAAUGAUGAUUGUCGAGCUGUGUUCGCGCAGCAUGCAUUGGGAGCAAGGAACUUUGAAGCUCAUCCGCACUUGAAAAUAAUUGGAGAGGAAAUGGUGAACAGGUGCAGGGGCUUGCCUUUGGUGGCAAAGGCCCUAGGAGGCAUCUUGCGAAAUGAACUAAACCAUGAGGCAUGGGACGAUAUAUUGAAGAGUAAGAUCUGGGAUCUACCAGAAGAGAAAAGUGGUGUUCUUCCAGCUCUCAAAUUGAGCUAUCAUCACCUGCCAUCUCAUCUGAAGCAGUGCUUUGCUUAUUGCGCUAUUUUUCCCAAGGGAUAUGAAUUCAAAAAGGAUGAAUUAAUCCUUUUAUGGAUGGGAGAAGGAUUUCUGCAGCAAACAAAAGGGAAGAAGCGAAUGGAGGACUUAGGUUCCAAAUACUUCUCUGAGUUGUUAUCAAGGUCGUUCUUUCAACAAUCAAGUAACAUAAUGCCACGAUUCAUGAUGCAUGAUCUCAUCCAUGAUUUGGCUCAAUCUAUUGCCGGAAAUGUAUGUUUGAAUUUGGAGGAUAAGUUGGAGAAUAAUGAGAAUAUUUUUCAAAAGGCUCGCCAUUUGUCAUUCAUUCGUCAGGCCAAUGAGAUCUUCAAAAAAUUUGAAGUUGUCGAUAAAGGGAAGUAUCUUAGAACUUUUCUAGCUUUACCCAUCAGUGUAUCAUUUAUGAAAAGUUUGUCAUUCAUAACUACGAAGGUGACACAUGACCUCUUAAUGGAAAUGAAAUGCUUACGGGUACUAUCUUUAAGUGGCUAUAAGAUGAGUGAUCUGCCGAGUUCAAUUGAUAAUUUGAGUCACCUACGAUAUCUCAAUCUAUGUCGCUCUUCAAUUAAAAGGUUACCUAAUUCAGUAGGUCAUCUGUAUAAUUUACAAACCUUAAUAUUACGAGAUUGUUGGAGUCUCACUGAGAUGCCUGUGGGGAUGGGAAAUUUAAUCAACCUUCGACAUCUUGAUAUUGCUGGGACAAGUCAAUUAGAAGAGAUGCCCCCACGAAUGGGCAGCCUGACAAAUUUGCAAACAUUGUCUAAGUUUAUUGUGGGGAAAGGUAACGGGUCGAGCAUACAAGAAUUGAAGCACUUGUUGGAUCUUCAAGGAGAACUUUCCAUUCAAGGAUUGCAUAAUGUGAGAAAUACUCGAGAUGCAAUGGAUGCUUGUUUAAAGAAUAAGUGCCACAUUGAAGAACUAACAAUGGGAUGGAGUGGUGAUUUUGAUGAUUCACGAAAUGAAUUGAAUGAAAUGCUUGUGCUCGAGUUGCUACAACCUCAAAGAAAUCUGAAAAAGCUCACAGUUGAGUUCUAUGGAGGACCGAAAUUCCCAAGCUGGAUAGGGAAUCCUUCAUUCUCAAAAAUGGAGUCCCUGACCCUUAAAAAUUGUGGAAAAUGCACAUCGCUACCAUGUCUUGGACGACUAUCUCUACUCAAAGCCUUGCGCAUUCAAGGAAUGUGUAAAGUUAAAACCAUAGGUGAUGAAUUUUUUGGGGAGGUCUCUCUUUUCCAGCCUUUUCCAUGCUUGGAGUCUCUAAGGUUUGAGGAUAUGCCAGAAUGGGAAGACUGGUGUUUUUCUGAUAUGGUUGAGGAAUGUGAAGGAUUAUUUUCUUGCCUUCGAGAGCUUAGAAUAAGGGAAUGUCCCAAACUGACUGGAAGCUUGCCCAAUUGCCUACCUUCUCUGGCAGAGCUCGAAAUUUUUGAAUGCCCAAAGUUGAAGGCUGCACUUCCAAGACUUGCAUAUGUUUGUAGCUUAAACGUUGUAGAAUGUAAUGAGGUUGUGUUGAGAAACGGGGUUGAUCUGAGCUCCCUCACUACACUAAACAUUCAGAGAAUUUCCAGAUUAACUUGUCUAAGGGAAGGAUUUACCCAGUUGUUAGCAGCCCUUCAAAAACUGGUGAUAAGAGGAUGUGGGGAGAUGACAUCUUUGUGGGAGAACAGAUUUGGAUUAGAAUGCCUUCGGGGUCUUGAAAGUAUAGAUAUCUGGCAGUGCCAUGGACUUGUAUCCUUGGAGGAGCAAAGGCUGCCGUGCAAUCUCAAACAUUUGAAAAUAGAAAACUGUGCUAACCUGCAGAGGCUGCCUAAUGGUCUGCAACGUCUCACAUGUCUUGAAGAGUUGUCAUUACAGAGUUGCCCCAAACUGGAGUCAUUUCCAGAGAUGGGCUUGCCACCGAUGCUGAGAAGUCUCGUGCUGCAGAAAUGCAACACUCUGAAGUUACUACCUCAUAAUUACAACUCAGGUUUCCUUGAAUAUUUGGAGAUUGAACACUGCCCAUGCCUCAUUAGCUUUCCAGAAGGUGAGCUGCCUGCCUCACUUAAGCAACUGAAGAUCAAGGAUUGUGCAAAUCUACAGACUCUGCCAGAGGGAAUGACGCACCACAAUUCUAUGGUUAGCAACAACUCUUGUUGUCUUGAAGUCUUGGAGAUCAGAAAAUGUUCAUCCCUUCCAUCCCUUCCAACAGGCGAGCUACCCUCCACCCUUAAGCGGCUUGAGAUAUGGGACUGCAGGCAAUUUCAACCAAUUUCAGAGAAGAUGCUGCACAGCAAUACUGCACUUGAACAUUUGUCCAUUUCCAAUUAUCCAAACAUGAAAAUCCUUCCAGGAUUCCUCCACAGUCUCACGUAUCUCUAUAUAUAUGGUUGUCAAGGUCUUGUGUCCUUUCCAGAAAGGGGCUUGCCCACUCCCAAUCUCAGAGACCUUUAUAUUAACAACUGUGAGAACCUGAAGUCCCUUCCUCAUCAAAUGCAGAACCUUUUAUCUCUUCAAGAACUGAAUAUUAGGAAUUGUCAGGGCUUGGAGUCAUUUCCAGAAUGCGGUUUGGCCCCCAACCUUACUUCGCUCUCAAUCAGAGAUUGUGUGAAUCUGAAGGUGCCAUUAUCUGAAUGGGGCCUCCACAGGCUCACUUCUCUUUCAUCACUGUACAUUUCCGGUGUAUGUCCAAGUCUGGCAUCUCUUUCAGAUGAUGAGUGUCUUCUUCCUACAACUCUGAGCAAACUUUUUAUCAGUAAGCUGGAUUCCCUGGUCUGUCUGGCUCUCAAAAACCUCUCUUCCCUUGAAAGGAUAUCCAUCUACAGAUGCCCUAAGCUCCGGUCCAUUGGGCUGCCUGAAACGCUAUCAAGACUUGAAAUAAGGGAUUGCUAACAACAUCCCAAGAUGAAUUCUGCGCCCUGUAUAAAAAAAGGGAAAAAAAAACUCACUCAGGUAUGCCUAUUUGCAACUCAAUCCCAGUUUCAUAUUGUCCUGUUAAUCUGAUUUUCCAUGUGUUUAUUGAAGGCUUGGGUGGGCGGUGGCUUUUGACAGCAUCACCGGCUUAUGGCUAAAACCGAGUGUAAAAUCUCUUGCCCUGCUUAAGCUGUUUUGUUCUUAUUUGUUUCAGAUCAAGGAAGCCGUUCAAUGACUCACUUGUCGUUUGCAUUGUGUUUUUCCCUCCUUCAACAAGGUAUGCCUACUGCCUAUUCACAGUGUGCAUCUCCCAUUUUCAUUGGCAAAAUUCUGAGUUCAUUUCGAAAUAAAGAAUGGAAAUUUCUCUCUACUACAUACAGGAAGGAAAGAAAUAAAGAAGAAUAGAAACAUAUGAAAUCCAAAAUUUCCGAACAUUAAGCAGCAAAUUCACAUGGUGAUGGUAUGUUUUUUACCUCAAUCUUAGGUGAUUAUCUAUUUUGUUUUUCCUUUUGACAAUUCCCGAUAUGGGUUCCCCAAUUUUGUAAGUGGAUGGUUCCUUUUUGGAAUUUCUUAUUUCAGGUAGGAAGAAAAGAAUGAUGAAGGUGGUCAGUGCUUAUCAGGACUUGUUUUUCUGGUUUCUGCUAUUGUACACAAGCAUGAAUAUGUAUGCUAUUCUCAGUUACAUAUCAUAUACUUCUAUUGAUUUAUUUAUUUUCCAACUUCAAGUAAAGGUUGGUGUAGCGUAGUGUUUAUGACUUGUUCUAUUAUACUCCUCAAGCUGUUGUUGCAGAGGGGCCAGUUGCCUUCUCUUCUGCUUUCACACAGCAAUUUGAUUAGGCCCAAAUGCCAUAACCACCCCUUAAUUAACACUUACUCCAAGGCUUAACGAUUUGAAGGCUCCUGAUGGGACUUGACUAUCCCACAACACACCUAUCCUAAGGCUCUUUUUACCUAUAGUAUGUCUUAACAAUCACAACGGAGACUGACCAUCCCACAACACACCUGUCUUGAGGACUUUGGGCUUGCCUUACACACCUAUCCUGGGAUUAUUGUUUUAGCUAUCAUUUUCUCAAUGAGUCAUAGACUCGUAAUAUCACAUACCUAACAACUCUUCCCUUAACAUUCCAUUUCUAUACCUUAACCCCAUGACCUAGUUCCAAUACCACUUUUUGUAUGUUUGGAAAAAACUUUGAUAUCACUUGUUGUGUUGGAAAAAGCUCUAACAUUGAUUUAAUUAACUAUUUUUAUAUCCAUGGAUGAAAGAAAAUAAUUUCAUUGUACCAUAAAAAUAUUAUAAAUGACAAAAAAAAUCUCAUAUUUCUCUACUCCUUAUAUAUAUCUACACAUUGAAUCAUGAGCUAUUAUUCUACUUGGGGUUUUUCACUAGAUCUUUCUCAUAUUUCUAUCUAUCAUACAUAGUUUUUAUAAACUCAUUUUCAUCGUGUAAAUUUUUUGCUUUAAAAUAUAGAAAAUUUGUAAAGAUAUUUUAAUAACUUUUCUGGUAUAAAAAAAUCUAAUAUUAUAAUAUCAUAUCAACAUAGCAAAUAUUGUAUGUAAAAUUCAAUACAAUAUAUAUAUAUAUAUAUAUAUAUAUAUAUAUAUAUAUAUAUAUUAAUUAAGAAUUUGAGAUAGAUGACAACUAAUAAGGAAUAUAUACUAACUAGUCGAAUCCCAUUAAAUUUCAUGUACUUCUUUGUGUGAUUUUAUUAAAGCCAAGAAAAAUGGAACAUGUAAGAAAAUUGUAGAAGAAAUUUUGGUUAAAGGUGGAAUAAAUUAUUCUCUAAUAAGAAUGUAAUAUAUAAAACAUAUACUUCAUUAUCUGUAAUAAAUAUGGUCUUUCCUACGUAUUUAUUGGAUCUUGAAAGGUGGAAAUUAUGAAGUGGUCGAAUAGUCUAGUGCAUGAGGGGACCAUGGCUUAUGAGGGGACCAUGGUACACAAGAGGACCAUGGCUUAGGCGGAGACCAUGACAUGCGGAGAAGUUGUGGUAUGAAGUGAAAAUAUGGUUAAGAAAAGUAACCAAGUGGAGUAUAAUAACUGGUUGCCUUGAUUAUGGUAUAGUAAAGCAAUCGAGUGCAUCAAUAGAAAUAUGUGCAAAAAAUCUAUGCGUGUGUGUGAUGAAAUAUGUGUUACGAAGAGAAAAGAUUAACUCCAUGAAAUUUAAUCCAAGUUAGAAAGUGUCUCAAAUUACCAUUUUGCAUAUUCAUUUGAUAAAAGAAAUAUGGUUUUAUUAUUUGGCAUUUUCUAAAAAAGCUUAGGAUAUAUUUUUUAAAAUUAAUUAAUUUAUUAAAACCAAUUAAAUAAGUAAAAAGCUGCCAUUUUCCCUAUCUUCUUAUGGUCUUCUCUAAUGGGCAUUAGUUCACAUUUCACCUCACGAAUAUGAACUCAGAAGAGCAGCCCAUGUGCGGCAUUUUCAACAUACCAACCCUGUCGACCAACCGAGAAUAAGUCCAAGGACAUCCACUAAAGGUCUCACAUUUUGUAUUUUUGUGACUGGAACAGUCACUUUCCAUCGUUCAGACCGUCUGGACCGUCACUUCCACGGAAUUCAUUGCCGUAUUUCGUAUUUCCAAAUACUUUUCUUCUGAAGAGUUGCAGACUUCCCCUAAUCAUUUUUUAGCUACAAACUUUUCUUCUGAAGAAUAUCUAAUAUCUUACAGAUCUGUUGCAGAGAGUUCCCUUAAUCAAUCCCUUGUUACCCACAAGAAAAGAAAAAAAAAAGAAAAAGGAGAAAACAUGGCUGGUUUUGUUGGAGAAGCCGUUUUUUCUGGGUUCAUUCAGAAGUUGGUCAACAUGGUCGCCUCGCCGGAGCUCUGGAAGUACGCAUGUGAAGAGCAAGUGGAUUCUGAGCUGAACAAGUGGAAGAAAAUAUUGAUGAAGAUCUACGCAGUGCUCCAUGACGCAGAGGAGAAGCAGAUGACAAACCCCCUGGUGAAGAUGUGGCUACACGACGUCAGAGACUUGGCUUAUGAUGUGGAGGACAUCUUGGACGACUUCGCCACCCAAGCUUUGCGACGCAACUUGAUCGUGGCUCAACCCCAACCGCCCACUGGUACCGUUCGGAGCGUUUUAUCUUAUGUGUCUACUAGUCUCACUUUGAGUGCUGCUUGGUCCAAUUUAAGUAUGGGUUCCAAGAUAGAGGAGAUCACUGCCAGAUUACAAGAUAUUUCAGCCCAAAAAAGGCAACUGGAUUUAAGAGAUAUUUCUGCAGGUUGGUCUGGUAGAAAGAGACUACGGAGACUGCCAUCCACUUCUUUGGUGAUUGAAUCUCGUAUUUAUGGCAGGGAAACAGAUAAAGCUGCCAUACUUGCCAUGCUGCUCAAGGAUGAUCCAAGUGAUGAUGAAGUCUGCGUGAUCCCUAUCGUCGGCAUGGGAGGUAUAGGCAAAACUACUCUUGCUCAACUUGCGUUUAAUGACAAUAAAGUGAAGGAUCAUUUUGAUUUGCGAGCUUGGGUCUGUGUUUCCGAUGAUUUUGAUGUUUUGAGGGUGACCAAAACUAUUCUGCAAUCACUUUCUCCACAUACACGUUAUGCCAACAAUCUUAAUUUGCUUCAGAUUGAGCUCAGGGAGAAACUUUACCGGAAGAAAUUUCUUCUUAUCUUGGACGACGUUUGGAAUGAGAAUUUUGAUGAAUGGGAUAUUUUGUGCAUGCCGAUGAGAGCCGGAGCGUCAGGUAGUAAGCUUAUUGUCACAACCCGUAAUAAAGGGGUUGUAUCUGUUACCGGAACUUGUUCAGCUUAUCCCCUUCAGGAGUUAUCAUAUGAUGAUUGUCUAUCUUUAUUCACCCGACAUGCAUUAGGGGCAAGAAACUUUGAUGCUUAUCCACACCUGAAAGAAGUUGGAGAGGAGAUAGUCAGAAGGUGCAAAGGCCUGCCUUUGGCAGCAAAGGCGCUUGGUGGCAUGUUGCGCAAUCAACUAAAUCGCAGAGCAUGGGAAGAUAUAUUAACAAGCAAGAUAUGGGAUCUCCCGGAGGAGAAAAGUCAUAUUCUUCCGGCUCUCAAGCUAAGCUACCAUCAUCUUCCUUCUCAUUUGAAGCGGUGUUUUGCUUAUUGCUCGAUAUUUCCAAAAGACUAUGAAUUCGACAAAGAUGAAUUAAUCCUAUUAUGGAUGGCAGAAGGUUUUCUGCAACAAACAAAGGGAGAGAACCAGCCUGAGAAGUUAGGUUGUGAGUACUUUGAUGAUUUAUUCUCAAGGUCAUUUUUUCAACAAUCAACUCAAAAUUCAUCCCAAUUUUUAAUGCAUGAUCUUGUUAACGAUUUAGCACAAUCUAUUGCUGGAGACAUAUGCUUUAAUUUGGACGAUGAGUUAGAGAAUAAUAAGCAAUCCACGGCUGUUUCAGAGAAGGCUCGUCAUUUGUCAUUCAAUCGUCAACGUUAUGAGAUGAUGAGAAAAUUCGAAGCGUUUCAUAAGGCUAAGUGUUUGCGGACGUUAGUUGCUUUGCCACUCACUACUUUUUCUACAUAUUUCAUUUCAAGUAAGGUGCUAGAUGACCUUUUAAAAGAAAUGAAAUGUUUGCGGGUAUUGUCAUUAAGCGGUUAUUUCAUAAGUGAGAUGUUACCAAAUUCCAUAGGUGGUUUGAAACAUCUGCGCGCGCUAUUUGAAUUUAUCUGAUUCUUUGAUGAAUAGGUUACCCGAUUCAGUGGGUCAUCUUCAUAAUUUGCAAACACUGAUAUUACGCAAUUGCUAUAGACUUGUUGAGUUGCCUAUGGGAAUUGGAGGCCUCAUCAACCUUCGACAUGUUGAUAUUUCUGGUGCAGUUCAACUACAGGAGAUGCCCCCUCAAAUGGGAAACUUAACCAAUUUGCAAACAUUAUCCGACUUUAUUGUGGGCAAAGGUAGCAGGUCGGGUAUCAAAGAAUUAAAGAAUUUGUUGGGUCUCCAAGGAAAGCUUUCCAUUUCAGGGUUGCAUAAUGUGGUAGAUAUUCAAGAUGCAAGGAGUGUUAAUUUACAGAAGAAGCAGAACAUCAAAGAGUUAACACUGAAAUGGAGCAGUGAUUUUGGUGAAUCAAGAAAUAAAAUGAAUGAGACGCUUGUUUUAGAGUGGCUACAACCUCAUAGAAAUCUGGAAAAGCUCACCAUUGCAUUCUAUGGUGGACCAAACUUUCCAAGUUGGAUAAAGAAUCCCUCAUUCCCUUUAAUGACACACUUGGUUCUCAAGAAUUGCAAGAUAUGCACAUUGUUACCGGCUCUCGGCCAAUUAUCCUUACUCAAAAACUUGCAUAUCGAAGGGAUGAGUGAAGUUAGAACCAUAGAUGAGGAGUUUUAUGGAGGGAUUGUCAAGUCUUUUCCAUCCUUGGAGUUUCUGAAGUUUGAAAAUAUGCCAACAUGGAAAGAUUGGUUUUUUCCAGAUGCAGAUGAACAAGUGGGACCAUUUCCAUUCCUUCGAGAACUUACAAUAAGGAGAUGCUCAAAGCUAGGUAUACAGUUGCCUUAUUGCCUACCUUCUCUGGUUAAACUUGAUAUCUUUGGGUGUCCAAAUUUGAAAGUUCCCUUUUCAGGAUUUGCAUCUCUUGGUGAAUUAAGUUUAGAAGAAUGUGAAGGGGUGGUGUUCAGAAGUGGGGUUGGUAGUUGUCUUGAAACAUUAGCUAUUGGACGGUGUCACUGGCUUGUAACGUUGGAGGAGCAAAUGCUACCUUGCAAACUUAAAAUUUUGAAAAUACAAGACUGUGCUAACCUGGAGGAGCUGCCAAACGGAUUGCAAAGUCUCAUUUCUCUCCAAGAGUUGAAAUUAGAGAGGUGCCCCAAACUGGUUUCAUUUCCAGAGGCCGCUUUGUCACCCUUGCUCAGAUCUCUGGUGCUGCAGAACUGCCCAUCUCUCAUAUGCUUUCCAAAUGGUGAGCUGCCCACCACGCUCAAGCAUCUGAGGGUUGAAGAUUGUGAAAAUUUGGAGUCUCUACCAGAGGGAAUGAUGCACCACAAGUCCUCUUCCACUGUAAGCAAAAACACUUGUUGCCUUGAAAAAUUGUGGAUAAAGAAUUGUUCCUCUCUCAAGUUCUUUCCAACAGGGGAGUUACCCUCCACCCUUGAGCUCCUUUGUAUUUGGGGAUGUGCAAACUUGGAGUCAAUGUCAGAGAAAAUGUCACCCAAUGGCACAGCUCUUGAAUAUUUAGACAUAAGGGGCUAUCCAAAUCUGAAAAUCCUACCAGAAUGCCUUACAAGCCUCAAGGAGCUCCACAUAGAAGAUUGUGGAGGUCUGGAGUGUUUUCCAAAAAGAGGGUUGUCCACCCCCAACCUCAGGCACCUUCGUAUUUGGAGAUGUGUGAAUCUCAGGUCCCUUCCGCAUCAAAUGAAAAACCUCACAUCUCUUCACGUUCUCAGCAUACGGGGUUGUCCAGGAGUGGAGUCCUUUCCAGAAGCGGGCUUGCCCGCCAAUCUAACAUCACUUUAUGUUGGAUGGUGUGAGAAUCUGAAAAAACCCAUAUCUGAAUGGAGCCUCUAUACCUUCACCUCUCUUUCUGCAUUGACCAUUUGUAGAGUGUUUCCCAAUAUGGCUUCUUUUUCGGAUGAAGAGUGUCUGCUUCCUCCAUCUCUGACCUAUCUUUCCAUCAGUGAACUGGAAUCUUUAACCUCCAUGGCUCUCCAAAAUCUGGUGUCUCUAAAAGAACUAGCUUUUUAUUGGUGCCGCAAGCUCAGGUCCUUGGAGCUGCCUGCAACACUUGGAAGACUUGAAAUCAGUGAUUGUCCUAUAAUAAAAGAAAGCUGCUCAAAGGAGAAGGGAGGAUAUUGGCCCAACAUCGCCCACAUCCCCUGCAUUCAAAUAGAUGGCUCAUACAUCCAUUGAAAGAUAGCAGAGUCAGAUUGAAAUACACUUUUCUCUUGUCAAGAAGGAGGAAUCCUUUCAAAUUCAUGCUUACAUUAUUCAGUCAGACUGAGAUUGAAUUACAACCCCCUUCUGCUUUUCUAGCCUUUGUUUACUUUCCAAUAUUUCCAAUAUUUCGUGCUCGAAAGUAUUUCAAGAGAUCCAAUGAUUCUGAAAUUGUAUGUAAUUAUUUCUCUUCAUAAUGCUGGUGAAGUUAUAACCAAUUUAUGUUCUUGCCUCAUACAUUCAGAGGGAUACGGCUUGGUAGAGAUGUGGCAGGAAGCAGAGGGUGAAGAUGACAGAAGAUCUUUGACAGAGGUUACUCACUGAGCUGGGGGCUAGGGAUUUGAGCACAUAGCUUCUUACAAAGAAGUUACUUCCCAAUAUUGUGGGAGUAUUGUGAUUUGAUUGUAUUGUCUUACUAUGAAAGUGGGGUGAUCAAAUUGACCACAUUGGUGAUGAUCAAUAAAGCCACGGGAAUGGUUAGGAUUAACAUUUACAUCAUUAUUCAUCCUGAUCUCAAUUGUCCCACUUUGGUUAUGAAGUGUUGCCUUAUUGUGAAAGGGGUUUUCAAAUUGACUACAUACUCUUACACCAUUUGUUAUGCUCAAAGUAGUCAUCUAAUCUAACAACCAAUUAAUUGCUCAAAAGAUCAAUGUGUUUAUGUGAUUCAAGGAACAUCAAAUUAGUCAUAAGCUAAUACAAUCUUAAGGUCAACACUAAGAUGAUAAUACUACUAAUGGGUUGUUAUUAAUUUAUAUUAAAGUAUUAGAGUUGUACAUAAUUCUAUAAAUUUUCAAAUUAUUAGAGAACAAAAUAAUUUUCUAAAUGCUUGGGAAGAAAGAUGCAUAUAUAAAUAACAUGAUUAGCAUAAUUAAGUGGAGUUGAUUUUUGUUACAAAGAAGGAACCAUAAAACCAAUGGGGGUACAUCAUUUCCUUUAUGUUAUAGGAAAUUGCCUUAGAAUGUAGCACUGCUUCCAAUAUUAUUUGCAUAAACAGAAUAUAUAAUUAUAAUUAUUAUAUAUAUAUAUAUAUAUAUAUAUAUAUAUAUAUAUAUAUAUAUAUCUAUAUAUAUUAAAAUCCCUUCAAAAAUGUAUAAAAAGCUGUUAACAUUUGUGUCCCCUUCCCCUUGUCUCCCUUCAGUGAUGCAUAUUAAUUCAUCUUUCACCUCAAUGAGCGGUGCUUGAUAUUGACAUGGUGGGUAUGGAAACCGUGUGGACCUCCCAUUGAUUGAACCAUUGAAUCCAAUGCCAGCCUCCCAGUUUCAAAAUAUCAAAGCCAUUCAACCAUGAUAUUAACAUGAUUAAAAUAUCAACAUAGUUUCUCAACAUGAUGAUAACUGAUCUUUAAAUGUUUUAGGAAAACAUUCAAGUGCUCGAAUUCGAAUUCAAAUCAAGGGGAAAAGGGCUUAGAUGCAACAUAGUAAAUUGUUUUGGAUUUCCUUGAAACAUAGUAAAUUUAGUAUUUUUUUCUGCAAGCGUUUAUAAUUAAUGGACUUAGAUGUGGAUACCUAGAUGCAGUUUUCUAUUCCAAUAUUAGAGUUGCUAUGGAAAAGAUGAAUGAAGGAAACCUAUAAAUGAUGAAACUUAAGCUAGCCAAGGACGCAGAGGAUUCAAGUUGGUGCCGAAUCAAAGAAUGAAGAAUCAUGCAUUGCUUUCCAAAUAUUCCUAACUUGUAAUGUUUACUUGUCACUCAUUCAGCCUCUUCCAUUGUAAUCCUAAACUGAAACUCCCUGUAAACUAUCUUGAACUAUUACAUUUUCAUUAAUAAUGUUUCCAAAGUUCUCACAAGUUCUCAUUUUCCUUUCCUGCUUAUUUGACCUCCAAUUUCCAUUGUACAUUCAGAUGGGUCCAGCUCGACAGGAAUGUUCCAUUCCUUGAUGAAUAGAUGAUUUUGGCUGCAGUUGCUAGUCAAGCAAUGAAAGCAAACAAAUACGUACGUCUGCCCAUCUGCCCAUUCACGAUACCUGACUUCCAAUUUCAGUGGCUUACCAUUUCCACUUUCAGAUACUAAUAGAAAAUUCCUCUGAAGAUGUAGGAAGGGGAAAAGAAUGGUGAAGAUUAUAUGAAAAUUUUCCUACUCAUAGCUGCAAUCUAUUCCCAUGUUGGUAUGUUAUUGAUUUCUCCAAAAGAUGUUAUUUUUUUCCUUUUAUCUAUUUGUGCAAGUUGAUUGACUUCAUUCUUUAUACUAGCAUACUUCUAUCACCAAUUUAGUUGUUUUUUGUAAGAUGUUUCAUUCAUGUCUUCACCAAGAGGUGGAUUUUGUGCAAGUUAUGUCUUGGCAUCUUCUCUUAAUUUUGUUCUCAUGCUGCUUUGAUCCUCUGUUUUGGCAGACACAACUUUCUUCUAGCUUAGUGUGAUUGACCUGACUUUACAUAUAUACUUAUGAAUUGUUUUGCUGCAAAGCAAUGCAGUUUCAUGUAUGAAACUCUGAUGUGAUAUCUUUUGAUUUUAAAAUUCCGGAUUGCAUUUACUCUUUUCAGGAAUUAUAUGUUACUUCUUUAGAGCUUUGAGACUAGAACAGUAUCUCAAAAUUAAUAGAAGUUCAUUGUUUGCUUAUGCAUGUUAACUUUAAGGACAAUUUAUGUUGAGGCUAUAACAGUUUCAUUUCGGUUUCAGUUUUGUAAGAAGGGCUGUUGGUUGCAACUCUUCUGAAUUUUAUUUUUAUAUCACAAAAAUGGAAACAGAGACCAUGUCAUUCACAAAAGACAACUCUUAUGGAGUUGAUAUGAGUUUCUAAUUUGACACUCGAAAAGUUGAAACAUAAAUUUUUCCCUUUGAUACCAUUGAAAUUCUCCUGCAGUUCUGUUCAUCUCAAAUGUCCUAAGCUUAUGUCAUUAUUUUCCAAAGGAAAUUUCCUAUUCUAAACAAAAUGUCUAAAGGAGAAAGAAGGAUAUUGAUUCAAACUACGUAGAUCCCCUGUUCUGCUAUUUCAUUGGUUGUAUGAGUUGGAACUAAAUUCUGUUUUCCCUGAACAAAAAUAGAAGCAGAUACCUUACUUCCUUCCCUUGUUUCAUGCAGGUAUGCCUGCCUACUCACAAAUCAACAACGGUUAUAUCAAUGGUUCAACAACAGUGGUAGUUGUUAUAUAGACAGAAAUUUCCUUUCUGCAUGUAGGAGGAAAAGAACAACAAGGGUGAUGAAUUAAAAAAAUUUCCAACCAAAGCUCAGCCUAUUCAAAUGGUGGUUUGUUAAGGACGUCAACUGUAGAUGAUGGCUUUUUCUCUUUCUUUUCAAGUAAGUCUGAUAGUUUUCUGCUCUGGAGGUUGAUAUGCUCAUCUUUUGUUUCAUUGUGAUGGUAUGGCAAAGUAAAUUACUCUUCGAUUGAUCACUAUAGCUUUUCAUUGAUGGUUUCACUAGAGAUUGAUUUGGAAUGCAAUUAUGUAUGGCAUUCUCUUGAGUUCUGUUCCUCACAGUGCUCUUUUCCUCUAUUCCCCUUUCUUUGUACAAUUAUGAUAUUUAUAUUUGUAUGUAUGAUUUUUCAAGAUGAAAGAAACUUGAUCAGCAUCCUAUUACCUUUUGCAACAUUUUGACCCUGGCAUCACCUCUGUAUAGUUCCAGCAUGGCUUAUGAACUCCUUUGCCACAAAACAAAGGCAUGUGUGCAUCUUGAGGUCUAGUAAGAUAUAUUUUAGUUGCACAAAACCUUUAGGCUCCCUUUGGAUCAUUAAAAGAGCUAAGGACAAUCAUGGUAGAAAUAUCAAAAUUCUCUUAUUUGGUUUACCAUGGAAAGUACAAAGCAAAAUCAAGUAUAAUCAAAUUUAACUAAAAUUUUACAUAUUUUUUAAUUCUUCAUUCUUUACAUAGAGGAAGAAAAAAACACGUGUUUGAAGAAACAUGUAUGAAAAUAUUAUUACGUUUAAUAUGUAUUUUAUUAUCUUUCUUCGUCUUUACUUUCAUUCUACUUUCUCCUUUUUUCCCCUCAAAUUUUCCAUGAUCCGAACAAAGUCCCACUGUUUUUUAUUUUAGAUCUUUCACAAAAAUUGCUUUGAAGGAGAAAGAAGGAUGUGUUUGAAAGUUUUUAAAACAAAAUGUAUAUUACACUUAAUAAACACGAAGCAAUUUCCUCUUUGACCUAUAAUCUUCCUCUUUUUUACCAUAUCAUUGUUGGUGCAUGGAUGAUGUGCUUAACAAAUAUCCUAGCACAACAAGAAUUGCAUGGUGAUGUUUAAGGUUGUAAAUGUAAUUGUAUUACAAUGUAGAAAAUUUUUUAAUUGUGAUGUUUUUUUAUUCGUACUUAUUUUGGCAUCUAGACUUAAUCUUAUGCAUGGCAUUUCCUCUGUGCUACAAAGUUUGCCUUUGGUCGGACAAAAAUGAUCAAUGAAUGUCAUGAUAAAGGUUUUCCUGAAGGCUUCCUGUUAAUCAAUUUGACCUUAACUUUCUCUAAGUUUGGGAAUGAUUGGGAAUAAUUGCAGAGUGGUUGUGGAGGGAUUUUACGUGGCAAAGAAUGGGAAAUAAGUUAAGAAUUAGAAUCAUGGAUGAUUUUCUCACCAUAGUGGGUUCAGGUUAGAGAAGGUUGGGGUCAUUAAAUGAGGUCUUAUUAGGAAAAUGGCUUUAUAGAUCUGCAGUGGGGACCCAUUGUGGAGGAAGAUGGUAAGAAGGAAGUAUUGGAGAAAAAUGAGGUGAAGUUUAUUUGGUGAGUUUGCAAAAAGGCAUUGGAAAUAAUUGUCAAAAAAUUUGAUAAACCUACAACACACACAUGAUUGGGGUGAAAAGAACAAGCUUAGAUUUUGGCUGGAUGUUUUGUAUAGUGAUAUGAUCCUAAAUUGAAUCCUAUCCAUACCCAAUGAAAUUGUUCAUGAGAUGUAGAGUGGAGCUAAAGGGAGCUCUUCUUUGUAGGAAGCAUAAGACAGUAGAGUGUCAAGGAAGGUAUAAAUUUUCAUGGGGAAGACCCAUUCAAAUAGAGUUAUUAUUACUGAUAAUUAGGUGAACAAAGGAAAUGCCCCUCCCAAAUUGCUUCUAUUGGAUUGUUAAAUAGGCAAAAAAAAAAACAGUAGAUCAAUUGGUGAUGCAUUUUUUGGUGACUACAGGUUAAUGGCAAUCUUGGGUGUUGUAGGUAAGGAGUUGUUAUCAGGUUGUCAUAGAAAAGUUGUGGCUUAGAGCAUGAGUACUAUGUAGAUGGUAGUGAUUUUAAGUUUUUAGUCUAGAAUGGAUGGAGAAAAAAGAAAUUUAAGAAAUUCUUGAGGGAAAGAGGCUCCUUUAACAUAUAAGAACAAAGGGGGUUCUGUCAUGAGUUUUCUUGAUGAUGUACAACUGUCCAAUGCAUUCUCUUCCUUUGACAGUUAUCUUUUCAUCUUUUUCCUUUUCUAUUUCCUUUUGGGAUCCACAUAUACACUUUGAAUCAUCUAUAUGCUUUAAACUCUUCUGUAUAGAGCAAUUAAGAACAUAUUGUGUUUAUUGAUUAGAUCCUUAUAAACAGUUGUUUUCAUUUAGUAAGAUGAGUCCAUUUAUAGUUCAUUGGCUUACAAUAAGAUUUUUUUCCAAAAUUUCAGGCAUUCAUGUUUGGACACAUUCUUUAGGAGGGAGGCUACAACAUGGUCUUGCUCCUUCUAGAAGCUCAAUAGAUCUUGUUGCAUUUUUGGAGUUCCAGUACUAAGGUAAGACAAAACUAUAGGUAUAUAUAUAUAUAUAUGUAUGUAUGUAUUGCUUUUGAAGCUUUAGCAUGUGGACUUGGUCAAUGCUAUAAGCUUGUUGAACACAAUUACAUCUAUUGGCUUCUAACUACUCCCUGUUAUUUCUUCUCUCCCACUCAAUGCCACAAAACUAGAAUCUGCAGGUUGACUUUGGUGCAUCUAUUAGUGUUGGUCUCCUCAGUUCCAAAGCCUCAUACUGGAUAGAAGAGCCUCAUUAACUCCCUAGUCAUUGGAAUACCUUAAAGGGGAGUUGUGGGUCUUAUCAAAUAGUUCAAAAAAUACUUGGCUAUGUGCUUCUUUUUCAUUUUGUCCAAGCCACUUUGCUUGCAGAUACUUCCACAAAGCUACUAUUGCAUUUAUAUUGAUGGGUCUGUUAUAAUUUACCAAUACUAAUAUUACAAAAUUUUCAUUAUAAUAGAAAAGACCAUUUAAUUAUAUAUUUAUUAAAAAUUCAACUCAAAUCCAAUAUAGCACCUAUGCUACAUAAGAAAUGUGUUAGAGUCUUUUUUUUUUUUAAUGACAACUUCAAAUAAUUAGGAAGAAAUGGUGCAACAAGAAUAAGAAUUUCAAGAAUAUUUGAAAAACAUUUAUUCUAAGUAGAAGAGCAACUUUUAUGUGAGUUAUUGCUCUCGGAAGAGAUUGGAAGCCUGGUCAACCUUGACAUCUCAAUCUUAUUAAUGCUCUCGAGUUAUAAAAUUGAAACAUUUGUUGUUGAAUCCUUAGGAAAAUAUUUGGAUAUGGAAAAGUCGUUGAUUUAAAGGAUGAUGGAAUGGAGUUCAUGAGAUAAUGGAGAUCCCAAAAACCAAAGAAAUGGAAUAGGCUAUCUUGAUCCUUAUUUGAAUCUUACAGUUGUUUUUUUACUAUUUUAUGGUGGAAUAAUAAAUUUCAAAGUCAAAUGAGGAAUUUUCAUUCUCAAUCGUAGAAAUCUACUUGAGGAUGGAUGGAGAAAGGAUUAUUUGAGUGAUAACUGAUAGAAUAAAUAUGGACCGACAUCAUAUUAACCAUUGUUCAGGAUUUAGCUAUCUGUUUAUAUACGAUUUCUAGUUGAUCUAGAGUAUGGGCCACCUAAUAUGUAGAGCUCAAUGCUAUCACGAGCCUUAGAUGAUGGGCCUAAGACUCGUGAGGCCCAAUAACCCAAUGGGUAUAGUUCCUAAGGCAGGAGGGUAUAAAAAUAGGGUGAGGCUUUUGUCUGUUCUAUUAUUUUAUCGCAUCUUUUGAAACAAACAUCUUUUGAACAAAAGGAACCUGUUCUCUCCCACUCCCAUUGUCAUAGAGAAUCCAGUUAGAGGUGGCACCCUCUACAACCUUUGAAGAUCCAUACUUUUUCAUCAAAAGCACAAAAUGGAUUCAAGUUGGUUCUCUAUCUAGUGAUUGUUGUUGAAUAUAUCCAGUAUCUGUGUGUUUGGUGUUAAUGGAGAAUAUUGAAGUUUAACAAUUUGGUAUCAGAGCCCAAGGUUCCGAUUCCAUUUUCACCAAAAACAAUCUUAAAAAAAAAAAAUAAAAAAAGAGUAUUUAAGGCGUUGUUACAAGCCUCCUUAUAGGCGUUCAGAUGUCGUUCAAGGGCCAUCCGACGCCGUUCAGACGCCGUUUAGAGGCGUCGUUUCAGGCGCCGUUCAGGUGCCAUUCAAGGCGCACCUCAGCCACCAUUCUGACAUUGUUUAGGCCCGAUUUAGAGGCGUUGCAGCGACGUCUUUCAGGCGAUGUUCUGAUGCCGUUUAGGCGCAAUUGGAGGCGCUACAGGCAUCCGUUCUAGGCACCAUUCAAGAGUCAUCUUAGUUUCAAGCUACGCUGGCGAUUCCAAUCCACAACGUCACUGUUCUGGUGCCAUUUCUAGCAAAAUGGUGGCAUCUUCCUUAUGAUGCCACUUGUAGGAACGCUGCAGACAUCGUCGUUUGGCGUCAUUUUCCCAUGAGAAGCUCAAUCUCCCUGCACUAUUGCAGGGUGCUGACGCUGUUCAUGGGGUUUUUCGGUUGGAAAUCAGAGAGGUUUAGAUGUCGUUUGGCGUCGUUUUCAGUUGAAGACGCCGUUUUGAGGAUAGCUCCGGCGCCAUUUUGGCGCCGUUGAUGAUAUUGCUGCCAACGUCCUUUGCUGUCAUUUGGCAGUGCCCUUUGGUUGAGUAAUGUAAAGAAAAUAUUAGAAUUUUGAUAGAAACCAACUUGAUGGUCAUGUGGAGUCUAUGGGUAUUUUAAUUGUGUGAUCAACCUACAAUCCUUUCAACUACAGAUCCUAAACCAUAAAGUCAGUAAAAAAAUGAUACAAAAUAUUUGAUAAAAUAUUGGCAUGGAAUAUUACAAAGAAAUAGGCUUUAAUUAUCAAUAGGCCACAUGCCCAUUCAUGGCCUAAGCCAGAAUGGCUACCUUAAUGACCAGUGGGCCAAACCCCCCAUGCAAGCAAUUUUUAAAGGAAUUUUCAUGGACAUAACCGAACCUUUUAAAGAUCACAUUAAAGAUAAUAUAUAUAUAUAUAUAUAUCACUUGCAUGCAAGAGAAUAGGAGAAAUAAACAAGUUCCAUUUAUUAAUCAUUUAGUUUAUAAAUUUCUUGGAAUCCUCUUUCUCCAGAAAUAGGAUGGAUUAACUUGUUUUGAGCUCUUUCUUGUAAAUAAAUAAAUUAAUAACUUGCUAAAUUUGUGUUUAAUAUUUUAAAAUAAAUGAAUUAGGUACGUUAAUUGCCAAAGUAACUUAUAUUAUAUAAUUUAUUUAUUUUAUAAUAUCUAAACAUGUUAUUAUUAUUAUUUUAAUAUAAUAAUAAAUAAAGUAGUCAUAAAUAUGUGACAUAUAAUGUUUAUCUUGCAUUCGAUAUGUUAGUCCAAAGACAUGCAUAUUGUUUUCGGUUUUAUUACUUCUCAAUUUUGUUUGUUUAGAAAUUAAUUUAGUUAUAAUGCCUAUUGACACUUGGUGGAUAGAUACAAGUACAACUACUCACAUAAGUGUCACUAUGCAGGUUUGCCUAAAGAGUCAAAUGCCAACUGAUGGUGAAAGAUACAUCUAUGUGGGAAAUGGCAACAAGGCUACAAUAAAGGCUAUUAGUCUUUUUAAAUUACAGUUAGACUCUGGAUGUACAUUGGAUUUGGAAGAGACUUUUGUGGUACCGUCGUUUAGACGAAAUUUAAUUUCUGUUUCAUGUCUAGACAAAUUUGGAUAUUAUUGUUCAUUUAGAAAUGAAAUGGUUAAUCUUUAUCUAAAUUUAAAUGUUAUUGAUACAAGUAGUCUAACAGACAAAUUAUACAAAUUGAACAUAAAGGCCACUAUGAAACCUUGCAUUCAAGUAAUUAUGGCAUUAAGCGAAAAUUAACGAAUGAGAAUUCAUCAAUGUUAUGGCACAAGCGUUUGGGUCAUAUUUCAAAUCAACAGAUUCAAAGGCUUGUGUCAGAAGAAAUUCUUGAUCCAUUUGAUUUCUCAGACUUUCAAGUCCGUAUAGAGUGCAUUAAGGGUAAACAAACAAAUAUGAGGAAAAAGGAUGCUAAUAGGUGCAACGACGUCUUGGAAUUGAUACAUACAAACAUUUGUGGUCCAUUUCCUACCCCUUCUUGGAAUGGACAACAAUAUUUUAUCAUUUUCAUUGACGAUUACUUGCGCUAUGGCUAUCUUUAUUUGAUUCAUGAGAAGUCUCAAUCAUUGGAUGUGUUCAAGAAUUUCAAAGCUGAAGUUGAGAAGUGUACCUUUCUUUUCACGCGAAGCAACGUAUUUGGUACAUGUGUUCUUCAUAUGACCAACCUUCUUGCAAAAGAAACAAGUUAUCUCCUUAUCUUGUUUAUUCUGCACAUUUUUCUUUGAUGUCCCAGAAACUGCAAUUUGUUUUCCUUUAUUGUCCUUCUUUCUUUUCUUGUUGGUACCAAAUCCCUGAUAUGUGGAAGCCAAGUGAGCACUUUCUAUCUUUUCUUGUUUCAAUCUCUCAUUCUCUUGUACACACUAAGCAAUAAGCUCAUUCAAAGUCCAUUUUUCCUUUUGUGUGUUGUAACUGAUUUUGAAUGGACUAAAUUGUGUAGGUAGAGAGAUCAAGACCAAGUGCAUGAGUAUGUCCUCCGAAAACUCUAACUUUAGUGCCUUGAGUCUCGUCACAAGAUUAGACAUUUCCAUAAUGUACUACCUUAUAUUCUCUUUCCCUUUGUAUCGCAUGGAGACAAGCGUACUAAGAAUAGUGCUUGUCUCAACCUCUUUGUUUGCAGCAAAUCGAUUUGCUAUCUGGUCCAAGAAUGCCUUGGUUCGGGUUUCCUCAGGUAUUGCACCUCUUAUAGCUUCUAGAAUUGAGUGCUUCAUUAUCAUAAGACUCAUGCGAUUGGAUCGCUCCUAUUUUUCCAUAGUAGACCUUUGCUCAACAGUGAUGGCACUAGUAAGGUUUGGAGGGCGAUCCUUUCUUUAUGCAUAGUCUAAAUCCAUGCACCCGAGCACAAUUAUAACGUGCUCCUUCCAUUUCUUGAAGUUUGUGCCAUUAAGCACAAGAAUGCUAUUGACAUUUGCAAAUAUAGAAGAUGUUGAAUUCAUAAUAAUAAAGCUCACAAUUAGUCACAUAAACAUCAUACAUACAUGAAUAAAUAAACAUCAUACAAGAUACCUAGCACAAACAUUAAUAUUCGGUGUUUGGACAAAAACAUCAACUUGUAAUUGACAUCCUUAUACAAAAUUAAUUCAUAAAUAUUUGAUGGAGUGUGGUAUCGUUCCUUAAUACACCAUGCUAGGGACUCCAAACGAAAAUGGUAUAGUAGAAAGGCGAAACCGUACUCUUAAGGAUAUGGUAAGAAGUAUGAUCAAUCAUUCCACAUUCCCAGAACCACUUUGGGGCAAAGUUGUCAAAACUGCAGUUUACAUUUUGAAUAGAGUCCCAAGCAAAGAAGUAGCCAAAACCCCAUAUGAGUUAUGGACUAGCAAGAAACUUAGUAUUAGUGUAGACCCUCAAUUUUGUCCCUUUAGCACAUGUCUUUAAAUUCAUUUUCAGUGUUCCACAGUAGUUCCUUAAUGGUCCAUUGCUACUCAUACUACUUACCUUUUUUGAGCCACCUCGAAGACUUUGGUUGAGGGAUUUAUCCAGUUCCACAUUAUGACCUUGGAUGCCCUUCAAGUUUAGAUUAGGCUCCAGUUAGGUACACUUUAGGUUGGACUUAGUUAGGCCCACCUAUUCUCACCCUAGGCCCGUAUAAGUAUACUUAGCCCAUUAGACAUCACCAUAAGCCUAUUUAGGACACUUAGUUCACUUAGGCCCACUUAGUCCAUUAAUGUAGACUUAGAUACCAUCCUAAACAUCCUAGACACCUCCCGACUUGUACACAUUCACCCGAGGUCACCUAAACACUUUUUCAGAAUAGGUCACUUAGACACUUCUUUUGGCAUAGUUCACUUAGGCAUGUUUUUUAUUUUAUUUUUCCGAGAUAAGAUGAAUAUUAGCUUGACUAUAUAUUGCAUGAAAUGAAAUUUUAUUUUUUUAUUUUUGAGGGUUUGAGUUUGACAUUUAAAUUAUUAUAAUCCGUUGCAUCAAUUUUAAAUUUUUUCUAUUUUUUCUUCCUAAUUGCAUAUGUCCAAUAUUUAUUUUUAUGCCCUUAUCAAUCUAUUUUUUUAUUUACUCAAUUAUUUAUUCAUUCUUUAAUUCCAUGAAUUGACAUCUUGGAUUCUAUAGCUAUGUGAUUUGAUUUUCUACUUGAUUUUAUUCUACUCCUAAAUAAGUGAUUUUUUUCUUUGAACUUUAUUUUAUUUUUUAUUUUUUAUUUUGCAUGAGAAUGGGAAAACUACCAAUUGGUCCUAGAGAGGAAUGAGGGCUGAUCAUGUUGUUCUUUGAGUGGAGAAGGCACAACACUUUGGGAGCAUUCAGCACGCACCCUUGAGGAAUCCCAGACAUGCGGCUUGCAUUCUUAAUCUAACCGCACCACAUAAGGACAACGAUUUGAAUGAAUUCAUGCACCAUUCACUCAUUCUAAAUAAGCAGUCUACCAUGUUGCCUAUAGGAAGGAAGUGGCCAUUUUGUGCACAACACGCAUAUAGUGGGCUGUAACAGAGAUUCUUUUUGUUUUUAGAAAGAAAAGUCAACAUGCUUUAUCACUUACCAAAUAAGACACGACUGCAUCCUUAGAGAAAUCUCCAAGUAAGCCACACAUGUAUAGACUUCCUAUAUUCACGCGCAUUUCUAGAAAGGAAACAAAGAAUUCCAUAGAAAGGAUGGGUUGCCAUAUAAAUAUUAAAAAAAAAUGACAAAAUGAAUGGGGAGGAACAAAUUUUUUAGGGAAGAGACACGCAUAGAGAAAAAUAGUCUUCGGCAAAGAAAUCCACACAGAGAAAAAUACUUUUGGGCAAGGAAGUUCACACGCAAAGGAGAAUUUUUUGAAAGGAGGACAUGCACAAGAAUUUUGGGAGGAGAACAGAAGAUUUCAGAUGAGAAACAGGUUGCCACUUUGAUACAUCUAGAGAGUCUUAUUUCCGAUACAACACGGGUUAGUUUUCGUUUCCGAUAGAGCAUAUUUUUUUAGUUUAGAUUUUAGUCCACUGGUUUAAUUAAUUCUUUGUGAUAAAUUCUUUUAAAUAUCAAUUCGUACAAAUCUUUUAUUUUUCUUAGAUUAGAUUUUUUUUUUUUGUGGUUAUAGUUCAUUAGUUCCAUGCUAGUUUAUCUUAAUUUAUAUGACAGUUUAAAUAAAGUUAGUGUUUUUUUUUUAAUUUCAAUUAGUUUGAUUUUAAUUUGUUUUUAGUUUAAAUACAUUUGUUGAUUUUAAUUCUUUAGUUUAAAUAAUCAUAUUGAAUAAAGUUUGUGUUUUUAAUUCCAAUUAGUUUGAUUUUAAUUUGUUUUUAGUUUAAAUACAUUUGUUGAUCUUAAUUCUUUAGUUUAAAUAAUCAUAUUGAAUAAAGUUUGUGUUUUUAAUUCCAAUUGGUUUAAUUUUAAUUUGUUUUUAGUUUAAAUACAUUUGUUGAUCUUAAUUCUUUAGUUUAAAUAAUCAUAUUGAAUAAAAUUUGUGUUCUUAAUUCCAAUUAGUUUGAUCUUAAUUUGUUUUUAGUUUAAAUAUAUUUGUUGAUCUUAGUUCUUUAGUUUAAAUAAUCAUAUUGAAUAAAGUUUAUAUUUUUAAUUUCAAUUAGUUUGAUUUUAAUUUGUUUAAAUACAUUUGUUGAUCUUAAUUCUUUAGUUUAAAUGGUCGUAUCAAAUAAAGUUUGUGUUUUUAAUUCCAAUAAUAUUAUUAAAUAGAAUUUAAUUUCAAUUUAGUUUGAUUUUAAUUUAUUUUAUAAUUUGAAUGCGUUCAUGAUUUUAAUUCAAUUGUUUAAUUAACCCUCUUAGACAAAUCCCAUAUUUUUAAUUUCGAUUUUAGUUUAAUUUUAUUUUUUUAAUUAAUUUAUUUGUUUAAAUAUAUUUGCAAUUUCAAUUUGAUAGUUUAGCCAAUCUUAUUAGAUGAUGUUAAUGUUUCUGAUUUAAUCUAAUGUCAAUUAUUUUUAGUAUUGGAUGUGUUUGUGCGUUUCUAAAUUCGUUAAUUUUGAUUUUAAUCCAUUUAUAUCCAAUUUAGUAGUUGAUCACAAUUUUAGUUAAUUAAUUUAGUCAAUCACAUGAUAUCAUAUUCACAUUUUAAGUAUGAAAAUUUCAUAUUUGAUUUGUCAAUAUUUAGUAUGAGUUUUUUUGGAUAAUCAAUCUAGUUCAUUGCAUGUUAUUGUUUUCAUAUUUUCAAGUUUGCUAAACUUUGGUUUUUUUUUUUUUAAUUUAUCAUAUUUUGUUAGAGUGCUAAUUUACUUUAAUUGAUUCCACAUUAUUGUCUCCAUAUGCUAAAUUUGUUGACUUUAAUCCUCGAUUGUUCUUUUCUAUCAUGUGUUUCUUGAAAUCUAGAUGUUAGUUUUGGAUAAUAUUUGUGUUAGUUUGUUUGAUUAGGAAAUCAUUAGUUUGACGCAUUAGUGAUUGUUGGUUAAAUAUUUUUUUUAGGACCAUUGGAAACCCAUGAAGGUUGGCCCUAUUCUCAUCAGUUUAAUUGACAUGAUUUUCAAAAUCUUUAUUUUGUGAUCUUCGUUCCCUUUUUUUUUAUUGAUAUUUUGUUUUCUAUGUUUUGUUAUUUUAAAAAAAAUUAAUUUCUUUUAUUUUAAAACAAAAAUACUUUUCUCAAAAGAUUCCUUUAAAAAUCUAUUUCAAAAACUCAUUUAGAGUCUUCAGGAUCAAAAUCUCUUCUUUUUUUUUAAAAUAAUGUGCAACCAUAUCUUGAUCGGUUUGCAUCUUUCUUGGUUUUAAUUUAAUGAAAAUUUUGGUUUCGAACAAAACACAAACCAAAGCUUCUGGCCUCAAAUAAAUGGGAUAAUUCUAGGCUAAAUUCAUGUAUAUUAAUUUGGGGAAUUGGUGAAACCCCUACAUAAGAAAAUCUUUUCAAUACUUAUUUUUGCUACCACUCUUUCCAUUUGUCUUAAUCAUAUCUAUCUAUUUUUUUAGGAAUUAUAUACAAGAUGCGUGUGAUACUUGAUUAUUUUGUACAUUUUGAAUCAUUUUUUCUAUGCUAAUUAGAUAUGCAUGUUAGGAUUUCUUGUUUUAUUAUUUAUUAAUUAACCCCUCAUGCCCUGAGGAAGCGAAUUACGAGUUAUCUAUGCUAUCUAGGUACGUCCCCUAUCACCUACUUUCUAAAUUCUGUAAAUAUGAUUGUCAUUGUGAACUAUGCAUAUGUUUGACAAUGCUUAGGUGCUUUGAUAUAUUUGUUUCAUUGUUCAAUCAUUUAUGAUAAAACGCAUGUUGGGUGAUAUAUUAUUUAAACUAACCAUUGAUGUUUUAUGAUAGUGCUCAAGAAGUGGUCUAGGUACGCACCCUAAAUCUUUUAUAUGAUUAUGAUUGGUUUUCUUGUUAGGCAUGUUAUUUUUUAAAUCACCUAGCCUUCUAUAGUUAACCGAUUAAUUGCCACAUUUCCCUCAACUUAGUCAGUAGAGACCUUUGUAGGGCUUAGAGGGGUACUACCUUUUAGAGGUAUAUUUGUUGCCAAUAAGUAACCUGAUCUCCGGACUUAGACUCGAGUUUUUCAAAGACAUGUUUUUUCCAAAGACAUGUUUUUUCCAAAAAAUUAUGGAGUCAUUUUUUAAGGUUUUAUUUCUUGCUUUAUUUUCCUUUUCAAAAAUAAAAUAAAAUAAGUGGUGACUCCGACUUUUCCAAAAAUUAUUUUUUCACAAAUAAAAGUGAGUCUUGCUAAUCGAGUGGGGGCACACGUGAAAAAUACGGGUCCACAAUUAGGCACUUGCAUGUCUGGGGUUGUCCAACUGAAGCUAGGCCUUACAAGCCAAAUGAAAAGAAAUUAGACUCCAGAUAGUGAGCUGCUACUUUGUAGGGUAUUCUGAAAUGUCAAGAGGUUUCAAAUUUUAUGACCCCUCAACUAGAUCUUUCUUUGAAAUGGGUAAUGCUAAGUUCAUUGAGGAUGUUGAGUUAAGUGGGAGAGAGCCAUUAAGAAAGGUGAUCUUUGAAGAGGAAUUUGUUAAUAUUCCUAUUAUUAUGACUGGACAUGGUCAUAUUAUGUUUGAUGACACUAUUCAAAAUGUACAUUCGAUAAUAGAGAUUCCUCCUGCUCAAGUUAUGGAACUGAUUCAAGUUCAUGAAGAGGUAACUCAACAACCUCAAGAACCUCAAGUACAAGUGCCACUGAGGAGAUCCACUAGAGAAAGGAGAAGUACAAUUUCAUAUGAUUAUGUUGUAUAUAUCCAAGAACAUGAGUUUGACAUGGGUCUGGAAGACGAUCCAAUUUAAAUUAGUCAAGUCAAACAAAGUUCUGACUUUGAAAAGUGGAUAAAAGCCAUGAAGGAUAAGAUGAAAUCAAUGAAGGACAAUGGUGUUUGGGACCUAGUAGAGUUGCCUGGAGGUGUAAAGCUGAUUGGUUGUAAAUGGAUUUUUAAGACCAAGCGGGAUUCAAAAGGCAACAUUGUUAGAUAUAAGGCACGCCUAGUCGCAAAAGGUUUCACUCAAAAGGAAGGCAUUGAUUAUAAGGAUACUUUUUCACCGGUUUCAUCAAAUGACUCCUUUAGAAUCAUCAUGGCACUUGUAACUCAUUAUGAUUUAGAGCUACAUCAAAUGGACGUUAAAACUAUGUUUCUUAAUGGCAAUACGGAUGAGACAAUAUACAUGGUGCAACCGGAGAACUUUGAGUCUAAUGAUUCAAAGCAACCUGUAUGCAGAUUAAAAAGGUCUAUAUAUGGUUUAAAGCAAGCAUCCCGACAAUGGUACCGAAAGUUUGAUCAGGUGAUUACUUCAUUUGGUUUUAAGGAGAACACCGUUGAUCAAUGCAUAUACCUCAAGUUCAGUGGGAGCAAAUUCAUUAUCUUGGUGUUAUAUGUUGAUGAUAUUCUUCUUGCAAGUAGUGAUGUGGGACUUUUGCAUGAAACCAAGCGAUUUCUAUCUAGUAAAUUUGACAUGAAGGAUCUUGGUGAUGCAUCUUUUGUAUUGGGUAUACAGAUCCAUAGGGAUCGUUCAAGAGGUAUUCUUGGGCUAUCACAAAAGGCUUACAUCGAUAAAGUGUUGAGUAGAUUUGGCAUGAGUAAUUGUGCAUUAGGAAACACGCCUGUGGCAAAAGGCGAUAAAUUUAGUUUGCACCAAUGUCCGAAAAAUGAACUUAAGAAGAAGGAUAUGGAGAGGUUUCCCUAUGCCUCGGUAGUAGGAAGUCUCAUGUAUGCACAAGUUUGUACGCAUCCGGAUAUUGUGUACAUUGUUGGAAUGUUAGGUAGAUAUUUGAGUAACCUAGGUAUGGAUCACAGGAAAAAGGCAAAACGGGUUAUGUAGUAUUUACAAAGAACUAAAGAUUACAUGCUCACAUAUUGUAGAUCCAGUCAUUUAGAGAUCGUGGGAUAUUCUGACUCCAAUUUCGCGGGAUGUCUUGAACGCAAGAGAUCCACUUCAGGCUACAUCUUCAUGUUGGCUGGAGGAGCAAUUUCAUGGAAAAGUGUUAAACAAACACUUAUUGCUUCUUCCACCAUGGAGGUAGAAUUCAUAGCUUGCUACGAAGCAUCAAACCAUGGGAUAUGGCUACGAAAUUUUGUCACUCAAUUGCGAAUCGUUGAUGGGAUUGAGAAGCCAUUGCGAAUCAAUUGUGAUAAUAAGGUCGCAGAAUUGUAUACUAAGAACAACCGAAGUUCAUCAAAGUCUAAACACAUUGACAUCAAGUUCUUGGUUGUGAAAGAAAGAGUUCAGAGUCUUCAAGUAUCGAUUGAACACAUAAGCACAAACUCCAUGAUUGCGGAUCGACUCACUAAGGGUUUGCCACCCAAAGUAUAUCAUGAGCACAUCACACAUAUAGGUGUUGUACACAUUGAUGAUGUGCUAGUAUAGUUGGAGUUUGUAUUUAGAUUUUGUGUUUAUUUUCUUGAUGUGAUAUUAUGUUGUGUUAUCUGUACAGACCUUGAUUUUAAAGAUUAUUGUAUUUAUAUUCUCUGAAUUGAAAUGAUGACUUUCAGAAGCAGUUUAGCAUCAAGUGUUGAAAGUGGUAUUUGACUAUUUUUAGUUGUAAAGUAGGAUCAAUUGGAAAUAGACAUAGUAAAGAUCACAUUCUAUGUAAUUUCCAUGCUACACAUCCAUACUUGAUCCAUGUUGCUAAUUUUGUUAAUGUUGUGAUCAUUGAUUGGUUUAGUUAUGAUUAUGAUUAACGAAGGCCGCUUUAAUCCUAUGCUAACAUAAUUAGUAGACCGGAAUGUUUAAGGAUAUUUGAAUAGGAUAGCAAAGAUGAGCUCAAUAAGGUACUAUCAUGAAUAUUGUUUUGUAAUAUAUGUGGUCUAAGUGGGAGAUUGAUAGAAUAAAUGUGGACCGACAUCAUAUUAACCAUUGUUCAGGAUUUAGCUAUCUGUUUAUAUAUGAUUUCUAAUUGAUCUAGAGUAUGGGCCACCUAAUGUGUAGACCCCAAUGCCAUCACGGGCCUUAGAUGAUGGCCCUAAGACUCGUGAGGUGUAAUAGCCCAAUGGGUAUGGUCCCUAAGGUAGGAGGGUAUAAAAAUAGGGUGAGGCUUUUGUCUGUUCUAUUAUUUUAUCGCAUCUUUUGGAACAAACAUCUUUUGAAACAAAAUGAACCUGUUCUCUCCCACUCCCAUUGUUAGAGAGAAUUCAGUUAGAGGUGGUGCCCUCCACAGCCUUAGAAGAUCCAUACCUCUUCAUCAAAAACACAAAAUGGAUUCAGGUUGGUUCCCUAUCCGGUGAUUGUUGUUGAAUAUAUCAUGUAUCUAUGUGUUUGGUUUUAAUGGAGAAUAUUGAAGUCUAACAAUAACAAGUUGAGAUUGAAGGAGUUGCUGAAAAGAAGUGGAAGCACUAACCCCUUCAAUCAUGUCCUCACAUUAUGUGACAUCUUGUAAGCAUAUUCACAACUCAUAUUCACUUUUCAUACUAGUUUGUUGUGGAAACGGUUUUUGAUAAGUGUACACAAUUUUAAAAAAUUAUUUGUAAACUAUAGUAGUGAAGAAAAUAUUUUUGAAUCUUUAAUAGUUUUUGCUGAAUAGGAAAAAGAGUUUAUCAUAUAAUUUGAUUCGGCUCUUAUAAAGACGAUUUCUAAAAAUUCAUAUAUUUAGGCAAAAAUCAUCUUUUGAAGAGCUCAUCCUUAAAUGUUCUUUAAAAAAAUCAAAGCAGAAAUCAUUUCUUCAAGAAAAGAUUUUUUUUUUUUUUAAAGAAAUUAUAUGCAAAAUUUAUCUCUUGAAGAGAUGAUUUCAAAAAAUUAAUUUUAAAGAAAAAAAUAUUUUUAUGCUACAUGUUUUUGUAUUAUUAUGUGUUGUAAAAUUAAUUAAUUUUAUUUAUUAAAUUCAAUACAUAAAAAUAAUUAUAAUUAUUUUUGAUAUAUUACUCAUAAUUAUAAUAUUUAUAAAAAUAUAAAUUAUAUUUAUCAUCUUAUAUUCAUUAAAAUAAUAUUUUGACCAUUAUCUUGAAUUUUAUCAUUCAAUUAAUUAAAUUAAUUAUUAUUAAAUUAAAUAUAAAUUAAUUUAAUUUUAUACUCAUAAUUUUAUCCUUUUGUUCUUUCUACUAUAAAUACCGGUUUAGGUUUAUUCAAUUCUCUUGACCUCGGUCUCCAUUAUCAUUCUUCAUCUCAUUCAAUUUUGGUUGGAUCUCUACGAAACCAUCUGACCCAACUUCUUCUUCUUCAUUUAUUUAUUUAUUUAUUUAUUUAUUUUUUAUCAUCCCUAAUAUCUCGGUCUCAAUCUACGAGACCAUCUGACCGAACUUCUUGCUAUCCUCAGUCACUAUAGUGUUUAUGACUUGUUCUAUUAUACUCCUCAAGCUGUUGUUGUAGAGGGGCCAGCUGCCUUCUCUUCUGCUUUGACACAGCAAUUUGAUUAGGCCCAAAUGCCAUAACCACCCCUUGACUGUUACCAAGGAGUGAAAUACAUGUCAUCCUAAAUUCCAUACAUUUUCUAAAAUGGACCUAUAUUCAGCAGCUGUAUUGGAAUACAUGUUAUCAGCAUGCUUUCAUCAUUUUCAUUUCUUAUAUUCUCAAAAAAUCAUAAAAGAAUUUUCAUGUCCCCCUUACCAAACAGACCCUCGAAUUAAUUUAGCACUUGACAUCAUUUCUCAAAUAUUUGCGUGAAAACGAUGAGAACGAUAUCAAGAAUGUCAAGAAUAUUGAUAAGAACUAUGAGAAAUCUACUUAUAAGACUCAAAGCAUCAAAUAUGCAUAGAAACCAUGUACAAAAAUCCCAUCAACAUAAAAUCACAGGUCUUUGUUGAUUUGCAGAGUAUAUAUAUUCAAUAUGAAAAACAAAUACACAAAUUUAUGUGAUUGACACAGUCUUUUCCCUUGAGACUUACUUUACCUAAAAUCUAACAGCUUCUGGGUCCUAGAGAUGUUCCAACAGCUUCUGGCCAUACUGCCGGCUCUGGUUUGAUAGGAUCAUUAUUCUUGAUUAUUGUCCUUAGGCAUCACAUUCAAAAUUCAACUAUAGCAGAUGUCUCUUCUAGUUUGGCCUUUUCAAACUUGGGUGCUUUGGAACUAUUCCCCGUAAUGAGAAUUCAAGCUUAUAAAAUCUUUUAAGACCAGCACUUCUAUCAUAAAUCUUGGUUGUCUCGACACUUGUACUACGAAUAGACCCACCAAAUUGAUUUUUUAAUUUCUCCCCUUGUAAAUUAUAGUCAACAAGAUUCUCAUUCAACUUAGUUUGGGCUAAAAACAAUUGCAGACUAUCAAGAAUAUUGUAAUGUCGUAAUAUGUAGACCGAUAUUAAUAUCCAGGUUUAAGGCUUUGGUGGAUAAAUGAAGGGUAUGGACACAUGUCCUUAGAUGAGAGUUGCAAAAUACUUUUUCGGUUGUUAAUGUUAUAGGUUUCAAAAUGAAACUUAUCAAGAAAUUAAGGUAUAUGAUGUUGUAUUUGUUGAUGGGUGUUAAUAUAAUUGUUCAUGUUUGAGUAUAACCAUGGAAUUCUUUCAAUUUUUUAAUAUCAAGUUAGAGGGGAGCAAGAAGGAAGGAGUUGAGUUAUGGUGUUACAAUUAAGGGAUUUGGGAUUUGUGUUUUUGUAGUAUAGGAUUUUGUGAUAUUGAAAAGUUCUUUAAUAUUAUAAAAAUUGAGAACUAAAAUUGUGUGAAAUAAUUAUUGUUUUGUUCUAUGAUUUUUAUAGCAAAAAGUUUCUAAGGUUAUAAAGGUCGUUCAUAGAGGAAAAAGAUAACUUACAAAAGUUAAACCAAAACUAAAAAAUGUUAAAUUGAAAAUAAGGGAAGAAAAGUUAGCACAUGGUUUUGUGGGGUUGAUGUCAUGCCCCAAGACCCAUUUCAAAAGUGUCACGGUUAUUUCACACCUAAAGCCUAAAGACUCAAAGUGUAAAUGACUCAAACAAUUGUAAUUUAAUGUUAUCGAUUACCAAAUUUUUGUUCAGAAUAGUAAAACAUCCUAUAAUCCUUAUAACUCAACUUUUUAAAAAAAAAUUAAAAAAAUUAACUAACAUACCAACCACUAUGCUGUCAUCCAAACAACUUAAAAAAUUCUUAAAAAGGUCAAACAAUAAUUAAUUUUAUCUAACGUAACAUUUAAAUAAUGUUCAAAAUAAAAGUUUAAACCACAAAUCCUAAUAAAAACAAAUUCCUAUUCUAACUAAACACAUACAUUAAAGGAAUAUUUGAAUUGAAUUUUACCACAAACUUAUCAAAAUUUCAAAUUAUUAUUCAUGACAAAAACUAGGGUAGCUUCAAUAUAAAAAAACCACAAAUCAUAGGUUUAUUGAUGAGUCUCAACUAUCAAAAUAUAAAAAGGUUUUUUUUCUUAAAUUUAAUAGCAUGCAUUCUUUUUAUUUUCACUAAAAUUAGAACCUAAAAAGUUCACAAAAUAUCAUAUAAAAGUGUACUUCUACUUACUCAACUCUAUUUUUCAAACUAUCGACCAAUAGUUUAGAAGUCAAGUUGUUUAUAUGGUGAAAAGUCCAUCUUUACUGUUUAUUUUGUACUGAUGGUUUAAUUUUUCUUCGAUAACUAUCAUUGAUUGAUUGUGAUUUUCUUAUAUUCAAACUCAUUAAAUCAAAGGAAAACUCUAAAGUAUUAUAGUGGUACCUAUCAAAUAAAAGAUUUACAUCAUUCAAUAUGAAUGAGGAGAUCUAAAUCGUUGAACAAUAGUAUAAAUGAAUAAAAUUUAGGUACAAAGAUAUAAAUAAAUUAGACUAAAAUAUAAAUAAUAAAACAAAAAAAAUAUUUUAUAUUACUUUAUCGAUGAUGUCUUUUCAACAAGUAUAAAAAUAGUACAAAUCAGUACACCAAAACCCCAAUUCAAAUGUGGCCACUUUUUUUUAGGAUGGAAGAACAAUGUUUUCUUCACCCCCGUGACCCUCAUGUCAAAUUCUCUUUCAUACAUUCAACAACCCCAACCAUUCACUUAAUUAGAAAUCCUCCAACACAAUUUUCUUCCAUUGACUUGGCUCCUUGACCUGUUCUUCCAUUGACUUGACUCCUUGACCUAGAAAGUUGACCGCAACAAAUCUUAUACACCAAUUUUAUGAAUAAAAUGUAAGUUUAAUCCUGUCAUUAUGUCAUCACGCUUGUAAGCUAAAUGGUUCACCCAUAUUUGUCCCAUAGAUUAUAUUUGUGUUUAUUGUACUUAUGUUAGAAGAUUCAACUUAAUCUUCAUCGUGUUUGAAAGUCAUUUUUUUUUUUUUUUAAAGAUUAGAAGCUUUUUUUUUUCCUUUUAAUAUUUCAAAGUUUUUUAUUUGAAAGUUGGAUUUUAGAUAAAAAUUUUAAGAAUUGUUCUUAAUUACCAUUUGAUAAUAAUCGACGAAUCUUAUGCAUCAGCGGAAAAAGUUCAUACCUAACACAUGAGGGAGGAAGAGGUCUCGUCUGAAGGAGGCUGAUGGAAACUGGUAAUCAAAGCAGUCAACACAGUUGUCAUUUUGUGAGGUUUUACUUCAAUGAGUAGCCCAUGAAAAUUUCCAACUCAGGGGGCCCUCACCAUUGAACGCUCCAGAAUCCCUGGGAACCAUAUUCAAAAUUUCUACGACCAUUAGUUAGCACAACAUAAACCAUUUCUUCUGGUUCUGUUGUACGAUUUGGGACUGAUUUCUGCGAAGUAACUGACCAUGGCUUUUGUUGGAGAGGCCUUUCUAUCUGCUUCCAUUCAGAAGCUGGUCGACAUGUUGGCCUGCCCCGACCUCCGGAAGUUCGCCCGCGAAGAACAAGUCCACGCCGAGCUCAAGAAGUGGGAGGGAAUACUGCUGAAAAUCCAUGCAGUGCUUCAUGAUGCUGAGGAGAAGCAGAUGACCAAUCGGUUCGUGCAGAUAUGGUUAGCCGAGCUCAGAGACUUGGCCUAUGAUGUUGAGGACAUCUUGGACGACUUCGCCACCGAAGCUUUACGGCGCAAGCUGAUCACAGAUGAUCCUCAGCCAAGUACUAGUACGGUGCGCAGCAUCAUCUCCUCCUUGUCUUCUCGUUUCAAUCCAAAUGCUUUAGUGUAUAAUCUCAAUAUGGGGUCUAAGUUAGAGGAGAUUACUGCAAGAUUACAUGAGAUUUCCACCCAAAAGGGUGACCUGGAUUUGAGAGAGAAUGUUGAAGAGAGAUCCAACAGGAAGAGAAAAAGAGUCCCUGAAACAACUUCUCUGGUGGUUGAGUCUCGUGUUUAUGGCAGGGAAACUGAUAAAGAGGCGAUACUUGAAGUGCUGCUGAGGGAUGAAUCGAUUCAUGAUAAUGAAGUCUGCGUGAUUCCUAUAGUCGGCAUGGGAGGUGUCGGCAAAACUACCCUUGCCCAGCUUGCCUACCACGACGACAGAGUGAAGAAUCAUUUUGAUCUGAGGGCUUGGGUUUGUGUUUCUGAUGAUUUUGAUGUUUUGAGGAUAACAAAAACGCUUCUACAGUCAAUUGCUUCUUACGCCCGUGAGAUCAAUGAUCUAAACUUGCUUCAAGUCAAGCUGAAAGAGAAAUUGUCUGGAAAGAAGUUUCUGCUUGUUCUAGAUGAUGUCUGGAACGAGAACUAUGACAAAUGGGAUAGGUUGUGCACCCCUUUACGAGCAGGGGGACCCGGCAGUAAGGUUAUCAUCACUACUCGCAACAUGGGUGUCGCCUCACUUACCAGAACGGUUUCGCCUUACCCCCUGCAGGAGCUGUCAAAUGAUGAUUGUCGAGCUGUGUUCGCGCAGCAUGCAUUGGGAGCAAGGAACUUUGAAGCUCAUCCGCACGUGAAAAUAAUUGGAGAGGAAAUGGUGAACAGAUGCAGGGGCUUGCCUUUGGUCGCAAAGGCCCUGGGAGGCAUCUUGCGAAAUGAACUAAACCAUGAGGCAUGGGACGAUAUAUUGAAGAGUAAGAUAUGGGAUCUACCAGAAGAGAAAAGUGGUGUUCUUCCAGCUCUCAAAUUGAGCUAUCAUCACCUCCCAUCUCAUCUGAAGCAGUGCUUUGCUUACUGCGCUAUUUUUCCCAAGGGAUAUGAAUUCAAAAAGGAUGAAUUAAUCCUUUUAUGGAUGGGAGAAGGAUUUCUGCAAACAAAAGGGAAGAAGCGAAUGGAGGACUUAGGUUCCAAAUACUUCUCAGAGUUGUUAUCAAGGUCAUUCUUUCAACAAUCAAGUGACGUAAUGCCGCGAUUCAUGAUGCAUGAUCUCAUCCAUGAUCUGGCUCAAUCCAUUGCCGGAAAUGUAUCUUUCAAUUUGGAGGAUAAGUUGGAGAAUAAUGAGAAUAUUUUUCAAAAGGCUCGCCAUUUGUCAUUCAUUCGUCAGGCCAAUGAGAUCUUCAAAAAAUUUGAAGUUGUCGAUAAAGGGAAGUAUCUUCGAACUUUUCUAGCUUUACCCAUUAGUGUAUCAUUUAUGAAAAGUUUGUCAUUCAUAACUACGAAGGUGACACAUGACCUCUUAAUGGAAAUGAAAUGCUUACGGGUACUAUCUUUAAGUGGCUAUAAGAUGAGUGAGCUGCCGAGUUCAAUUGAUAAUUUGAGUCAUCUACGAUAUCUCAAUCUAUGUCGCUCUUCAAUUAAAAGGUUACCUAAUUCAGUAGGUCAUCUGUAUAAUUUACAAACCUUAAUAUUACGAGAUUGUUGGAGUCUCACUGAGAUGCCUGUGGGGAUGGGAAAUUUAAUCAACCUUCGACAUCUUGAUAUUGCAGGGACAAGUCAAUUAGAAGAGAUGCCCCCACGAAUGGGCUGCCUGACAAAUUUGCAAACAUUGUCUAAGUUUAUUGUGGGAAAAGGUAACGGGUCGAGCAUACAAGAAUUGAAGCACUUGUUGGAUCUUCAAGGAGAACUUUCCAUUCAAGGAUUGCAUAAUGUGAGAAAUACUCGAGAUGCAGUGGAUGCUUGUUUAAAGAAUAAGUGCCACAUUGAAGAACUAACAAUGGGAUGGAGUGGUGAUUUUGAUGAUUCACGAAAUGAAUUGAAUGAAAUGCUUGUGCUCGAGUUGCUACAACCUCAAAGAAAUCUGAAAAAGCUCACAGUUGAGUUCUAUGGAGGACCGAAAUUCCCAAGCUGGAUAGGGAAUCCUUCAUUCUCAAAAAUGGAGUCCCUGACCCUUAAAAAUUGUGGAAAAUGCACAUCGCUACCAUGUCUUGGACGACUAUCUCUACUCAAAGCCUUGCGCAUUCAAGGAAUGUGUAAAGUUAAAACCAUAGGUGAUGAAUUUUUUGGGGAGGUCUCUCUUUUCAAGCCUUUUCCAUGCUUGGAGUCUCUAAGGUUUGAGGAUAUGCCAGAAUGGGAAGACUGGUGUUUUUCUGAUAUGGUUGAGGAAUGUGAAGGAUUAUUUUCUUGCCUUCGAGAGCUUAGAAUAAGGGAAUGUCCCAAACUGACUGGAAGCUUGCCCAAUUGCCUACCUUCUCUGGCAGAGCUCGAAAUUUUUGAAUGCCCAAAGUUGAAGGCUGCACUUCCAAGACUUGCAUAUGUUUGUAGCUUAAACGUUGUAGAAUGUAAUGAGGUUGUGUUGAGAAACGGGGUUGAUCUGAGCUCCCUCACUACACUAAACAUUCAGAGAAUUUCACGAUUAACUUGUCUAAGGGAAGGAUUUACCCAGUUGUUAGCAGCCCUUCAAAAACUGGUGAUAAGAGGAUGUGGGGAGAUGACAUCUUUGUGGGAGAACAGAUUCGGAUUAGAAUGCCUUCGGGGUCUUGAAAGUAUAGAUAUCUGGCAGUGCCAUGGACUUGAAUCCUUGGAGGAGCAAAGGCUGCCGUGCAAUCUCAAACAUUUGAAAAUAGAAAACUGUGCUAACCUGCAGAGGCUGCCUAAUGGUCUGCAAAGUCUCACAUGUCUUGAAGAGUUGUCAUUACAGAGUUGCCCCAAACUGGAGUCAUUUCCAGAGAUGGGCUUGCCACCGAUGCUGAGAAGUCUCGUGCUGCAGAAAUGCAACACUCUGAAGUUACUACCUCAUAAUUACAACUCAGGUUUCCUUGAAUAUUUGGAAAUUGAACACUGCCCAUGCCUCAUUAGCUUUCCAGAAGGUGAGCUGCCUGCCUCACUUAAGCAACUGAAGAUCAAGGAUUGUGCAAAUCUACAGACUUUGCCAGAGGGAAUGAUGCACCACAAUUCUAUGGUUAGCAACAACUCUUGUUGUCUUGAAGUCUUGGAGAUCAGAAAAUGUUCAUCCCUUCCAUCCCUUCCAACAGGCGAGCUACCCUCCACCCUUAAGCGGCUUGAGAUAUGGGACUGCAGGCAAUUUCAACCAAUUUCAGAGAAGAUGCUGCACAGCAAUACUGCACUUGAACAUUUGUCCAUUUCCAAUUAUCCAAACAUGAAAAUCCUUCCAGGAUUCCUCCACAGUCUCACGUAUCUCUAUAUGUAUGGUUGUCAAGGUCUUGUGUCCUUUCCAGAAAGAGGCUUGCCCACUCCCAAUCUCAGAGACCUUUAUAUUAACAACUGUGAGAACCUGAAGUCCCUUCCUCAUCAAAUGCAGAACCUUUUAUCUCUUCAAGAACUGAAUAUUAGGAAUUGUCAGGGCUUGGAGUCAUUUCCAGAAUGCGGUUUGGCCCCCAACCUUACCUCGCUCUCAAUCAGAGAUUGUGUGAAUCUGAAGGUGCCAUUAUCUGAAUGGGGCCUCCACAGGCUCACUUCUCUUUCAUCACUGUACAUUUCCGGUGUAUGUCCAAGUCUGGCAUCUCUUUCAGAUGAUGACUGUCUUCUUCCUUCAACUCUGAGCAAACUUUUUAUCAGUAAGCUGGAUUCCCUGGCCUGUCUGGCUCUCAAAAACCUCUCUUCCCUUGAAAGGAUAUCCAUCUACAGAUGCCCUAAGCUCCGGUCAAUUGGGCUGCCUGAAACGCUAUCAAGACUUGAAAUAAGGGAUUGCUAACAACAUCCCAAGAUGAAUUCUGCGCCCUGUAUAAAAAAAGGAAAAAAACUCACUCAGGUAUGCCUAUUUGCAACUCAAUCCCAGUUUCAUAUUGUCCUGUUAAUCUGAUUUUCCAUGUGUUUAUUGAAGGCUUGGAUGGGCGGUGGCUUUUGACAGCAUCACCGGCUUAUGGCUAAAACUGAGUGUAAAAUCUCUUGCCCUGCUUAAGCUGUUUUGUUCUUAUUUGUUUCAGAUCAAGGAAGCCGUUCAAUGACUCAUUUGUCGUUUGCAUUGUGUUUUUCCCUCCUUCAACAAGGUAUGCCUACUGCCUAUUCACAGUGUGCAUCUCCCAUUUUCAUUGGCAAAAUUCUGAGUUCAUUUCGAAAUAAAGAGUGGAAAUUUCUCUCUACAUACAGGAAGGAAAGAAAUAAAGAAGAAAAGAAACAUAUGAAAUCCAAAAUUUCCGAACAUUAAGCAGCAAAUUCACAUGGUGAUGGUAUGUUUUUUACCUCAAUCUUAGAUGAUUAUCUAUUUUGUUUUUCCUUCUGACAAUUCCUGAUAUGGGUUCCCCAAUUUUGUAAGUGGAUGGUUCCUUUUUGGAAUUUCUUAUUUCAGGUAGGAAGAAAAGAAUGAUGAAGGUGGUCAGUGCUUAUCAGGACUUGUUUUUCUGGUUUCUGCUAUUGUACACAAGCAUGAAUAUGUAUGCUAUUCUCAGUUACAUAUCAUAUACUUCUAUUGAUUUAUUUAUUUUCCAACUUCAAGUAAAGGUUGGUGUAGCGUAGUGUUUAUGACUUGUUCUAUUAUACUCCUCAAGCUGUUGUUGCAGAGGGGCCAGUUGCCUUCUCUUCUGCUUUCACACAGCAAUUUGAUUAGGCCCAAAUGCCAUAACCACCCCUUAAUUAACACUUACUCCAAGGCUUAACGAUUUGAAGGCUCAUGAUGGGACUUGACUAUCCCACAACACACCUAUCCUAAGGCUCUUUUUACCUAUAGUAUGUCUUAACAAUCACAACGGAGACUGACCAUCCCAUAACACACCUGUCUUGAGGACUUUGGGCUUGCCUUACACACCUAUCCCGGGAUCAUUGUUUUAGCUAUCAUUUUCUCAAUGAGUCAUAGACUCGUAAUAUCACAUACCUAACAACUCUUCCCUUAACAUUCCAUUUCUAUACCUUAACCCCAUGACCUAGUUCCAAUACCACUUUUUGUAUGUUUGGAAAAACCUUUGAUAUCACUUGUUGUGUUGGAAAAAGCUCUAACAUUGAUUUAAUUAACUAUUUUUAUAUCCAUGGAUGAGAGAAAAUAAUUUCAUUGUACCAUAAAAAUAUUAUAAAUGACAAAAAAAAUCUCAUAUUUCUCUACUCCUUAUAUAUAUCUACACAUUGAAUCAUGAGCUAUUAUUCUACUUGGGGUUUUUCACUAGAUCUUUCUCAUAUUUCUAUCUAUCAUACAUUGUUUUCAUAAACUCAUUUUCAUCGUGUAAAUUUUUUGCUUUAAAAUAUAGAAAAUUUGUAAAGAUAUUUUAAUAACUUUUCUUGUAUAAAAAAAUUUAAUAUUAUAAUAUCAUAUCAACAUAGCAAAUAUUGUAUGUAAAAUUCAAUACAAUAUAUAUAUAUAUAUAUAUAUAUAUAUAUAUAUAUAUAUAUAUAUAUUAAUUAAGAAUUUGAGAUAGAUGACAACUAAUAAGGAAUAUAUACUAACUAGUCGAAUCCCAUUAAAUUUCAUGUAAUUCUUUGUGUGAUUUUAUUAAAGCCAAGAAAAAUGGAACAUGUAAGAAAAUUGUAAAAGAAAUUUUGGUUAAAGGUGGAAUAAAUUAUUCUCUAAUAAGAAUGUAAUAUAUAAAACAUAUACUUCAUUAUCUGUAAUAAAUAUGGUCUUUCCUACGUAUUUAUUGGAUCUUGAAAGGUGGAAAUUAUGAAGUGGUCGAAUAGUCUAGUGCAUGAGGGGACCAUGGCUUAUGAGGGGACCAUGGUACACAAGAGGACCAUGACAUGCGGAGAAGUUGUGGUAUGAAGUGAAAAUAUGGUUAAGAAAAGUAACCAAGCGGAGUAUAAUUACGGGUUGCCUUGAUUAUGGUAUAGUAAAGCAAUCGAGUGCAUCAAUAGAAAUAUGUGCAAACAAUCUGUGUGAUAAAAUAUGUGUUACGCAGAGAUAAAAGAUUAACUCGAUGAAAUUUAAUUCAAGCUAGAAAGUGUCUCAAAUUAUCAUUUUGCAUAUUCAUUUGGUAAAAGAAAUAUGGUUUUAUUAUUUGGCAUUUUCUAAAAAAACUUAGGAUAUAUUUUUUAAAAUUAAUUAAUUUAUUAAAACCAAUCAAAUAAGUAAAAAGCUGUCAUUUUCCCUAUCUUCUUCUUCUUAUGGUCUUCUCUAAUGGCAUUAGUUCACAUUUCACCUCACGAAUAUGAAUUCAGAAGAGCAGCCCAUGUGCGGCAUUUUCAACAUACCAACCCUGUCGACCAACCGAGAAUAAGUCCAAGGACAUCCACUAAAGGUCUCACAUUUUGUAUUUUUGUGACUGGAACAGUCACUUUCCAUCGUUCAGACCGUCUGGACCGUCACUUCCACGGAAUUCAUUGCCGUAUUUCCAAAUACUUUUCUUCUGAAGAGUUGCAGACUUCCCCUAAUCAUUUUUUAGCUACAACUUUUCUCAUGAAGAAUAUCUAAUAUCUUAAAGAUCUGUUGCAGAGAGUUCCCUUAAUUAAUCCCUACUCCUUAUGCGUAUACCUUGAAUUAUGAGUUAUUAUUCUACUUAGUGUCUCUCGCUCUUUUUCGUAUUUCUAUCUAUCAUAUAUAGUUUUUAUAAACUCAUCUUCAUCAUAUAAAUUUUUUGCCUUAAUAUCUAGAAAAUUUGUAAAGACAUUUCCAAUAGCAUUCCUUAUUGUAUAAAGAAAUCUAAUAUUACAAUAUCAUAUCAACAUUACAAAUAUUCUAUAUAUAUUAACUAGUCGAAUCACAUUAAACUUCAUGUACUUCUUUGUGUGAACUUACUAAAGCUAAGAAGAAUGGAACAUAUAAAGCAUAUAUUUCAUUAUCUAUAAUAAAUGAGGGGACCAUAGUACAAAAGAGCACCAUGGCUCGUGAGGAGACCAUGACAUGUGAAGAAGUUUUGGCAUGAAGUGAAAAUAUGGAUCAGAAAAGUUUCCAAGUGAAGAUAGCUUGUUGCCUUGAUUACGGUAUAUUAAAACAAUCCAGGGCACUAAUAAAAAUAUGUGCAAAAAAUUCAUUUGUGUGAUGAAAUACAUGUUAUGAAGAGAUAAAAAAUUAACUCAAGGAAAUUUAAUCCAAGGUAGAAAGUGUCUCAAAUAUUAUGAGAUGAGGAUAAACAUAAAAGUUGCAGAGACUUCCAUGGAAUUCAAUGCCGUAUUCCCAAAUACUUUUCUUCUCAAGAGUUGCAGAGACUUCCCCUGAUCCUUUUUUAGCUACAAACUUUACUUCUGAAGAAUAUCUAAUAUUCUUAAAGAUCUGUUGCAGAGAGUUCCCUUAAUCAAUCCCUUGUUACCUACAAGAAAAGAAAAAAAAACAUGGCUGGUUUUGUUGGAGAAGCCGUUUUGUCUGGGUUCAUUCAGAAGUUGGUCGACAUGGUCGCCUCGCCGGAGCUGUGGAAGUACGCACGUGAAGAGCAAGUGGAUUCUGAACUGAACGAGUGGAAGAAAAUAUUGAUGAAGAUCUACGCAGUGCUCCAUGACGCGGAGGACAAGCAGAUGACAAACCCCCUGGUGAAGAUGUGGCUACACGACCUCAGAGACUUGGCUUAUGAUGUAGAGGACAUCUUGGAUGAAUUCGCCACCCAAGCUUUGCGACGCAACUUGAUCGUGGCUCAACCCCAACCGCCCACUGGUACUGUUCAGAGCAUUUUCUCUUCUUUGUCUACUAGUCUCACUUUGAGUGCUGCUUGGUCCAAUUUAAGUAUGGGUUCCAAGAUAGAGGAGAUCACUGCCAGAUUGCAAGAUAUUUCAGCCCAAAAAAAGCACCUGGAUUUAAGAGAUGUUUCUGCUGGUUGGUCUGGUAGAAAGAGACUACGGAGACUGCCAUCCACUUCUUUGGUGAUAGAAUCUCGUAUUUACGGCAGGGAAACAGAAAAAGCAGCCAUACUUGCCAUGCUGCUCAAGGAUGAUCCAAGUGAUGAUGAAGUCUGCGUGAUCCCUAUCGUCGGCAUGGGAGGUAUAGGCAAAACUACUCUUGCUCAACUUGCGUUUAAUGACGAUAAAGUGAAGGAUCAUUUUAAUUUGCGAGCUUGGGUCUGUGUUUCCGAUGAUUUUGAUGUUUUGAGGGUGACCAAAACUAUUCUGCAAUCNNNNNNNNNNNNNNNNNNNNNNNNNNNNNNNNNNNNNNNNNNNNNNNNNNNNNNNNNNNNNNNNNNNNNNNNNNNNNNNNNNNNNNNNNNNNNNNNNNNNNNNNNNNNNNNNNNNNNNNNNNNNNNNNNNNNNNNNNNNNNNNNNNNNNNNNNNNNNNNNNNNNNNNNNNNNNNNNNNNNNNNNNNNNNNNNNNNNNNNNNNNNNNNNNNNNNNNNNNNNNNNNNNNNNNNNNNNNNNNNNNNNNNNNNNNNNNNNNNNNNNNNNNNNNNNNNNNNNNNNNNNNNNNNNNNNNNNNNNNNNNNNNNNNNNNNNNNNNNNNNNNNNNNNNNNNNNNNNNNNNNNNNNNNNNNNNNNNNNNNNNNNNNNNNNNNNNNNNNNNNNNNNNNNNNNNNNNNNNNNNNNNNNNNNNNNNNNNNNNNNNNNNNNNNNNNNNNNNNNNNNNNNNNNNNNNNNNNNNNNNNNNAUGAAUGAGAGGCUUGUUUUAGAGUGGCUACAACCUCAUAGAAAUCUGGAAAAGCUCACCAUUGCAUUCUAUGGUGGACCAAACUUUCCAAGUUGGAUAAAGAAUCCCUCAUUCCCUUUAAUGACACACUUGGUUCUCAAGAAUUGCAAGAUAUGCACAUCGUUACCGGCUCUCGGCCAAUUAUCCUUACUCAAAAACUUGCAUAUCGAAGGGAUGAGUGAAGUUAGAACCAUAGAUGAGGACUUUUAUGGAGGGAUUGUCAAGUCUUUUCCAUCCUUGGAGUUUCUGAAGUUUGAAAAUAUGCCAACAUGGAAAGAUUGGUUUUUUCCAGAUGCAGAUGAACAAGUGGGACCAUUUCCAUUCCUUCGAGAACUUACAAUAAGGAGAUGCUCAAAGCUAGGUAUACAGUUGCCUGAUUGCCUACCUUCUCUGGUUAAACUUGAUAUCUUUGGGUGUCCAAAUUUGAAAGUUCCCUUUUCAGGAUUUGCAUCUCUUGGUGAAUUAAGUUUAGAAGAAUGUGAAGGGGUGGUGUUCAGAAGUGGGGUUGAUAGUUGUCUUGAGACAUUAGCUAUUGGACGGUGUCACUGGCUUGUAACGUUGGAGGAGCAAAUGCUACCUUGCAAACUUAAAAUUUUGAAAAUACAAGACUGUGCUAACCUGGAGGAGCUGCCAAACGGAUUGCAAAGUCUCAUAUCUCUCCAAGAGUUGAAAUUAGAGAGGUGCCCCAAACUGAUUUCAUUUCCAGAGGCCGCUUUGUCACCCUUGCUCAGAUCUCUGGUGCUGCAGAACUGCCCAUCUCUCAUAUGCUUUCCAAAUGGUGAGCUGCCCACCACGCUCAAGCAUAUGAGGGUUGAAGAUUGUGAAAAUUUGGAGUCUCUACCAGAGGGAAUGAUGCACCACAAGUCCUCUUCCACUGUAAGCAAAAACACUUGUUGCCUUGAAAAAUUGUGGAUAAAGAAUUGUUCCUCUCUCAAGUUCUUUCCAACAGGAGAGUUACCCUCCACCCUUGAGCUCCUUUGUAUUUGGGGAUGCGCAAACUUGGAGUCAAUAUCAGAGAAAAUGUCACCCAAUGGCACAGCUCUUGAAUAUUUAGACAUAAGGGGCUAUCCAAAUCUGAAAAUCCUACCAGAAUGCCUUACAAGCCUCAAGGAGCUCCACAUAGAAGAUUGUGGAGGUCUGGAGUGUUUUCCAAAAAGAGGGUUGUCAACCCCCAACCUCAUGCACCUUCGUAUUUGGAGAUGUGUGAAUCUCAGGUCCCUUCCACAGCAAAUGAAAAACCUCACAUCUGUUCACACUCUCAGCAUACGGGGUUUUCCAGGAGUGGAAUCCUUUCUAGAAGGGGGUUUGCCCCCCAAUCUAACAUCACUUUACGUUGGAUUGUGUCAGAAUCUGAAAACACCCAUAUCUGAAUGGGGACUCCUUACCCUCACCUCUCUUUCUGAAUUGUCCAUUUGUGGAGUGUUUCCCAAUAUGGCUUCUUUUUCGGAUGAAGAGAGUCUGCUUCCUCCAUCUCUGACCUAUCUUUUCAUCAGUGAACUGGAAUCUUUAACCACCCUGGCUCUCCAAAAUCUGGUGUCUCUUACUGAACUAGGUAUUGAUUGUUGCUGCAAGCUCAGUUCCUUGGAGUUGCCUGCAACACUUGGAAGACUUGAAAUCACUGGUUGUCCUAUUAUAAAAGAAAGCUGCUUAAAGGAGAAGGGAGGAUACUGGCCCAACUUCUCCCACAUCCCCUGCAUUCAAAUAGAUGGCUCAUACAUCCAUUGAAAGAUAGUAGACUCAGAUUGAAAUACAUUUUUCUCUUGUCAAGAAGGAUAGAUCCAUUCAUCUUUAUGCUUACUUUAGUCAAUCAGGUACAACCCACUUCUGCUUUUCUAGGCUUUUUUUACUUUCCAAUAUUUAAACCAAUUGUCUUGGAUUUAGUCCAAAUUUUUUACACAAAUAAAAGUUCUGUAGAGAAGAUGAAAGUAAGUAAACCUAUAAUUCAGAUGAUGAAACCUAUGAUAGCAUUUAAGUUUAGUAUUACUUUUCGAAAUGGUUCUUACUCUGUAAAUAUUUACUUUGUCAUUUUAUUUUGUCCUUGAAACUAUUUCAAGAGAUCCAAUCAUUCUGAAAUUUUAUGUAAUUAUUUCUCUUCAUAAUACUGGUGAAGUUGUAACCAAUUUCUGUUCUUGCCUUGUAGAUUCAGAGGGAUAAUGCUUGGUAGAGAUGUGGCAGGAAGCACAGGGUGAAGAUGACAGAAGAUCUUUGACAGAAGUUACUCACUGGGGUGGGUUCUUCUCUCACUUAUUGUCUCUUCAACUGUGUCCUUUUUAUUUUUAUAAUUGUUGGUAGACUUGUAUAGUGAUUUGAAAAAUGCUUUGCAAUGAUCAUUUAUAAAUAUUUACAUUGUCAUGUCACUAAGUCUUUGAUGGUAUUUCAAGAAAUUGUUCAUUGUUGCUCACUUCAAAUUUCUAUCCAAACAUCACUCAUUCAACCACAGAGUGUCAUUAUGAACUGAAGCUAUGUAUAAACUAUCUUGAACGAGCUCAUUUUGAUUGAUAAUGUUAGUGUAGUUCUUGCUAAUUCUUUUCCUGCUAAUGUGACUGCCAAUUUUCAUUCUAAAUUCAUGGGGUUCUGGCUUGACAAGGAUGUUGCAGAGGUAAACAGGUAUGUCUCCCUUAGAGUUCUGGUUUCCCUAGUGUAGAGAUGAAAGCAAACUAAUAGGUAUGUCUCCCUGUUCAGAAUAUGUGGCUUCCCAUUUCAUUGGCCCCAUAUUGGUUUGGCCUUCAGAAAAUAAAUGAAAUUUCUUCUCAACAUGUAGGAUGAAAAAAAUAUGGUGAAUUUCUAUGACUGGUGCAAUUGAUUUUUAAUUUCUCACAAGAUUUUUCAUUGAUGUUUCAUUUAGAGGUGGAUAUCGACUGUAGUUAUGGCUUGGCAUUCUCUCUUUGCUUUUCAUGCUGCUGUUAAUCCUCUGUUUCACACAAACAGAGUCAUUUUUCUAGAUGAAGUAACGUUGGCAUUCUGUUGUUUUUGCAGUGUGAUUAACCCUAAUUUUACACAUAUACAGUCCCAUCCACAGAUCCAUGAAUUGUACUACAGGUUUAUUUGUGCAAGGUUAUACUGCUUUUGUUUUGAGUUCAAGCCAGUCUUAAGAAGAUUGGAGAGGGCAUUAAACAAACCUUCUGGCUGACUCUGGAUGUAUACUAUAGUAUCUUAAGAAAGGUGCCUACAUAUUUAUUGACCACCUAAUCUCUGGUCCUUGGGCUGCCUGCAAUACUUAGAAGGCUUAGCACAGGUUGUCCUAUUCUAAAAGAAAUGUGCUUAUAAGAGAACUACAUUGCCCACAUCCCCUUUAUUGAUAUAGAUAUUAGAUAUAUCCAUUUACUGUCCCAGCCAUAUCCUCUCUUGCUUCCAAUCAGGCACGGGCUUUCAUAUCAUAAAUAUUAGCAAUUUUCUUCAAACUCUACUUUCCCUACUCAAAAUAACAAAAGCAGAGACCACUCUUACUUAUUUUAAACUGGGUAUGUCUGCCCAUUCAUUUAAAUUGGGUAUGUUUUGCCAUGAUGUAGGUUUUGACAAAGGAAAGGGCUGCCUGCAACACUCCCAAUGCUUGAAUCAAGAAAUUUCAUAUUCUAAAAACUGAUGGUAAGAGGACGUGGGGAGAUUGCAUCUUUUGUAGGAGAGCAGGUUUGGAUUAGAAUGCCUCAGUGGUCUUGAAAGUCUGGAGAUCUGGUAGUGGAAUGGACUUGUACCCUUUGGACUUUAAAGCAGCAGGGCUGCUUGGCAAUCUUAAAUAUUUGCAAUUGGAAGACUGGGCUAACCAGAAGAAGCAGAAGACUGCAGUUUAGCCUCCAACCUUACAUCACUUUAUAUGGGAGAUCAUGUGAAUCUGAAGCUGCCAUUAUCUGAGUAGGGCCUCCACAGGCUCACUUCUCUUUCAUCAUUUGUACAUUUCUGGUGUAUGUCCAGCUCUGGCUUCUCUAUCAGAUGAUGACUAUCUUUUUCCCACAACUGAGCAAUUUUUUUAUUCGUAAACUGGAUUCCAUCGCAUCUGUGGCUUUCAAAAACCUGCGUUCUCUUGAAACUAUAUCCAUCUAUAGGUGUCCUAAGCUCUGGUCCAAAGGGUUGACUGAAAAACUUUCGAGGCAUGACCUCAAUACUACAUGAUUAUCUGCUUUCUUCAAGACCAUUUUGAGUAAGCAUGAUAAGUUAGUGCUUCAUUUUUUCUUUUAAUUUCUUCUUUCAGGUAAGAAGAGAAGAAUGAUGAAGUAAUUCAAUGCCAACAUUGAAGUAUCAAGCAUGAAUAUGUUACUUUUCAGUUAUAUAUUGAUUUUUAUUUUAUUUUUUCUUAUCUCAAGUAAAUUUUCUUUCUGCACCAAAUCCUAAGGCAAUACAAUCUUGAGCUUACUUUUUAAGAUUGAUAUUUGACUUGCUCUUUGAACCAUAAUUUGCCAAAGAGUGUUGUGAUAACGUUAAAUCUUGAGUCAUCUUAGGUGUAACAGAAUCCGUAGGCCAAACACAAUCGAAUUAAUCCUUGAGCCAUUAUUUUUUGAAGGGGGUGUUUGGUACGUCAAAAUAAGGAAUGGAAAUAAAUAUUUUGUUUCUAUUCCUAUUUCUUAGUGGAUAAAAAUGAAUUUGAUGAUUCUAUUUCUAGCAUUUGGACGAAUUUAGGAAUGCAAGAUUGGAAUGAUUAUUUGUUUCAAUUCCAAUGUUUGAUAAUAAUAGGAAUGGAAAUGAAAAAGAAAUAAAUUUACAAUAAUAUCAUUACAUAUAAUUUAAAAUAUUUUUUAUUUUAUUUUUAAAAAAUAAAUUUUGAGAGUUUUUUUGUUGUUAAAUAAUAAGACUAAAAAAAUAUAUAUAUACUAAAUAAAUAAAAAACUAACCAUAAAAAAUUAUAUAACCCUAAUGUACAAAUAUUCAAUUAUUAUUUUUAUUAAAAAUUUGAAUAAUUUGAUAUGCUUAAGUAGUUAUAAAAUUAUAUUUUACCAAAAAAAAAAGAAAAAUAUAUAUUUAUUAUAAUAUUUAAAUGAACAUCCAAAACCCUAAAAAUUAGAAAUUGAAAUUUCUUUUCUAAAUGUUGUGAAAGAUUUGAUUGAUUCAGUUUGGGAAAAUCACUUAUUGCAGAGAAGUGGAUGAUGAAUGAGUCUCUAGCUUUGUAAAGAAGAUAAGCAUUGAACUUAAAAAAAUGAGAUAAGAGGGCAAAAUAGUAAAUUUAGGUUAUUUUAUAUUAUCAAAUGAGUUCAAUGAAUCAGAAUACCACUUACUUUUGAUAAAUUCAAAUCCGACUUAUAAGUUGGAUUUGAUUUCUGCAUAAAUAAUUUUUUAUUUCAUUUCUAUCUUCUUAACAUUUAUCCAAACAUAAGAAUAAAGAAGAAAAUGAAUGAGAUGUCUAUUCUCACUUUCUAUUCCCAUGUACCAAACACUACCGAAUAGUAGAAAAAUAAUUGUGCAUACUUCUCAGGGUCAAUAGUUCUAGCUUGGGUCAUUAUAUCUUAAGGAGUGACAAUGUUGCAAAUUUGACACAAUCACAAAGCUAAUACCAAGCUUUGAGCAUAUGAAAUUUCCUAGGGCAAUUCCAAGUCAACACAAUCUUGGGUUUACUCCUUGAGCCAUUAUUUCCAAAAUGUGCUAUAGUUACAAAUCUACAUAAUAAUAGGGCUCACCCCCCAAAUCUCAAGCCAAAAAAUCCCUAGCCAACAUCUUGAACCAUCAUUUCUUGAGGCUCAUCUAAUUCAUUUUCUCUUUUUUUGACUUGUUCUUCAACUUGUUUGGAAAAGAAAUGAAAGAUUCUUAGCCAUUGUGAUUUGAUCAUAUUGUCAUAUUAUGAAAGUGGGGUGAUCAAAUGACCACAUUGGUAAUGAUCAAUAAAGCCAUGGGAAUGGUUACGAUUAACAUUUACAUUGUUGUUUGUCAUGAUCUCAAUUGUCCCACUUUGAUUAUGAAGUUUUGUCUUAUUGUGAAAGAGGUUUUCAAAUUGACUACAUACUCCUAUACCAUUUGUUAUGCUCAAACUCAUAGCCAUUUUAUCUAACAAUCAAUUAAUUGCUUAAGAGAUCAAGGUAAACCUAUUUAUGUGAUUCAAGGAAUAUUAGAUCAGUCAUAAGCUAAUACAAUCUUAGGGUUAACUACAAAAUGUUGAGUAUAUAAAAUCUUGAGAUCAUUACUUCUUAAAACAAAACCAAAUCUUAAGUCAACACAAUUUUAGGCUAAUUACUUUCAAAUUCAAUAUUAAACCUGAAGCAUAUCAAAUCCCUAUAACCAAGAUACUUCUUCGAUCAUAAAAAAUUCCAAGGACUAUCCUUGAUUCAUCAUUUCCAAGGAACAAUAUGAUUUCAAACCUUACAAGUAAAUAAUCAUGGAUGACAUAUCUUUCUUUUCUUUUUUUUUUUCAUUAUCUAGCAUCAUUAUCUAGCAAUGAACAUGAAUUAAUAACUUGUUACAUGAGUUGUGUUGAUUAGGGAUCCCUUGUUUGCAUAACCGUGAAUGAAAGUAUAACCUAGGAGAUAAAAAUCAUGAAGCUAAAAAAUUUGUGCACCCUAAAGGAGAAGUACCAAAGUUUUGGGUUGGAAUUUCUUUGACCCUUAUUUUUAUGCUAGUAAAUUACAAAAUAAUCAAUCAAAUGAGUGGUGUGAUUUUUUUUCCUAAAUAACGAGUUAUUUAGGUUUUCUAUGUAUAAAUUAUUACAUGUUGUCUUCUAUUAGAUACUAAAUUUUCUAUAUUAUAAACUAAAAUUAGUAAUGGUAAUAAAAAACUAAAAAUUCUUUAUAUACAUCGGGUUAGAGUUCUCUCAUGUUUUUAAAUAUACAAGUCUAUGGGCCCUCAACUUUUGCUAUUUUUAUUUCAUACCAUAGCACCACAAAAAAAGUCUACAAAUUCAUAUGUAGACAAAACAAAGUUAAAGUAAAAGUGGACCAAUCUUAUCUCCUUUUCCCCAAACCAUCCACAAUUGUCAUUUGAUCACUAGGCCAAUACAAAAUAUUUGAUUGACCUUUUUUUCACACACAUUAUAUUAUGAGUAUGUUUGAAAUGUUGAAUUAUUGCAUUUCAAUUAUUUGUCCAAAAUCAAAAUCAAAAUUUUAUUAUCAUAAAACUAAUUUUAUUAAAAAAUUUAAUUAUUUUUUACACAGUAUUUUAAUUCAUCUUUAUUUGUGUUUCUAUUAUGAUUCUUAUUCUUCAAUAUUACUAUUUCAAAAAUAAGGUAAAAAUCUUCCUUUAAUAAAAGAUGUAUUUCAAAUAUGUCACAUCAUUAAAAAAUUUGUAGUUAAGAUGAUAGUACUACAAAUGGGUUGUUAUUGAUUUAUAUUAAAGUACUAGAGCUAUUGCAUAAUUCUAUAAAAUUUCAAAUGAACCAUGAAAAUAUUGGGAAGGGGGGUGGGGUGUGGGUUACAACAUUUACUUUAUGUUAAAGGAAAUUGCCUAGAAUGUAGCUAUGCUUCAAAUAUUAUUUAUAUAAAUAUAAUUACAUAAUUAUUAUUAUUUUAUAUAUUUAUUAAAAUCCCUUCAAAAUUGUAUAAAAAAGUUGUUGAACAUUUGUGUUAUAUUCCCUUUAUCUUCCUAUUGGUGGUGUAUAUUAAUUCAUCUUUCACCUCAAUCAACAAUUAAUACUUGAUAUUGACAUGACAGAUAAACCCUUAAUCAAUAAGAUGGGUUGAGGUGUUUUUAAAUCCUUAAUCAAUUUCAAAACGAUUGUGUAUAUAUGUGUGAAUAGAAAUUGGAGACUUACGAUCCAACUAUAAAAAUUCUAUUUAUAUUCACUCUACCCAUCACAAAGUCAAUGUCAUAAUUCAUAGCUAUUAAUAACAAUCAAUAGUAAAAAACUAAAUCAACGGAAAUCCAAAAUUGCUAAAAGAUUAUGAGCCAGAUUUAUAGAUCCGUUUAAGAAAAUCUAACAAAUAGUACUAAUGGGUUAUUAUUUAUUUAUAUUAAAGAACUAGAAUUAUUGCAUAAUUCUAUAAAACUUCAAAUUAUUAGAGCAUAAAAUAAUUUUCUAAACACUUAGGAAGAAAAAUAUGUAUAUAAAUAACAUGAUUAGCAUAAUUAGGUGAAGUUGAUUUUUGUGCACAUAUCUUACAAAGAAGGAACCCUAAAAAUAAAUGGGUGUACAUCAUUUACUUUAUGUUAUAGGAAAUUGCCUAGAAUGUAGCACUUCUUCAAAUAUUAUUUGUAUAAAUAAAAAUAUAUAAUUAUUAUAAUUUUAUAUAUUUAUUAAAAUCUCUUCAAAAUUGUAUAGAAAAGUUGUUGACAUUUGCGUCCCUUCCCCUUUUCUUCCUAUGACUUUUCAGUGGUGCACUCAAUGAGCAAUUAAUGCUUGAUAUUAACAUGUUAGGUAUAGAAACCGUGUGGACCUCCCAUUGAUUGAACCUUGGAAUCCAACUUGUUUCUUUUUUUUUUCUUUGAUGAAAAUAUUUCCAAGUUUCACAGCGAGGCUGAUAAUUGAACUCCAAAGUUUAUCUGUGAUAUAGAUGAUGUAACAUCAUAGAUAUACAAUUUUAUAUAUUAUAAAAAUUAAAAUUAAUUAUAUGAAGUGGAAAUUAUAUGUAAAUAAUUAAAAACCUUAAACUAUUUUAUAUGAUGAGAAAAAUGGGUUUUUAUUUACUAAUUUAAAUAAGUGAACGUAAAACUAAUUUAUAGAAGUUCGGGUUUUUUAUCUAUAUUUUUUUAAAAAAAUUAAUGAAUUAAAACCCAAUUUUUCCUUUUAUUAUUGCAUUAAAAAAAAAAGUCUACAAAUUCAAACAUAGGCUAAAGCAAAAGUGGACUAAACUUAUCUCUUUUUUCCCAAACCAUGAUUGUCAUUUGUUCUCAAAGCCAAUAUAAAAUAUUUGAUAGGUCCUUUUUCCACACAUUAUAAUAUGAAAAUGUUUGAAAUGUUGAAUUAUUGCAUUUCAAUUAUUUGUUAAAAAUAAAAGUUCAAAGCAAAAUUUUAUCCUUGUGAAAAUCAAAUAUAACUAAUUAAAAUUUUAAUUUUUUUUUACAUAGUAUUAAAAUUCCAUUUGAAAAAAAAAAAGGGAAACUUUUUCCCACUCUGAUUUGAUUGUAAAGUGUUGUCUUAUUAUGACAAUGAGGUGAUUAAAUUGAACACAUUAGUAAUUGCCAAUAAAGUCAUAGGAAUGGUUAGGAUUAACAUUUAGGUUGUUGUCCGUCAUGAUCUCAAUUGUCCCACUUUGAUUAUAAAGCAUUGCCUUAUUGUAAAAGAUCUAUUCAAAUUGAUUGCAUACUCUUAGACCAUUUGUUAUAGCAACCAAUUAAUUAUUCAAGAGAUCAAUGUAAAACCAAUUAUGUGAUUAGAGGAACAUCAAAUUAGUCAUAAGCUAAUACAAUCUUCAGUCCAACACCAAAAUGCAGAGUGAAUAAAAUCGUAAGAUUACUUCUUACAAAUAACAUGAUUAGCUUAAUUAGGUUGAGUUGAUUUUUGUGCCCAUAGCUUCUUACAAAGAAGGAACUAUAAAAAUAAUGGGGGUACAUCAUUUACUUUAUGGUAUAAGAAAUUGCCUAGAAUGUACCACUUCUCCAAAUUUUCUUUUUUUACAAAAAAAAAAAAAAAAAAAAGUUGUCAACAUUUGUGUGCCCUUCCCCUUAUCUUCCAUGACUUUUCAGUGAUGCCUAUUAAUUCUAUCUUUCACCUCAAUGAGCAGUGCUUGAUAUUAACAUGGUAGGUAUAGAAACCGUGUGGACCUCCCAUUGAUUGAACCAUUGAACCAUUGAUAUUGACAUGAUUCAAAUAUCAAAAUAGUUUCCCAACAUGAUGAUAACUGAUUACUCAUCUUCAAAUGUUUUUGGGAAACAUUCAAGUGCUCAAAAUCGGAUUCGAAUUGAGAGAAGGAGGCUCCAUCUGAGGAGUUUGUGGUUUAAGAAAAUGAAAAAAAUUACUAACUGUUGAUAUUUUUUUUACAAAAAACAAAAAAAAAAAAAAUUACAAAUGGGAAGAGUUGUCGGUCCGUUCAAUACCCGUUCAAAGCCAAGAAUGGUCUAAAAUGGGAAUCAAAUCAAAUACAUGAUUGGUCGGUGGUUCAACUUGUUUUUUUGAGUAUUUUCAAAUAUUUCUUAAGAAUAAUUUUUAUUUAUAAUAAGUUAUUUUUAAUAUUUUUCAUACUAUUUUAAUCAUUAGUCACAUUUAUAUUAUUAUUUUUUUAAAUAAUCUCACCAAACAUUUAAUAAUAUUUUUAAAUUAUUUAAAUAUAUUAUAUGAAAAAAAAAUACUAUUUUCAAAAUUAAUUCUAAAAAUAAUAAUUUGUAUAAAAGAUAUUCAAACCAUGUUUUCCCAUCUUUAAAAUAGUUUUUUAUUUUUAAUAACAAAAAAACUAAUUUUAAAAAACAAUUCACCAACACAGUCUUAGGUUUUUUUUCAUCACUUGAAAUAAAAUAAUAAAUAAGAAGCUGUCAAUAUUUGUGUCUUGGUCUCCUUCCUUCUAUCAUUUCAUGGAUGCAUGACAGUUCAUCUUUUAGUGAUAGACAAUGUGGACCUCCCAAGUCCCAAUGAAUCCGAUAAAGCAAUGGAAUUCAAUGCCAUAAUUGUAUCCACCACCUUUCAACCUUUUUUUUUUUUCAUAAGAAUAUAUACACCACUCGACUGUUAUUAUUCAAUGGUUAUUAUUAAUGUUAAGUGGAAUUAUUUGUUAUUAUGAUAAUACAUUUUAUUCAUGAUUAUAAAAUUUUUAUAUUUAUAUUUAUUUUAUUAAAUAAUUUAAAUAUAAUAAAAAAUAGGAAAUAGAAUCAAUUUUCAUUAAUUUUAACUUUUAAUUUCAAUAUUUGCAACAUGCUCACCUUCAAUUUAUUCAAAAAUUUCCAAGGGAAAUUUCCUUGUUUUUAGAGAAGCUCCCUUCCGACAAUGGUGUGGCACCUCACCAUUAUCAAGCACAAAAGUCACCAUGGUGACAAAACCUAUGUUGUAGUCAUUACCCAUUGUUAGUCUACUUCCGGAGCUUCAAUUGGGCAGGUAGGAAGCUGCAUGGAAAUUUCUCAUUGAUGUAUUAUCCUUGAAGAAAAAAGGCUAGCUACUCCACUAAACAAAAAGAAUUUUAAAAUGUUAAACUAGAUUAGUAUUAAUAUAUAGCCUUUAAACCAUAUGGUUAUUUUUUGAACAAAUAUAAUUUGAAUUUAGUGAAAGUAUUUUAUAUAAAAAUAUUUUUAGAAAAAUCAUAUAUUUGUGUUUGUUUAAGAAGAAUUAUAAGUGAUUUUUUAAUUUUUUAAAAAUAUUUUUAAAGUUAUUAAAUAAUUAAUUUUUCUUCAAAAAUAUUUUAAAUUUUAAAAGUGCUUUCUUAAAGCAGUGUAAAACUGAAUCUUAUAAUAUUAAGAUAAAAAAAAAAAAGAGAAAAAUGGAGAAAUUGUAGGAGAAACUAAAUUAAAUUAAUUAUAUACAGAGUAAUAAUUGUGGAAUGUGGGUAUGAAUGGAGAAAGGAUUUGAAUGGAUUUGAAUGUGCUGCACAUUCCACGAUACACCCUUGUGGACCCUCACCACUACCACCAUUCACUUCCAUGGAAUCCAAUGAACCUAACCAAAGUAACAAUUCACAAGUAUUUUCUUCCUCAAGUUCAACGGUAUCUGUUCUUCAGAGUUGCAGAGAGUCCCCUUCAUCCCUUGUUACCUACAAACUUUUCUUCAGAGUUGCAGAGUUUCCCCUUCAUCCCUUGUUACCUACAAACACAAACAUGGCUGGUAUUGUCGGAGAAGCUGUUUUGUCUUGUUUCAUCCAGAAGUUGGUUGACAUGGUCACCUCCCCGGAGCUGUGGAAGUAUGCACGUAAAGAGCAAGUUGAUUCUGAGCUGAAAAGGUGCAAGAAUAUAUUGACAAAGAUCUGUUUAGUGCUCAAUGACGCAGAGGAGAAGCAGAUGACAAACCCUCUGGUCAAAAUAUGGCUGGACGAGCUUAGAGACUUGGCUUACGAUGUGGAGGACAUCUUGGACGACUUCGCCAUCGAAGCUUUGCGAAGCAGCUUGAUCAUGGCUCAACCCCAACAAGGCAUUAGUAAGUUACGAGACAUGCUCUCUUCUCUCAUUCCGAGUGCUUCUACGUCUAAUUCUAGUAUGCGUUCCAAGAUUAAGGAGAUCACUGAAAGAUUACAAGAGAUUUCAGCCCAAAAGAAUGACCUGGAUUUACGAGAGAUUGCUGGAGGGUGGUGGUCUGAUAGAAAGAGAAAGCGAGAGCAAACCACUUCUCUGGUGGUUGAAUCCGAUGUUUAUGGUAGGGAAAAAAAUAAAGCGGAUAUAGUUGACAUGUUACUCAAGCACGAUCCAAGUAGUGAUGAUGAAGUCUCCGUAAUUCCAAUUGUCGGUAUGGGAGGUAUCGGCAAAACUACUCUGGCUCAGCUUGCCUUCAAUGAUGAUGAAGUGAAGGGCCGUUUUGAUUUGAGAGCAUGGGUCUGUGUUUCUGAUGACUUUGAUGUUUUGAGAAUAACCAAGACCAUUCUACAAUCCGUUGAUCCGGAUAGUCGUGAUGUCAAUGAUCUCAAUUUGCUUCAGGUCAAAUUGAAGGAGAAAUUUUCUGAGAAGAAGUUUCUUCUUGUGCUAGACGAUGUUUGGAAUGAGAAUUGUCAUGAAUGGGAUACUUUGUGCAUGCCAAUGAGAGCUGGGGCAGCCGGUAGUAAACUCAUCGUGACAACCCGUAAUGAAGGUGUCGCAGCAGUUACCAGAACUUGUCCAGCUUAUCCCCUACGGGAGUUAUCAAACAACGAUUGUUUGUCUUUAUUCACUCAGCAAGCAUUGAGGACAAGAAACUUUGAUGCCCAUCCACACUUGAAAGAGCUCGGUGAGGAAAUAGUGAGAAGGUGCAAAGGCUUGCCUUUGGCUGCGAAGGCACUCGGUGGCAUGUUGCGCAACCAACUAAGUCGCGAUGCAUGGGCAAAUAUAUUAACAAGCAGGAUAUGGGAUUUACCGGAAGAUAAAAGCCACAUUCUUCCCGCUCUCAUGUUAAGCUACCAUCAUCUCCCUUCUCAUUUGAAGCGGUGUUUUGCAUAUUGCUCCAUGUUUCCAAAGGACUAUGAAUUCAACAAGGAUGACUUAGUCCUCUUAUGGAUGGCAGAAGGCUUUUUGCAGAAAACGGAGGCAGCUAGGCCAGAAGACUUAGGUUCUAAAUACUUCAAUGAUUUGUUCUCCAGGUCAUUUUUUCAACAUUCAAGUCGAAAUUCAUCCCGAUAUGUGAUGCAUGAUCUCAUCAAUGAUCUAGCUCAGUCAGUUGCAGGAGAAAUAUACUUUCAUUUGGAUAGUGCACGGGAGAAUAACAAACAAUCCACCGUUUUUGAGAAGACUCGUCAUUCAUCAUUCAAUCGUCAAAAGUUUGAGACACAGAGAAAAUUUGAACCCUUUCACAAGGUGAAGUGUUUGAGAACAUUGGCUGCACUACCCAUGGACCACGAUCCAGCUUUUAUCCGUGAAUACAUAUCAAGUAAGGUGUUAGAUGACCUUUUAAAGGAAGUGAAAUAUUUACGGGUAUUAUCUUUAAGUGGCUACGAAAUAUAUGAGUUACCGGAUUCAAUUGGCAAUCUUAAAUAUUUGCGGUAUCUCAAUUUGUCAAAUUCUCCCGUAAGAAGGUUACCUGAUUCAGUAUGCCAUCUCUACAACUUACAAGCACUGAUAUUAUAUUAUUGCAAAAACCUUAAGAGGUUGCCUGUGGGAAUUGGAAACCUAAUCAACCUUCGACACCUUCAUAUCUCUGAUACAUCUCAAUUACAAGAAAUGCCUUCUCAAAUCGGAAACCUAACAAAUCUACAAACCUUAUCUAAGUUUAUUGUGGGUGAAGGCAACGGCUUGGGGAUAAGAGAAUUGAAGAAUUUGUUUGAUCUUCGAGGAGAGCUUUCAAUUUUUGGGUUGCACAAUGUAAUGGAUAUUCAAGAUGUAAGGGAUGCCAAUUUAGAAAGUAAGCACCACAUUGAGGAGUUAAGAGUGGAAUGGAGCAAUGACUUUGGUGCUUCACGAAAUGAAAUGCAUGAGAGGCAUGUUUUGGAGCAGCUACGACCUCAUAGAAAUCUGAAAAAGCUCACAAUUGCAUCUUAUGGUGGAUCAGAAUUCCCAAGUUGGAUGAAGGACCCAUCAUUCCCAAUAAUGACACACUUAAUUCUCAAGGACUGCAAGAGAUGCACAUCAUUACCCGCGCUUGGCCAAUUAUCCUCACUCAAAGUCUUGCAUAUUAAAGGUAUGAGUGAAGUGAGAACCAUAAAUGAGGAGUUUUAUGGAGGGAUUGUGAAGCCUUUUCCAUCCUUGGAGUCUCUAACGUUUGAGGUAAUGGCAGAAUGGGAAUACUGGUUUUGUCCUGAUGCAGUUAACGAAGGUGAAUUAUUUCCAUGUCUUCGAUUGCUUACAAUAAGAGAUUGUAGGAAGUUACAACAAUUGCCUAAUUGCCUACCUUCCCAAGUGAAAUUUGACAUCUCUUGUUGUACAAAUUUGGGAUUUGCUUCUUCAAGAUUUGCAUCUCUUGGUGAAGUAAGUUUAGAAGCAUGUAAUGAGAGGGUGCAAAUAAGUGAGGUGAUAAGUGGGGUUGUCGGAGGUCUUCAUGCAGUUAUGAGAUGGAGUGAUUGGCUUGUUUUGUUGGAGGAGCAAAGGCUGCCUUGCAAUCUUAAAAUGUUGAGCAUACAAGACGAUGCUAAUCUGGAAAAGCUGCCUAAUGGAUUGCAAACUCUCACGUGUCUUGAACAGUUGGAAAUAAGUAGAUGCCCUAAACUAGAGUCAUUUCCAGAGACGGGGCUGCCACCAAUGCUAAGAAGCCUUAAGGUGAUUGGUUGUGAGAAUCUAAAAUGGUUGCCUCAUAACUACAACUCAUGUGCCCUUGAAUUCUUGGACAUUACUAGCUGUCCAUCUCUCAGAUGCUUUCCAAAUUGUGAGCUACCAACCACACUCAAGAGUUUAUGGAUUGAAGAUUGUGAAAAUCUAGAGUCUUUACCAGAGGGAAUGAUGCCCCACGAUUCCACUUGUUGUCUUGAAGAGCUGCAAAUAAAGGGAUGCCCCAGACUGGAGUCAUUUCCCGAUACGGGGUUGCCACCAUUGCUAAGACGACUUAUAGUGAGUGUUUGCAAGGGUCUGAAAUCGCUGCCUCAUAACUACAGCUCAUGUGCCCUUGAAUCCUUGGAGAUUAGAUAUUGUCCAUCUCUCCGAUGCUUUCCAAAUGGUGAGCUACCAACCACACUUAAAAGUGUAUGGAUUGAAGAUUGUGAAAAUCUAGAGUCUUUACCAGAGAGAAUGAUGCAUCACAAUUCCACUUGUUGUCUUGAAUUAUUGACGAUAAGGAAUUGUUCAUCUCUCAAGUCCUUUUCAACAAGGGAGUUACCCUCCACCCUUAAGAAACCUGAGAUUUGCGGGUGCCCCGAAUUGGAGUCCAUGUCAGAGAACAUGUGCCCCAACAAUUCAGCUCUUGACAAUUUAGUCCUUGAGGGUUAUCCAAAUCUGAAAAUCCUACCAGAAUGCCUUCACAGCCUCAAGAGUCUCCAAAUAAUUAACUGUGAAGGUCUGGAGUGCUUUCCAGCAAGAGGCUUGUCCACCCCCACCCUCACAAGUCUUCGAAUUGAGGGAUGUGAGAAUCUGAAAUCCCUGCCACAUCAAAUGAGAGACCUCAAAUCUCUUAGAGAUCUUACCAUAUCGUUUUGUCCGGGAGUGGAAUCCUUUCCAGAAGAUGGUAUGCCCCCCAAUCUGAUAUCACUUGAGAUUUCUUACUGUGAGAAUCUGAAAAAGCCCAUAUCGGCGUUCCACACCCUCACCUCUCUUUUUUCAUUGACUAUUGAGAAUGUGUUUCCCGAUAUGGUUUCCUUUCCGGAUGUAGAGUGUCUUCUUCCCAUAUCUCUCACCUCCCUCAGAAUCACUGAAAUGGAAUCCCUAGCCUACCUGUCUCUCCAAAAUCUCAUCUCUCUUCAAUACCUAGAUGUGACAACUUGCCCUAACCUCGGAUCCUUAGGGUCGAUGCCAGCAACACUUGAAAAACUUGAAAUCUGGCAAUGUCCUAUACUAGAAGAAAGGUACUCAAAGGAGAAAGGAGAAUAUUGGCCCAAGAUCGCUCACAUUCCAUGCAUUGCAAUGCGUGGUCAAUAUAUCCAUUGAAGCAUAGAUGUUGAAAGUGAAAUGCAGUUUGUGGGUUGUGGAAAAGAAACAGAAGCGGAAACACAUUCAACCCCCAGUCCUUACAGGUACAAAAUCACUUCCAUUUUCGUAUCCUUUCUUUACUUUACUUCUGUUUAGGGAUAGGUUUAAUUGUGUAUAAGAUCCUCGGAACCAUAAAAACCGCUAUUCAGCUUCCAACUCCAUCUUCACAUUGACUUACCAAAUUCCCCUUCACAUUCUUUUCUUUUUCUUUUCUUUCUCCUUCAAAUUUUUUUGUUUUGAUUUUUUAGGACUAUUGUUUUGGAUUUACUUGAAACAUAGUAAAUUUAGUUUCUUUUUUUUUCCUGCAAGCGUUUAUAUUUAAUGGACUUAGAUAUGGAUACCUAGAUGCAAUUUUCUAUUCAAAUAUUAGACGUGCUAUGGAAAAGAUGAAUGAAGGAAACCUAUACAUGAUGAAGCUUAAGCUAGCCAUGGUCGUAGAGGAUUCAAAUUAGUGCUGAAUUAAAGAAUGAAGCGUCAUGCAUUGCUUUCCAAAUCGAUACAGGGUGUAAAUAUUUCUAAAUUCUAAUGUUCACUAGUCAUUCCAUUUAAUGGUUGGAAGAAUUAUUUUGACAGAUCCCUUCAUUAUUGCUCUCCCUGUAUUUGCAUCUAAAUAUCACUCAUUCAACCUCUUCCAUUGUAAUCAUAAAGUGAAACUCUGUGUAAAAACUAUCUUGAAAUAUUACAUUUUCAUUAAUAGUGUUUCCAAAGUUCUCACAAGUUCUCAUUUUUCUUUCCUGCUAAUUUGACCUCCAAUUUCCAUUGUACAUUCAGAUGGGUCCUGCUUGACAGGAAUGUUCCAUUCCCUCGAUGAAUUGGUGAUUUUGUCUGCAGUUACUAGUCAAGCAAUGAAAGCAAACAAAUAGGUACAUCUGCCCAUUCACGAUACCUGACUUCCAAUUUCAGUGGCCCAAUACCAUUUUCAGUUUCAGAUACUAAAAGAAAAUUCCUCUGAAGAUGUAGUAAGGGGGUAAAAGAUGAAGAUCAAAUGAAAAUUUUCCUAAUCAUAGCUGCAGCCUAUUCUCAUGCUGGUAUGUGCUUGAUUGCUCCAAUAAUGAUUUUUUCUUUUUUUUUUUCCUUUUAUCUUUUUGUGCAAGUUGAUCAGCUUCAAUUCAUCAAUUCAGUUGCUUUUUUAAGUUGUUUCACCAAGAGGUGGAUUUUGACUGUAGUUAUGUCUUGGCAUCUUCUCUUAAAUUUUGUUAGUCAGGCUGUUUUUAUCCUCUGUUUUGACAGACACAACUAUUCUUGUAGCUUAGCAUGAUUGACCUGACUUCACAUAUAUACUUAUGAAUUGUUUUAAUGCAAGACAAUGCAUUUACUCUUUCUAAUUACACAAUUACAAACAAAGCCUCAAAUAUUUUGCUUUUCUCAGGAAUUAUAUGUUACUUCUUUAGAUCUUUGAAACUAGCACAGUAUAUCAAAAUUAAUAGAAGUUCAUUGUUGGUUUAUGUAUGCUAACUUUAAGGCAUUUUACAUUAAGGCUAUAACAGUUUUGUUUUGGUUUCAGUUUGAUCUUAAGAAGAUAGGAGUUGGCAACAAAACCUUCUGGUUGACUUUGUAUAUGAAUUACGGUAUCUCAAGAAAGGUGUCCAUAUAUUGGUUGGUCCCUUAACCUCCAGUUAUUAGGGCUUCCAGCAGUAUUUAGAAGGCUUAUCAUAGGUUGUCCUAUUCUAAAACAAAGGUGCAUAAAGGAGAAAGGGGAGUGCUGGCCCAACAUUGUCCAUGUCCCCUGCAUGGAUAUUAACUGUGAUAACUUGAGAUUGAAGGUCAUUUCUCUAGGCUUAAACUUAGAAGGAAAAUUCAUUCAACCCUAUCCUAUCCUUACUUUUAAUCAGGUAUGACCAUUCAUAUUAUCAAUGCAGUUUUAUUUGAAUUCUAUUUUUCCCACUCAGAAAAAGAGAAGAAAAAGCAAACAGAAAGAAAGAAAUCAAAGACAGCAAUCCCCUCCUUAUAUCAAUCAUUAGAUUUGCCUUUCCAUACACAAUGCAUAACUCCCAAUACCAUUUACUGUUAGAUAAUUUUAGAAAUUUCUUGGUUAAACUUACCUUCAUAGUCAUCACCAUUGUCAGGAAGGUAACUUAUUGAAUCAUCAGAUUCUGCAUAAGAGUAAGAGUAUUUGUGAUUUGCAGGCUAGGUGCAGGACCCUUGAAAAAAGGCUAGACUUAGGAGCGCAAGCCCUACCGGGUUGAGCUGUUGUUAGCCGUGGAUAGGUGUUUGUUAGGCUGUAAGGUGGUUGGGGUGACGUCUCAUCAGGUCUGUUAAUCUACUAUUAGGCUCUAGUUCAAAACCCUAAAAUGAAUUCUAUUUUCAGAACCAUGUCUAGGAGAUCCAGUGAUUCUCAAGAUACUGUUGUAAACAGUGAAGAGAUCAAUUAUCCUAAGAUCCAAAAUGAUCUAGAUGAUUGGAAGCUACCUAAGGUGUCUACCCAAGAAAUUUACAAGAAAGGAACCUUUAAGUUUCUCACAGACUACACCAUUAGAACCUCUGAAAUGUCAGUAAGCUUAUAACAAGAUAAUCAAAUUAUAAGACUCUUAGAUGGUAAUUCCAUUGAUAAGCAUAAGAAAGAUGGGUAUAGUUUCAUACACUUUGGUAUGAUCUAAGUAGCAGCUAAACCUUUGACAAGAUCAGGUUUAAACACCUCUAUUGUCAUGUGUUUAAGAGAUAAUAGGCAUCUCGAUUAUCGAGAUUUUAUUAUUGGAGCAGUCCAAGCUGGACUAAAUGAUGGCCCAGUUUAUUUCCAGUGUUUCCCUAACUUCACAGUUAGAUUAAGAGACGCGGACAUCUUAGAUACUGUUGUCCUGCACGUUAAGACUCAUGGCUUUAAGUUCAAGGAAGGAAACAGUCCUGUUUCCAUCAUUACCAGGUUUGCUUAUAAGAGUAUGACUACAAGCGUUGGAUCUGGGGCUUUAUGCACCAGUCCUAAGGGAGAAACUACUCUCUUUCAUUCAGAUGGCAUAAAUAAGUCCAACAUCAUCGUCCCCAUGAAGAUAAGUUGGGAUGAGGUUGAAUUCCCAGAAAGCUGGCAUUUCUCUAAUGUCGUUCCAGCCAUAGAGUAGAGAUCUGAAAGGAUUGAACAAAUUGUUCAAUAUCCUGAUGGGGGUGGAGAUCUUAUUUUCUCCAAUUCCUUUCGUCAUUCUAGUAACCCUAGAGUUUCAGGUUAUGAACCAGCUAGAUCUUCAAGCUCAUCUAUCCCAGUAAGGAUCACUAGGGAAGAUGAAGGUACCAGUUCAAAUCCUAAGAACAUCAAGCUAACAGGUGUUAGAAGUCACACCAAUUUGGCCAGACCCUUUUACACUGAGGAAAAGGACUCUACUCAUGAAUCUCAACAGGAUGAGUCUCCUACAUAUUCUCAGAUGAUCAACACCAUAAGCUAUGGUGAUGAAGACUUUGAGAUCAACAAGGAACUCUUAAGGAAGGACUUCUAUUCUGAAGUCAAUAAGGAAAAGAAAGAUUGGUUUUUUAUAACUAUUCCUAAAGUUUUUAGAACCAUUCUCCAAGAGGAAUUUUAUUCCUACUUAAGACAAGAAAAGAAAAAUAUUAAGUUCUGGAUCUGGUUUGAACUCUUCAAACAAGAGGAAUAUCCAGAUUAUCCUUGUAAAUACAUUUACAACACAUCCUCAAAAACUAAGAUAUGGAAAACUAGUGAUAAUAUUGUCAUAGAGUCCAUUCAUCCUCCUAAAGCCAAGAUUGAAAUGGACAUAAAUGGAACCAUUGUUAGUGCUUCACCUUUUAAGACCAAGCUUGAGGAUAAGGGAACUGUCAGUAUUAUAGAUAUUAAGAGAAUAAUGGAACAAAAUAAUUAUACUAAUAUGUUCCUCUUAACCAUUGGUAAUCAACUCAAUAGAAUUGAGGAUAUUAUGGAAACUCAACGUUACACUAAGAAUUCUUUUGUUAAAAAUGAUAAUAAGCCUUUGUUCAAACCUUUUCAAUUCUCUAAAAAAUUUCAGGAAAACCCCCAUAUUGAUCAAACUUUCAUUGAAAGAAUAAGCCAGAAGGUUAAGGAUAACCUUAUCAUCCCAGAAACACCUCAGCAUUCCCAUAGGAGAAUUUGUAUGGUUAAGCAGAACUUUAAGGGUAAUAAGCUUAUUAAGUCAACCGGUGAUUAUUCCAGGCAAAACCAAGAUCCUACCCUAAGUAUAAUAACUAUCAAGGAUUUAUAAGAAGAAGUUAAGCAGUAUAAGAAAGAGAUUAAGGAAUCAAGUAUCAAAAGGAUUGAUACUUGUCCCAACUACCUUAAUCAAGAUAGCCUUAAGACUCCUAAAUCACCCCAUGACAAUAACAGAAAGGCAGAGGUAUACUUAAAUACUAUCAGCAGGGUUAUUUCCCAAAAAUGGGAAGUCCACCUUACUAUAGUAAUUAAGAAUAAAAUUGCCAUUGAUAUUAUUGCCCUUAUUGAUUCAGGAGCAGCUUUGAAUUGUCUUCAAGAAGGUCUUAUACCUACCUAGUUUUAUGAAAAAACUAAACAAGAUCUUUUUGGAGCUAAUGGUCAAAACCUUAAUAUUAAUUACAAACUGUUUGAUGCUCAUAUUUGUAAUCAAGGCAUUUGUAUUAAGCAAACUAUCAUUCUUGUCAAAGAUCUUAAAGAAAAAGCUCUCAUUGGAAUUCCCUUUUUAAGCUCUAUCUUUCCUAUCUGGAUUGAUAAACAAGGAAUAAGGACAAAGCUUUUUGGUAGAAAUAUUCUCUUUGGAUUUGCCAACCCUCUUAGUAAAAGAAAUAUAAACACCCUAAAUGAUCAAGUGAUAGUUGCCAAGAAAAAUCAUGUUAAGUCCUUAAAGCAAGAAAUUAAUAUGAUUAGGAUUGAAGAUUAAUUACAAAUUAAGAAAACCCAAGAUGCAAUAGAAAGUCUUAAGAAUAAAAUUAUUAAGGAAAUCUGCUCUAACAUCCCCAAUGCUUUUUGGCACAGAAAACAACAUAAGAUAGAAUUACCCUACGAACCAGACUUUAGUGAAAAGAAUAUCCCCACUAAAGCCAAACCAAUCCAGAUGAGCAAAGAAUUAUUAAGCUAUUGUGAAAAGGAAAUCCAUGAUCUUCUUGACAAAAAUUUGAUAAGAAAAUCCAAAUCCCCUUGGAGUUGUUCAGCCUUUUAUGUUAAAAAACAAGCUGAGUUGGAAAGAGGAACUCCUAGGUUAGUCAUCAAUUAUAAGCCCCUUAAUGAUGCUCUAAGAUGGAUUAGAUAUCCUAUUCCAAACAAAAAAGACCUCCUUCAAAGGCUAGUUAAUUCCAGGAUUUUUUCUAAGUUUGACAUGAAGUCGGGUUUUUGGCAAAUCCAAGUGGCUGAAAAGGAUAGGUAUAAAACUGCCUUUGUUGUCCCAUUUGGUCACUAUGAAUGGAAUGUUAUGCCUUUUGGCCUUAAGAAUGCUCCUUCAGAAUUCCAAAAUAUGAUGAAUGAAAUCUUUAACCAAUUUUCAGAUUUCAUCAUAGUCUAUAUUGAUGAUGUUUUAGUAUAUUCUAGUUCUAUUGAAUAGCAUUGGAAGCAUCUCAAUAAGUUUAUUGAAACUGUUAAAAGCAACGGAUUAAGCCUAUCAACUACUAAGAUUAAACUUUUUCAAACUAGGAUAAGAUUCCUUGGUCAUUAUAUUCACCAAGGAUCCAUCACUCCUAUUCAAAGAUCUUUAGAAUUUGCUGAUAAGUUUCCUGAUGAAAUCAAAGAUAAGAAACAGUUGCAACGUUUCCUAGGAAGCCUUAAUUAUGUGUCAGAUUUCAUACAAGAUUUAAGCUAGUUGUGUGCCCCUUUAAGACAAAGACUUAAGAAAAAUCCAGUUCCUUGGAAUGAGGAUCAUACCAAGAUUGUGAAGAUAGUCAAAUCUAAAGUUAAGACCUUACCGUGUCUUGCCCUAGCUGACCCUACAGCCUUUAAAUUUGUUGAGACUGAUGCCUCAGAUAUAGGAUAUGGUGGUAUUCUUAAACAGAAAAUCGACACUCAAGAAAAGUUGGUUAGAUAUACUUCAGGAACUUGGAAUAAUGCCCAACUCAACUAUAACACCAUUAAAAAAGAAAUUUUAAGCAUUGUUUUAUGCAUUUCAAAAUUUCAAGAUGAUCUUUUAAAUCAAGAAUUUUUAUUAAGGGUUGAUUGUUUAUCGGCAAAAUCAGUUUUGCAAAAAGAUGUUAAAAAUAUAGCUUCUAAGCAUAUUUUUGCUAGAUGGCAAGCCAUUUUAAGCAAUUUUGAUUUUCAAAUUGAAUAUAUUAAAGGAGAAAAUAACUCAAUCCCUGAUUUCGGUACUCGUGAAUUUUUGCAAGAUUCACAAGAUCAUGGCUCCCAAAAAAGAAAAGCAAUCCUUUAAGAAAUCAUCAUCUUACAUGAAACCUCUUUCAGUCUUAUCAGAAAAAUUCAAACCCUUGUAUUAUGAUUAUGCUUCAGGAUCUCAAGGAUCUUCUUCUGAUCCUUUUCCUCCAGUCUUAAGCAUCCUUUCUCCCCUGUUUUGGAAUAAGGAAAUAUUUCGGGUUCUCUACCUUUUGUGGAAGAAACCAUCCCCUUAAACUCCUCUACUUUUGAUACUAACCCCUUAUCUGUUCAUAAGAGUAUUUGUGAUUUGCAGGUGAUUACUACUCAAAACAUGCUAUUUUGUAGCUUGUUAUUAGCUCUUUUAAGCACCCUUGAGUAGUAAUUAUUACCUUUUAACUCAAUUAACAUGUUAGGGACCCUUGCAAUUGUUUCUAAUCAAUUUGUGUUAAGUUUUGGUGUUUUUUGAUAGCUUUAUGCUCACCAAAGCAAUUUAAGAAUGAGGGAGAGCUAUAUAUAAUUCAUGGCAAAGCUUUUGGAAGCUCAAAUUUAAGAAGAAACCAAGCUUUGGAGCCUCAUAAUCCUUUGCCUUAGUCGUUCAAAGUAUGCAAGGAAAGAACAAUGGAGAAGAGGAAAACAGGGUGAUGAAAAUAGGGGACACAGCUGCAGUCUUUCAUCGCACUUUUGGAGCACUUCCCGAAGUCCAUUUUCUACAUUCUAUAUACCAUUUCAAAGCUCAGAAAGUCAAGAAUCCAACGAUUCAAACCAUGUAUGAUUUGGAGCUGAAAUGAGGAAGAUAUGGCCUCCGGAAGACAACUGCAUCAAGCUGAGGGACAAUUUCGCACGAUGGAAAUCAAGGUGCGAAUUCCUCAGUCCAAAGUGUGGGAAUUUCGCACACCUGAAACCAAAGUGCGAAAUUGGAACUGCAACGUGCGAAAAUUGGAUAUUUUUGCCGACUCUUUUUCUUCUGAUAUUUUUGUGUCUAAAUUUCCAUUUUCUCCUUGUAUUCAGCCACUCAUGUAAUUCCUUAGCUAGGAAGUAUCCAAGGAAGGGUAAAAUUACCUUCCUAUAUAAAUUCUCUUGUAAACACUGAAGAGGCACUCUCGGGGAGCUUUCUCCAGGAGACCAACUGAUGUAAAUUCUACACUUAGUGAAAUACAGAGAUCUCUUUUGCUUUCUUUUUCUCUCUACUAUUUUCUAUUUUCUUGGAAGCCAAACAGCCUCUGAGGAUGUUUUCCCAGAGGAUGAGAGGCUAAACUUAUAGUUUCUUGGAGUAAAGGAAGCUAGGUGAAAAGUCCAGAUUAAAAGGUGGAGCGUUUCCGUGCAUUAAAUUCAGGUGGUUGGAGUCCAUAAAUGGUUUCUAAAUUCAAAGUUUUGCUUUAAAUCCCUUAGAAUCACUUUGACUAGCCAAUACAUGGUAAGCUUCAGGUCUCUGUGGAUGCUUAUUGCUAGAUCCAUAUCAGUCCAUUAGUUAUCAUGUACGAGCUAGUGGAAAGUGAUUCAAGGUGAUAACCCAUAGUGUCUUAAGCCAUUAAUGGAUCUCGACUACCAUCUCUAUUGACUUUUUAUGGAUUAAAUCUUCAUUGUCAAACCUAUACCGGUUCGGGAAAUAACUAUAGGUUAAAUCCCCAAUGCGAGGAGAAAAAUCCGGAAUUUUCCACUUUGCAUCCUGAACUUGAACCUAGCAACCUUUAGCUCCGGGAGACUUUCUUUCUUCUAUUUUUACUUAGUUUUAUGUGAGUUUAGUUUCAAUCACCACUUUCAAAACAAUUUUAUUUUCUUUUAAAUUUCAAGUUUGUGCUAAAGGAAAUCAUCAGAAUCAAUUUCUAAUUUAGAGUUUGUCACUGAUAGAGUGAAAACCCAUCCCUGAGUUCGACCCUAGAACUGCUAUACUAUAGUAGCUUUGCUACGCCAGUAUAAGGUCAUAGGAUUUAUAAAUGUUUUUUAUUAAAAGACCCGGCUGGGCAAUGAAUCAAAUGGAGCCGUUGCCGGGGAUGGUGCCACAAUACAGUGAUGCAACCUUUUAGAGGCUACUUGUGAAUCCAUCACAAGUUUGGUGAAUUCCUUUUUCAUUAACUUCAUUUCCUUUCAUUUUCCUUUUGUUAAGUUUAUUUUCAUUUUCUUCCUAACCUUAACUUUUUUCUAGGUUUCUUUUGUUUUUGUUUUAUUUCAGGUAAGUAGUAACUUGUGCAUGCCCUAUUGGAUCAGGGACCAAGAGGGAAGAUUAGUAAGGAUUGAGAAUCCUCAAGACACAGAGUUGGAUAUCUGUGUAAACAUCAUGGACCCUCCACCAGAGGAUCAGAAUUCUCAACAAGGUCAAGGGGGUAAUCCCAAUGCAUAUCUAUCCAUGAGGGAUAGAAAGCAUCCACCAAGGAUGAGUGCACCCUCAUGCAUCCUACCCCCUCUUGAGCAGUUGGUUAUAAGGCCCCAUAUUAUGCCCCUCCUACCAAAUUUCCAUGGAAUGGAGAGUGAGAAUCCAUAUGCUCACAUCAAGGAGUUUGAGGAGGUGUGUAAUACCUUUAGAGAGGGAGGAGCUUCAAUAGACUUGAUGAGACUCAAGCUAUUCCCUUUCACUUUGAAGGACAAGGCAAAAAUAUGGCUUAAUUCUUUAAGGCCAAGGAGCAUAAGCAAUUGGGUUGAUCUUCAGGCUGAGUUUUUGAAAAAAAAUUUCCCCACCCAUAGGACCAAUGGGUUGAAGAGGCAAAUCUCAAACUUUUCUGCAAAAGAAAAUGAGAAGUUCCAUGAAUGUUGGGAAAGGUAUAUGGAAGCCAUCAAUGCUUGUCCUCAUCAUGGUUUUGAUACAUGGCUCCUAGUGAGCUAUUUUUAUGAUGGAAUGUCUUCUUCCAUGAAGCAAAUUCUUGAAACCAUGUGUGGGAGAGAUUUUAUGAGUAAGAAUCCUGAAGAAGCCAUGGACUUUUUAAGUUAUGUGGCUGAGGUGUCAAGAGGUUGGGAUGAGCCCAACUCAAGAGAGAAAGGAAAGUUUCCCUCUCAACAAACCCAAAAUCCAAAGGCUGGAAUGUACAUGUUGAGUGAAGACGUGGACAUGAAAGCUAAAGUGGCAACAUUAGCUAGGAGGUUAGAAGAACUUGAGUUGAAAAAGAUGCAUGAAGUCCAAGCCAUUUCCGAUACCCAAGUUCAUGUCAUGCCAUGCACCAUUUGCCAAUCAUGUGAUCAUGUGGUAGAUGAGUGCCCAACCAUGCCAGCAGUGAGAGAAAUGUUAGGUGAUCAAGUAAAUGUUGUGGGGCAAUUUAGGCCCAACAACAGUGCAUCCUAUGGUAACACCUAUAAUUCAAGCUGGAGAAACCAUCCAAAUUUUUCUUGGAAACCAAGACCACCUUCAUACCAACUGCAAGCCCAAACUCAAGCACCUCAACAAACCUCUUUAGUGGAGCAAGCCAUUGCAAACCUAAGUAAAGUCAUGAAUGACUUUGUGGAUGAACAAAGGGCAAUCAACUCCCAAUUGCACCAAAAGAUUGAGAAUGUUGAGAGUUCUCUAAAUAAGAGAAUGGAUGGGAUGCAAAAUGAUCUAUAUCAUAAGAUAGAUAAUAUUCAGUACUCCAUCUCUAGACUUACCAACCUCAACACAGUGAAUGAGAAGGGAAAGUUCCCCUCUCAACCAAGCCAAAAUCCCAAGGGUGUUCAUGAAGUUGAAACCCAAGAUGGUGAGUCUUCAAAUUUGAGAGAGGUCAAAGCUGUGAUCACCUUGAGGAGUGGAAAGGAGGUUGAUCAACCCUUGCCUAAGGUAAGGCAAGAUGAAGAACUCAUGUCAAAGAGACCUUUGAUUAAAGAGAGCAAUAGCCAAGAAGAGCAGAGUGGGAAGAAAAGUACAUCCAAAUCAAGCACUGAAGAAGAACCAAGGAUAGUGAUUAAGGAGGAUAUGAUGAAAAAACAUAUGCCUCCCCCUUUUCCUCAAGCUUUACAUGGAAAGAAAGAAAUCAAGAAUUCAUCAGAAAUUCUUGAGGUUCUGAGACAAGUGAAGGUGAAUAUACCCUUACUUGAUAUGAUCAAGCAAGUCCCCACAUAUGCAAAGUUUCUAAAGGACUUGUGCACAGUCAAGAGAGGGUUACAGGUGACAAAGAAUGCAUUCCUCACUGAACAAGUGAGUGCUAUCAUUCAGAGUAAGUCCUCAGUUAAGUAUAAAGAUCCGGGAUGUCCCACCAUAUCAGUUAACAUUGGAGGGACACAUGUGGAGAAAGCUUUACUAGACUUGGGGGCAAGUGUGAAUUUGCUCCCAUACUCUGUGUAUAAGCAACUGGGACUUGGAGGAUUGAAGCCCACAACCAUGACCCUCUCCUUAGCUAAUAGGUCAGUCAAAAUCCCAAGAGGGGUGAUAGAGGAUGUUCUAGUUCAAGUAGACAAAUUCUACUACCCUGUUGAUUUUGUGGUACUUGAUACUGAUUCCACUAUCAAGGAAGAAAAUUAUGUGCCAAUCAUCCUAGGGAGGCCUUUCCUAGCUACCUCCAAUGCUAUCAUUAAUUGUAGGAAUGGGGUGAUGCAGCUCACAUUUGGAAACAUGACAUUGGAAUUAAUCAUAUUCCACCUAUGCAAGAGGCAUCUUCACCCUGAAGAGGAGGAAGGAUUUGAGGAGGUAUGCUUGAUCAACACUUUGGUCGAAGAGCACUGUGACAAGAAUUUAGAAGAGAGCUUGAAUGAAAGCCUGGAAGUGCUUGAAGAUGGGUUCCCUGAACCCUCUGAUGUGCUAGACAUUAUGUCUCCUUGGAGGAGACGGGAAGAGAUCUUACCACUGUUCAACCAGGAAGACUCACAAGGAGUUGCUGUGGAUGACCCUCCAAAGCUUAUUUUAAAGCCACUUCCUGUGGAUUUGAAGUAUGCAUACUUGGAGGAUGAUGAGAAAUGUCCAGUGGUGGUUUCCUCAACUCUCACUAGUGAUCAAGAGGAUAGUCUUUUAGGAGUCCUCAGAAAAUGCAAGAAAGCCAUUGGAUGGCAAAUUUCUGAUCUGAAAGGGAUUAGCCCUUUGGUCUGCACCCACCAUAUCUAUAUGGAAGAGGAUGCAAAACCAGUGAGGCAACCCCAGAGGAGACUGAAUCCUCACAUGCAAGAGGUGGUGAGGGGUGAAGUUCUUAAGCUACUUCAAGCUGGGAUCAUAUAUCCCAUCUCAGACAGCUUGUGGGUGAGUCCCACCCAAGUAGUCCCAAAGAAAUCUGGAAUUACUGUAAUCCAGAAUGAGAAAGGGGAGGAAGUCUCUACACAUCCUACCUCAGGAUGGAGGGUGUGUAUAAACUAUAGGAGGUUGAAUUCAGUAACUAGGAAGGAUCAUUUUCCAUUGCCUUUCAUGGACCAAGUCCUUGAGAGAGUCUCAGGACAUCCUUUCUAUUGUUUUCUAGAUGGUUAUUCAGGGUACUUCCAAAUAGAAAUUGAUUUGGAAGAUCAAGAAAAGACAAUCUUCACUUGCCCCUUUGGUACUUUUGCAUAUAGGAGAAUGCCCUUUGGUCUAUGUAAUGCUCCUGCAACUUUCCAAAGAUGUAUGCUAAGCAUCUUCAGUGAUAUGGUGGAACGCAUCAUGGAAGUUUUCAUGGAUGAUAUCACUGUAUAUGGAAGUUCUUAUGAGGAGUGUUUAUUGCAUUUAGAAGCUGUUCUCCAUAGAUGUAUUGAGAAAGACCUAGUGCUAAAUUGGGAGAAGUGCCAUUUUAUGGUACAAAAAAGAAUUGUCUUAAGACAUAUCAUCUCCAAGAAUGGCAUUGAGGUAGAUAAGGCAAAGGUGGAGCUAAUUGUUAAGUUGCCACCUCCCACAAAUGUUAAAGGAAUUAGGCAAUUCCUAGGACAUGCCGGGUUCUAUAGGAGUUCAUUNNNNNNNNNNNNNNNNNNNNNNNNNNNNNNNNNNNNNNNNNNNNNNNNNNNNNNNNNNNNNNNNNNNNNNNNNNNNNNNNNNNNNNNNNNNNNNNNNNNNGGGGCUGUUUUGGGGCAAAGACAAGAUGGAAAGCCCUAUGUGAUUUAUUAUGCAAGCAAAACUUUGAAUGAGGCUCAAAGGAACUACACAACUACUGAGAAGGAGUUGUUGGCAGUAGUUUUUGCCUUGGAUAAGUUUCGUGCUUAUUUGGUAGGGUCCUCUAUAGUGGUGUUCACUGACCAUUCUGCUUUGAAAUACUUGCUAACCAAGCAAGAUGCCAAGGCAAGAUUGAUAAGAUGGAUUCUUUUGCUCCAAGAAUUCAAUCUCCAAAUCCGGGAUAAAAAGGGGGUAGAAAAUGUGGUAGCUGACCACUUGUCCAGACUUGUGAUAGCACAUGACUCACAUGGUCUGCCUAUCAAUGAUGACUUCCCUGAGGAGUCUCUCAUGUCAAUAGAUGUAACUCCAUGGUAUUCUCACAUUGCAAACUUUUUAGUUACUGGAGAAGUACCAAGUGAGUGGAGUGCCCAAGAUAAGAGGCAUUUCUUUGCCAAGAUCCAUGCCUAUUAUUGGGAGGAGCCUUUUCUUUUUAAAUAUUGUGCGGAUCAAAUCAUAAGGAAAUGUGUUCCUGAGCAAGAGCAAUCGGGAAUUCUUUCCCAUUGCCAUGAUAGUGCAUGUGGAGGUCAUUUUGCCUCCCAGAAAACAGCUAUGAAAGUGAUCCAAUCAGGCUUCUGGUGGCCCUCUCUUUUCAAAUAUGCCCACUCUAUAUGCAAGGGAUGUGAUCGGUGUCAAAGGCUUGGUAAGCUAACACGCCGAAAUAUGAUGCCCUUGAACCUCAUCCUAAUAGUGGAUAUCUUUGAUGUUUGGGGGAUAGACUUCAUGGGACCAUUUCCAAUGUCAUUUGGACAUUCCUACAUUUUGGUGGGAGUGGAUUAUGUCUCUAAGUGGGUAGAAGCAAUCCCAUGUAGGAGCAAUGAUCAUAAGGUGGUUCUUAAAUUCCUCAAGGACAACAUCUUUGCAAGAUUUGGAGUGCCAAAGGCCAUUAUAAGUGAUGGGGAAACCCACUUUUGCAAUAAACCUUUUGAGACUCUUCUAGCCAAGUAUGGGGUUAAGCACAAGGUAGCUACACCUUAUCACCCUCAAACAAGUGGCCAAGUUGAGUUAGCCAACCGUGAGAUCAAGAAUAUAUUGAUGAAGGUGGUCAAUGUGAAUAGGAAGGAUUGGUCUAUCAAGCUCCUGGAUUCCUUAUGGGCUUAUAGGACCGCUUACAAGACCAUUCUAUGAAUGUCUCCCUAUCGCCUUGUUUAUGGCAAAGCGUGUCAUCUUCCAGUGGAGAUUGAGUAUAAAGCAUGGUGGGCAAUCAAAAAGCUCAACAUGGAUUUGACAAGAGUCGGGUUAAAGAGAUGUUUGGAUUUGAAUGAAUUGGAGGAAAUGAGGAAUGAUGCAUACCUCAAUUCAAAAAUUGCAAAAGCAAGGUUAAAAAAAUGGCAUGAUCAAUUGGUAAAUCAGAAGAAUUUGACCAAGGGACAAAGAGUUUUGCUUUAUGAUUCUAAACUUCAUCUCUUUCCAGGAAAAUUGAAAUCCAGGUGGACGCGUCCUUUCAUAAUUCAUGAAGUGCAUCCCAACGGAGUGGUGGAAGUAUUCAAUCCCACAGGCAAUCAAACCUUCAAAGUCAAUGGCCAUCGUCUCAAGCCAUUCAUAGAGCCUUACAGUACAGACAAGGAGGAGAUCAACCUCCUUGAACCACAGUAACUCUGAGGAAAAGCAGGGUAUCAUGGACUAAAUAAGUCCAUGAAUUUUUUGUUAUAGUUUUAUAAUUAUAUCAUUAUUUUUGUUUCUUUUGAUUAUAAUUUUUCCUCAAACUUAGUUUAUUUUGUCUUAAUUCAAGUCAAUUUUGAUGAUAAAUUUCAGAAAAAAAUCAAGAAAAGGUGGAGAACUCUUCAAAAGCAAGACAAGGGAGCAAAACCAAGGGAACAGAACGCUGCAUUUCAAGGUGCGAAAAUUUCGCACGAUGCAUUUCAAGGUGCGAAUUCCUUAGUCGAAAGGGUAGCAAUUUCGCACACCUCAAAACAAGGUGCGAAAUUGAAAGCAAGGUGCGAAAUCCCCUGUUCAAGGUGCGAAUUCCCCAAAUGCCAUUUUCGCACACCACUGUUCAAGGUGCGAAAAUUUUCGCACCAUGCGAAAUCCCUUCCUGGCACACGAGUGCCAUUUUCGCACACCUCAAGCCAAAUUUCGCACCGUGAGAAACAAGGUGCAAAAUUUUCGCAUAGUGCGAAAUUGAUUUCAAGGUGCGAAAACCACUGUCCAAAGGGUACCAUUUUCGCACACUCAAAUCCAAGGUGCGAAAUUUCUAGUCCAAGGUGCGAAAAUUUCGCACGGUAAAAUUUUAAGUUCCAAAAAUUUUAAAUUGACUUUUAAAUUAAAAUUUUACCCCCGAAAUUGUGCCUAACGUCCAAAAACGACUUUUCGGUUGCCUUGGAAAUUUUUAAAACCCCCCAGACCCCAUCCCUAUAUAAACCCUUGAAGCCAAAAAAGACUCCCCCGCGCACCAGCUGAGAAGCCUCUGGAAUCCUGAACAGCCACCUCCCUUCAUUUCGGCCAUGGCAAAGACCAAAAGAGGCCUUUCCGCCUCCCCAUCAUCACCGACGCCUCGACCACAGUAAGCCACCAUGGGAGGCGCCGCUUCGCCACCUGUUCAGGCCCCGGCCAUUUCCCCAUCUGAGAGGGGAACCCCUUCUCAGCGCCGAUACCCCACUAGGAGGCCACCCACUGAACCUGUGCCUCCUACCGACCAACCUCAGAGACCUGCUUCUCGACCCCCUGCGAAGAGAACUAAGUUCUCGGGUCCUGGAGAGCCAUCCCAUGCGCCUCAGGCAGAGCCGCCUACAGAGGAACCUCGGAUUCUUGUGGGGAUUCCUCCCGAGACCGUUAUCAGGCGUCCCAUGAUAGCCGGACCACCGAUAGAGGGCAACCUGGAUUGCCAAGAUCGAUCCUUCCACUCCGAGACCUACUUUGAUAUAGAGGCCCUCAGACAGCAGCCAGAGCUCAGAGAUUCAUUCCGACUACUGCAGAGAUAUCACAUGGAGCAUCUUCUCACUCCUAGGCAAUUCUAUUAUCCCAGAGUAGUUCUAGAUUUUUAUCAAUCUAUGACUACUCGAGGCCUCCGCAAUCCUAUUCUUAUCCAAUUUACCAUAGACGGACGCCAGGGUGCCAUUGGAGCUCGCCACAUUGCUGAGGCCCUCCGUAUACCUUAUGAGCCUGUGAUUCAGGCAGACUUCAGGGAGUGGUCCUCAUUCUCUCAAAGCGACAUGGUCCGUAUCUUGUCCAGGGGGACUUCUACAGCCUCAGUGUUGACUAGGAAAAAGCUUCCAUCUGGGAUGCUCCUUAUUGAUGUGCUCCUGCAUGCCAACAUCUUCCCACUUCAGCAUAAAGUUCAGAGGAGAUGAGCUAUACUUGAGGCAUUAUUUAGGAUUUCUGAGGGCUAUUACUUCGGCCCUCAUCAUUUGAUUAUGACUUCUCUUCUUCAUUUUGAAGAGAAAGUCCAUCAGAAGAAGCUUCAGAGGGCAGAUGGCAUCCCAUUAUUAUUUCUGAGGCUCCUCUGUCAGAUUUUAGAGCACCUGGGCUAUCCUGAAGAGCCCCGCCUUGAGAGGCGCCGCCAUUGCCGAGAGGACUUCUCUCUCGACAAAUGGCAUCACUUGACAGCCUACUUUGCAGCUCAGGGAGCCCCAGUUGUACCUGCACCUCCAGAGCUACCCCGAGAUGAGCAACUAUCUCAGGCCCAGCAGGAUGAGAUUCUCACAGACACCACACCUCCUGCCCCUGCAGCACACACCUCAGUGAAUAUGCCUGAGGCUAUACAUCCUACUUCUCCUCUCACUCAGGGUGCUCCACCAGUAGUGCCAGCUACCCCAGCACCUUCUCCUUCAUCUGAGCCCACUGUCACCGUUUCUCUUACGGAAUUCAGAGGCUUAGUGCAUUCAUUGCAGACACUGAGCACUGCUCAGGAUUUUAUUAUCCAGCAGAUGGCCACUAUUCGUGCGCACCAGGAUCAGAUCAUGGCUACUCAGGCCCAGCAUACCACGAUCCUUUAUCAGAUCCAGCAGCAUCUGAGUAUGCAGACACCUCUUGGGCAUGAUAGGUCUGCACCAUCCGAGCCUCUAGUGCCAGAUGAGGAGACCAUACCAGCUGAGCAGCCCAUAUCAGCUGAGGAGAUCAGAGCAGAGCCAUCACAUGAUCCCACUACUAUCUGAUCUUUUUAUGUUUUACUUGUUUUUAUAUAUUAGACUUGUAAAUCCCAUCUUUUUCAUGUUUAUAAACUGGGAUUGGAUAUAUUACUGGAACAUCAUGCAUUGUAUAUUUCUUUUCCAAGAAAUAUAUAUAUAUAUAUAUAUCCUUUUUUAUUAUAUUCCCUUUUCUCAUUAUUCUUUUGUAUUUGGAACAUGUGGUUUAAGGUAUUCCAUACCUCCUAUACACUCAGACUUUGAACCACAGGAGGUACCACUUCCUCCCUUUUCUUUUAAAUCGCUCUUUAAACAUUGAGGACAAUGUUUAGCUUGGUUGGGGGGAGAGUUGAGAAAGGAAGUUUUGUUGUUAAUACUAAGUUAUUUUGGUAAUUUAGUUGAUUUCUGCUUAAAGUUUAAAAUUUUUAAAAAAGUUUUUUUUGAAUCAUUCUCUAUGGUUGUUAAAGAUAAUUUCUCAAAAAUAAAAUAGGAUAAGUCGAGUUUUAACUUAAUUAUUUAAGUCUUAGAGUUUGUUUUAUGCUUUCAAAGUUAAUAAUCUAUUGAAGCCCUCUUUGAUUUCAAACUUAUUUCUUCCAUUUCAAGCUUUACACACACUGUGCACAUUAGAUCCCGGAUAUAUGAUGUAAAACUUUCCCACCUUCUAAGCUUAGGAAAAUUUUGACUUGGUUCAUUACAUAACCUCUCUUUAAUAGUGUUGGGACGCCUCAUAAAGACCAAUGAGUCUUUGAAAAAAAAAAAAAAAAGAGAGAAUAAGCUUCUUUUCUUUUCUUGAAACCUAAGCAUGAUCCGAAGGGGUGGCAAAAGCCUUUAAAGCCCGAUGCCCUAAACCUUGAUUGGUUGGGAGUCAUCGAUCCUCUGCUUGCUACAUAGGUGAAUUGGUUAAGUUUAGUGAGUAAAAAGAAUUGUGAAUAAGAAGGUGUGUUCCUAACCUAUUAAGAGUUAGUUAAUUUUUCCAAUGUUCGAGAAAAGCUUAGGUUGGAGGGAGAGGAUAGUUGUACAUAUUAUAUCCGGAAGCUAAUCUCAUUAACACUUAGCUCAUUAUGGAAGAGUUUGAUUUGGAACCUUGAGAGUAGAGAUUCUUUUGAUACUUAAUUGCAUAAUCUCCACUCUUUGUACUUUUUGUUUAAGUUUUAGUUUUGACAACUCCUAUUGUAUUUUGAAUCUUCAUAUCUUUAGUUUACCAUGUGAGAUGUGUUUUGAUAUCAGUCAUGCCACUCAAUUAUUUUUUGGAAUGAUUUGCAUGACCUCUUUUAUGUAUAUUAUUACGUUUGCUUAGUUUUUCUCUCCUUAAUUGCUAAGGGACUAGCAAUAUGUUGGUUGGGGGGAGUGAUUACUACUCAAAACAUGCUAUUUUGUAGCUUGUUAUUAGCUCUUUUAAGCACCCUUGAGUAGUAAUUAUUACCUUUUAACUCAAUUAACAUGUUAGGGACCCUUGCAAUCGUUUCUAAUCAAUUUGUGUUAAGUUUUGGUGCUUUUUAAUAGCUUUAUGCUCACCAAAGCAAUUUAAGAAUGAGGGAGAGCUAUAUAUAAUUCAUGGCAAAGCUUUUGGAAGCUCAAAUUUAAGAAGAAACCCAGCUUUGGAGCCUCAUAAUCCUUUGCCUUAGUUGUUCAAAGUAUGCAAGGAAAGAACAAUGGAGAAGAGGAAAACAGGGUGAUGAAAACAGGGGACACAGCUGCAGUCUUUCAUCGCACUUUUGGAGCACUUCCCGAAGUCCAUUUUCUACAUUCUAUAUAUCAUUUCAAAGCUCAUAAAGUCAAAAAUCCAACGAUUCAAACCAUGUACGAUUUGGAGCUGAAAUGAGGAAUAUAUGGCCUCCAGAAGACAACUGCAUCAAGCUGAGGGACAAUUUCGCAUGAUGGAAAUCAAGGUGCGAAUUCCUCAGUCCAAAGUGUGGGAAUUUCGCACACCUGAAACCAAAGUGCGAAAUUGGAACUGCAACGUGCGAAAAUUGGAUAUUUUUGCCGACUCUUUUUCUUCUGAUAUUUUUGUGUCUAAAUUUCCAUUUUCUCCUUGUAUUCAGCCACUCAUGUAAUUCCUUAGCUAGGAAGUAUCCAAGGAAGGGUAAAAUUACCUUCCUAUAUAAAUUCUCUUGUAAACACUGAAGAGGCACUCUCGGGGAGCUUUCUCCAGGAGACCAACUGAUGUAAAUUCUACACUUAGUGAAAUACAGAGAUCUCUUUUGCUUUCUUUUUCUCUCUACUAUUUUCUAUUUUCUUGGAAGCCAAAAAGCCUCUGAGGAUGUUUUCCCAGAGGAUGAGAGACUAAACUUAUAGUUUCUUGGAGUAAAGAAAGCUAGGUGAAAAGUCCAGAUUAAAAGGUGGAGCGUUUCCGUGCAUUAAAUUCAGGUGGUUGGAGUCCAUAAAUGGUUUCUAAAUUCAAAGUUUUGCUUUAAAUCCCUUAGAAUCACUUUGACUAGCCAAUACAUGGUAAGCUUCAGGUCUCUGUGGAUGCUUAUUGCUAGAUCCAUAUCAGUCCAUUAGUUAUCAUGUACGAGCUAGUGGAAAGUGAUUCAAGGUGAUAACCCAUAGUGUCUUAAGCCAUUAAUGGAUCUCGACUACCAUCUCUAUUGAUUUUUUAUGGAUUAAAUCUUCAUUGUCAAACCUAUACCGGUUCGGGAAAUAACUAUAGGUUAAAUCCCCAAUGCGAGGAGAAAAAUCCGGAAUUUUCCACUUUGCAUCCUGAACUUGAACCUAGCAACCUUUAGCUCCGGGAGACUUUCUUUCUUCUAUUUUUACUUAGUUUUAUGUGAGUUUAGUUUCAAUCACCACUUUCAAAACAAUUUUAUUUUCUUUUAAAUUUCAAGUUUGUGCUAAAGGAAAUCAUCAGAAUCAAUUUCUAAUUUAGAGUCUAUCACUGAUAGAGUGAAAACCCAUCCCUGAGUUCGACCCUAGAACUGCUAUACUAUAGUAGCUUUGCUACGCCAGUAUAAGGUCAUAGGAUUUAUAAAUGUUUUUGAUUAAAAGACCCGGCUGGGCAACGAAUCAGCAGGCUAGGUGUAGGACCCUUGAAAAAAGGCUAGAAAUAGCUAAUUUUCCUAAAGAAGAUAUAAGCCAAGCCCCUUUUUUCCCCACUGGAAAAUGGUGAGAAAAAACCAUUCACCCCACUAGUGAAUGAGAAAUUAAGUAAGGAUGAGCAGGAGUGCAUUCUCUUUAGAAUGUUUCAUCGUAGGAAUCAGAUCUUGUACACUCUUAAACUAGAUGAUAUUUAUCAACUAAUUUUUUAAAAAGCCAAGACCAGUGCAGAAGAAAAGCAAGUUUUUAUUUCGGCCUAUCUUCAGGAUCUGCACAUUUAUCUCUCAGCUAUUCCUGGUCUCAGUGUUCCAGGAUUGAAUUUAACUAAGGAAUUGGAAUUUGACGGUUCAAAAGUUUGCAGAAAUUGUAGUGAACCGCUUCUUCAUCAACAUGACAACAGGCAAUUUUGCAACUGCAAUAGAAAUUUCACUAUCAGCAGAGCCUGCAUUGAUCUGCAGUAUUACCAACCAAUUAACCUUGCUUUCAAAAGAGAUGUUUUAAUCCUAACCCCUAAAAUGCUUCUUGAUUAUGGGUUAGUCUACCAACUUAUCUGUUCUGAUCCAAGUUAAGCUAGCAAUUUUGGCAGAAAGGUUAACCUAAGCUUAACCCAAGGUUUUAAGUUAAACAAGAAGUUUGUUGACGCUAUUUUUAUUAGCAAAGCUCCUGAAUGGAUUUCUAGAGGCAACAUUCUUCUAGCCCAACACUAUGUUAAUCUUCAUUAUCAUAAUAGAAGACUGAUUCGUGCCCAAUUGGUGUCUCAGCUGAUUCGUGUCCAGCUGGUGCUCCUUGAUUGAGGGAGUAAUCAACAAAAUUUAUAACCUAUUACACCAUAUACUAGGGUAGCAAAGACAAAGCUACUAUAGCAUAGUGGCUCUAGGAUCAUUCACUAGGAUGGGUUUUCACUUCACAAAUGAUAUUAAUUCAAAGUUGAAUUAGUGCCUUUUCAUUUCAAGGUUAGCUUUAAAAGAAAACAUAAAGAUGUUUGAAUGAAAAAGGUUUGGUUUUAAACUAACCAAAAAUAGUAACUGAUUUUACUUACAAAGAAAAGUGUUUCUUGGAGUUUCAGAUCACUAGGCUCAGAUUCCUCAUACAAAAAGGGAGUUCCGGUCACUUGUUUCUUUUCCUCGCAUUAGAGAAUUAACAUAUAGUUAAUUCUCUAACCGGUGCUAUACAGAUGCUUCCCAUUAAUGGGUUCAAACACUAAAUCCCUCUCAUUGAUGCACCUUGCAAUGGCUCAUACCUCUCACCUAGCACUUGCCAUUCAAGGUGAUCUUUAACCUUGGAUUACCCGUUAAAAGCUCGCAAGAGAUAACUAAUGGAUGUCUCCUUGGAGUCCAAAAGCUUACCAAGUGUUGGCAAUUCUAGAAAAUCCUACCUUCAAGUCACCUCCCAAAAGCUCGCAAGAGAUAAACUAGUGCAUCUCCAUGGACGGAGAUCACUUGCCUUACCAAGUGUUGGCUCAGGUGAUUUAAAGGCGUUUUAAGUUAACUAAAAAGAUAAAAACCAUUAACGGGUCACACUUUCUCUUCAUUAAAAACUAAAACAACAAAACUUCCAAAUUAUGCAUGUGGAAACUUACCCGGCUUUCCUCACUCCAAGAGACAAAAAGCCUAGCCUUUCAUCCUCUAAGGAAAAAUCCUCAGAGAAUGUUUGGCUAGCAAGAAAAUGAAAAUGAAAAAGAAGGAAAAACAGAGCAAGGCUCUGUAUAUUCUAUAUAUUUAUAUAUCUAUAUCCCGUUGGAUUACAUGAUGCCCUAAGAACAAGCUCCCGAGAGCUAUAUAUAAAGAAAAUUACAAAACAAAAUAUCUCAGGUUAUUCACCACUUUUCCAAACUUAAUAACUAAGGAAUCCUAUAAUUGGUGGGUUACAAGGAGAAAAUGGGGAUUUAGACAUCAAAAAUCUGAAGCAAAAUAUCCAAAAGUGUCGGUCGCAACUAUCGGGAAGCUUCAGGAGAACACCCGUGCACUGUGCAAAAUGGCUGCGAAAUUCUCGCAGCAAAAGGCUGAUUUCACAGCCGUGCAAAAAUCUUCCUUCAUCUUGGAGUGAUCUGCUUGCAAUGGCUGUAACUCCUUCGUUUCAACUCCGAAUCGCGCACCAUUUAAAGAAUUAGAUUUUCGACUUCCUGAGCUUUGAAACGACAUAUUGCAUGUAUAAUUUGGACUCCCAAAAGUGCUCCAAAAGUGGCUGACAUGACUGUCAUCAAAAAUUGCUUCAUGGCAGAUUUCUCUUUGCUUCCCCUCCUUGCAUUCCGGAUUUGCUUAUGGCAAAGGAUUUCAAAGCUUCGGUUCUUCAUGUUUUUGAGCUUUCCAUUACUUUGCCAUGGAUUCCAAAUAACUCUCCUCAAUCUCAUAUUGCUUUGGUGAUAAAAAAGUUAUCAAAACACCAAAACUUAACACAAUUUGAUUAGAAUUGAUUGCAAGGGUCCUUAAUAUGUUAAUUGGGUUAAAAGGCAAUAACUACUACUCAAAAGUGUUUAAAAGAGUUAAUUACAAGCUAUCAAAUAGCACAUUUUGAGUAGUAAUCAAAGACCUACACUUUUGUCCAGUCCCUUAGUACAAGCCGAUAUUUGCGCAGAGCCAAUUAUUAAGUAAAUCAAGCAUUGGAGAGCCAGAGUCAUCAGUAGAGAUUUUGAAACCUACCCUAAAAACAUGGGGCAUCUCAUUGCUGCGGAUUCCCUACAUCAGAUAUUUUGCAGUAAAAGAAUUGACCAUUUACCGUUCAAAUCCACUAUUCAAGAUACUCAGCUCCUAAUGGAUCAUCGCUCAGAAUAUAUUCCUCCCUGAUCAGCCGUCAUUUCAGUUGAAAGCAAGAUUCAGGGUCAAAAGUAAAAAAUGCUACAGUUCCCUUUCACUGUUCACUUUUACUAUUCAAGCACAGGACUACUAUUCAUUAUUACUAUUUAAGAUUCCUUUUUGCCUAUUUAAGGGGGCUCGGUCCUCAUUUGUAAGCAGAAUGUAAUUUUUCCAUUCCAUAUGCUCCUCCUUCUCUCUUAUUUCUCUCUCAUCAUGUAAGCUCUCAAGCCUUCAAGCUUUCUUCAAACUUUCCUACCCUCGUCCAUUGUAAGAUAUUUCUCCUUAUGUAUAAAAUAAAUAUGUUUUGAUUACCUCCUAUAUGGAUGGUUUUUAAUUAAGUUUUGUUUUCAUUUCAAUUUAUAUUCUUGUACCUCCUACAUGUAUGGUUUUAAUUAAAAGCUUUGAUUUUAAUUUUAUGUUUUUCAUUUGUGUAGCGCAUAUCAUGGACGGUUUUACUCUUCUACAGGAUAUCUAANNNNNNNNNNNNNNNNNNNNNNNNNNNNNNNNNNNNNNNNNNNNNNNNNNNNNNNNNNNNNNNNNNNNNNNNNNNNNNNNNNNNNNNNNNNNNNNNNNNNAUGUAGGAGGUACAAGAAUAUAAAUUGAAAUGAAAACAAAACUUAAUUAAAAACCAUCCAUAUAGGAGGUAAUCAAAACAUAUUUAUUUUAUACAUAAGGAGAAAUAUCUUACAAUGGACGAGGGUAGGAAAGCUUGAAGAAAGCUUGAAGGCUUGAGAGCUUACAUGAUGAGAGAGAAAUAAGAGAGAAGGAGGAGCAUAUGGAAUGGAAAAAUUACAUUCUGCUUACAAAUGAGGACCGAGCCCCCUUAAAUAGGCAAAAAGGAAUCUUAAAUAGUAAUAAUGAACAGUAGUCCCGUGCUUGAAUAGUAAAAGUGAACAGUGAAAGGGAACUGUAGCAUUUUUGACUUUUGACCCUGAAUCUUGCUUUCGGCUGAAAUGAUGGCUGACCAGGGAGGAAUAUAUUCUGAGCGAUGAUCCAUUAGGAGCUGAGUAUCUUGAAUAGCGGAUUUGAACGGUAAAGGGUCAAUCUUUUUACUGCAAAAUAUCUGAUGUAGGGAAUCCGCAGCAAUGAGAUGCCCCAUGUUUUUAGGGUAGGCUUCAAAAUCUCUGCUGAUGACUGUAGCUCUCCAAUGCUUGAUUUACUUAAUAAUUGGCUCUGCGCAAAUAUCGGCUUGUACUAAGGGACUGGACAGAAGUGUAGGUCUUCUAUUAUGAUAAUGAAGAUUAACAUAGUGUUGGGUUGGAAGAAUGUUGCCUCUAGAAAUCCAUUCAAGAGCUUUGCUAAUAAAAAUAGUGUCAGCAAACUUCUUGUUUAACUUAAAACCUUGGGUUAAGCUUAGGUUAACCUUUCUGCCAAAAUUGCUAGCUUGACUUGGAUCGGAACAAAUAAGUUGGUAGACUAACCCAUAAUCAAGAAGCAUUUCAGGGGUUAGGAUUAAAACAUCUCCUUUGAAAGCAAGGUUAAUUGGCUGGUAAUACUGCAGAUCAAUGCAGGCUCUGCUGAUAGUGAAAUUUCUAUUGUAGUUGCAAAAUUGCCUGUUGUCAUGUUGAUGAAGAAGCGGUUCACUACAAUUUAUGCAAACUUUUGAACCAUCAAAUUCCAAUUCCUUAGUUAAAUUCAAUCCUGGAACACUGAGACUAGGAAUAGCUGAGAGAUAAAUGUGCAGAUCCUGAAGAUAGGCCGAAAUAAAAACUUGCUUUUCUUCUACACUGGUCUUGGCUUUUUCAAAAAUUAGCUUAUAAAUAUCAUCUAGCUUAAGAGUGUACAGGAUCUGAUUCCUACAGUGAAACAUUCUAAAGAGAAUGCACUCCUGCUCAUCCUUACUUAAUUUCUCAUUCACCAGUGGGGUGAAUGGUUUUUUCUCACCAUUUUCCAAUGGGGAAAAAGAGGCUUGGCUUAUAUCUUCUUUAGGAAAAUUAGCUAUUUCUAGCCUUUUUUAAAGGGUCCUACACCUAGCCUGCAAAUCACAAAUACUCUUAUGAACAGAUAAGGAGUUAGUAUCAAAAGUAGAAAAGUUUAAGGGGAUGGGUUCUUACACAAAAGGUAGAGAACUCGAAAUAUUUCCUUAUUCCAAAACAGGGGAGAAAGGAUGCUUAAGAACUGGAGGAAAAGGAUCAGAAGAAGAUCCUUGAGAUCCUGAAGCAUAAUCAUAAUACAAGGGUUUGAAUUUUUCUGAUAAGACUGAAAAAGGUUUCAUGUAAGAUGAUGAUUUCUUAAAGGAUUGCUUUUCUUUUUUGGGAGCCAUGAUCUUGUGAAUCUUGCAAAAAUUCAUGAGUUAGGAAAUCAGGGAUUGAGUUAUUUUCUCCUUUAAUAUAUUCAAUUUGAAAAUCAAAAUUGCUUAAAAUGGCUUGCCAUCUAGCAAAAAUACGCUUAGAAGCUAUAUUUUUAACAUUUUUUUGCAAAAUUGAUUUUGCCGAUAAACAAUCAACCCUUAAUAAAAAUUCUUGAUUUAAAAGAUCAUCUUGAAAUUUGAAAUGCAUAAAACAAUGCUUAAAAUUUCUUUUUUAAUGGUGCUAUAGUUGAGUUGGGCAUUAUUCCAAGUUCCUGAAGUAUAUCUAACCAACUUUUCUUGAGUGUCGAUUUUCUGUUUAAGAAUACCACCAUAUCCUAUAUCUGAGGCAUCAGUCUCAAAUAUUUUAAAGGCUGUAGGGUCAGCUAGGGCAAGACACGGUAAGGUCUUAACUUUAGAUUUGACUAUCUUCACAAUCUUGGUAUGAUCCUCAUUCCAAGGAACUGGAUUUUUCUUAAGUCUUUGUCUUAAAGGGGCACACAACUGGCUUAAAUCUUGUAUGAAAUCUGACACAUAAUUAAGGCUUCCUAGGAAACGUUGCAACUGUUUCUUAUCUUUGAUUUCAUCAGGAAACUUAUCAGCAAAUUCUAAAGAUCUUUGAAUAGGAGUGAUGGAUCCUUGGUGAAUAUAAUGACCAAGGAAUCUUAUCCUAGUUUGAAAAAGGUUAAUCUUAGUAGUUGAUAGGCUUAAUCCAUUGCUUUUAACAGUUUCAAUAAACUUAUUGAGAUGCUUCCAAUGCUGUUCAACAGAACUAGAAUAUACUAAAACAUCAUCAAUAUAGACUAUGAUGAAAUUCAUCAUAUUUUGGAAUUCUGAAGGAGCAUUCUUAAGGCCAAAAGGCAUAACAUUCCAUUCAUAGUGACCAAAUGGGACAACAAAGGCAGUUUUAUACCUAUCCUUUUCAGCCACUUGGAUUUGCCAAAAACCUGACUUCAUGUCAAACUUAGAAAAAAUCCUGGAAUUAACUAGCCUUUGAAGGAGGUAUUUUUUGUUUGGAAUAAGAUAUCUAAUCCAUCUUAGAGCAUCAUUAAGGGGCUUAUAAUUGAUGACUAACCUAGGAGUUCCUCUUUCCAACUCAGCUUGUUUUUUAACAUAAAAGGCUGAACAACUCCAAGGGGAUUUGGAUUUUCUUAUCAAAUUUUUGUCAAGAAGAUCAUGGAUUUCCUUUUCACAAUAGCUUAAUAAUUCUUUGCUCAUCUGGAUUGGUUUGGCUUUAGUGGGGAUAUUCUUUUCACUGAAGUCUGGUUCGUAGGGUAAUUCUAUCUUAUGUUGUUUUCUGUGCCAAAAAGCAUUGGGGAUGUUAGAGCAGAUUUCCUUAAUAAUUUUAUUCUUAAGAAUUUCUAUUGCAUCUUGGGUUUUCUUAAUUUGUAAUUGAUCUUCAAUCCUAAUCAUAUUAAUUUCUUACUUUAAGAACUUAACAUGAUUUUUCUUGGCAACUAUCACUUGAUCAUUUAGGGUGUUUAUAUUUCUUUUACUAGGAAGGUUGGCAAAUCCAAAGAGAAUAUUUCUACCAAAAAACUUUGUCCUUAUUCCUUGUUUAUCAAUCCAGAUAGGAAAGAUAGAGCUUAAAAGGGGAAUUCCAAUGAGAGCUUUUUCUUUAAGAUCUUUGACAAGAAUGAAAGUUUGCUUAAUACAAAAGCCUUGAUUACAAAUAUGAGCAUCAGACAGUUUGUAAUUAAUAUUAAGGUUUUGACCAUUAGCUCCAAAAAGAUCUUGUUUAGUUUUUUCAUAAAACUGGGUAGGUAUAAGACCUUCUUGAAGACAAUUCAAAGCUGCUCCUGAAUCAAUAAGGGCAAUAAUAUCAAUGGCAAUUUUAUUCUUAAUUACUUUAGUAAGGUGGACUUCCCACUUUUGGGAAAUAACCCUGCUGACAGUAUUUAAGUAUACCUCUGCCUUUCUGUUAUUGUCAUGGGGUGAUUUAGGAGUCUUAAGGCUAUCUUGAUUAAGGUAGUUGGGACAAGUAUCAAUCCUUUUGAUACUUGAUUCCUUAAUCUCUUUCUUAUACUGCUUAACUUCUUCUUGUAAAUCCUUGAUAGUUAUUAUACUUAGGGUAGGAUCUUGGUUUUGCCUAGAAUAAUCACUAGUUGACUUAAUAAGCUUAUUACCCUUAAAGUUCUGCUUAACCAUACAAAUUCUCCUAUGGGAAUGCUGAGGUGUUUCUGGGAUGAUAAGGUUAUCCUUAACCUUCUGGCUUAUUCUUUCAAUGAAAGUUUGAUCAAUAUAGGGGUUUUCCUGAAAUUUUUUAGAGAAUUGAAAAGGUUUCAAUAAAGGCUUAUUAUCAUUUUUAACAAAAGAAUUCUUAGUGUAACGUUGAGUUUCCAUAAUAUCCUCAAUUCUAUUGAGUUGAUUACCAAUGGUUAAGAGGAACAUAUUAGUAUAAUUAUUUUGUUCCAUUAUUCUCUUAAUAUCUAUAAUACUGACAGUUCCCUUAUCAUCAAGCUUGGUCUUAAAAGGUGAAGCACUAACAAUGGUUCCAUUUAUGUCCAUUUCAAUCUUGGCUUUAGGAGGAUGAAUGGACUCUAUGACAAUAUUAUCACUAGUUUUCCAUAUCUUAGUUUUUGAGGAUGUGUUGUAAAUGUAUUUACAAGGAUAAUCUGGAUAUUCCUCUUGUUUGAAGAGUUCAAACCAGAUCCAGAACUUAAUAUUUUUCUUUUCUUGUCUUAAGUAGGAAUAAAAUUCCUCUUGGAGAAUGGUUCUAAAAACUUUAGGAAUAGUUCUAAAAAACCAAUCUUUCUUUUCCUUAUUGACUUCAGAAUAGAAGUCCUUCCUUAAGAGUUCCUUGUUGAUCUCAAAGUCUUCAUCACCAUAGCUUAUGGUGUUGAUCAUCUGAGAAUAUGUAGGAGACUCAUCCUGUUGAGAUUCAUGAGUAGAGUCCUUUUCCUCAGUGUAAAAGGGUCUGGCCAAAUUGGUGUGACUUCUAACACCUGUUAGCUUGAUGUUCUUAGGAUUUGAACUGGUACCUUCAUCUUCCCUAGUGAUCCUUACUGGGAUAGAUGAGCUUGAAGAUCUAGCUGGUUCAUAACCUGAAACUCUAGGGUUACUAGAAUGACGAAAGGAAUUGGAGAAAAUAAGAUCUCCACCCCCAUCAGGAUAUUGAACAAUUUUUGUUCAAUCCUUUCAGAUCUCUGCUCUAUGGCUGGAACGACAUUAGAGAAAUGCCAGCUUUCUGGGAAUUCAACCUCAUCCCAACUUAUCUUCAUGGGGACGAUGAUGUUGGACUUAUUUAUGCCGUCUGAAUGAAAGAGAGUAGUUUCUCCCUUAGGACUGGUGCAUAAAGCCCUAGAUCCAACGCUUGUAGUCAUACUCUUGUAAGCAAACCUGGUAAUGAUGGAAACAGGACUGUUUCCUUCCUUGAACUUAAAGCCAUGAGUCUUAACGUGCAGGACAACAGUAUCUAAGAUGUCCGCGUCUCUUAAUCUAACUGUGAAGUUAGGGAAACACUGGAAAUAAACUGGGCCAUCAUUUAGUCCAGCUUGGACUACUCCAAUAAUAGAAUCUCGAUAAUCGAGAUGCCUAUUAUCUCUUAAACACAUGACAAUAGAGGUGUUUAAACCUAAUCUUGUCAAAGGCUUAGCUGCUACUUGGAUCAUACCAAAGUGUAUGAAACUAUACCCAUCUUUCUUAUGCUUAUCAAUGGAAUUACCAUCUAAGAGUCUUAUAAUUUGAUUAUCUUGUUCUAAGCUUACUGACACUUCAGAGGUUCUAAUGGUGUAGUCUGUGAAAAACUUAAAGGUUCCUUUCUUGUAAAUUUCUUGGGUAGACACCUUAGGUAGCUUCCAAUCAUCUAGAUCAUUUUGGAUCUUAGGAUAAUUGAUCUCUUCAUUGUUUACAACAGUAUCUUGAGAAUCACUGGAUCUCCUAGACAUGGUUCUGAAAAUAGAAUUCAUUUUAGGGUUUUGAACUAGAGCCUAAUAGCAGAUUAACAGACCUGAUGAGACGUCACCCCAACCACCUUACAGCCUAACAAACGCCUAUCCACGGCUAACAACGACUCAACCCGGCAGGGCUCGCUCUCCUAGGCACAAUGCUACUUCUCCUUGGGUAGGUCAAAACUUACCAAAACAAACCCAACUUCCCUUCCCAUGGCUCUGAUACCAACAACACCCAGGACAAGGUCAUAUGCAAUGGAGACAUGAAUUAUCUCAAAAUUCAAAACAAAGAAGAGGAAUUAGAAAAUACAAAAGAUAUCCAACAAGAAAUAUAUAUAUAUAUAUUCCUUUCCACACAUGCACAUAAUUUUUCAAGAGUAAAGAGCCUUGGCAGAUCUAUCAUUUUUUGUAGUGCUUUGGACCCUUUGGCUAAGAAAUGCAGUUUCAUAUCUCACUCUGGUAUACAAAAGUUAUGGCUAGAUAUUUCUUUUCAUACAUGCAUAUAUAUUCAUGUUGCUCUUAUCUUCCUUUCCACUCAUGCACAUAAAUUUUCAAGAGUAAAGAGCCUUGGCAGAUCUAUCAUUUUUUGCAGUACUUUGGACACUUUCUUCAACCAAGAAAUGUAGUUUCAUAUCUCACUCUGGUCAGACACUUUUUGUUCUUAUAGUUUCUUUAUAGAAUUUACCCUUUUCAAGUACAUGGUAACACACAAAGCCUUAAAUAUGUUUCUUAGUUAUUCACUGAAUACAUAUGCUAUUUUGAGAAAAUGGCAAUCAUUGAAUGCUUAAGCUUAGGUGCCUUUUGCCGAAGGAAGGCCUGUUAGUAGCCACACUUCUGAAUCUAGAAAUUCUGGGCUUUGCCCUUUGAUGGUCGAAAUUGAGAGGUUUAACCCAAAAUAGUGCACAUCCCAACUUAGGGAUAACUUUUCUUCUAUGAACACUUUUUUUUUUUAAUUUUAUUUUUAUACUCAAAAUAGUGCACAUCCCAGUUUGGGGAUAGCUUUUCAUGUAUGAACACAUUUCUUUUGAAUUUUAUUUUUAUAUCACAAAAAUGGAAGCAGAUGCCAUCUAAUUCACAAAAGACAACUCUUAUGGACUUGAUACAAGUUUCUACUUUGAUACUUGAAAAGGUGAAACAUAAAUUUUUACCUUUGAUACCAUUGAAAUUCUCUUUCAUUGCCUUCUAGCUCAGUGAGGCUUCCAUUGGGUCGUGGUGUUGGUGGUCCAUUUCCAUAUUCAUUGCCUUUUCAGAUGAUGAAUUUCUGUUUCUACAAUUUAUAAUCCCUAGCAUCCCUGGUUACCACUUACCAAAACCUCACUUCUCUUGCAGUGCUGUUCAUCUCAAAUGUCCCAAGCUCAAGUCAUUUUUUCAAAGGAAAUUUCCUAUUGUUAACAAGGUGUCCAAAUGAGAAAGAAGAAGAUUGAUUCAAAACUGUACGGAUCCCCUAUUCAGCUACUUCAUUGGAUAUAUGAGUUGGAACUAAAUUCUGUUUUCUGUGCACAAAAAGAGAAGAAGAUACAUUUCUUCCUUCCAUUUUUUCAUGCAGGUCUGCCUGUCUACUCACAAAUACACAACGACUAAUAUCAUUGGUUCAAAUACAAUUUCAAUUAUUAUAUAUUGAUGGAAAUUUCCUCUCUCUGUGCAUGUAGGAGGAAAAGAACAAUAAAGGAAAUGAGUUUAAAAAUUUUCCAACCAAAGCUCAGCCUAUUCAAAGGGUGGUAAGUUAAUGAUGUGAACUGUAGAUGAUGGUUUUUUCUUUGUCUUUUCAAGUAAAUCUAAUAGUUCUCUGCUCUGGAGGUUGAGAUGCUUCAUGUUUCAUUUUAUUGUGUUUGUAUGGCCCAAUAAAUUGCAUUUUAAAUGAUCGCUAGAAUUUCAUUCAUGAUUUGAGUAGAGGUGGAUUUGGAAUGCAGUUAUUGUGGAAAUUAUAAAGCCAAAUCAAGUAUAAUCAAAUGUAUUUAAAAUUUUAUAUAUUUUCUAAAUUCUUCAUUCUUUAUAUAGAGGAUGAAAAGAGCAAUAUGUUUUAAGAUGAUUGGAAAUUUUAUUAAGUUUAAUAUCAAGUUUUUUUCGUCAUUUUUAGUUCCCUUCAAUUUUCCCUCUAUUUUUUUCCCUUGUACUUUCUCUCAAACAUUCUAUGAUCUAAAUAGAGUCUCAUUGUUUUUAAUUUUAGAACUAUCACAAAAAUUUCUCUGAAGGGGAAAAAAGGAUGUGCUUGGAAGUUUUUAGAACAGAACGUAUAUCACACUUAUUAAACAUGAAGCAAUUUAUUCAUUGAGCUGUAAACUGCCCCAUUUUUACCAUAUUAUUGUUGGUGCAUGCAUGAUGUGCUUAACAAAUAUCCUAGCAUAGUAAGAAUUGCAUGACAAUCUUUAAAGUUGCAAAUGUAAUUGUGUUACAAUGUUUAAAGUUUUUAAUUUUGAUUUUUUGUUUAGUAGCCAUUUUGGUAUCUGUAUUUAGUCUUGUGUAUGACAAUUUCCUCUAUGCUACAAAGUUCCCCUUUGGUCAGAUAGUGAGAGGCUUCAUCUUAAAUCAAUUCAACCUUAACUUUUUCACUGGGCUUGGAUAUGAUAAGGAAUAAUUGUAGAGUGGUUAAGGAGGGAUUUCCCAUGGCAAAGAAUGGGGAAUAAGUUAAGAAUCGGGAUGAUUUUCUCACCAUAUAAGAUAAUGGGUUUGGGUAUGACAAGGUUGGGGCCAUUCGACAAUGCUUAUUAGGCAUCUGUCUUCAGAGAUCUGCAAUGGAGACCAGAUUGUUGAGGAAGUAUGAGAGGAAAAUGAGGUGAAGGUUAUUUGGUGAUUUUGUGGAAAGCCAUUGAAAAUGGUUGUCAAAAACUUUAAUAAACCUAUAACACAUAUGAUUGGGGUGAUAAGAGCAAGCUUAGAUUUUGGCUGGAUUUUUUGCACAGUGAUAGCAUCCUAAAUUGAAGCCUAUUCAGACUCAUUCAAAUUUGUCAUGAGAUGCAGACUGAAGCCAGAAGCAAAUUUUCUUUGAAGAAGGUAUCAGACAGUGGGGUGCAAGGAAGUUAUCACUUUUCAUGAAACAACAUGAGUUGGUAGUGCAUUUUUUGGCGGCUGCAGGGUUAAUGGCUCUUUUUGGGUGUUGUGGGUGACCUCAAACCAUACAGAAGUUGUUAUCAGGUUGUCAUAGAAGAGUUGUGGCUUAGCACCAAAGAACAAUGUGGAUGACAGGUUUUAUAAGCAUUUAGUCUGGAAUAGAUGGAGAAAAAAGAGAUAGAAGAAAUUCUCAAGGGAAUGAGGUUUCUUUAACAUGUAAGAACAAAUGGCUUUUAUCAUGAGUUUCCUUGAUGAUAUGUGUUUUCCAAUGCAUUCUCUUCCCUUGAUAAUUAUCUUUUUGUUUUUUUCCUUUUUUGUUUUCUUUUGGGAUCCACAUAUAUACUUUGAAUCCUUUAUCUGCUUCAGACCCUUCUGUAGUCAUGCUUUUGAGCUAUUAAGAAGAUACUACUUUAUUUAUUGGAUGCUCAUGAACACUUUUUUUUUUCUUUUUUUUUCAUAAAAUAGUUUUGCGGAUAUACAAGAUUUUUUUUUUCUUUCAAAUUUUGAGGGUAUUCACGUUUAGACACUUUCUGCAGGGGAGCUACAACAUGGUCUUACACCUCUGAGAAGCCCCAUAAGUACUCUUGUUGUAUUUUGGAAUUCUAGUGCUAAGGUAGGGAAAUACUAAAAAAAGUUGUUUACUCACCGUUAGAUGUAUGUAUAAAUUCAUUUGAGUAGGCCUCAAUACUGGUGGUCAAUUUCCAUAUUGGUUUCCUUUUCAAAUGAUUAAUUUCUAUUUCUACAGUCUCUCUUCCCUAGGUCUCCAAAACAUCACUUCACUUACAGUGUUAUUCAUGUCAAAUUGCCCUAAGCUCUGGUCCUUCUACCAAAAGCAGGACUGCCUGUAAGAUCCUCAAUGCUUGAAAUUCUUAAACAAGGUGCCUAAAGGAGAAACAAGAAUAUAGAUCCAAGACUGUGCACAUACCUUAUAUUCAGCUACAUCACUUGUUGGACUAUAUGAGUUGGAAUUGGAUUGUACUUUCUCUGCUCGAUCAUAGAAGCAGAUACCAAUCUUCCCUUCUUUUUUCAGCCAGGUAUGCCUACCUAAUCACAAAUACACAGCUCUCCUUAAGCAUAUGUGAAAGUUAAUAUGUGUCAUCCCUUCUAACACAAUAUUUGUAUGGCCAACUUAAUUAAUUAUUUUUUUGUUUCUCCCUAGAUUUUUCAUUGAUGAUUUCAUUGGAGGUGAAUUUUGAUGGCAAUUAUGUAUUGGUGUUCUCUUGAGCUUUGUUCCUUAUAUUGCUCUUUUUUCCUCUGUUCCAUGAUCCUGUCCUAUUUCCAAAUCAUAUCUACAAUGUGCAUAUAUUUUAUGUACAAUUUUCUGGGAUGAGAGAUAUUUGGGUGACAUCACCUUUAUAUAGUUCAAGCACAAUUUAUGAACUCAUUUGCCCCAAAACAAAUGUUGGUGUGCAUUGUAAAGUCUAGUGAGAUAUCUUUUUUAUUGAGUUUCUCUAGAGCAGUUAUUCUUUUUAUUUACACAAUAAUAAGCAGUGUCUAGUUAUGUAUUUUAAUUGCAUAAAAUCCGCUUUUACUGUUUUUAAUUUCUACCAUUCACAAAAUUGCUUGGAAGUUUUGAACACUAGAGGUAUGUGGUGGUUAACACAAAUUGGGCCCCUUUUGACAAUAUCAUUGAUAGUCUGUCAUCGGCUCCUGCUUGUUAUGCUUAAAAAGUAUUCCAACACAGUAUGACAAUUGCAUUAAAAAACAAAAAUUACAUUAGUAUGUUUGACGUUGUAAGCAUUGAUUUUUGGUUAAGGAGCCAUUUUGGCAUUUGUGUACUUAACCUUACACAUGGGAUUUCCUCUAUGCUAAAGAGUUUUGCUUUGGUUGGCUGAGAAUUUCAUAAUAUAGGCUUGCCUGAGGACUUCCCAUUAAAUUUAAUGCAACCUUAUCUUUUUCUCUGGAAUGCUCAUGUGGGAAGAUACAACAAAUUUACACUUAAUUGCAGAGUGAAUGGGGAGUGAUUUCCUGUAGGGAAGGUUGGGAACAAGUAUAAUUUAGUAGGAUCAAGAAUGAUUUGCCCAUAAGAAAAUAUAGUGGGUUUGGGUAUGAGAUGGUUAGGGUAAUUCAACCAGGCCUUGUUAGGCAAAUGGCUUUGAAGAUCCACUGUAAGCUUAGAUUGUAGGCUAAUAACAUAUAUCAAGCUUAUGUAGGCUUAAUGUCACAAGCUGAUCCAAAUGAGCCUCCCCAUGGCCUUAUAUAGGGCCAAGAAGCUUCUGGAGACUCCUAGAGUGGGAAGAGUGUGGAAGGUUCUAGAGAAGUCUAGAGGAAUCCACACAAUUCUACACCAUGGUGGAAGGCACAAGAGGAGUCCGGGGCUUUCUAGAGAAAUCUAGAAGACUCUUGUAUAUACUUGUAUAUAGGCUUGUACCUAGAAUGAUGUAGGACAUUCUAGAAUAGUCCUGAGUUGUAAGGAACCCUCCAAGGUUCUAGAGAGUUCCAUUGGUGCCUAUAAAUAGGUGAGGGCCUCAUUUGGCCAAGGCACCAAGCAAGUGAGCAUCCAAGCACUUGUAAAGGCUUUCUUGAGUUAAUAAGAGCUUCCAUUCUUUAAGGAGUUGUCUACUAAGCUCUUAAGCUUUCGAGUCGCGAGUGUCUUAGCCGAGCAAGCUAAGCAUUUGGGGAUCAAGGCUGACUUAGCAAGAUCAAGCGUCUUGACUUGCCUAAGUGCCGCACGAGCUUAGUGAACGACUAAGUCCGUGACAAGUGGUAUCAGAGCGCGGUUACGAGAUGGGCAUACCAAAGGAAGCAUGUCGGGCUCUAACGUGGAGGAGACUAGCGAGCAAACCCGUGGACGGGAAAUGGAGCAUACUACACGGGGCCGAGGCAGGAAGGAUAAGUCUCGUGACGCCUUAGCCAACAUGGAGGCAAGGCUAGCCAAGGUGGAGCUAGCCAUGGCGGACACCCGGGAAAGGGUGGACUUGAUCGAGCAAGGCAUGGAGAAGGGAUUAGAGGAUCUAAGGGAACAAAUCCAAGACCUUCGCGAGGGUGUUCUAGGCUCACAAGUUCAGCCGGUGUCACACGGGGAGUUCAUGUCCUUCCAAGACAAGGUCAUGACCAUGUUCGCUAGUGUGGAGUCAAGGAUGGAGACCUUGGCUGCACGCAUGGAUGCCCGAGACCAAGAGAUCCGACAAGAGCUGGCCAUCUACAAGACUGCGGUGUCAUCACGAGUCAUGGCCACUCAUGAGGCACCAAGGGUGGAGAUGCCCAAGCCACACACGUUCAGUGGCAAGAGGGAUGCCAAGGAACUGGAUAACUUCUUGUGGCACAUGGAGCGUUACUUUGAGGCAAUUGCACUGACGGAUGAAGCCACUAAGGUAUGCACCGCGACCCUUUACCUCACCGAUAAUGCUACUCUAUGGUGGCAUCGACGAUUUGCCGACAUAGAGAAAGGGACGUGCACCAUAGACACAUGGGAUGCCUUUAAGAGAGAAAUCAAGAGGCAAUUCUAUCCCGAAGAUGUGGCUUAUCUAGCAAGGAAGAACUUGAAGCGUCUCAAGCACACGGGCUCGAUCCGUGAGUAUGUCAAAGAAUUCUCUACUCUUAUGCUUGAGAUAGCUAACAUGGCUGAGGAGGAGCUGUUGUUCAACUUCAUGGACAACUUGAAAAGCUGGGCCGAGCAAGAGUUGAGGAGACGUGGUGUCCAAGACCUAGCCACGACCAUGGCAGUAGCCGAGUCCUUAGUGGAUUAUAGAAGGGGAGACUCCUCCAAGCCCAAUCCACCAUCCAAGGGUAACCAGGCCAAAGGUGGGGGAGACAAGAGGUCGUAGGGCCACACUCCUAAGGAAGGAUCAAGCAAAGGCCCUAGUGGCAAGGAUGGCAAAGGCAAGGACAAGCGAAAGGAGUUCACGCCCAGGACCAAUUGCUUCUUGUGUGAUGGUCCGCACUGGGCACGGGACUGCCCUAAGAGGAAGGCUUUAAAUGCUAUGAUCGAGGAAAAGGAGUAGGAAGGCGAUGCUAAGAUGGGAUCGUUGCAGCUCCUAAAUGCCCUUAAGGCCAAGCCGAUGCCUAAGACGCCUCAAAGCAAAGUGCUAAUGUAUGUGGAGGCCCUUGUGAAUGGGAAAGCCACCAAGGCCCUGGUGGACACAGGUGUCACUCACAACUUUGUCUCGGAGGAUGAGGCAAGAAGGUUGGAGCUCCAAGCAUCCAAGGAAGGAGGAUGGCUCAAGGCAGUCAAUUCAGCCGCAAAGCCAUCACAUGGAGUAGUCCGCGGGGUGACUAUGCACAUCGGCUCGUGGGAAGGAAUGGUCGACUUCACAGUGGCACCCAUGGACGACUUCAAGAUGGUGCUAGGAAUGGACUUCCUACAAAAGGUUAAGGUCGUGCCACUACCUUUCCUACGCUCAAUGGCUAUCCUAGAGGAGGAGAAGUCGUGCAUGGUCCCUACGGUCAAUGAAGGUACGCUCAAGAUCCCUAUGCUAUCAGCUAUGCAAGUAAAGAAGGGGUUAAAGAGGGAAGAGGUGACCUACCUCACCACCCUUAAGGAAGAAAGGGAUGAUGGGUCGGGAGAACCCAUGCCUAAAGAAAUCGAGGGGGUCCUUGAUGAGUUCAAGGACGUUAUGCCGCCCGAGUUGCCCAAGAAACUUCCUCCUAGGAGAUAGGAAGAUCACAAGAUUGAGCUGGAGUUGGGAGCCAAGCCCCCUGCUAUGGGGCCAUAUAGGAUGGCACCACCCGAGUUGGAGGAGCUAAGGAGACAACUCAAGGAGUUGCUAGAUGCGGGGUUCAUCCAACCAUCCAAGGCUCCUUAUGGCGCGUCGGUUCUAUUUCAGAAAAAGCAUGAUGGGUCCUUAUGAAUGUGUAUAGAUUACCGGGCACUCAACAAGGUGACGGUGAAGAACAAGUAUCCCAUCCCGCUCAUUGCUGACUUGUUCGAUCAACUUGGAAGGGCAAGGUACUUCACGAAGCUGGACUUAAAGUCAGGCUACUACCAAGUCAGGAUUGCGGAGGGAGAUGAGCCGAAGACUACAUGUGUGACCAGGUAUGGCUCGUAUAAAUUCUUAGUGAUGCCUUUCGGACUCACCAAUGCCCCAGCAACGUUCUGCACCCUCAUGAACAAGAUCUUCCACCCAUACUUAGACAAGUUUGUGGUGGUAUACUUGGAUGACAUAGUCAUCUAUAGUAACACUCUAAAGGAGCACGAAGAGCACUUGAGGAAGGUCUUUAAGAUCUUGAGGCAGAACAAGCUAUACGUGAAGAAGAAGAAGUGCUCGUUUGCUAAGGAGGAAGUGAGCUUCCUAGGGCAUCGCAUCAGAGAUGGCAAGCUAAUGAUGGAUGAUAGCAAGGUGAAAGCCAUCCAGGAGUGGGAUCCACCAACCAAGGUACCUCAACUCAGAUCUUUCCUUGGUCUAGUUAAUUAUUACCGGCGGUUCAUAAAGGGUUAUUCGGGAAGGGCUACUCCACUCACUGAUCUUCUUAAGAAGAAUAAGGCAUGGGAAUGGGAUGAAAGGUGCCAACAAGCCUUUGAGGACCUAAAGAAGGCUGUGACUGAGGAGCCAGUGUUGGCACUACCCGACCACACCAAGGUCUUUGAGGUACACACAGAUGCCUCAGACUUCGCUAUUGGGGGAGUCCUUAUGCAAGAAAGGCACCCAAUCGCGUUUGAGAGUCUCAAGCUAAACGACGCGGAGAGGCGUUACACGGUGCAAGAAAAGGAGAUGACCGUUAUCAUCCACUGCUUGCGCACCUGGAGGCACUAUCUGUUAGGGUCUCACUUCAUAGUGAAGACCGACAAUGUGGCCACUAGCUACUUCCAAACACAGAAGAAGCUGAGUCCUAAACAAGCUAGGUGGCAAGACUUCCUGGCCGAGUUUGACUAUACGCUGGAGUAUAAGCCGGGAAGUGCUAAUCAUGUGGCCGACGCCCUAAGCCGCAAAGUGGAGCUAGCGUCUAUGACGAGUCAGCCCCAAGGAGACAUAAUAGAUCUUCUAAGGGAAGGACUGCAACAUGAUCCAGUGGCUAAGAGCCUCAUCGCCCUAGCUCAUGAGGGGAAGACCAAGCGGUUUUGGGUGGAGGACGGUUUACUCUACACCAAAGGGAGACGACUCUACGUGCUUAAGUGGGGGAACAUAAGGCGGAACCUGAUUAAGGAGUGCCAUGACACCAAGUGGGCAGGGCACCCUGGGCAACGACGCACUAGGGCACUACUCGAGUCGGCUUACUAUUGGCCUCAGAUACGGGAUGAGGUUGAGGCCUAUGUGAGGACUUGUCUUGUGUGCCAACAAGACAAGGUGGAGCAGCGACAACCUAGAGGCCUGUUAGAGCCACUACCUGUAGCUGAACGCCCAUGGGACAACGUCACCAUGGACUUCAUCAUCGGGCUACCUAAGUCAGAGGACAGCGGCUCUAUCAUAGUGGUGGUAGACAGGUUCUCUAAGUAUGCAACCUUCAUAGCAGCCCCGACUGACUGCACUGCAGAAGAGACGGCGAGGCUAUUCCUAAAGCACGUAGUCAAGUAUUGGGGGUUGCCUAAGUUCAUCAUCAGUGAUCGCGACCCGAGCUUCACUAGGAAGUUUUGGACGGAGCUCUUCAAGCUUAUGGGUUCGGAGCUUCACUUCUCCACAAGUUUUCACCCACAAACAGAUGGGCAGACCGAGAGGGUGAACGCUUUAUUGAAGUUGUACUUGAGGCACUUCGUAAGUGCCAACCAGAAGGAUUGGGCUAAGUUGCUAGACAUAGCCCAGUUCUCAUACAACCUGCAAAGGAGUGAGGCGACCAAUAAGAGCCCGUUCGAGCUAGCUACAGGACAGCAACCGUUAACUCCUCACACUCUAACGAUUGGCUAUACGGGGAGAAGUCCAGCGGCUUUCAAGUUCGCGAAAGGGUGGCAUGAGCAAGCUGAUAUAGCACGCUCCUACUUGGAUAAGGCCGCUAAGAAAAUGAAGAAGUGGGAUGACAAGAAGCGACGACACACGGAGUACAAGGUCGGAGACAUGGUGCUUGUCAAGCUCCUUCCUCAACAAUUCAAGUCCCUAAGGCCGCUGCAUAAGGGCCUUGUGAGGAGGUAUGAAGGACCCUUCCUCAUACUUGGGAAGGUCGGCAAUGUGUCCUAUAGAGUCGAGCUGCCCCCGAGGUUGAAGAUUCAUCCUGUCUUCCACGCAAGCUACUUGAAGCCCUAUCACGGAGACAAGGAUGAUCCAAGCCGAGGGUUGUCUAAGAGGGCACCUACAGUAGUCGUGACCUCCUAUGAUAAGGAGGUAGAACACAUCCUCGCAGAUCGGGUCAUCAGGAGACAAGGGGUACCUCCUGCUACGGAAUACUUAGUAAAAUGGAAGGGACUACCAGAAAGCGAGGCUAGUUGGGAGCCAGCAGAGGCACUAUGGCAGUUCCAGGAGCAGAUCGAGCGGUUCCGGGCAGAAGGCGCAACGAGGACGUCUGCAGCUUAGGUGGGGGAAAGUGUCACAAGCUGAUCCAAAUGAGCCUCCUCAUGGCCUUAAAAAGGGCCAGGAAGCUUCUAGAGACUCCUAGAGUGGGAAGAGUGUGGAAGGUUCUAGAGAAGUCUGGAGGAAUCCACACAAUUCUACACCAUGGUGGAAGGCACGAGAGGAGUCCGGGGCUUUCUAGAGAAAUCUAGAAGACUCUUGUAUAUACUUGUAUAUAGGAUUGUACCUAGAAUGAUGUAGGACAUUCUAGAAUAGUCCUGAGUUGUAAGGAACCCUCCAAGGUUCUAGAGAGUUCCAUUGGUGCCUAUAAAUAGGUGAGGGCCUCAUUUGGCCAAGGCACCAAGCAAGUGAGCAUCCAAGCACUUGUAAAGGCUUUCUUGAGUUAAUAAGAGCUUCCAUUCUUUAAGGAGUUGCCUACUAAGCUCUUAAGCUUUCGAGUCGCAAGUGUCUUAGCCGAGCAAGCUAAGCAUUGGGGAUCAAGGCUGACUUAGCAAGAUCAAGCGUCUUGACUUGCCUAAGUGCCGCACGAGCUUAGUGAACGACUAAGUCCAUGACAUUAAGCCCUAAUGGAACUAUGGGAGGAAGAUGAGGUGGAAGUUAUUUGUUGAAUGUGUCAAAAGGCAUUGGAGAUUUUUGUCAAAACCUUGACAAACACAAGAAACAUGUAGUUGGGGUGAUGAGAGCAAGUUUAGAAUUUGGUUGGGUGUUCUGCAUAGCAAUAGGACCCCAAAUGAGUGACUACUAGAUGCAGGGAAAUGUUUCUUGAGGUGCAGGCUCAAGCUAGGGGAAGUUUCCUUAGAAGAAAGUACCAUGCAGUAGAUAGACUCUUUUAUCACAGAUGAUUGGAACAAAUGAAAUUCCUCUGUCAGACUAUAAUGGAGUUGUCUUGGCAUGGAAAUUUUGUGGCUUAAAGCCAAAGUACUAUAUGGAUGUCAAUUCUUUUAAUCUUUUAGUUUAGAAUCCAUGGAGGAAAAAGAAAUAGAAGAAAUUCCCAAGGGAAAGAGGCUUCUUUGACAUGUAAGAUCAAAGGGGUUUAUCUUUUUAUCUUUUUCCUUUUGCUUCCUUUUGGGAUCCACAUAUACACUCCUUUAUCUACUUCACCCCCUCUUGUGGUCAUACAUUUGAGCAUUUAAGAAGAUACUAUCUUUCUUCAUUAGAUACUUAUAAGCACUUGUUCUCAUAAGAUAGUUCUGUCAAUUUACAGGAAUUUUUUUUUGUUCCAAAUGUUAGUUUAUUCAUGUUUAGAAGCAUUCUGCAGGGGGGCUACAACAUGGUCUUGCCUCUCUUAGAAGCUUAAUAAGUCUUGUUACAUUUUAGAGUUUGAAUAGUAAGGUAGGGAAAAACUAUAAAGGUUAUUUAUAUAUAUGUUGUACAUGCAGAAACUCUAAUGUAAAUAUAUUAAGGGAAAAACAUAAAAAUAAAGCAAACAACACAUGAAGGUAUGUGUACAAGGUUUUAACGUGAUUUGGCCAACCAUGCCUACCUCCACGGAUGAGAGAUAAAAGUCCACUAUACUAUAGAGAAUAUUAUAGAGGACAAAUACAGAUACAAUUAUCAGGUCCUGAAACAUCCCAUUUUUUCCCUCUCCUUAUCUCCACCCUAAAUCAUGAGCCUUUUCGCUCCACCAAGUGUCACUCACCUUUUCUCACAUCUACACCCUGGUGAACCCUCGUCCUCCAUCGAGUGUUUCUUGCUCUUGUUCAUAUCUUUGUCUUCCACUCGUAGUCCUUACAAGUCCAUCUUUCUUUCUCAUAAUCUUUUACCUCAUGACUUAGAAUAUUUAUACAGAUAUUCCUAUUAACUUUAUUAUUCUAUAAGGAAUCUAAUUACAAUUACAUAUGAACUUAGAAAAUAUUCCAUAUUAUAUAUAUUCGUUUGAAUCAAAGAAGUUCACUAUUUUAUACUAACAUUUUCUUGGUUGGUUUUGAAUCUUCAGCAUGUGGACCUUGUCGAUGCUAUAAGCUUGUUAGACACACUUGCAUCCAUUGGCUUCAAACUACUUCAUAAUAUUUCUUCUCUCCCACUCCAUGCCACAAAACCUGCAUCUGCAGGUUGAUUUUGGUGGAUCUAUUAUUGUUAGGCUCCUCAGCUCCAAAGCCUCAUGCCAGGAGAAGAGCCCCAUCAACUCCCUAGUCAUUGCAAUACCUUGAAAGGGACUUGUGGGUCUUAUAAAAUAGCUCAAAAAGAUUUCAUAGUACCUCAGACAACACCAUGGGAGAGCCCACUUGGCUAUGUCCUUCUCUUUCAUUUUGUCCAAGCCUUAUUGUACACUCCACUCUGCUUACAGAUACUUCUGCAAAUCUACUACUGUACCUCAUUCAUAGUGACGGGUCCAUAUUAUAAUGCACUCGUGUUCCCCCAUGUCUUUAAUUAAUUUUCUUAUACUUUUUUUGAUUCCUUGAUGGAAAGUAGAAACUUAAAAGAGUGCAUGUAAUGAAAUGAUUGAUCAUAAUUCACAAUAAGAAUAUUUCUCUGUCAAUGCCUUCGAUACCAUUAUGUAGAUUGGAGGGCUUUUACUAUGUUUUUAAUGGCAGCUUCAAAUAAUUAGGAAGAAAUGGUGCAAUAAGAACAUUUGAAAAACAUUUCUUCAGAGUAGAAGAGCAAUUGUGAAGCGAGUUAUUGCCCUCUCAAGGGAUUGUAAUGCCUAGUUAAUCUAGACAUCUCAAUCUUAUUAAUUGAAACAUUUGUUGAAACCUUGGGGGCAGUCAUUGUAUACUUCUUAUGUAUUUUGGUAUGCUUUUUUUUUCUGCUUUUAAUGCAUCUCUUGUUUACCUAUCAAAAAUAAAUAUUUGUAUUUCAAGGCUGUACAACACAAAGAUGCUAAUUUGAAGGAUGAUGGAAUGGAGCUUAUGUAAUAAUGGGUAUUCAUAAAAUAAAAGGAACGAAAUGACCAAUCUUGAUCUUCAUUUAAAUCUGACAGUUGCAUUUUCAUGGUGGAACAAUAAAUUUCAAAGUUGAAUGGGGAAUCUCCAUUCCCAACCAUAGAAAUCUAAAAAAGUACUAGCCCAACAUUGUCCAAAUCCCCUGCUUGAGGGUAGAUGGAGAAUGGAUUAACUCAAGUGAUGAGAAAUUGAAACUGAAGUUCACUUUAUGGGUUGUUGAAAAGAAAUGGAAGCACUAAUCCCUUGAACAACUCAGAUUAUUGAAUAUCUGAUAAGCAUAUUCACAAUUGAUCAUCACUUUUUAAACUAAUUUGUUGUUUUCUGCCAAGUUUGUGUUUGUAUUGUUGUUGUCUACCCAAGUUUCAUGUGAGCAUCAAAUUCAGUACAUCCUUCCUAUAUUCUACCAUAUUUGAAUAUAAUUUCAUGUUUAAGUAGACAACACAAACUAUCUUGUCUUGUUUAAUGAAUAUAUAUAUAUAUAUAUAUUAGUGGCUUGCACAAUAUGUUUAUUUUUUAAGUUUCUUCUCAUACAAAACAAUUAAAACCCUAAAUUUCCUAAUUUUACAUGCAGUCCAUUCGUUUGUGCAUAUAAAUAAAGGAUAAUGUUUUUUUUUCUUUUUUCCUUUCCCCUUUGGGGUAAGUUGGGUAGGUUUCUCUAUUCUUGAGUUCAUCUAUAUUUUAUACUAGUAUAAUUCUAUCACAAAUGUAUUUUCCUUUUAAUUUAUCAUAAGAUUUUCAUUGAUGUCUCUAUGAAGAAGUGAUUAUGGAAAAAGGAGGAAAGGGUACUAGAUGUGAUUCGUGCCCAAUUGGUGUCUCAGCUGAUUCGUGUCCAGUUGGUGCUCCUUGAUUGAGGGAGUAAUCAACAAAAUUUAUAACCUAUUACACCAUAUACUAGGGUAGCAAAGACAAAGCUACUAUAGCAUAGUGGCUCUAGGAUCGUUCACUGGGAUGGGUUUUCACUUUGCAAAUGAUAUUAAUUCAAAGCUAAAUUGGUGUCUUUUCAUUUCAAGGUUAGCUUUAAAAGAAAACAUAAAGAUGUUUGAAUGAAAAAGGUUUAGAUUUAAACUAACCAAAAAUAGUAACUGAUUUUACUUACAAAGAAAAAUGUUUCUUGGAGUUUAGAUCACUAGGCUCAGAUUCCUCAUACAAAAAGGGGGUUCCAGUCACUUGUUUCUUUUCCUCGCAUUAGAGAAUUAACAUAUAGUUCCUUCUCCAACCGGUGUUGUACAGAUGCUUCCCAUUAAUGGGUUCAAACACUAAAUCCCUCUCACUGAUGCACCUUGCAAUGGCUCAUACCUCUCACCUAGCACUUGCCAUUCAAGGUGAUCUUUAACCUUGGAUUACCCGUCAAAAGCUCGCAAGAGAUAACUAAUGGAUGUCUCCUUGGAGUCCAAAAGCUUACCAAGUGUUGGCUAUUCUAGAAAAUCCUACCUUCAAGUCACCUCCCAAAGGCUCGCAAGGGGUAAACUAGUGUAUCUCCAUGGACGGAGAUCACUUGCCUUACCAAGUGUUGGCCCAGGUGAUUUAAAGGCGUUUUAAGUUAACUAAAAAGAUAAAAAACCAUUAACGGGUUACACUUUCUCUUCAUUAAAAACUAAAACAACAAAACUUCCAAAUUAUACAUGUGGAAACUUACCCGGCUUUCCUUACUCCAAGAGACAAAAAGCUUAGCCUCUCAUCCUCUUAGGAAAAAUCCUCAGAGUUUGGUUGGCUAGAAAGAAAACUAAUGAAAAAACAAGAAUAUAUAUGAAAAACAGAGCAAGUGCUCUCUUCGUUGAUUCUAUAUAUGAUAUAUCUAUAUAUUGAUCGAUCUCCUUUACAAUGGAUGCAAGGGAAUAUAUAUAGAGAUGUUUUUCCAACCUUCCUAACUAAGAAAUCUUAUGGUUGGUUGAUUAUAAGGAGAAGAAUGGAAAUUUAUACAAAAAUAUCUGAAGAAAAGAUCUAAAAGAGUCGGUGCACAAAUAUCGGGAAACACUAAGGACCAUUUCGCAGGUGAAAACGAGGUCUGCGAGAUUUCGUAGACGCACACAAAGGGCUGCGAAAUCACUUCGCAGCAAAAGGUUAUUCUCAUAAGGCUGCGAAGUUGGCUUUCAUCUUGAGGUGCUCAGCUUCCAACUUGCGCCAUAUAUCGGGCAACUUCAGGAGGAAAUCCACAACAUUGUACAAAAAGGUUGCGAAAUCAUUUCGCAACAAAAGGGUGAUUCCGCAACACUUUUGCAAAAUGCUUUCUUCAGCUUGGAGUGAUCUUCUUGCAAUGGCUGUAACUCCUUCGUUUCAACUCCAAAUUGCGCACUGUUUGAAGCAUUGGAUUCUUGACUUCCUGAGCUUUGAAAUGGUAUAUAGCAUGUAGAAAAUGGACUUUGGGAAGUGCUCCAAAAGUGUGAAAGAAGACUGCAACUACUGUCCUCUGUUUUCUUCACUCUGUUUUCCUCUCUCCAGUGCUCUUUCCUUGCAUACUUUGAACGACUAAGGCAAAGGACUAUGAGGCUCCAAAGCUUGGUUUCUUCAUGAAUUUGAGCUUCCAAAAGCUUUGCCAUAACUUGUUCAAGUAGCUCCUCCAUCAUUUGGCAUGCUUGAAUUGAUUCAUAAGCUGAUAAAAACAUGUAAACUUGCCACAAAAUGGUUAAAACCAAUUACUAAGGACCUUAAUGAAUUAAUUGGGUUAAAUGAAUAUGAUUACUACUCAAAGGUGCUUAAAACCAUUAUAAUUAGGUCUACAAAAUAGCACUUUUUGGUAGUAAUCAAGAUGGUGACACAACUCUUAGUAGAUGAACCAAGUUUAGAUUGAAAUUUAUAUUGUUAGUACUAAAACUAAUCUAAACAUUCUUAAAAGUUUAAUAGCAUAUAUCUGAUGAGAAAUAAAGGAAAAUUGAAACAUACCUCCAACCAUUGAUGGUUUAAGAAUCCAAAAAUCAAAUUUGAUAUUCAAAUGGGUUAUGUCUUAAUAGAGAUUGGAGACUUAGGAACCUAACCACAAAGACUAUUUAUAUUCACUUUGCUUGAGUAAUGCCAUAAUUAUAGUUGCUAAUGACAAUCAAAAAAGAAAACUAUAUGAAUGAAAUCCCAUAACAUUAUGAGCCAAAUUUUUGGACCCAUUUAGGAAAGCCUAGUAUUAUUCCAAUGGAAGAUUAUGAACCAGAUUUUUGUACCCUUUAGGAAAAUCUAACAUAUUUUUCAAUCACAACAUGGAAGCAAGAACCCCAACAAUCCCAUUAAUACAUUAAGAUUAAGAUUAAGAGAAUAAUUAAUUUAAUAUAUUAUUAGUGAAGUUUUUAUUUUUGCUACCAUACCAAUUUCAAUGGAUAAAAAUAACUUAUUUAUGAAAAGAUAACAUUUGAAAAGAUUUAUUUUAUUUAUUUAAUAUUUUAAUUGGACUAAUAUUAAUAUUUGUAAGAUUUUUAAUAUUAGAAAUUUUAACUUAUUUAAGAGUCAUAGAAUAUUUAAGAUGAAAUUAAUUUUUUUCAAUUGUUUAAUUCUUAAAAAAGAAAAAAGAAAAAAGAAAAUAACAUAUUUAAGAAAGUUAAUCUAUGUUCAAAUGAUUACACUAUCUUUAAAUUUAAUAGAAGUUUUUAUUUCAAUAAUAUUGAUUGAUAUACUUCUCUUAACAAUAGGAUAAAGUAUGAUUCAAUUAGAUUCAAAUAUGGCACUAUCCGUUUUAAAUACUUUGAGAAAAUAAUAAUGAUAAUUCGUGAGCCAUUCUUUCAGUCUAAUUUAUACAUUUUUAAUGUGUUCGAAUUUAAUAAAGUCUUUGUUGAAGGAGUUUUCAAUAAUUUUGAUUCUUGUUAAAUUAAUUUUAUAAUUAGAUAAAUUUUUAUUUCAAUUAAAUCAAAAUAUGACAUAAUCUAUUAAAUAAGAAAUUAAUGAAUCAUUGAAGUUUUUAAUAUGAAAAAGUUAGAAUUCACAUUUUAUUUUUCUAAUUUGUUAAAUCUAAAAUUGUAUAUAAACUAAUAUAUCUGAUAAUAUUUAUUAUAUUUUUAAUGCUAUAAAUCUAAAUUAUAUAUUAAACAAUGUAUUUAAUAAUCAAGGUGAGGAAUGGGGUUCCAUCCCUGAUUCGGAUUCAUUCAAUUUUCUUCACUCUGAUAACUCUGAAACCAAUUAUCAUUCAUUAUCAUGUUCUAAUAGGGUUAGAUCACGUAGGGAUUUUUCUUGGAAGCCAAAGAGUUGCUAUAGUCUUUUUUUUUUCCCUUAAUAUCUCUAUAUUCUUUAAAUUUGAUUUCUUUUCUACAUAUCUUAAUAUCAAUUUUAUUUAUUUUUAUUAUUACUUUCUUUCUUGGGUGUUGUUCAUAAAUUGAUGGGCAUGGUGCUCAAACUUCAACAAGCCUACAUGUUGAUUUUUGUAGACAUGCUGCUGUUGCCUUUUCUUGAAGGUUGGAAUGCAAGAAAGAGGAAUCCUGUGUCCCAUAGAUAUUCCAACAGCUUCUGGUCAUACUGCCCAGUGCCAGCUCUGGUUUGAUAGGAUCAUUAUUCUUUGAUUAUGGAUUUUAAAACUUAUGUACUCCGUCCUUAAGCAUCACAUUCAAAAUUCAACCGUAGCAGAUGUGUCUUCUAGUUUGGCCUCUUCAAACUUUGGUGAUUUAGAAGUAUUCCCCGUAAUGAGAAGUUAAGCUUAUAAAAUCUUAUGAGACCAAACACUUCUACUUUGGUCUCAUCAAAGCUUUUGUAGCUUAUCUAUUCCACAAAACUCUAUAUCAAAAAGUCUAUCUAGCAGAAGUGUUUUUGUAUUUUUGAAAAAAAAAAAUAUUUAACAAAAUUUAAGAAAUACUUUUAAAAAUCUGAAAAAUCAAAAUCAAAAUAAUAUUUAAAAAGUGUAUAUAUAGUGUUUUUUGUAAAAACAUUAAAGAGUUUAUUUGAUAGUGAAUUUAAAAAGUGCUUUUAAUAAUUUUUUAUAUUUUAAAAUUUUUAUCUUUCAAGUAUUAAAAAAAUUAGAAACACUUCCAAAAAUUAUUGUCAAAUAUACUAUAACACUACAUUUGACAAUGAUUUAAAAAAAUAUUUUUCAUUUUUUAAUACUUAAAAAUUAAAUUUUUUUAAAUAUUAUAAAGUACUUCUUAAACUUGUUAUCAAGCAAACUCUUAAUAGUUGAUUCUUCUAAAAACGUUUUCAAAAAAAUACCAAACGGAAUAACUAAAAGCACUGUCGUACCACUUAAAUUUAUCUUGUACUAAGCAUUAAAAAAAAUCUAAAAACUAUAUAUUCAACCUCCCAUUAUUAUUUUUUUCCUCCAUUAGUAAGAGUACUUCCUGACAUUUUCUAUUGUUUGGAGUUUUUUUGGGUAUCUAAAAAUAUCAUAUUUUUUCCUCACCUGCCGGCCCAUAGAGUGCAGUCCGUGUGGACCAAGACGGGAAUCCAACGCCAUAUUCAACCUAACAAAUGCUAAAUAUAUUUUUCUUCUGAAGUUGCAGAGAGUUCCCUGAAUCCUUGUUACCCACAAUCUAUUCUUCAGAUUGGCAUAGAGUUCCCUCAAUCCCUUGUUACCCUGCAAACCAAAAAUAUGGCUGGGUUUGUUGGAGAAGCAGUUCUGUCUGGUUUCAUCCAGAAGCUGGUUGAUAUGGUCACCUCCCCCGAGUUCUGGAAGUAUGCACGUAAAGAGCAAGUUGAUUCUGAGCUGAAAAGGUUGAAGAAUAUAUUGAUAAAGAUCUAUGUAGUGCUCAAUGACGCAGAGGAGAAGCAGAUGACAAACCCUCUGGUCAAAAUAUGGCUGGACGAGCUUAGAGACUUGGCUUACGAUGUGGAGGACAUCUUGGACGACUUCGCCACCGAAGCUUUGCGAAGCAGCAUGAUGGCUCAACCCCAACAAGGCACUACUAAGGCACGAGGCAUGCUCUCUUCUCUCAUUCCGAGUGCUUCUACGUCUAAUUCUAGUAUGCGUUCCAAGAUUGAGGAGAUCACUGCAAGAUUACAAGAUAUUUCAGCCCAAAAGAAUGACCUGGAUUUACGAGAGAUUGCUGGAGGGUGAUCUGAUAGAAAGAGAAAGGGAGCACAGAUUCUGCCCACCACUUCUCUGGUGGUUGAAUCCGAUGUUUAUGGUAGGGAAACAGAUAAAGCGGCCAUUGUCGACAUGUUGCUCAAGGAUGAUCCAAGUAGUGAUGAGGAAGUCUCUGUAAUCCCAAUUGUCGGUAUGGGAGGUAUCGGCAAAACUACUCUGGCUCAGCUUGCCUUCAAUGAAGAUAAAGUGAAGGGCCAUUUUGAUUUGAGAGAAUGGGUAUAUGUUUCUGAUGACUUUGACGUUUCGAGAAUAACCAAGACCAUUCUACAAUCUGUUGAUCCGGGUACUCGUGAUGUCAAUGAUCUCAAUUUGAUUCAGGUCAAUUUGAAGGAGAAUUUUUCUGGGAAGAAGUUUCUUCUUGUGUUAGACGAUGUUUGGAAUGAGAAUUGUCAUGAAUGGGAUACUUUGUGCAUGCCAAUGAGAGCUGGGGCACCCGGUAGUAAACUCAUCGUUACAACCUGUAAUGAAGGUGUCGUAGCAGUUACCGGAACUUGUCCAGCGUAUCCCCUACGAGAGUUAACAUACAAUAAUUGUUUGUCUUUAUUCACUCAGCAAGGGUUGAGGACAAUAAACCUUGAUGCCCAUCCACACUUGAAAGAAGUUGGUGAGGAAAUAGUGAGAAGGUGCAAAGGCUUGCCUUUGGCAGCCAAGGCACUGGUCGGCAUGUUGCGCAACCAACUAAACCGCGACGCAUGGGAAAAUAUAUUAACAAGUAAGAUAUGGGAUUUACCAGAAAAUAAUGUUGGAAUUUUUAUGUGUAGACUUACAUAAUCAAUUUGAUAAUAUCAUAAAUCAGUAUUAAUUUAAUUAUUGCAAUGUGGUCCAUAAUGGGACUGGACACAUAUUGUUGGUUGAUUUUUAUGGACUCACCCUAAUUCACUGCCCAUUAAGUCAAGUAGUCCAAAUAAAGUGUGUAAUGUGUAAUAUAUAUAUAUAUUGAGAUAUGUGUGCAUUUGGAGAUAAUUCUCCUUUUCUUCUCUUGGAGAGCACUGCACGCACACACACUUGCACUUGGACUGAAUGUUUGGGAGGAAAGGGAAGAGUUCAUUGAUCCCUAAUUCUCGUACCAUCACGCAUCUGGAGCAGCUUCUUGGAUAUCAGAGGAGGAAGAAAUGGCUUUCCAUGGCAUAAACCUAGGUAACCGGUUCAUUUUUUGCCAUUAAAUGCAUGCUUAAAUGUUAACAUGUGAUCCUAUGCUAUUUCAAUUCUCUUCAAUUGGUAUCAGAGCAAGCAUGGAUGACAUUUGAGCUGCUAUUUUGGGUUAAUUUUUGGUUUCUCGUUUUCUAGUUAUGGAAGCCAUUUUUUGGAGGGUUUUUUUUUCGUUUGGUGUUUAUUCUUGGUUUUCAAGCCCGAUUGAGGUGGGAGACUUGUUGAGAAUAUUGUUUGGAGCAAAACCCAUCUUUUUUGUGGUUUUUGGAGCUCAUUUGGUGAUAUUUCAAAAAUUAGGGCUUGUUUGGUUCUUCCUAUUAUGCGUUUUUUGUGUAUUUUUUGGGUUUAAAUUGAAGGAUUGAUGUUUGAGGUUGGAAAUCUAAGUAUUUUUGUCGAAAAAUGUGCAAAAUUUUGGGCGGAAAUUUUUUUUUACUUUCUUCUCCAAAACCAAGGCGUGUUCAGCUGGAGAAGAAGAUGAACAGCCCCUACUGACGUCAUCAUGACGUCAUAAAAAAACAAUUUUUUUUUUGUUUGCCUUGUUAUUCUUGGAUUAAUUAUGAAUAUGUUAGAAUUAUUAUACAUUUUUUAAAUUUCACUUUAUUGGGACAAUUAUUAUUAUUAUUGUUUUUAUGGUAUAAUUUUUAUAUUAUACCAAUAAUAUUGUCCAAGGUCAAUUUUGUUAACUAUUUAAAUUUAUUGUGGCAAUAAAUAACACUUGUGUGAUUGCCUAUCGCAAUUCCAAGUGUGUCAAGUUACGCAAAUUAAAUAUUUCAGUUUAUCAUGACAAUAGUGAACAUAUAUGUGGUUGUCUAUCGUGACCCUAUAUGUGUCAAAUUGUCUUUGCUAAGAUAAUUUAACUCCCACUUUUAGUUGCUUUAUUAUUGUGAUUACUAAUAUCCAUACGGGUAUUGUAAUUGUCCUAUCGAUAAUAAUAAUACUUGGUAGGAUGCUUAGAUUGGUAAAGGAAAUUAAUUGAAUAUUAUGAACCGUAUUAAUUUUCUUUGCCCUUUUGGUGAUAAAAUUAGUACAUCUUGGUUGUGAUAUUUAAUUAGUUGUCCUUACCACCGUGGAAAUUUCAAAAUUCCAAAAUAUUGCUAAAUUGAGAAGUUCUGGAAACUAGCAAAUGCAUGAUAUUGUAAUAACAUGCAUAUGUUGAAUUUUGCUAUUUUCCAGCUACUAGCAAUCCUAGUAUUACUCUGCAAUUGUCUACCAUCAAACCUCUUACUAGAAAUAAUUUUGAAGAAUGGUUUGAGUCUUUCAAUGUGCAUAUGACUCUGCACAAUCUGGACUUGGCUUUAAGGGUUGAUGAGCCAAGUAAACCCACUGAUGUGAGCUCUGUAGAUGAAAGAUCAUUUUAUGAAAGAUGGGAGCACUCCAAUAGGAGUUGUCUGAUGGUGAUGAAAUACACUAUGGAUAAGUCCAUUAAAAAAUGUGUGCCGAAGACGGAAAGGGCCAAAAAUCUCCUAGAAUAUGUGAAGGUCAAUUAUACCAAGAUUGAUAAGGCGGAAAUGGCAACUUACUUGAAGCUUCUCACAACCACUACGUAUGAUGGAGUCGAUGGGGUUAGAGAUCAUAUCAUCAAGUUGAAACACUACUUCAACAAGGUAAAUGAGAUGAAAGUGGAGUUGGGUGAAAAAUUUCUGAGAUGGUUGAUACUUGAGUCUCUUCCUAUUUCCUUUGAUGCAGUGAAGUUGACUUACAAUGCCUUGAAGGAAGAAUGGACUCUGGAGGAGUUGAUAUCCAUUAUAGUGAAACAUGAAGUCUCACUGAAGAAAAAUGAGACUCACUCCCUUGCUAUUGUUACUGACCAAGUGAGCAGCAUGAAAAAAAAGCCUCCACACAAGAAUUUUGGGGGUUAUAAGAAAUUCAAAAGAAAAGGGAGUUGGAAUCAAGGAACCUCCAAUGCAUCUGUUUCUUUUAAUGAUGCAAAGAAUGACAAAUUCAAGGGGAAAGGAAACUUUUGCCACAAGAUUGGCCACAAGCAGGCUAAUUGCUUCAAAUUUAAAAUUUGGCUAGAGAAGAAAAAGAAAUGUGAAAUUGUGGUUGUGGUUAAUUUGAAUGCAAACAUGAUUGAGACAAAUAUUGUUGAUGUUCAUGCCAAUUCUUGGUGGUUAGAUACCAAUGCCACUAUUCAUGUCACUAAUUCUUUGCAGGAGAUGACAAACAAAAGGAGGUCGUCAAAGCAUGAAGAAUGUGUGUAUAUGGGUGAUGGAAGCAAAGUGAAAGUGGAAUUUUUUGGCAUUAUAAAGCUAAAGUUGAUCACAUAAAGUUUUUUGUUGUUACACAAUGUGGCUUUCAUACCCUCACUUCGGAGGAAUCUGAUUUCUAUAUCUUCUUUGGAUAGACAUGGUUAUUCUUUUCACUUUGGAGGUGGAAAAGUGGAUAUUUUUAGCAACUCAGUCUUAAUUGGCAAUGGUGUUUUGUUUGGAAAUCUUUAUAGUCUCAGUUUGCAUCAUGGUUCAUUUUGUGAUUCAUCUUUUGUUAAUUCUGUUGUUGGUUGCAAGCGUGCUAGAAUGAAUUUGAGUUCUUCCAUGUUGUGGCACAAACGCCUAGGUCAUAUUUCUAGGCAAAGAUUAGAGAUAUUGGUUAAAGAUGGUGUGCUUUCUAAUCUUGAUUUCUCAGACUUCGAAACUUGUGUUGUUUGCUUAAAGGGGAAGAUGACAGCAAAGACCAGAAAGGAGAAGAUUGAUAGGUGUGGAAGUACUUUAGACUUGAUCCACACAGAUAUAUGUAGUCCUUUGACACCAAUUGCUUUAGGGGGUUAUAAAUAUUUCAUCACUUUUAUUGAUGAUUUCUAUAGAUUUGGUUAUGUUGAACUAAUCCAUGAGAAAUUUGACUCCCUAAAUGUGUUUAAAGCCUUUAAGGCUAAGGUGGAGUUGCAGUUGGGAAAGCCCAUUAAAACUGUGAAGUAUGAUAGAGGUGGUGAGUAUUAUGGGAGAUAUGAUGAGACUGGAUAGAAUUUUAUAGACCAUUCGCUAAGUUUCUAUUGGAAUGCGGCAUUGAUGCAAGAUAUACAAUGUCAGGCACUCCUCAACAGAAUGGGGUUGCAUAAAGAAGGAAUCGCACAUUAUUAGAUAUGGUGAGGUGCAUGUUGUCUAAUUCCUCUUUACCAGAAUUUUUGUGGGGUGAAGCCUUAAGGACUGCGGCAUAUAUUUUGAAUCAAGUGCCCAGUAAGUCUGUGCCUAAGACACCUUAUGAGCUAUGGUCAGGGAAGAAACCGAGCCUUCACCAUUUCCAUGUUUGG